UCCCAAGCUCCUUUGCAAUGACAAAGCAAGCUGAAACAAGGUCACCAUGAUGGCAGUUGGGACAUUCGGAAGACCUUUAAAGUUCCAUGGCAAUGCGAACCCUUGCAAUACCAUAGCACCGGUGCAGCCGUGCAGGGCGGCAGAAACAAAUAGGUACUAGAAACCAUGAAAUAGAUCAGAAAGCAACUAAUUCUCUAACGAGAAAACCAGCAUCUCCUCCUUUCAGCAAAAACAGCAGCGUGUCAGUUUGCAUUCGCAUGCUUUUAUUUCCCGUAAGAGGGGCUCAUCUGUGUAUGAAUAAAACUUCCUGUAACUACCUGAGAGGCUGAGAAGACCACCUUUUCUCAGCUCGCAACCUGAACGGCCUCGACUUCUCCAUCACUGUAAUCAGCCCAGGACUUUGGCUUUUCAGUCACGCUUGAAUCAUCUGGAGCAUAUUUUGGGGCUGAAGCAUCAUAUUGAGCAUCUAUUGGGGCUGUUGCAUCAACUUCAGCACCUCCAGAAACUAUAGUUUCAUCAGGCUUCACUUCACUGUCCUCACAUUCCACAUGGUUGUUCUUCUCCUCUGUGUUCUUGCUCUCAGCCUCAGCUUCAACAUCAAUUCCACUAGAUGUAUCAUUUCCUUCAGGACUAGUCUCACUAGUUUCAGACACUUGUGGGGAAGCAGUCUUGGGUGACUCGACAGUACUAUCUGGAGAUGAUGGAAGCCCAUCCUGUGAUGCUUGAAUACCAGCUGGCGAUGCCAGAGGUUCAUUAGGAGAUGAUGGAUGGCCAUCAGGACUACGAGAUUGACCCGGCACAAACUCCGCUGCAUGAGGAUUCAUCACUUUAGGGGAUGUGGCUGCCUCUGGAAGAACUUCACCACUCGGCAACACAGGCUUGUUACGAGGCACUCGGUGCCCUGAUCUGUUGAACCCUCCGGCUAGACGUGGACCACAAGGGACCCUUGCAGUUGCAGACUGGUGAGGGUGCUUACGGAGAGGGAUGGCCAGCAUUGGGGGCACAUUGGCUGGCGAUGGCAAUAGUCCCGCGUGUUCUCUGAAACCUGGUACGACCAUUGAACCAAAAGCUGGCACGGUGGCUGGACUGAAUGGAGCAGCGGCAGCAUUAAGUUUACUGGCUGUCUCUUUCGCACCUUCUACUGGUGAAUCAUUCUUUUCACUUCCAGAUGGUGAAGAUUUCUCAUUUUCGGCCCCACUAGACAGCUGUUCUUGAUUAUCCUCUCCUGGACCUCUUUCAUCAUCAUUGGAGGAAGAAUCAUUUGCCUCAGUCAAAGUUGCUGCUUCUUCAUUUGGGAGGUCCGCUAGUGCUGCUGGUGAUUGGUUCUUCUCUGUAGAUGUCUCUGCUGAAUCUGAGGCCUUCUCAGCUUGAUUUGAUCCUACCGAACCAUUGGCUUGUUCAGUAUCAGAACUGGGAGAUUUGUGCUCAUCAGUUGCUUUUGAUACUUGCAAAUUAUUAUCCUUUGGUGACACUUGUAUUGCCCCAUUUUUCUCUUCAGAAGGGCGAACAUUGCUUUCUUUGGGAGCCUUGGCACUUUCAAGAUUUACAGCUGGAUCAGUUGCAUCCUUUUGCUUUGUAUGCACAUCAUUCAACGCUUUGGCAAGAGUUCCUGGUGCAGCUAUUGCCACUUCCUUGUAUGACAGUGACUUCCUUACUGUUUGACUGACAAUUGGUGCUGCAGAUGGCAUCACCUUGGCAGCUGCAGGGGUGGUGGCUAAGCUUGCUGCCAUGGAUUUAGGUUUGGGUGAAUCCUCCCCACUGUUUGAUGAGAUAGCAGGAUUACCUGCUUUGGAAUUGAAGCUCGAACUCUUUGCCAACUUCUUUGCAAGAGGGCUGGAAGCAACAGGAGCUGCAGUCUCAUUAGGUGAAACUCGAGGGGAGGAGUUGGAUGGAACUCUGCCUUUGUAGCUUGGAGGGGGAGAAGAAGUAAGGAAGAAAAGAUGAGCAAAUCCAAUAUACAGUGGACAAUUAUUGGCGUACGUACCAGUGGCGGGCAGGAAUCUGAGCCCAUCAUUGUUAACUUAAUUACCUGUGAUGGGCAGGAAUCUAAGCCCAUCAUUGUUUAAUUUAAGUACCAGUGACGGGCAGGAAUCUGAGCCCAUCAUUUUGUUAACUUAAGUACUAGUGGUGGGCAAACUCAAACAAAUAAAUCUGCUACUAGUAUUUUUUCAACCAUUUUAGCCAUGGGCCAACCAUACCUAUGGCGGCUGCACAUACAUGCCCGCCACACUAGUAACUCAAUUACGAGUGGUGGGCGGGGAGGCACACCCAUCACUUGUAUGUUUGGCCCAAGCUAGAUGACGUGAGCGCUGGUGGCCUCCCUGGCUGCGGCUCCCACGCGGGUGGCUUCUGCCGGCCUAGAUGGGAUCUGGGACCUUGCCCGGCUGGAUGUGGCGCUCUCCGUUCGGCCACCGCGGCGGCCGCCGUGCCUUCUCCGCUGCGUCCACCCCCUCCCAUCGACCCCCACCACCCUCACCCCCUGCUCGGCUCCGGGUCUGCCUCUCGCUAUGGCGGUCGUGGAGGCGUGGGUUUGUGCCCGGCGGCGGCUGCUUCCCACAGUGCGCGGGCCGGGAGGUUUGGUUGCGCGUUAACUUCACCACCCACCCACCCCCGGUAGGGGCGGCUUCGGCACGCCGACUAUGAACUUGUGCCCCUUCCUACGUCCAUGGCCGGCCGACGCGGCUUCGGAUCCAGCACACCAUGGAAGCUGCGCUCUUUCCGGCUUCCUUGGCUCGUUGGCUCCUCGGCAUCACCGCACCAUCACCCUGCCGGUGCCCUUUGUUGGUCGUCCAUCCGGGCGCAUCUCCGUUUCUGGCUCGCUCCGGGAGCUGCGUCCCCUUCCAGCUCCUAGGCUUGCCGGUGCUCUGCUGCUCCGGUCCCGGUGGCCUUGAUCUACACUUUCCAAAUCCUGGUUUGUCCGGGGCUCCGCCCACCGUCACAUCUCGUUGCCUUCCAUUUCGCUCAGCCACACAACCCCGCCCUCUAACGGAGCUCGCAAGUCCGGCGACGCUCGGUGCCUCCUUCGGCGUCGGGCGUGGCUCCCCUUCCUCCUGUAGCAAUUUCGCCCUAUACUCGACUUCCUCUUCUCCGAUUUGUUCUCCGACGGCUUGGGAUUGUUCGGAAUUUGGCCAGGGAGCAAUCCCCGCAUUCUAUGCUGGCACUGGCGACACUUGCGGGUGUCGUUCCCUUCUUGAAGGCACUGCCAUGGCCACUUUCUGGGGCCCUCUUCAAGCAACAGGGGAAACUCUAGGUCCGGCUUCCCAGAUCGGACGCCGGUAACGUCUCGUGUCGUUCUCCUUCCUGAAGGCGUUGUCUUGUUUGCUCGCGGCGUCCUCGGUGCUGACUUCGGUGAUGUCGGUCGUCUAGUUAUUGGUCGGAUUGUGUCUCUGGUUGGCGAGUUCAGCCGUGUUUUUCUUUGGGUCGAGUGUCUCAUGUCUCUCCAGUUUGGGGCACCAUGUUCACGCCUUUUGCAUCCGUGCCAUGUGUUGUAUCACCUCCUGUACUCAUUCAACCUCUCAUAUCAAUGCAAUGAUAAGCAAGCUUUGCGUAUUCCCGAAUUAAUCUGGGCCCUUAUUACAAGUAUUGGGAAGGAAAUGUUUCACAUAUAAGCAGUUCUGCAGUAGUGAGAGUUGAAGCAGUCAGAUAAUAAAUGCCUUGCACAUUUCUAUCUUUUGUGAUAUAGUAAGUUUUUGUUCAAUUUAUGAACUAAUUAAUGAGUGAGGUGUUUUGGCUCCAAGGCCCAGAUGAGCCCAGGACUAAUUAAAAAUCAUUUAGAAAAUUCCAACUUUUUGGUGGAGAAAGAUGACCAAGUGCGUGAUGUCCGUGCCAAAUUUCACAGCAUUUGGAUGUCUGAUUAGUUCUCAGCAAAAAAGACAAAUUCAGAGUAUAUGAAAAAGUUUACUGUUUGUGCAUUGUUUGGACCCGAUUUUUUUGCUGAAAGCUACUUAGAUGUCCAGAUGCUUUAAAAUUUGGCACGCAUCUCACGCACUCAGUCAUUUUUGUCCACAAAAAAAUUCAGAAUUUUUUGAACUUUUCUAGUAUUAUUUACGAAUUUACUGUUCAUUGAGUGUAGAUGAGCUGGGCUCAGAAUUGGAUAUUAGCUAAUUAAUGGCCAACAUAAAGUAAAUACAUUUUUAUUUUUAUUUUUAUUAUCCCCUUAUGCUUAUCUUCUUGGUGUGUGUUAAUUAAUACGUCUGCCAAGAAGAAAUGUGUGUUAUCCUUCUGUAGCAAGUUUUAAUUAGACAUUAAUCGAUUGCUUUAAAUAGCUUGUUAUCUAUUCAUAGGAUUUGCCUUUAUAUAACAUAAUGUUAUUUGCAAGUAAGUAUGCAAUUAAUGUAUUUGGCCUAUAAAAAGCGUAAGGUGUUAACUCGAGCAUACUAUUGUGCUCGUCAGUCAAACAGAACCGCCUCACUGAUCAAACAUGGAUGUCAAAUUAGCAACGAUUAUGUUCUUUGUGCUCCUCGGAUGCCAUGUGUUUUCCGUGCACUGUAAGUAUACAUAUACAUCUAUCCUAGUAGUAUGUCACAUAGACCAAUAUCUUGAGUUCUUGACAAUCUCAUCAAACACAUGAGUUAUGAUGAUGAUUCAUUUAACUAAAUGCCCAUUAUUGUGUUUCUCGAUAUAUCAGGUGGUCGCCAGAUAGAUGGCGGGAUUGGAGCUAAGGCUUACCAUGGUCCUCCGAUAGUGUUGUGUGUGAAGAAUACAUGUGCCCAUCACACAUGUUGGUGUUGUGCAACACAGUGGCCCGGUGAACUCUGCUAUGACAAUCUACUCCCUCCGUUCCCAAAUAUAAGUCUUUUUAGAGAUUGCAACAAGUGACUACAUACGAAGUAAAAUGAAUGAAUCUAUACUCUAAAAUAUGUCUACAUACAUUCGUAUGUUGUAAUUUAUUUAAAAUGUCUAAAAAGACUUAUAUUUAGGAACGGAGGGAGUAGAUGAUUGCGACAAAGUAUGCCCGCAUGCGCGUACACCAUCAUUACCGAUGAAUGAACAUGCCAAGUUUUAGUUCAGCCUGGCGUCUAAUGACGAGAUGAUUAAAAUAUCAAUAUUGAAAAUCAUUCAACAGGUGGGAACUAAGAAAUCACAUAUUUGAUCUUAUGUAUUUAGAGUUUGAAUAAAUUGCACCUUCUUCAUGAUGUAUGGGUCUAUCAUUUUAUUGACCGGGACACACAUUUUCACUAAUUUUCUAACAAAAAAGAGGAAUCCGUAAACACAAGGAUUUCAUAAAUUCCUCUAUUGAUGGUCAUGUGCAUCGAUUAAUUGUGACCCCAUGGGUAAGCCCUCCUUUUCGAGAAAAAAUGAAUUCCUCGAUCAAACAGUUUCUUUGUGUUAAUCUUGACCAAUACUUACAUCAAUAAUAUAGGGACCCCCGCAAAAAAAAAAUCAAUACUAUAGGGAGUGUGAUACCGAAAAUACAAAGGUGAGCAUGGGUGCGCGCGCACCCAUGUGAAUAGUAAAUUCAUAAAAAAUAUUAGAAAAAAUUAAAAAUUUCUGAAAUUUCGAUCAUUCUACUCACGUGUGAAGUUUCAUGAUGUAUUAACACCCAUGAUAUUCUUAGUGAAGAAAAUAUUAAUGCGAUCAUACUAUUCAUUAAUCAAUGUUUUUUAAUAUAGCUUCGAUUAGCUUCGAUUUUGUCAUUUUUGCCCAGAUUACCACGGAUGUGAUUUCUUCGUGAAACUUCAUAUGCAAGUAUACCGGUUGACUAUGUAUAUUUAAAAAAUAAAUUCAGAUUUUUUAAAUUUUUUCUAGCAUUUUUUUCAAAUUUACUAUUCAUAAAGGAUGCGCGCGCAUCCAUGUUCACCAAAUCCGUGUCCGUGUGAUACUGAAAUUAUACUAUGAGAAGGUGCUUCUUACUACCUGUUUUUUCUAGUUUGUAAUCAACACUUAUAUAUAGUUUCAUAUUUGGCUCGUAUGAUUAGACUAACAAUUCACCUGCAAAAAAAAAAGACUAAGAGCAUCUCCAGCCGCGCCCCCAACAAGCCCCCCCCCGCGAUUUUUCGGCCGUCGGCGUUGAAAAAUCGGCCCAGUCGCGCCCCCAAGGGCCUAGUUUUCACCGGCUCGGGCCGAAAUUGGCGCCGGCGGACCCAGGCCGAACCCGGCGCGCUGGGGGCGCUUAGGGGCGCCGGCCGAAUCGUUUUUGGCGCGAAAAUCGGCGGGCCCUCCUUGGCAGCGAUUCGGCUCUUCUUGCCGCUUCUUCGUCCUCAUCGCCUCGGUUCCCGCGGCGGAAUCAAUGCCAAAGCUGCCGCGCGCUGCCGCGCCGGUCAGCCUCCUCCAUUGAUGCCUCACGGGCGGCGCAGUGAAGACGGGACGCCGCGCGUCCCUCGCCCGCCAUGCGUACACACGGCGGGCACGCGUACGCGCGGCGCCUCCGCCUAUAUAAGCCGUCCCCCAGCGCGCCGGUAAAGCACAGACUCUCCAUCGCCGACGUCCCGUUCCACCGCCGUUCCUCCCCUCUCCUCUCGCCUUCUCCAGUUCAACCAUGGCCGAGCGCUUCCCAGGCGAUGGCGCGGCGGCGAACGGCUUCGGCCGCCGACACAUUGACGAGGACGAAGCUCGGCUCCUCUACGAGGCCGAGUACCCGGUCCCGCCGGACAUGCGGGUGCCCGGGGCGUGGAGGAGCAGCGCCGGCGGGGUCCCGGUGCCACCACCGCCCACCGGGGCGGCGCGGCGUGCGGAGAUCGCGCGUAUCCGCGCCUCUCCGCCGCGGGCGGCGAGGGAAGGUCCACGGUACGUCCCCGACAGCCCGCUGUGGGAACCCUACUUCCGUCGCCGGCACGCCGAGCAGCUCGAGGCCACGACGACGACGACGGCGGCGACUACACGCAGUUCUACAGCCUCCUCGGCAUGUAGAGCUUCAAGGGCGGCGGGCGGCGAGGGAGACGGCGGGCCUAGUAGCUUUUUUUUUGUAAAAAUAUUUUAAAUAUGUAUGAACUCGCCGAAGUUUGAUUCAAUUUGCGCCGUGUUUGUGCCGGAUUUUAGUUUAAAAAAGUGGGCGCCGCGACUGGCGGACAUCACGCCCCCAGCACGCGGUUUGCGCCGGUGCGCUUUCAGGGGGCGAUUUUUAGCGCCUCCUGAAGGGCCAAUAGCCGGAGAUGCUUAAAAAAGACAUGCGCUCAUCCAAAUAACAGCCGCCUCCUGCGAGCGUCGCGUCAACAACGUGCCGUGCAGUGUAUGUUAGAAAAGAAAAAGGAAAAACGCGCCGCCCAGAUCUCUGUUGUUCAUGUCACGCCAUUCCCAAUUGCAUCCUGUGAGGUGAUUUUUAACCCGAGGAGGCUAGAUCUCUGUUGUUCAUGUCACGCCAUUCUCAAUUGCAGUCUCAAUUGCGUGUUCUUCUGCUCUCUACCUGCAACGUCGUGCUCCUCUUGACUUGGCCAGCAACAACCUGGCCAUCACAAACGGGUGCCUUUGUUCCUGCCACGUGUUCUUCAAUCCGCCACCGUAUAUUUGACUAUCCCCACUCCUACACAUCCAGUCAUCACUUAUCGUGCCCUUAUGCUCCACAUGGUACCGCUCGUUGUCACACAUGCUCCUCUACUUCUCUGCCUCCCAUCCAGAAACAAGAACCUAGGGGAGAACCGUGCUCUCACAACAAUUAGUGACAUCCGGCCAUCCGUUUCUUUUCCUUGAUGGAAUCUGGGCCGUCGGAUCGAGCCACCGAAUGACCUCGGCCGUACGAUUGAGGACCCGAAACUGUGGCAAUGAAUAGUGCAGCCUCGUUCGUGCCACCGCGCGUAAUUACAGUGCCCCGCCGAGGGCACUUUCGUCAUUUCACGUGGUUGGAAAAUAUCCAAUAACGACAUGGGUGUGACAGAGCGGUCGCUACUCCCGCACUCGUGCCGCCUCCUCUCCUCUUCCUCCCGCACCACCUCUCUUUCUCCUCUGCAAACCCUACACCCGCGCCCACUUCCCUCCCCAUCGCCCCCCGUCCCCCUGUCGCCAAGCCUCUUGCAUCUUCGGAAGGGGGGCCGCCAACGGUAGUGCCGCUGCUCCCCUGUCGAGCUCGAGCGUCCCCAUCGCCGGGAGGAGCGCAGGUUGCCGCUCCUGCAGUUGCCCGGUCCUCUCUCCCUCGGCGUCGAGCAGCUCAUGGCGGUGACGGACCCGGUGUUGAGGUCGAGGGGCACUCAGGAUCCGGGCGCAGCGGCGGCCAUGGACGAGCUCAAGCCCGGGCGUGUGGGCGCGUUGGUGAGCGCGGCGGCAGCCGUCGCCGAGCUUGAGCUCGGGCGUAGCGACAAGGGCACUAGGGGGAUUUCACCUGGUAGCCCAGUGCAUGGCGUCAUGUGGGUGGCUGAGGGGUAGAUAGGACGGGUGGAAGGGUGUGUGCUUCUCUCCUCGUAGGACUCACUUCCUCCUUUCUCUUAUUUCAUUCUUGGAUCUGGCCACCGCCGUCGCCGUGUUCUCCUCUUCGUCGUCGGUUAGGUGAUGGUUUUCGCGAUCUCGUCUUGCCUCCUUCGAGGCGUUCUUCUUGCCGGUCCUCACUUCCCCUCUUUUCCUUUUUCAUUAGUCGUCUUGUAGGUAGUUCGAGGGUGUGACUUAUUGGCCCUGCGCUUCGCUUGCCGUCACCUUGGCCGUCGGCGUGCCGUUGAAGAAGGUAUUGUUCUGGUCCCUUCCCUGCCCGAUUCUGAUGAUUACCUAGGUCCAUUUUCACCUGUUCCGCAGAGAUGUCGUUACGGUUUGUUUUGCUGGUUGGUGGCCGGUAGUGUUCUUCCUCUUGCAGCAAAUAAGUUGUGGCUCUUCGAGGAUAGGUCACAUUGCUUCGUUGCGCAGAUGACUUGGAUCCUACUGUUUUGGCAUUCUGUAGAUUUAUUUUGGCAUUACAUCCUAUCCCGCUUCUACUGUUUUGGCAUCGUGUGUGUUUACUUUGGCAUUACAUGCUCAUAGUAUUUGUAUAAGGAUAGGUUUGUUUUGUCAUCACAUGCUCAUACAGUUUGUUUAAGAAUUGGCUUCUCAACCAUCUGUCUGUAUAUGUUUCGGUAUCAGAUGGUCUAUUUUAGCAUUGCUGGUUCAUAUUGUUUAAGGACGUGUCUAUUUUGUUAGUACUGAUAUAUCCUUAAGCAUCCUAUCCGAUUAAGGAUGUGUUUCUCUUGGUACUUGUUGGGGAUAUGACUAUUGGAUAUGACCCGCCCAGGAGGGGCCGGGUUAUCCCAAUGGCGGUUCAUCUUAAUGAAGGCCAAGAGUAUAUUGAAGAUAGUGGUUUAUGAGACAUCCUGUUAAGGGGCCCAAACCUAAAGGCGGCUUAAGGCCCGUAAGUGUAAACCGCCAUGUAUAUGUAAACUUGUAUUGUAAGGCAUGUAAGAUAAGUCACCGAGCCGGACACGUUUGUAUGAGCCGGCCGGGACUCUGUAGACCGCAGGGUGUUAACCCAUGUAUAUAAGGGGAUGACCCGGCACCGGCUUAGGGCAAGAAACAACAGAUCGAAAGCGAGGCAAAGCGUAUUCGCUCCCUAGUAAUCGAAACCCUAGCAAUACCACCUCAAACUGGAUUAGACCUUUACCUUCACCGCAAGGGGCCGAACCAGUAUAAACUCCUCGUGUCCUUUGUCCCGUUUAACCGCUUUAAGCUAACCUCGUCGCCAUGGUUCCACAACUAAGUCCUUUCACUAGGACAUCUGCCGUGACAAUUCCACGACAGUUGCGCCCACCGUGGGGCCUGCGCACGGUGGUUUGAGUUCUUGAAGGGCAGCUUCGAAGGGCUCAAGGGAUACGCUGUGGGCCGGAUGACCAAGAGUCAUCGCGUCAAGCUCUACAUCGACGACGCAGGCUGGGGCCCCGAGGCCGGCUCAAUCGAGUAUGGAUACCGGGUCCCCUUCGGCGGAAUCCACGUCUUCAUCGGCAUGAUCGGCGAACCGGGCCCUGAGCCGGACACCUGCACUGACAUCAUCGAGACGGCUCAGUGUGCACGACCCGCCCGGGUUCAGCCCGCCGUAAAGCGUGCUUUCGUUGGAUGGAUCCACGGGGCUGAAUUGGAAGGCUCCGUGUCUGGUGGUGAGACGACCAUCUACUAUGAUGGUGAGUCAUCCACGGGCGAGACCAACUCAAUGUAUCAGCUACAAGACAAACGGCUUAGUGUUCCGAUGGCGACAGUAUUCCGGACCCCCAUGAGCUGCCGAACAGGGUGGCGAUUUUCAUGGCUGGCACCCAGCCGGUUCUUGGUUUGACAGCCGUCACGGCCAUGACUUCCAGUGCGGCGGCGGUGACGGCAGCAGGCGUCAGCGGCUCAGUUCGCCCGCCGGCUCAAGCUUUAACAGAUCUAUUGAAUGAUCUAGCAACUCUGAUGGGGGUAGAGGUAACUCCGGACAACGCGAAACCGCAUAAGGCGGAUAUUGCUAAGCUGCGUCAGGAGAUAGCACAGGCUAAGGAAGGCCUGGCGGCUGAGAACGCUAGGAUGAAUGUAGAGCGGUGCUACCUCUUGAGCAUGCGUUGGUUUUCCCUUGAAGAGGAAAGAGUGAUGCAGCAAAGUAGCGUAAGUAUUUCCCUCAGUUUUUGAGAACCAAGGUAUCAAUCCAGUAGGAGGUUACACGCAAGUCGCCUAGUACCUGCACAAACAAAUAAGAACCUUGCAACCAACGCGAUAAAGGGGUUGUCAAUCCCUUCACGGCCACUUGCAAAAGUGAGAUCUGAUAGAGAUAAUAAGAUAAAUAUUUUUGGUAUUUUUGUUGUAUAGAUUGAAAAGUAAAGAUUGCAAAGUAGUAAACGAGAUGUGAUAUAAAUAAAAGAGAUAUAAUAUGAUAGAAAAGAGACCCGGGGCCAUAGGUUUCACUAGUGGCUUCUCUCAAGAUAGCAUAUCUUACAGUGGGUGAACAAAUUACUGUCCAGCAAUUGAUAGAAAAGCGCAUAGUUAUGGGGAAUAUCUAGGCAUGAUCAUGUAUAUAGGCAUCACGUCCGUUACAAGUAGAUCGAAACGAUUCUGCAUCUACUACUAUUACUCCACACAUCGACCGCUAUCCAGCAUGCAUCUAGAGUAUUAAGUUCAUAAGAACAGAGUAACGCAUGAAGCAAGAUGACAUGAUGUAGAGGGAUAAACUCAAGCAAUAUGAUAUAAACCCCAUGUUUUUAUCCUCGAUGGCAACAAUACAAUACGUGCGUUGCUGCCCCUGCUGUCACUAGGAAAGGACACCGCAAGAUUGAACCCAAAGCUAAGCACUUCUCCCAUUGCAAGAAAGAUCAAUCUAGUAGGCCAAACCAAACUGAUAAUUCGAGGAGACUUGCAAAGAUAUCAAAUCAUACAUAUAAGAAUUCAGAGAAGAAUCAAAUAUUGUUCAUAGAUAAUCUUGAUCAUAAACCCACAAUUCAUCGGAUCUCGACAAACACACUGCAAAAAGAAUUACAUCGAAUAGAUCUCCAAGAGGAUCGAGGAGAACUUGGUAUUGAGAAUCAAAGAGAGAGAAGAAGCCAUCUAGCUAAUAACUAUGGACCCGAAGGUCGGUGGUAAACUACUCACACAUCAUUGGAGAAGCUAUGGUGUUGAUAUAGAAGCCCUCCGUGAUCGAUUCCCCCUCCGGAGGAGUGCCGGAAAAGGCCCCAAGAUGGGAUCUCACAGGUACAGAAGGUUACAGCAGUGGAAAUAGGGUUUCGUGGUGCUCUCGGAUGUUUUCGGGGUAUAUGAGUAUAUACAGGUGAAAGAAGUAGGUCGGUGGAGUCACGAGGGGCCCACGAGGGUGGGGGGCGCGCCUACCCCCCUGGGCACACCCUCCUACCUCAUGGCCACCUCGUUGCUUCCUUGACGUCCACUCCAAGUAUCCUGGAUUGUGUUUGUUCCAAAAACGAUUCUCCCGAAGGUUUCUUCUGUGUGGACUCCAUUUGAUAUUCCUUUUCUGCGAAACACUGAAAUAGGCAAAAAACAACAAUUUGCACUGGGCCUCCGGUUAAUAGGUUAGUCCCAAAAAUAAUUUAAAAGUGCAUAAUUAAGCCCAUCAAACAUCCAAAACAGAUAAUAUAAUAGCAUGGAACAAUAAAAAAUUAUAGAUACGUUGGAGACGUAUCAAGCAUCCCCAAGCUUAAUUCCUGUUCGUCCUCAAGUAGGUAAAUGAUAAAAACAGAAUUUUUGAUGUGGAAUGCUACCAAACAUAAUUUUCUAAGUAAUUCUCUUUAUUGUGGCAUGAAUGUUCAGAUUCGAAAGAUUCAAGACAAAAGUUUAAUAUUGACAUAAGAGUAAUAAUACUUCAAGCAUACUAACAAAGUAAUCAUGUCUUCUCAAAAUAACAUGGCCAAAGAAAGUUCAUUCCUACAAAAUCAUAUAGUUUGGCUAUGCUCCAUCUUCGUCACACAAAAUACUCAAAUCAUGCACAACCCCGGUUUCAGCCAAGCAAUUGUUUCACACUUUAAUUUUUUCAAACUUUUUCAACUUUCACGCAAUACAUGAGCGUGAGCCAUGGACAUAGCACUAUGGGUGGAAUAGAAUAUAAUGAUGGGGGUUGUGUGGAGAAGACAAAAAAGGAGAAAGUCUCACAUUGACGCGGCUAAUCAACAGGCUAGGGAGAUGCCCAUCAAUUGAUGCCAAUGCAAGGAGUAGGGAUUGCCAUGCAACGGAUGCACUAGAGCUAUAAAUGUAUGAAAGCUCAACAAAAGAAACUAAGUGGGUGUGCAUCCAACUUGCUUGCUCACUAAGACCUAGGGCAUUUGAGCAAGCCCAUUGUUGGAAUAUACAAGCCAAGUUCUAUAAUGAAAAAUUCCCACUAGUAUAUGAAAGUGACAAAACAAGAGACUCUCUAUCAUAAAGAUCAUGAUCCUACUUAGAAGCACAAGUGUGGAAAAAAGGAUAGUAGCAUUGUCCCUUUUAUUUUGGGCCUUUCUUUUUUUUCUCUUUGGCCUUUCUUUUUUUCUCUUUUUUUAUUUGGGACAAUGCUCUAUUAAUGAUGAUCAUCAAACUUCUAUUUAUUUACAACUCAAUGAUUACAACUCAAUACUAGAACAAAAUAUGACUCUAUAUGAGUGCCUCCGGCAGUGUACCGGGAUGGGCAAUGAAUCAAGAGUGACAUGUAUGAAAAAUUAUGCAUGGUGGCUUUGCCACAAAUACGAUGUCAACUACAUGAUCAUGCAAGGCAAUAUGACAAUGGUAAAGCGUGUCAUAAUAAAUGAAAUGGUGGAAAGUUGCAUGGCAAUAUAUCUUGGAAUGGAUAUGGAAAUGCCAUAAUAGGUAGGUAUGGUGGCUGUUUUGAGGAAGAUAUAAGGAGGUUUAUGUGUGAUAGAGCGUAUCAUAUCACGGGGUUUGGAUGCACCGGUGAAGUUUGCACCAACUCUGAAGGUGAGAAAGGGCAAUGCACGGUACCGAAGAGGCUAGCAAUGAUGGAAGGGUGAGAGUGCGUAUAAUCCAUGGACUCAACAUUAGUCAUAAUGAACUCACAUACUUAUUGCAGAAAUCUACAAGUCAGCAAAACAAAGUACUACAUGCAUGCCCCUAGGGGAAGGGUUGGUAGGAGUUAACCAUCGCGCGAUCCCGACCUCCACACAAAGGAUGACAAUCAAAGAAAUACCUCAUGCUUCAAAUUUAUCACACAACGGUUACCAUACGUGCAUGCUACGGGACUUGCAAACCUCAACACAAGUAUUUCUCAAAUUCACAACUACUCUACUAGCAUGACUCUAAUAUCACCAUCCUCAUAUCUCAAAACGAUCAUCAAGCAUCAAACUUCUCAUAGUAUUCAAUGCACUUUUUAUGAAAGUUUUUAUUAUACCCAUCUUGGAUGCCUAUCAUAUUAGGAAUAAUUUUAUAGCCAAAGCAAACUACCAUGCUAUUCUAAAGGACUCUCAAAAUAAUAUAAGUGAAGCAUGAGAGAUCAAUAAUUUCUACAAAAUAAAACCACCACCAUGCUCUAAAAGAUAUAAGUGAAGUACUAGAGCAAAAUUAUCUAGCUCAAAAGAUAUAAGUGAAGCACAUAGAGUAUUCUAAUAAAUUCGGAUUCAUGUGUGUCUCUCUCAAAAGGUGUGUACAGCAAGGAUGAUUGUGGUAAACUAAAAAGCAAAGACUCAAAUCAUACAAGACGCUCUAAGCAAAACACAAAUCAUGUGGUGAAUAAAAAUAUAGCCUCAAGUAAAGUUACUGAUAGAUGAAGACAAAAGAGGGGAUGCCUUCUGGGGCAUCCCCAAGCUUAGGCUUUUGGUUGUCCUUGAAUUUUACCUUGGGGUGCCUUGGGCAUCCCCAAGCUUAGGCUCUUGCCACUCCUUGUUCCAAAAUCCAUCAAAUCAUUACCGAAAAACUUGAAAACUUCACAACACAAAACUCAACAGAAAAUCUCGUGAGAUCCGUUAGUAUAAGAAAACAAACCACCACUUUAAGGUACUGUAAUGAACUCAUUCUUUAUUUAUAUUGGUGUUAAACCUACUGUAUUCCAACUUCUCUAUGGUUCAUACCCCCCGAUACUAGCCCUAGAUUCAUCAAAAUAAGCAAACAACACACGAAAAACAGAAUCUUUCAAAAACAGAACAGUCUGUAUAAAUCUGUAACUUUCGAAUACUUCUGGAACCCCAAAAAUUCUACCAAAUUAGGAAGUCCUGGGUAAUUUGUUUAUUAAUCUUCUGAAAAAAGAAUCAACUGAAAAGCACGUUUCUGUGAUUUAUGAAAACUAAUCUCGUGCGUGCAAAAGUUUCUGUUUUUCAGCAAGAUCAAAUUAACUAACACCGUAGGUUAUCCUAAAGGUUUUACUUGGCACAAACACUAAUUAAAACACAAAACCACAUCUAACCAGAGGCUAGAUGAAUUAUUUAUUACUAAACAGUAACAAAAAGCAAGGAACAAAAAUAAAAUUGGGUUGCCUCUCAACAAGCGCUAUCAUUUAACGCCCCUAGCUAGGCAUUGAUAAUUUCGAUGAUGCUCAAAUGAGAGAUAGCAAUUGAAACACGAAGAGAGCAUCAUGAAACACGUGACAAACACAUCUAAGUAUAACAUACUUCCUAUGCAUAGGCAUCUUAUAGGCAAACAAAUUAUCAUAGCAAGCGAAAACUAGCAUAUGCAAGGAAGCGGAAAGAAACAAUAGCAAUCUCAACAUAACGAGAGGUAAUUUAUUAUCAUGAAAAUUCCUACAACCAUAUUUUCCUCUCUCAUAAUAAUUACAUGUGGGAUCAUAAGCAAAUUCAAUAAAAUCGCUAUCACAUAACAUAUUCUCAACAUGAUCCACAUGCAUGCAAAGUUGACACUCUUCCAAAAUAGUGGGAUUAACAUUAACUAAAGUCAUGACCUCUCCAAACCCACUUUAUCAAAAAUUUCAUAAGAUUGAACAUUCUCCAAAUAUGUGGGAUCUAAAGUUGACACUCUUCCAAACCCACUUUCAAUAUUAUUGCAAAAAUUAUUAUCAAUCUCUUAUUCAUCAUGGGGCUUAAAUAAAUUUUCAAGAUCAUAAGAAGAAUGACCCAAUCAUGAUCAUUGCAACAAGUAGUAGACAUAGCAAAACUAGCAUCCCCAAGCUUAGGGUUUUGCAUAUUAUUAGCACAAUUGACAUCAAGAGAAUUUAUAGUAAAAUCAUUGCAAUCAUGCUUUUUAUUCAAAGAUCUAUCGUGAAUCACUUCAUAAAGCACUUCCUUACAAUUUUCAGAUUCACGAAUUUCAAGCAAAACCUCAUAAAGAUAGGCCAGUACACUCAACUCACUAGCAAUAGGUUCAUCGUAAUUGGAUCUUUUAAAAAGAUUAGCAAGUGGAUGAGGAUCCAUAAACUUUUAGCAAGCAAAGAUGCAAGCAAAAAGGAGGCACACGGUAACACAAGAUCGAACGGAAGGAGAGCGAAGAAAAGGCAAAGGUGAAGUGGGGGAGAGGAAAACGAGAGGCAAAUGGAAAAUAAUGUAAUGCGAGGGAUAAGAGUUUCUGAUGGGUACUUGGUAUGUCUUGAAUUGUGCGUAGAUCUCCCCGGCAACGGCACCAGAAAUCGGCGAGUUGUUCGGAGAUCAAAUCUUGACUUGACUUGGCGUAAGCCUCCCCGGCAACGGCGCCAGAAAUCCUUCUUGCUAGCUCUUGAGCAUGCGUUGGUUUUCCCUUGAAGAGGAAAGGGUGAUGCAGCAAAGUAGCGUAAGUAUUUCCCUUAGUUUUUGAGAACCAAGGUAUCAAUCCAGUAGGAGGUUACACGCAAGUCGCCUAGUACCUGCACAAACAAAUAAUAACCUUGCAACCAACGCGAUAAAGGGGUUGUCAAUCCCUUCACGGUCACUUGCAAAAGUGAGAUCUGAUAGGGAUAAUAAGAUAAAUAUUUUUGGUAUUUUUGUUGUAUAGAUUGAAAAGUAAAGAUUGCAAAAUAGUAAACGAGAUGCAAUAUAAAUAAAAGAGAUAUAAUAUGAUAGAAAAGAAACCCUGGGCCAUAGGUUCACUAGUGGCUUCUCUCAACAUAGCAUAUCUUACGGUGGGUGAACAAAUUACUGUCGAGCAAUUGAUAGAAAAGCGCAUAGUUAUGAGAAUAUCUAGGCAUGAUCAUGUAUAUAGGCAUCACGUCCGUGACAAGUAGAUCAAAACGAUUCUGCAUCUACUACUAUUACUCCACACAUCGACCGCUAUCCAUCAUGCAUUUAGAGUAUUAAGUUCAUAAGAACAGAGUAACGCAUUAAGCAAGAUGACAUGAUGUAGAGGGAUAAACUCAAGCAAUAUGAUAUAAACCCCAUCUUUUUAUCCUCGAUGCCAACAAUACAAUACGUGCCUUGCUGCCCCUGCUGUCACUGGGAAAGAACACCGCAAGAUUGAACCCAAAGCUAAGCACUUCUCCCAUUGCAAGAAAGAUCAAUCUAGUAGGCCAAACCAAACUGAUAAUUCGAAGAGACUUGCAAAGAUAUCAAAUCAUACAUAUAAGAAUUCAAAGAAGAAUCAAAUAUUGUUCAUAGAUAAUCUUGAUCAUAAACCCACAAUUCAUCGGAUCUCGACAAACACACCGCAAAAAGAAUUACAUCGAAUAGAUCUCCAAGAGGAUCGAGGAGAACUUGGUAUUGAGAAUCAAAGAGAGAGAAAAGAAGCCAUCUAGCUAUUAACUAUGGACCCGAAGGUCUGUGGUAAACUACUCACACAUCAUCGGAGAAGCUAUGGUGUUGAUGUAGAAGCCCUCUGUGAUCGAUUCCUGAUACAUCCAUUUUGCAUCAUGCUUUUAUAUCAAUAUUUAUUGCAUUAUGGGCUGUUAUUACACAUUAUGUCACCAUACUUAUGCCUAUUCUCUCUUAUUUUACAAGGUUUACAUAAGGAGGGAGAAUGCCGGCAGCUGGAAUUCUGGGCUGGAAAAGGAGCAAAUAUUAGAGACCUAUUCUGCGCAACUCCAAAAGUCCUGAAACUCCACGAAAGUUAUUUUUGGAAAUAAUAAAAAAUAUUGAGCGGAAGAAGUACGUCAGAGGGGGCCCCACCUGGCCAUGAGGGUGGGGGGCGCGCCCCCUGCCUCGUGGGCCCCCUGUUGGCCCUCCGGUGGCCAUCUUCUGCUAUAUGAUGUCUUUCGUCCAAAAAAAAUCAGAAGCAAGCUUUCGGGACGAGACUCCGCCGCCACGAGGCGGAACCUUGGCGGAACCAAUCUAGGGCUCCGGCAGAGCUGUUCUGCCGGGGACACUUCCCUCCGGGAGGGGGAAAUCAUCGCCAUCGUCAUCACCAACGCUCCUGUCAUCGGGAGAGGGAAAUCUCCAUCAACAUCUUCACGAGCACCAUCUCCUCUCAAAGCCCUAGUUCAUCUCUUGUAUCCAAUUCUUGUCUCUAAGUCCGGGAUUGGUACCUGUAGGUUGCUAGUAGUGUUGAUUACUCCUUGUAGUUGAUGCUAGUUGGUUUAUUUGGUGGAAGAUCAUAUGCUCUGAUCCUUUAUGCACAUUAAUACCCCUCUGAUUAUGAACAUGACUAUGCUUUGUGAGUAGUUACGUUUGUUCCUGAGGACAUGGGAGAAGUCUUGCUAUUAGUAGUCAUGUGAAUUUGGUAUUCGUUCGAUAUUUUGAUGAGAUGUAUGUUGUCUAUCCUCUAGUGGUGUUAUGUGAACGUCGACUACAUAACACUUCACCAUUGUUUGGGCCUAGAGGAAGGCAUUGGGAAGUAAUAAGUAGAUGAUGGGUUGCUAGAGUGACAGAAGCUUAAACCCUAGUUUAUGCGUUGCUUCGUAAGGGGUUGAUUUGGAUCCAUAUGUUUCAUGCUAUGGUUAGGUUUACCUUAAUACUUUUGUUGUAGUUGUGGAUGCUUGCAAUAGAGGUUAAUCAUAAGUGGGAUGCUUGUUCAAGUAAGAACAGCACCCAAGCACCGGUCCACCCACAUAUCAAAUUAUCAAAGUACCGAACGCGAAUCAUAUGAACGUGAUGAAAGCUAGCUUGACGAUAAUUCCCAUGUGUCCUCGGGAGCGCUUUUCUCUAUAUAAGAGUUUGUCCAGGCUUGUCCUUUGCUACAAAAAAGAUUGGGCCACCUUGCUGCACUUUAUUUACUUUUGUUAGUUGUUGCUCGUUACAAAUUAUCCUAACACAAAACUACCUGUUACCUAUUAUUUCAGUGCUUGCAGAGAAUACCUUGCUGAAAAUCGCUUAUCAUUUCCUUCUGCUCCUCGUUGGGUUCGACACUCUUACUUAUCGGAAGGACUACGAUAGAUCCCCUAUACUUGUGGGUCAUCAAUUCCCCCUCCAGCGGAGCGUCGGAAAAGGCCCCAAGAUGGGAUCUCACGGUUACAGAAGGUUGUGGCGGUGGAAAUAGGGUUUUGUGGUGCUCUCGGAUGUUUUCGGGGUAUAUGAGUAUAUAUAGGCGAAAGAAGUAGGUCGGCGGAGUCACGAGGGGCCCACGAGGGUGGGGGGCACGCCUACCCCCUUGGGCGCGCCCUCCUACCUCGUGGCCACCUCGUUGCUUCCUUGACGUCCACUCCAAGUCUCCUGGAUUGUGUUUGUUCGAAAAAUGAUUCUGCCGAAGGUUUCAUUCCGUUUGGACUCCGUUUGAUAUUCCUUUUCUGCGAAACACUGAAAUAGGCAAAAAAUAGCAAUUUGCACUGGGCCUCCGGUUAAUAGGUUAGUCCCAAAAAUAAUUUAAAAGUGCAUAAUAAAGCCCAUUAAACAUCCAAAACAGAUAAUAUAAUAGCAUGUAACAAUAAAAAAUUAUAGAUACGUUGGAGACGUAUCAAGCGGGCCAUCUUAAACGCCCAAGCACAGCGGAUUCAAGCGGACUCAUACCGGCUCUCAGUGGAUCAGAACGCCACAAAUGAAGUCCCGAGGAGAAAGCACCAGAGCCGUCUGCCCUUCGUCUAUGAUUCAAGGAACCUCUUCAAUACGCCUGGGGUAGGGGCCAGUAACCCACCAGGUUUAAAUCAGAUGACUGGAGCGCCAGGAGGUGGAACGCCGGUUCAGCCGCACGUGAUAGGUUCGCCGCAUAUGAAUAACAACCCGCCUCAGCAUGUGGUGACACCGCCGGGUCAUUACGCUACCCCUUUGGACAAUAUGAUUGCUGUAGCUAUGCGAUUGGCGGCUCCGCCAGUCGAGGGUGAGACUCCAACGGUGGUUGAAACCCGCAGGGCCAGGGAGCUUCUUCAAACAGCUUUGGUACAGUAGCAGGCCUACUCAUAUAGUCAUGACCGAAUUCAUUCGACCCCUCGUCCAAGCCGGAGCUACAGUAGGCACAUUGAUUCACCAGCAGUUUCGAGUACUGAGCGGCGUCGUAACCAACCUCAUGGUCACGACCCGGCGCGCAAUGGUGCCAAUGCAUAGGAUUUGGUGGAUCAGGGAAGAGCGCGCCGGGAGGCCGAGCUGGCGGCUCAUCAGCACGCGCCAGUUUACCCGACGGCUUCGGUUGAGGCAUGUGUAACUUCUAGAGCUUUCGGCGUGCCGUGUCUAACGACGGCUCUACGGAACGAGCGUUUGCCCAAGGACUUCAAAGGCCCUCGCAAGGUGCCCAAUUACACAGCAGAUCAGCCCCCUGAGGCUUGGGUGGAGAGUUAUGAGAUGGCUAUGGAGAUGCUGGAUGUUAGCGAGGCUACGUACGCUAAGUAUUUCACCAUGAUGCUGGAAGGGACGGCUCGUACCUGGUUGAAGGGGCUACCAGCUAACUCCAUCGGAUCAUGGGCAGAGCUGAAAGCCCGGUUUAUCCAGAAUUUCAAAGAUACAUGCAAGCAGCCCAUGUCGAUUGUGGAUUUGGUUUCUUGUGUUCAAGCUGAGGGCGAGUCAACAACCAGCUGGGUGCGCCGGGUCUCGACUAUCAUACAUUCUUCAGAUAACAUCAUUGUCGGUUCAGCGGUUCUAAUGUUGGAGAAAAAUUGCCGUUUCAUUCCACUCAAAUAGAAGCUUGGGCGGCUUAAGCGUCAUUGCAAUGACAUGGGGGAGCUUAUGGCGGCUCUUGUUAAGUAUGCCGACUCUGAUGGUACCAAGGACACCGACUCUGAAGAUGAAAGAUCGGGAAAGGGAAAGAAGAGUAGCGGCUUGAAGGGACAGCAGUACAACCCUGCCAGUCAGGGUGGCAAUGGUAAGCGCAAGGCUGAUGAUUUUGUGGCUAACACCGGUGCACGCAAUUAUAACCAGCGUCGUAAGGGACCACCGGUUCAAAGGACAGGGUUUGACCUUGAUGCAAUGUUAAGUCAGCCGUGUUAGGGACUCCAUCCAGCGCCACCAUGGCCCGAACGACGGAUCAGGGUCCGGUUCUCAUGGUCCGGGUCAAGGAGGCGGCGGUUCAAAUUCCGGGUUUCAAGGCCACGGUAACCAGGGUGGCUACAACCAGCAGAAUAAUCAGGGAAAUCAGCAGCAGCAGCAGUCUGGUUAUCAGAGCAACCCGAAGCAGUUGAAUAGUGGACAGUACCACGUCUUCACCACUAGCUUAUGUAAGCGGGAUCAGAAGCUUCAUAAGAGGCCAGUCAAUGCUGUUGAACCGGCAGUACCACGUUACUUGUGGUGGUCUGAGCAGCCUAUUGUGUGGAGUCGUGAGGAUCACCCGCCCCGGGUUGAUAAUCCGGGUCACCUGGCUCUGGUGGUGGCGCCUCAGGUUGGGGGCUAUAAGUUUACUAAGGUACUCAUGGAUGGAGGCAGCAACAUCAACAUACUUUACUAUGAGACCUUCCGUCGCAUGGGAUUGACUGACAAAAAUCUUAAUACAUCAAACACUGUUUUCCAUGGUGUGGUGCCGGGUAAGUCAGCCUACCCAGUGGGUAAGAUAUCUUUGGAGGUUGCCUUUGGAGAUGAGCAUGAUUCCAGAUCUGAGACUCUAACCUUUGAAGUGGUCAAGAUCAAGAGCCCUUAUCAUGCUCUGUUUGGGCGGCCGGCUUAUGCUAAGUUCAUGGCGAGGCCUUGUUAUGUUUACUUGCAGCUUAAGAUGCCAGGUUACAAGGGCACCAUCACCGUGCAUGGGAGUCGAAAGGUGGCCUUGGAAUAUGAAGAAGGUGAUGUUGCUUAUGCUGAAUCUGUUUGUGCAACGGAGGAGCUGAAAUUUUAUAAGGAUAACGUUGACCCGGCAGACAUGACAUCCUUGAAAAAGCCAACCACAGAGCAUGAUCCUUCGUUAAAGUUUAAGUCGGCAGAUGAGACUAAAUUGGUUGACUUUGUUCCUGGCAACUCAUCUAAGCAGUUCAACAUCAGUGCUAAUUUGGAUCUGAAAUAGGAAAGCGCGCUCAUUGGGUUCAUCCUUGAGAACUGGGACAUCUUCGCAUGGAAGACUUCAGACAUGCCAGGUGUACCGAGGGAACUCGCUGAGCACACUCUUAAUAUUGAUCCGAAAUUUAAGCCGGUCAGGCAAUUCCUUCAUCGUUUUAACGAUGAGAGGCAGAAGGCCAUUGGUGAAGAAGUGGCCCAGCUCUUGGCGGCUGGGUUCAUUGUUGAAGUUUUUCAUCCUGAGUGGUUGGCUAACCCAGUGUUGGUACUCAAGAAGAACGGCACUUGGCGAAUGUGUGUGGAUUACACAGACUUAAAUAAGGCUUGUCCGUCUAAUCCGUCUGCUCUCCCCCGUAUUGAUCAAAUCAUUGAUGCUACGACGGGUUGUGAGCGUCUGGGUUUUUGGGAUGCUUAUUCUGGUUAUCAUCAGAUCAAAAUGGCAGUUAAGGACCAGGAGAAGACGGCUUUCAUUACUCUGUUUGGAGCCUUCUGUUAUGUGUCUAUGCCUUUUGGGCUCAAGAGUGCCCAGGCGACUUACCAGCGGUGUGUGAAAUAUUGCCUUCAUAAUCAGAUUGGGCGUAAUGUUCAUGCUUAUGUAGAUGACAUCGUGGUGAAGUCCAGAAUGAAAGAGACCUUGAUUAAUGAUUUAAAGGAGACGUUUGACAAUCUCCGGGUCUACAAAAUGAUGCUUAACCCGGCCAAGUGUGUUUUUGGUGUACCAGCAGGCAAGCUCUUAGGUUUUCUGGUUUCUAACAGAGGCAUUGAAGCUAACCCGGAGAAGAUUAAGGCUAUUACCUCUCUGGCGAAGCCGAAGUGUGUCAAUGACGUCCAACGCUUGGCGGGUCGAAUUGCAGCUUUGAGCCGGUUCAUAAGCCGCCUCGGAGAAAAGGCCAUCCCUCUGUAUCAGAUGAUGAAGAAAACAGAUGACUUCGUUUGGAGUGAUGCUGCUAAUGAGGCGUUCGAGGCACUUACGAAGCAGCUGGCUGAGCCGCCGGUUCUUGCUGCUCCUAUUGAUAAAGAGCCUCUGUUGUUAUAUGUGGCUGCCAAUGGCCGGGUUGCCAGUGUAGCUAUUGUGGUGGAAAGGAAAGAGGCAGGCAAGGAGUACCCGGUUCAAUGGCCGGUUUACUACAUCAGUGAGGUACUUAUUGAGUCCAAGCAGAGGUAUCCGCACUGGCAGAAGCUUGUGUAUGGGGUCUUCAUGGCAAGUCGGAAGCUUAAGCAAUAUUUUCAGGGUCACCCCAUUACUGUGGUUAGCUCUGUUCCUUUGGGAGAUAUCAUCCAAAAUAGAGAAGCCACAGGAUGAGUCGCCAAGUGGGCCAUUGAGCUUGGACCCCAUGAUCUGAAAUAUGUGCCUCGCACGGCCAUCAAGUCACAGGCAGUCGUGGAUUUUAUCAAUGACUGGACAGAAUUGCAGGCGCCUGAAGAAAAACCGAAUAACACAUACUGGACUAUUCACUUUGAUGGAUCCAGGCAGUUGGAGCGCUCGGGGGCUGGAGUUGUAUUGACAUCCCCACGAGGUGAUAAAUUUUCUUAUGUUCUCCGGUUAAUGUUCCCUUGUACUAACAAUGCAGCUGAGUAUGAGGCCUUGCUCCAUGGUCUUCGGAUGGCUAAAGAGAUGAAUUUAAGCCGGGUGAGGUGCUUUGGCGAUUCAGAUCUGGUGGCUCAGCAAGUUUCUGGUACAUGGGAUUCUAAGGAUCCACUCAUGGCGGCUUAUCGCCGUGAGGUUGAUGCUAUUGCAGGUCAUUUCAAGGGUUAUCAAGUUGAGCAUAUUGAUCGCAGGAAGAACGAGGUGGCUGAUACUUUAAGCCGGCUAGGGUCUCAGCGAAAGCCGGUGCCACCUAACACGUUUCUGGAUAUUUUGCUUAACCCUUCUGUCAAAUUACCUUCAGAAGAAGAUCUUGCUGUCCCUGACCCAGAAGCACAAUUGGUGGCGGCUCUUCAUGCUAUUCCUGAUUGGACAGUUCCGUAUUUGGCUUACAUGACCCGAGGUGAGUUGCCAGAGGAUGAGAUUUUGGCCAGACUGAUAACCCGGCGGUCUAAGACAAUGUCAAUUGUCAAUGGGGAGUUGCACCAUCGCAGUGUCACAGGGGCGUUUCAGCGCUGCGUCUCUCCUGAAGAAGGCUGUGAGAUUCUACGGGAGAUUCAUGAAGGAGAUUGUGGUCAUCAUGAUGGCUCUAAAUCUCUUGUAGCCAAGGCUUUUCGUCAUAGUUUUUAUUGGUUGAUGGCUCAUGCUGAUGCAGAGGAUUUGGUCAGCAAGUGUGACGGUUGUCAGAAGUUUUCACGACGAGCUCAUGUUCCGGCUCAAGAAUUGAGGAUGAUUAAAAUUACUUGGCCGCGACUUGGGGGCUUGAUAUGGUUGGGCCUUUCAAGAGGUCCAAGGAUAAGAAAACCCACCUUUUGGUGGCAGUUGAUAAGUUUACCAAGUGGGUUGAAGCAGAGCCGGUUAGUAAGUGUGAUGCAACAACGACGGUUCAAUUCAUCAAGAAGGUGAUCUUUCGUUUUGGCUUUUGAUACAUCUCCAUCGUAUCUACUUUUCCAAACACUUUUGCCCUUGUUUUGGACUCUAACUUGUAUGAUUUGAAUGGAACUAACCCGGACUGACGUUGUUUUCAGCAGAAUUGCCAUGGUGCUAUUUUUGUGCAGAAAUAAAAGUUCUCGAAAUGACCUGAAACUUCACGGGGAAUAUUUUUGGAAUUUAUAAAAAAUACUGGCGAAAGAAUCAAGACUAGGGGGCCCACACCUUGUCCACGAGGGUGGGGGCGCGCCUGCCCCCCUGGGCGCGCCCCCUGUCUCGUGGGCCCCCUCCACCGACCUCAACUCUAAUUCUAUAUAUUCACGUUCGGGGAGAAAAAAAAUCAGAGAGAAAGAUUCAUCGCGUUUUACGAUACGGAGCUGCCGCCAAGCCCUAAUCUCUCUCGGGAGGGCUGAUUUGGAGUCCGUUCGGGGCUCCGGAGAGGGGAAUCCGUCGCCGUCGUCAUCAUCAACCAUCCUCCACCACCAAUUUCAUGAUGAUCACCGCCGUGCUUGAGUAAUUCUAUCGUAGGCUUGCUGGACGGUGAUGGGUUGGAUGAGAUUUAUCAUGUAAUCGAGUUAGUUUUGUUAGGGUUUGAUCCCUAGUAUCCACUAUGUUCUGAGAUUGAUGUUGCUAUGACUUUGCUAUGCUUAAUGCUUGUCACUAGGGCCCGAGUGCCAUGAUUUCAGAUCUGAACCUAUUAUUUUUUCAUGAAUAAAUGUGAGUUCUCGAUCCUAUCUUGCAAGUCAAUAGUUACCUACUAUGUGUUAUGAUCCGGCAACCCCGAAGUGACAAUAAUCGGGACCACUCCCGGUGAUGACCGUAGUUUGAGGAGUUCAUGUAUUCACUAAGUGUUGAUGCUUUGGUCCGGUACUCUAUUAAAAAAGGCAUUAAUAUCCCUUAGUUUCCAAUAGGACCCCGCUGCCACGGGAGGGUAGGACAAAAGAUGUCAUGCAAGUUCUUUUCCAUAAGCACGUAUGACUAUAUUCGGAAUACAUGCCUACAUUAUAUUAAUGAAUUGGAGCUAGUUCUGUGUCACCCUAUGUUAUAACUGUUGCAUGAAGAAUCGCAUCCGACAUAAUUAUCCAUCAUUGAUCCAAUGCCUAUGAGCUUUUCACAUAUUGAUCUUUGCUUAGUUACUUUACCGUUGUCACUGUUACAAUUACUACCAAACUGCUACUGUUACCUUUGCCACUGUUACCGUUACUUCCAUACUACUUUGCUACUAAAUACUUUGCUGCAGAUAAUAAGUUAUCCAGGUGUGGUUGAAUUGACAACUCAACUGCUUAUACUUGAGAAUAUUAUUUGGCUCCCCUUGUGUAGAAUCAAUAAAUUUGGGUUGACUCUACCCUCGAAAACUGUUGCGAUCCCCUAUACUUGUGGGUUAUCAAGACUAUUUUCUAGCACCGUUGCCGCGGAGCAUAGCUCUAUUCUUUGAGUCACUUGGGAUUUAUAUCUGCUGGUCACUAUGAGGAACUUGAAAGAUGAGAAAACCAAGAUUUAUCCCUCAACUACGAGGGGAAGUAAGGAACUGCCAUCUAGCUCUGCACUUGAUUCACCUUCUGUUUUGAGUAAACUUGCGACACCUAAACCUGCUUCUGCUAUUAAUUCUGAUAUGUCGCAUGUUAUUGAUGAUGCCACUUCUGCUUUGCAUGAUAUUUAUGAUGAAACUACUUCUAUGCUUGAUAAUACUGUGCCACUAGGUGAAUUUCUUGAUGAACAACUUGCUAGGGCUAGAGAGAAUGAAAUUAUUGAAACUAAUAAUAUUGAUGAAAGUGAUGAUGAAGAUUCUCCCCCCUAGAUAUGAAUUGCAUGUUGUGCCUGAGGGUUAUGUUAUGGAUGAAGAAACUGCUAGAGACUUUCUUGCUUGCAAUGAUAGAUAUGAUCUUAAGAAAUUAUUAGCUAAGCUGAAAGAAAAGUCUUUGAAUGCUAGAAUGAAAUAUGACCCUGCUUUUGCUACUUCACCUAUCUGUAUCACUGAUAAGGAUUAUGAUUUCUCUGCUAAACAAGAAAACUUCAAUGCUUAUGUUGGUAGACAAUUGAAACGUAAUGCUUAUAUGAUUGAGCACUUGAGUGAUUAUAUGUCCAGAGUUAAAGGUGAACUUAAAGUUAUUAGUAAACAUGCUUCUAUGGUUACCACUCAAGUAGAGUGCUUAAAGCUCAAAAUGAUUUGCUCAAUGAAUUAAAUAAUAAGAAAAAUGAUAAUGCUGUUAGAGUUAUGACUAGAGGGGGUAAAAUGACUCAGGAACCUUUGUAUCCCGAGGGCCACCCUAAGAGAAUUGAGCAAGAUUCUCAGAGAACUAAUGUUGAUGCACCUAGUCCUUUUAAGAGGAAGAAAAAGAAAAAUGAUAGGACUUUGCAUGCUGCUAGUGAACCUGUUGUUGAUACACUUGAGAAUCCCAAUGAUAUUUCUAUUUCUGAUGCUGAAACACAAUCUGGUGAUGAACAUGAACCCAGUGAUAAUGUUAAUGAUGAUGUUCAUGUUGAUGCUCAACCUAGCAAUUACAAUGACGUAGAGAUUGAACCUACAGUUGAUCUUGAUAACCCACAAUCAAAGAAUCAAUGUUAUGAUAAGAGAGACUUUCUCGCUAGGAAGCAUGGUAAGGAAAGAGAACCAUGGGUUUAGAAACCCAUGCCUUUUCCUCCUAAACCAUCCAAGAAAAAGGAUGAUGAGUAUUUUGAGCGCUUUGCUGAAAUGAUUAGACCUAUCUUUUUGCGUAUGCGUUUGACUGAUAUGCUUAAAAUGAAUCCUUAUGCUAAGUAUAUGAAGGAAAUUGUUACAAAUAAAAGAAAGAUACUGGAAGCUGAAAUUUCCACCAUGCUUGCUAAUUAUAGUUUUAAGGGUGGAAUACCUAAGAAACUAGGAGAUCGAGGAGUACCAACUAUACCAUGCUCCAUUAAAAGAAACUAUGUUAAAACUACGUUAUGUGAUCUUGGAGUCGGUGUUAGUGUUAUGCCUCUCUCUUUAUAUCGUAGACUUGAUUUGAAUAAGUUGACACCUACUAAAAUAUCCUUCCAAAUGGCCGAUAAAUCAAUCGCUAUACCUGUCGGUAUUUGUGAGGAUGUGCCUGUUGUGGUUCCAAACGUUACUAUCUUAACAAACUUUGUUAUACUUGAUAUUCCCGAGGACGAUAGUAUGUCGAUUAUCCUGUUGGAGAUCGUUGCAGAAUUUUAAAAUUUUCUACGCAUCACCAAGAUCCAUCUAUGGAGUUUACUAGCAACGAGAGGGAAGGAGUGCAUCUACAUACCCUUGUAGAUCGCGAGCGGAAGCGUUCAAGUGAACGGGGUUGAUGGAGUCGUACUCGUCGUGAUCCAAAUCACCGAUGACCGAGCGCCGAACGGACGGCACCUCCGCGUUCAACACACGUACGGAGCAGCGACGUCUCCUCCUUCUUGAUCCAGCAAGGGGAAAGGAGAGGUUGAUGGAGAUCCAGCAGCACGACGGCGUGGUGGUGGAAGUAGCGGGGAUCCCGGCAGGGCUUCGCCAAGCGCAAGCGGGAGGGAGAGGUGUCACGGGAGGGAGAGGGAGGCGCCAGGGGCUGUGGUGCGGCUGCCCUCCCUCCCCCNNNNNNNNNNNNNNNNNNNNNNNNNNNNNNNNNNNNNNNNNNNNNNNNNNNNNNNNNNNNNNNNNNNNNNNNNNNNNNNNNNNNNNNNNNNNNNNNNNNNNNNNNNNNNNNNNNNNNNNNNNNNNNNNNNNNNNNNNNNNNNNNNNNNNNNNNNNNNNNNNNNNNNNNNNNNNNNNNNNNNNNNNNNNNNNNNNUGGAGAUCCCAUCUGAGGGGGGGGGGGGGUGGCGGCCAAGGGGGUGGCUUGCCCCCCAAGCCAAGUGGGGCGCCCCCACCCCUAGAGUUUCCAACCCUAGGCGCAGGGGAGGCCCAAGGGGGGCGCACCAGACCACCAGUGGCUGGUUCCCCUCCCCACUUCAGCCCAUGGGGCCCUCCGGGAUAGGUGGCCCCACCCGGUGGACCCCCGAGACCCUUCCGGUGGUCCCGGUACAAUACCGAUAACCCCCGAAACAUUCCCGGUGGCCGAAACUAGACUUCCUAUAUAUAAUUCUUCACCUCCGGACCAUUUCGGAACUCCUCGUGACGUCCGCGAUCUCAUACGGGACUCCAAACAACUUUCGGGUUACCGCAUACUAAUAUCUCUACAACCCUAGCGUCACCGAACCUUAAGUGUGUAGACCCUACGGGUUCGGGAGACAUGCAGACAUGACCGAGACGCCUCUUCGGUCAAUAACCAACAGCGGGAUCUGGAUACCCAUGUUGGCUCCCACAUGUUCCACGAUGAUCUCAUCGGAUGAACCACGAUGUCGAGGAUUCAAUCAAUCCCGUAUACAAUUCCCUUUGUCAAUCGGUACGUUACUUGCCCGAGAUUCGAUCGUCGGUAUCCCAAUACCUUGUUCAAUCUCGUUACCGGCAAGUCACUUUACUCGUACCGUAAUGCAUGAUCCCGUGACCAGACACUUGGUCACAUUGAGCUCAUCACGAUGAUGCAUUACCGAGUGGGCCCAGAGAUACCUCUCCGUCAUACGGAGUGACAAAUCCCAGUCUCGAUCCGUGCCAACCCAAGAGACACUUUCGGAGAUACCCGUAGUGCACCUUUAUAGUCACCCAGUUACGUUGUGACGUUUGGUACACCCAAAGCACUCCUACGGCAUCCGGGAGUUGCACAAUCUCAUGGUCUAAGGAAAUGAUACUUGACAUUGGAAAAGCUCUAGCAAACAAACUACACGAUCUUUUGUGCUAUGCUUAGGAUUGGGUCUUGUCCAUCACAUCAUUCUCCUAAUGAUGUGAUCCCGUUAUCAAUGACAUCCAAUGUCCAUAGUCAGGAAACCAUGACUAUCUGUUGAUCAAUGAGCCAGUCAACUAGAGGCUCACUAGGGACAUGUUGUGGUCUAUGUGUUCACACAUGUAUUACGAUUUCCGGAUAACACAAUUAUAGCAUGAACAAUAGACAAUUAUCAUGAACAAGGAAAUAUAAUAAUAACCAUUUUAUUAUUGCCUCUAGGGCAUAUUUCCAACAGUCUCCCACUUGCACUAGAGUCAAUAAUAUAGUUACAUUGUGAUGAAUCGAACACCCAUAGAGUUCUAGUGUUGAUCAUGUUUUGCUCUAGGGAGAGGUUUAGUCAAUGGAUCUGCUACAUUCAGGUCCGUAUGUACUUUACAAAUAUCUAUGUCUCCAUUCUGAACACUUUCACGAAUGGAGUUGAAGCGACGCUUGAUAUGCCUGGUCUUCCUGUGAAACCUGGGCUCCUUGGCAAGGGCAAUGGCUCCAGUGUUGUCACAGAAGAGAGUCAUCGGGCCCGACGCAUUGGGAAUCACCCCUAGGUCGGUAAUGAACUCCUUUAUCCAGACUCCUUCCUGUGCUGCCUCUGAGGCCGCCAUGUACUCCGCUUCACAAGUAGAUCCCGCCACGACGCUUUGCUUGCAACUGCACCAGCUUACUGCCCCUCCAUUCAAAAUAUACACGUAUCCGGUUUGUGACUUAUAGUCAUCCAGAUCUGUGUCGAAGCUAGCGUCGACGUAACCCUUUACGACGAGCUCUUCGUCACCUCCAUAAACGAGAAACAUAUCCUUAGUCCUUUUCAGGUACUUCAGGAUAUUCUUGACCGCUGUCCAGUGUUCCAUGCCGGGAUUACUUUGGUACCUUCCUACCAAACUUACGGCAAGGUUUACAUCAGGUCUGGUACACAGCAUGGCAUACAUAAUAGACCCUAUGGCCGAGGCAUAGGGGAUGACACUCAUCUUUUCUCUAUCUUCUGCCGUGGUCGGGCAUUGAGCCGUGCUCAAUUGCACGCCUUGCAAUACAGGCAAGAACCCCUUCUUGGACUGAUCCAUAUUGAACUUCUUCAAUAUCUUGUCAAGGUACGUACUCUGUGAAAGACCAAUGAGGCGUCUUGAUCUAUCUCUAUAGAUCCCGAUGCCUAAUAUGUAAGCAGCUUCUCCAAGGUCCUUCAUUGAAAAACACUUAUUCAAAUAGGCCUUUAUACUUUCCAAGAAUUAUAUAUCAUUUCCCAUCAAUAGUAUGUCAUCCACAUAUAAUAAGAGAAAUGCUACAGAGCUCCCACUCACUUUCUUGUAAACACAGGCUUCUCCAUAAGUCUGUGUAAACCCAUACGCUUUGAUCAUCUCAUCAAAUCGAAUGUUCCAACUCCGAGAUGCUUGCACCAGCCCAUAGAUGGAGCGCUGGAGCUUGCAUACCUUGUUAGCAUUCUUAGGAUCGACAAAACCUUCCGGCUGCAUCAUAUACAAUUCUUCCUUAAGAAAGCCGUUAGGGAAUGCCGUUUUGACGUCCAUCUGCCAUAUCUCAUAAUCAUAGUAUGCGGCAAUUGCUAACAUGAUUCGGACGGACUUCAGCUUCGCUACGGGUGAGAAAGUCUCAUCGUAGUCAACCCCUUGAACUUGUCGAUAACCCUUAGCGACAAGUCGAGCCUUAUAGAUGGUCACAUUACCAUCCGCGUCUGUCUUCUUCUUAAAGAUCCAUUUAUUUUCUAUGGCUCGCGGAUCAUCGGGCAAGUCAGUCAAAGUCCAUACUUCAUUUUCAUACAUGGAUCCUAUCUCGGAUUGCAUGGCUUCAAGCCAUUUGUUGGAAUCCGGGCCCGCCAUUGCUUCUUCAUAGUUCGAAGGUUCACCGUUGUCUAACAACAUGAUUUCCAGGACAGGGUUGCCGUACCACUAUGGUGCAGAACAUGUCCUUGUGGACCUAUGAAGUUCAGCAGUAACUUGAUCCGAAGCUUCAUGAUCAUCAUCAUUAACUUCCUCCCCAGGCGGUGUAGGCACCACAGGAACAUCUUCCCGCGCUAUGCUACUUUCCGGUUCGGAAGGGCUGACUAUCACCUCAUCAAGUUCCACUUUCCUCCCACUCAAUUCUUUCGAGCGAAACUCUUUCUCCAGAAAGGACCCGUUCUUGGCAACAAAGAUCAUGCCUUCGGAUCUGAGGUAGAAGGUAUACCCAAUAGUUUCCUUGGGGUAUCCUAUGAAGACGCAUUUCUCCGACUUGGGUUCGAGCUUUUCAGGUUGAAGGUUCUUGACAUACGCAUCGCAUCCCCAAACUUUUAGAAACGAUAGCUUAGGUUUCUUCCCAAACCAUAAUUCAUAUGGUGUCGUCUCAACGGAUUUCGACGGAGCCCUAUUUAAAGUGAGUGCGGCAGUCUCUAAAGCAUAGCCCCAAAAUGAGAGCGGUAGAUCCGUAAGAGACAUCAUAGAUCGCACCAUAUCCAAUAGAGUGCGAUUACGACGUUCGGACACACCAUUUCGCUGAGGUGUUCCAGGCGGCGUGAGUUGUGAAACGAUUCCACAUUUCCUUAAGUGUGUGCCAAAUUCGUGACUCAAAUAUUCUCCUCCACGAUCUGAUCGUAAGAACUUUAUUUUCCUGUCACGUUGAUUCUCAACCUCACUCUGAAAUUCCUUGAACUUUUCAAAGUUCUCAGACUUGUGUUUCAUUAGGUAGACAUACCCAUAUCUACUUAAGUCAUCAGUGAGAGUGAGAACAUAACGAUAGCCACCGCGAGCCUCAACACUCAUUGGACCGCACACAUCGGUUUGUAUGAUUUCCAAUAAGUUGGUUGCUCGCUCUAUUGUUCCGGAGAACAGAGUCUUGGUCAUCUUACCCAUGAGGCAUGGUUCGCACGUGUCAAAUGAUUCGUAAUCAAGAGACUCCAAAAGUCCAUCUGCAUGGAGCUUCUUCAUGCGCUUGACACCAAUGUGACCAAGGCGGCAGUGCCACAAGUAUGUGGGACUAUCAUGAUCAACUUUACAUCUUUUGGUAUUCACACUAUGAAUAUGUGUAACAUCACGUUCGAGAUUCAUUAAGAAUAAACCAUUGACCAGCGGGGCAUGACCAUAAAACAUAUCUCUCAUAUAAAUAGAACAACCAUUAUUCUCGGAUUUAAAUGAGUAGCCAUCUCGCAUUAAACGAGAUCUAGAUACAAUGUUCAUGCUCAAAGCUGGCACUAAAUAACAAUUAUUGAGGUUUAAAACUAAUCCCGUAGGUAAAUGCAGAGGUAGUGUGCCGACGGCGAUCACAUCGACCUUGGAACCAUUCCCGACGCGCAUCGUCACCUCGUCCUUCGCCAGUCUCCGCUUAUUCCGCAGCUCCUGUUUUGAGUUACAAAUAUGAGCAACCGCAUCGGUAUCAAAUACCCAGGAGCUACUACGAGUACUGGUAAGGUACACAUCAAUUACAUGUAUAUCACAUAUACCUUUGGUGUUGCCGGCCUUCUUGUCCGCUAAGUAUUUGGGGCAGUUCCGCUUCCAGUGACCACUUCCCUUGCAAUAAAAGCACUCAGUCUCAGGCUUGGGCCCAUUCUUUGACUUCUUCCCGGCAACUGGCUUACCGGGCGCGGCAACUCCCUUGCCGUCCUUCUUGAAGUUCUUCUUACCCUUGCCUUUCUUGAACUUAGUGGUUUUAUUCACCAUCAACACUUGAUGUUCCUUUUUGAUCUCCACCUCCGCUGAUUUCAGCAUUGAAUAUACCUCAGGAAUGGUCUUUUCCAUCCCCUGCAUAUUGAAGUUCAUCACAAAGCUCUUGUAGCUUGGUGGAAGCAACUGAAGGAUUCUGUCAAUGACCGCGUCAUCUGGGAGAUUAACUCCCAGCUGAGACAAGCGGUUGUGUAACCCAGACAUUUUGAGUAUGUGCUCACUGACAGAACUAUUUUCCUCCAUUUUACAACUGAAGAACUUGUCGGAGACUUCAUAUCUCUCGACUCGGGCAUGAGCUUGGAAAACCAUUUUCAGCUCUUCGAACAUCUCAUAUGCUCCAUGUUUCUCAAAACGCUUUUGGAGCCCCGGUUCUAAGUUGUAAAGCAUGCCGCACUGAACGAGGGAGUAAUCAUCAGCACGUGAUUGCCAAGCGUUCAUAACGUCUUGGUUCUCUGGGAUGGGUGCUUCACCUAGCGGUGCUUCUAGGACAUAAUCUUUCUUGGCAGCUAUGAGGAUGAUCCUCAGGUUCCGGACCCAGUCCAUAUAGUUGCUGCCAUCAUCUUUCAGCUUGGUUUUCUCUAGGAAGGCGUUCAAGUUGAGGGCAACGUGGGCCAUUUGAUCUACAAGACAUAUUGUAAAGAUUUUAGACUAAGUUCAUGAUAAUUAAGUUCAUCUAAUCAAAUUAUUCAAUGAACUCCCACUCAGAUAGACAUCCCUCUAGUCAUCUAAGUGAAACAUGAUCCGAGUUAACUAGGACGUGUCCGAUCAUCACGUGAGACGGACUAGUCAAGAUAGGUGAACAUCUUCAUGUUGAUCGUAUCUUCUAUACGACUCAUGCUCGACCUUUCGGUCUUCCAUGUUCCGAGGCCAUGUCUGUACAUGCUAGGCUCGUCAAGUCAACCUAAGUGUAUUGCGUGUGUUCCGAGGCCAUGUCAGUACAUGCUAGGCUCGUCAACACCCGUUGUAUGCGAACAUUAGAAUCUAUCACACCCGAUCAUCACGUGGUGCUUCGAAACAACGAACCUUCGCAACGGUGCACAGUUAGGGGGAACACUCUCUUGAAAUUAUUAUAAGGGAUCAUCUUACUUACUACCGUCGUACUAAGCAAAUAAGAUGUAAAACAUGAUAAACAUCACAUGCAAUCAAAUAGUGACAUGAUAUGGCCAAUAUCAUUUUGCUCCUUUGAUCUCCAUCUUCGGGGCGCCAUGAUCAUCUUCGUCACCGGCAUGACACCAUGAUCUCCAUCAUCAUGAUCUCCAUCAUCGUGUCUUCAUUAAGUUGUCACGCCAACGAUUACUUCUACUUCUAUGGCUAACGUGUUUAGCAAUAAAGUAAAGUAAUUUACAUGGCGUUAUUCAAUGACACGCAGGUCAUACAAAAAAUAAAAACAACUCCUAUGGCUCCUGCCGUUUGUCAUACUCAUCGACAUGCAAGUUGUGAUUCCUAUUACAAGAACAUGAUCAAUCUCAUACAUCACAUAUAUCUCAUUCAUCACAUCCUUUUGGCCAUAUCACAUCACAAGGCACAUGCUGCAAAAACAAGUUAGACGGCCUCUAAUUGUUGUUGCAAGUUUUUACGUGGCUUCUAUAGGUUUCUAGCAAGAACGUUUCUUACCUACGUAAAACCACAACGUGAUAUGCCAAUUUCUAUUUACCCUUCAUAAGGACCCUUUUCAUCGAAUCCGUUCCGACUAAAGUGGGAGAGACAGACACCCCCUAGCCACCUUAUGCAACUAGUGCAUGUCAGUCGGUGGAACCUGUCUCACGUAAGCGUACGUGUAAGGUCGGUCCGGGCCGCUUCAUCGCACAAUACCGCCAAAACAAGAUAAGACUAGUAGUGGCAAGAAAAAUUGACAACAUCUACGCCCACAACUGCUUUGUGUUCUACUCGUGCAUAGUAACGACGCAUAGGCCUGGCUCAUGAUGCCACUGUUGGAGAUCAUUGCAGAAUUUUAAAAUUUUCUACGCAUCACCAAGAUCCAUCUAUGGUGUUUACUAGCAACGAGAGGGAAGGAGUGCAUCUACAUACCCUUGUAGAUCGCGAGCGGAAGCGUUCAAGUGAACGGGGUUGAUGGAGUCGUACUCGUCGUGAUCCAAAUCACCGAUGACCGAGCGCCGAACGGACGGCACCUCCGCGUUCAACACACGUACGGAGCAGCGACGUCUCCUCCUUCUUGAUCCAGCAAGGGGAAAGGAGAGGUUGAUGGAGAUCCAGCAGCACGACAGCGUGGUGGUGGAAGUAGCGGGGAUCCCGGCAGGGCUUCGCCAAGCGCAAGCGGGAGGGAGAGGUGUCACGGGAGGGAGAGGGAGGCGCCAGGGGCUAGGGUACUGCUUCCCUCCCUCCCCCACUAUAUAUAGGGGUCCUGGGGGGGGGGGCGCCGGCCCCCUGGAGAUCCCAUCUGAGGGGGGGCGGCGGCCAAGGGGGUGGCUUGCCCCCCAAGCCAAGUGGGGCGCCCCCCACCCCCAGGGUUUCCAACCCUAGGCACAGGGGAGGCCCAAGGGGGGCGCACCAGCCCACCAGUGGCUGGUUCCCCUCCCCACUUCAGCCCAUGGGGCCCUCCGGGAUACGUGGCCCCACCCGAUGGACCCCCGGGACCCUUCCGGUGGUCCCGGUACAAUACCGAUAACCCCCGAUACUUUCCCGGUGGCCGAAACUAGACUUCCUAUAUAUAAUUCUUCACCUCCGGACCAUUCCGGAACUCCUCGUGACGUCCGGGAUCUCAUCCGGGACUCCGAACAACUUUCGGGUUACCGCAUACUAAUAUCUCUACAACCCUAGCGUCACCGAACCUUAAGUGUGUAGACCCUACGGGUUCGGGAGACAUGCAGACAUGACCGAGACGCCUCUCCGGUCAAUAACCAACAGCGGGAUCUGGAUACCCAUGUUGGCUCCCACAUGUUCCACGAUGAUCUCAUCGGAUGAACCACGAUGUCGAGGAUUCAAUCAAUCCCGUAUACAAUUCCCUUUGUCAAUCGGUACGUUACUUGCCCGAGAUUCGAUCGUCGGUAUCCCAAUACCUUGUUCAAUCUCGUUACCGGCAAGUCACUUUACUCGUACCGUAAUGCAUGAUCCCGUGACCAGGCACUUGGUCACAUUGAGCUCAUUAUGAUGAUGCAUUACCGAGUGGGCCCAGAGAUACCUCUCUGUCAUACGGAGUGACAAAUCCCAGUCUCGAUCCGUGCCAACCGAACAGACACUUUCGGAGAUACCCGUAGUGCACCUUUAUAGUCACCCAGUUACGUUGUGACGUUUGGUACACCCAAAGCACUCCUACGGCAUCCGGGAGUUGCACUAUCUCAUGGUCUAAGGAAAUGAUACUUGACAUUGGAAAUGCUCUAGCAAACGAACUACACGAUCUUUUGUGCUAUGCUUAGGAUUGGGUCUUGUCCAUCACAUCAUUCUCCUAAUGAUGUGAUCCCGCUAUCAAUGACAUCCAAUGUCCAUAGUCAGGAAACCAUGACUAUCUGUUGAUCAACGAGCCAGUCAACUAGAGGCUCACUAGGGACAUGUUGUGGUCUAUGUGUUCACACAUGUAUUACGAUUUCCGAAUAACCCAAUUAUAGCAUGAACAAUAGACAAUUAUCAUGAACAAGGAAAUAUAAUAAUAACCAUUUUAUUAUUGCCUCUAGGGCAUAUUUCCAACAUAUCCUUGGUAGACCCUUUUAGAAUACUGCAGGGGCUGUUAUUGAUUGCAACAAAGGCAAUGUCACUUUUCAUCUUAAUGGUAAUGAGCAUACGGUACACUUUCCGAGAAAACAACCUCAAGUCCACAGUAUCAAUUCUAUUGGAAAAAUUCCAUCGAUAAUUAUUGGAGGCUUUAAAUUUCCUCUUCCUACUGUCAAAAAGAAAUAUGAUAUUCUUAUUGUUGGGGAUGUGCAUAUCCCUGUUGAGGUAACCUAGUGCUAUUCGAAAAUUCUCCGGUUUCAUGCUACUCGGAAUGAGUUUGUUAACAAGACUUGAUCAACCUUGUUAGUGGAUUCCUUUUGAUGAGCAUGAGAUGGAUGAAGUUAGAAAGCACAACUCUCUGUACCCUCCUUUUACUUUCUGUUAUUUAGAUAAAUGAAGCAAAAAUAGUGUUUUCUGUCUGUUUUCUGAAUUAUCCGUGCAAUAAAAAAAUACCCCGAAAAUAAAAGUUCUCCAAAUGCCCUGAAAUUGAAAUAUGAUUUUUUCUAGAAUAUUUAAGAAUAUCUGGCACUGAGAAAACCAGGGGGAGCCACCACCUGGCCACGAGGGUCCAGGGCGCGCCCUCCCCCUGGGCGCGCCCCCUGCCUCAUGGGCCCCACAUGGCCCCCUCCACUUAUUCCAGCACCCACACACUUCGUCUUCCUCCAGAAAAAAAUCACUAUACAGCUCAAACUCGUGUUCCAGCUCGUUUUGCUGCAAUUUUCGAUCUCCUUGCUCAAAGCUCCGUUCACAAAACUGCUUUGGGGGAUUGUUCUUCGGUAUGUGACUCCUCCAAUGGUCCAAUUAGGUUUUGUUCUAGUGAUUUAUUCAUUGCAAAUUUUUGCUGCUUAGGUGACCCUGUUCUUGAGCUUGCAUGUCAAAUUUAUUUGGUCCUAGUUAGUUCUAAUGCAUGAUAUAGUCUCUAGGCACUUGUGGGAGUAGUUGCUAUCAAUUUUGUUGAGUUUGGUUCACUUUUAUUUUGAGUCAUUAAAAAUUUCAGAAAAUUUUCAGAGGAAGAAAUAUGUUUAGGAAAAUGUACCAAGGUGGUUCUUCAAGGAAGCAAGGGCCCAGGCCUGCAAUACGUGAGCCGGACCAUGAACCACCAAGAGAAGCUCAAGUGCGGCCUUGUGAAUGGCCGUCAGAAAAUUUCAUGGUACGAGCAGGAAUUAAGGAUGAAUUUGACGCGUAUGUGCGUAAUGCUGAACUCGAGGGCUUCGUGUCAGAUAAGUGCCCCCAACAUUACUACCUAACUGAUUCCUUUGUGAGAAGGUUUAAAUUUACAUCAUCACGCAACUCUCACAUGGUCUUGUUUGAUCUUUAUGAUAAAUCUUAUACCAUGGAUUUAGAGGAUUUUAAUACUGCUUGUAAACUCCCGCAGUGGGGUAGUGCUAGUGAACCUCGCAAAUAUGAAUAUAAAGACUUUCUUGCUCGUAUAACUGUGGGGGAAUCUAGGGAAAUCACGCAAGCUACCAUAGGGAGUAUUCAUUUUCCUGCCAUACAUUAUUUUGCUCUCUUUAUAGAUAGAUGCAUCAACGGAAAGGACGAGGCAUGUCACAUGUGCGUCCCCGAUCUUAGUGUUCUCAGGAGCGCUGUAUUAGGAGAUAAACAAUAUAACUUGGGAGCUAUUGUUGCACGAAGGUUGCAUCAUAACAGUAUUAGCGGAGAUUUGUUUGGUGGAAUUUAUGCAACCCGUUUAGCUAAUUUUCUUGAGGUACCCAUUCAUGAAAAUGAUAUGGAGUUGCCUCUUGCUUAUCUACAUUGUAAUGCUAUGGUUCGUCAUCAGUUUGUUGAGAGGAAUGACCAAUUCCUCCAAUACCGACUAAUCUUUGACAGACGUCGCACUGUCCACAUUGUUCUCCCUGCUCCUGCUUUCUUUGACUUUCAGGCAAAAGGGAGAUAUGUUAUAACCAGGGAGGAGGCGAACGAGUAUGAGAGUAGGACGGAGGCAGCUCGCCUCCAAGCUGUAGCACAUCAGGAAAUAGCCCCUGCACCUCAGUACGACCCCAGUUACAACUUCGGAUAUCCGCCAGGCCAGUCGUGGCCAUAGACCAACUUAGGCCAAAAGCCUAAGCUUGGGGGAGUACGUAUUUCUCACCAACAAUACAUUCAUGUUCACACAUUCAUUCUAGUUGUCGGUGCUCAUACUUUUUCAUUGUACUAUCCAUGCUAGUUUAUUUUCCUUUUUCCUGCUUUCUUCUUGUGUGUUUGAAAAACCUUAAGGAAAAAAAAAUUAGUUGUGGCUUUUAGCUAGUUUAAUUUUCAUGCUUGUAGUAGUAAUUAAAAGAAAACCCAAAAAGAUUUCUCGUUCUUCUUUUGCUUGUUGGGAGCUUUCCCGUGUAAAUAGUUUUAUUUCUUUUCCUUUCUUUGGGGGUCGAGAGGAGAAGACCAAGAUGAAAAUGUUGAAGUGGCUCUUAUAUGCAUUAUUGUUGAUUUAACCAGGAGCCCAUAUUACCUUGUCUUCUCCCUUGAAUUAAAUGCUUGCAGAUUCCAGCUUAGUCCAAUGCACGUGCACUAUUAUUAUUAUUAUCCACACCGUUCGGUAGUGUGGACUGAUUGAGAUAAGGGAAGUUGGUAUGAACUCGACCUCUCUUGUUUUUGUAAAUAUGAUUAGUUCAUCGUUCCUGAUUCAGCCUAUUAUGAAUGAACAUGUUUGCAAUGACAAUUAGAGAUUAUAGUUGCUUAUGCCAUGCUUAAUUAGCUAGGAGUUUAUAAUGCUUUAAUUUGCGUGCCAACAUGCUGUUAAAAUGGUUGUGAUGUGGUAUGAUAGGGUGGUAUCCUCCUUUGAAUGAUUCGAGUGGCUUGACUUGGCACAUGUUCACACAUGUAGUUGAAACAAAUAAACAUGAACAUUCAUGCCACAAUAAAGAAAAUUACAUUGAUAAUUAUGUUAGGUAGCAUUCCACAUCAAAAAUUUUGUUUUUAUCAUUUACCUACUCGAGGACGAGCAGGAAUUAAGCUUGGGGAUGCUUGAUACGUCUCCAACGUAUCUAUAAUUUUUUAUUGUUCCAUGCUAUUAUAUUAUCUGUUUUGGAUAUUUAAUGGGCUUUAAUAUGAUCUUUUAUAUUAUUUUUGGGACUAACCUAUUAACCAAAGGCCCAGUGCCAGUUUCCUUUUUUUUGCCUAUUUCAGUGUUUUGCAGAAAAGAAAUACCAAACGGAAUCAAACCUUCGCGAUGAUCUUUCUGGGAACAAACGCAAUCCAGAAGACUUGGAGUUGAAGUCUGGAACGCCGCGAGGCAGCCAUGAGGAAGGAGGGCGCGCCCAGGGGGUAGGCACGCCCCCACCCUCGUGGGCCCCACGAAGCUCCACCGACGUACUUCUUUCGCCUAUAUAUACUCUUAUACCCUAAAAACAUCAGGGGGAGACACCAAACCACUUUUCUACCGCCGCAACCUUCUGUACCCGUGAGAUCCCAUCUUGGGUCCUUUUCCGGUGAUCUGCCGGAGGGGGAAUCGAUCACGGAGGGCUUCUACAUCAACACCAUUGCCUCUCCGAUGAAGCGUGAGUAGUUUACCACAGACCUUCGGGUCCAUAGUUAUUAGCCAGAUGGCUUCUUCUCUCUCUUUGAUUCUCAAUACAAAGUUCUCCUCGAUGUUCUUGGAGAUCUAUUAGAUGUAAUACUCUUUUGCGGUGUGUUUGCCGAGAUCCGAUGAAUUGUGGAUUUAUGAUUACGUUUAUCUAUGAAUAAUAUUUGGUUCUUCUCUGAAUUCUUAUAUGCAUGAUUUGAUAUCGUUGCAAGUCUCUUCGAAUUAUUGGUUUAGUUUGGCCUACCAGAUUGAUCUUUCUUGCAAUGGGAGAAGUGCUUAGCUUUGCGUUCAAUCUUGCGGUGUCCUUUCCCAGUGACAGUAGGGGCAGCAAGGCACGUAUUGUAUUGUUGCCAUCGAGGAUAAAAAGAUGGGGUUUAUAUCAUAUUACUUGAGUUUAUCACUCUACAUCAUGUCAUCUUGCUUAAUGUGUUACUCUGUUCUUAUGAACUUAAUACUCUAGAUGCAUGCUGGAUAGCGGUCGAUGUGUGGAGUAAUAGUAGUAGAUGCAGAAUCGUUUCGAUCUACUUGACACGGAUGUGAUGCCUAUAUUCAUGAUCAUUGCCUAGAUGUCGGGGUAUUCUCACGGGGGGCUUGCGAGUCGACAGAUGCCACAAGGGCUUAGUGUGAGGGUAAGACUGCUGCUGAUAGGCCCGGGAGCGGGUAUGCGAGUAGCACGCGCUAGUUUACCCAGGUUCGGGGCUCUCCGGAGAGAUAAUACCCCUACUCCUGCAUGUCUGAAUAUCUGUGGUAUAUCUGGUACAGAGUGCUCCUAGAGCUGUAUCUGAGAUCAGUGCCAAGUGCAUCUGAUCUGGUAUCUGUGUAAAUAUGUGUGCACAAGAGUGUGUGGCAUGGUGCACUUGGCACUAGUGGCCGUGGGUGGAGCUUGUGGCCGUAUGGGUGUGUGUCCAUACGUGAGCAUGUAUGCAUGUGUGUGUGAGUCCAUCCCCCAUGGAUGGAUGGAUGUGUGCCUUUAUAUAGGCAUGGGGGUAGUGGCUUUGGCUGUAAGCUACCAUGGGUAGCUUACAAACCAAGCUAUGUAGGCAUGGUGCAUGUCAUGCUUGUUCCCUGGGCCCUUUAUAGAAUAGUGCCAAGGGGACAGGUACACUGUAGAUGAUGGCGUCGUGGUACAGCCGUCUCGUCCGCGGUAUGGCCGUCACGUCGGUGUCUUGUCGGUGUCGGGUCGGGCUGAAGUGGGCAGCCGGCUGGUUCGCGCAGUCGGCAGCCGGCUGUGUUGAGCAGUCGGACGGGGAGCCGGCAGGAGCGGCCGGGCAGUCGGACUGAGGGGCUUUGCUAGCCCCGAUGUCUUGAAUUAUUGUCUCGCCGUCUUCGGGGUACCCUUGGUCAAUUACUCCGUCAGUAGCCUCCAAGCCUCUGGGCAGCUUGGCAAAGUUGGGCGGAGGUUUUUUGGCGGGUGUUGAUGUAGAAAAUGACGAUGACAGCCGGCUUCGGGCGGGGGCGCGCCAGCGCACUUGCUGGGUGUAGCCUCCGAGCCUCCGGGCAACUUGGAAAAGAUGGGCGGAGGCUUUUCGCGUUUGUUGGUGCAGACGAUGGCGUCGAGGGUGCCGGGCGCGGACACGAAAUCCGCUGGCCGGUGCUGUCGGGCGCGGAUGCGGGGUCCGCCGACUGAUGGUGUCGGGCGCGGUCGCGAGGUCCGCCGACUGGUGCUGUUGCUGACAGCCGGCUGCAGGCUGCAGCCGGCGCGGUUUGCUUCCAGUGGGGGCGCGCCAGCUUACCCACUGGGCGUAGCCUCCGAGCCUCCGAGUGAGGAGGCGGGUUUCCCACGGAAAUGCUCAUGCAAAAAACAAAGUUAGUCCGCGCAGAUAUAUCAAAUGUUUGCUUUUAGCAUUGAAAAUUUUAUGCGGAGGGUGCCGACUCGGUUUCGUCCGAGCCCCCUUCAAUCUUUUUCAUGUUCCCUCCACUCUUUGGCUUGUGCUCUCGCUUGCCGGACAGCCGCUCUGCGGUCUGUGGCUGAGAGUGGGCCACGGAGUGGAGUGUACAGUACUCAGACUCUGGAAGCAGAUUUGAUCGAGCAGAUACUCGUAAAAGAAACGACCGGGUCGCCCGAACCAUUUUUUCUUCCCGGACGUUUUUCGCGUGGGUGGCCUCCAGCGUUCACUCUUGCUAGCCGGACAGCCGCUCCGCGGUCUGUGACUAAGAGUGGGCCUUUGGUACCGCGCACGCUACUAAGCCGUCUGCGGGAACUAACGUCUCAGGCCAAGCGGCCAGCCUCCGGGCCAACUCUGGCUGGCGCCAGGGCGAACAGUGGCGCAACUGUAAUAAAAACGGAGGUGCUCCCCGAGCGUCGCUCGGGGUUAUCCGUGUUUGCGUGGUGCAAAAAUAAGCGGGUGAGGAGCUUACAUUGCUUUUUGGCGCAGACGAGGCGGAGGUUGAUCUCCGGCAGGUGGUCCGAGCCUCCGGGUGCUCGAGGGACGCCACAGUCGAUCAGGCCCGACUGCCAGGUGGCGGGGCCCGACUGGAGCCUCCAGUUGGCAAGGCGUCGAAGCGAACAGCCGGUCAGCCGACUGAGUGACGACGCGGGGAGUCGUCCAGAGCAGCCGGCUGGACUGCUGGCCAUGCAGCCGGCCACGCAGCGGAUGUGCAGCCGGCCACGCACACGCGGCCGUGCUCCUGGACGUGCAACCCGCCAUGCAUGCCCGUAUACAAGUUUUGCUUUCUCUUUUUUUUUCUUUUUUUCUAACACCCGGCUGUGUGCAGUCGGACACACUCCAGCCGACCUCUUCUUUUCUUCUCUCUAUUCUUUUUAUGCUCUGCCUGACGAGCCGGUAGGAGCGGGACGCGGCGGAAGCGAACGGCCGGGUCGCGCCAAAAGUCGGCGUCCGGGUUGCGGGGGAGCCGGCAGGCUGGGUCGUCGGGGAAGCCGGCAGGCCNNNNNNNNNNNNNNNNNNNNNNNNNNNNNNNNNNNNNNNNNNNNNNNNNNNNNNNNNNNNNNNNNNNNNNNNNNNNNNNNNNNNNNNNNNNNNNNNNNNNNNNNNNNNNNNNNNNNNNNNNNNNNNNNNNNNNNNNNNNNNNNNNNNNNNNNNNNNNNNNNNNNNNNNNNNNNNNNNNNNNNNNNNNNNNNNNNNNNNNNNNNNNNNNNNNNNNNNNNNNNNNNNNNNNNNNNNNNNNNNNNNNNNNNNNNNNNNNNNNNNNNNNNNNNNNNNNNNNNNNNNNNNNNNNNNNNNNNNNNNNNNNNNNNNNNNNNNNNNNNNNNNNNNNNNNNNNNNNNNNNNNNNNNNNNNNNNNNNNNNNNNNNNNNNNNNNNNNNNNNNNNNNNNNNNNNNNNNNNNNNNNNNNNNNNNNNNNNNNNNNNNNNNNNNNNNNNNNNNNNNNNNNNNNNNNNNNNNNNNNNNNNNNNNNNNNNNNNNNNNNNNNNNNNNNNNNNNNNNNNNNNNNNNNNNNNNNNNNNNNNNNNNNNNNNNNNNNNNNNNNNNNNNNNNNNNNNNNNNNNNNNNNNNNNNNNNNNNNNNNNNNNNNNNNNNNNNNNNNNNNNNNNNCCGGGCGAGACCGGCGGGCGCGGGGCGUCCAGCCGUGGGCAGAGGAGACGCGGGGGGUCGAUGCAGCGCGCGGGGGCCGGCGACGGGGAGCCUCGGGCACGGGGUAGUGGACGGACGGGCACAACCUCGAAGGAGUCGACGACGGGGCCGUUGGUGGAGAGCGAGUGGAAGCAGGCAUAGGGGGCCUCUGGUGGCCGCGACUGCAGCGGAGCAGCGACAGCAGGGAGCCAUGGCUGGGUGGCGUGGGAGCGAGUUGCCGCGGUGGCGGGGCGCGUCUGUGGAAACGUUGCUGGGGCGAGGCGGAGCUCGGGCUUCAGCGUCGAUGUGCGAGGGCCAGCAGAAAGCAGCGGUAGCAGGGAGCUCUUCUACGAGCAGAGGCGGCACGGCUGAGAGGUCAUGCACUGCUGCUCCUUGCGACUUAGCAUGGGGAGGAGGCCCACGGAGAUGCAACAGAAGAUAGGCACGACAGUGAGCGCCGCAGCUGGCCGGAACGAGCCAGUGCACGGGCAGUAUUCGGGCAGCGUCCGAAUCAUAUCUGGGAAGUUUAUAGGGAAUUAUCUGGCUGUUGUAUGGGCAAUAUCCGACUUGUGUCUGACUAAUGUCUGGGUAGUGUAUGGGGCAUAUCUGGUUUCCUUCUGGGAAGUGUAUGACCAAGGUUUUGGCGAUGCAUGGCCAUUGUACAGGAAGCAUCUAACCAUUAUCUGGCCAUUGCCUCGGAGGAGCAAACGGAGGAGCAAGGGAGGCGCAGCAUAGAGGAGAGCGGACGCGAGCGGCAUGCGGAUGGAUGCGGCCGACCGAAGCGAGGCGGCGCGGCGCGCACGGGCGGACGGCCGGCGUCGCAGUGGUGGUGACGAAGAGGCCGAGGACCGAUGGCGAGGACGUGCCGCCCCUCGCGGCCAUUCCGGGGGCAUAUGCCGAUGUCGAGCCCCCGACCGCUAUCGGAGAGACGGCGCGACGCCGCAGCGGUGAAGACGAAAAUGGUCCCGCCUGGACUGCGAAACCAGCAGCAGCGUGGUAGCAUAGUAGUAGUACCACACCACGGUGGGCGCCAACUGUUGGGGUAUUCUCACGGGGGGCUUGCGAGUCGACAGAUGCCACAAGGGCUUAGUGUGAGGGUAAGACUGCUGCUGAUAGGCCCGAGAGCGGGUAUGCGAGUAGCACGCGCUAGUUUACCCAGGUUCGGGCUCUCCGGAGAGAUAAUACCCCUACUCCUGCAUGUUUGAAUAUCUGUGGUAUAUCUGGUACAGAGUGCUCCUAGAGCUGUAUCUGAGAUCAGUGCCAAGUGCAUCUGAUCUGGUAUCUGUGUAAAUAUGUGUGCACAAGAGUGUGUGGCGUGGUGCACUUGGCACUAGUGGCCGUGGGUGGAGCUUGUGGCCGUAUGGGUGUGUGUCCAUACGUGAGCAUGUAUGCAUGUGUGUGUGAGUCCAUCCCCCAUGGAUGGAUGGAUGUGUGCCUUUAUAUAGGCAUGGGGGUAGUGGCUUUGGUUGUAAGCUACCAUGGGUAGCUUACAAGCCAAGCUAUGUAGGCAUGGUGCAUGUCAUGCUUGUUCCCUGGGCACUUUAUAGAAUAGUGUCAAGGGGACAGGUACACUGUAGAUGAUGGCGUCGCGGUACAGCCGUCUCGUCCGCGGUAUGGCCAUCACGUCGGUGUCUUGUCGGUGUCGGGCCGGGCUGCAGUGGGCAGCCGGCUGGUUCGCGCAGUUGGCAGCCGGCUGUGUUGAGCAGUCGGACGGGGAGCCGGCAGGAGCGGCCGGGCAGUCGGACUGACUGGCUUUGCUAGCCCUGAUGUCUUGAAUUAUUGUCUCGCCGUCUUCGGGGUACCCGUGGUCAAUUACUCCAUCACUUGAUAUUCUCAUAAUUAUGCGCUUUUCUAUCAAUUGCUCGGCAGUAAUUUGUUCACCCACCGUAAUACAUGCUAUCUAGACAGAAGCCACUAGUGAAACCUAUGGCCCCCGGGUCUAUUUUCCAUCAUAUAAUCUUCUAUUUUACAUCAUGUUAGUUUCCUGUCAACUUUCAAAUUUCUGUUGCCGUUCUUUUAUUUUGCAAUCUUUACUUUCCAAUCUAUACAACAAAAAUACCAAAAAUAUUUAUUUUAUUAUCUUUAUUAGAUCUCACUUUUGCGAGUGACCGUGAAGGGAUUGACAACCCCUUUAUCGCGUUGGUUGCAAGGUUCUUGAUUGUUUGUGCAGGUACUAGGUGACUUGCGUGUUAUCUCCUACUGGAUUGAUACCUUGGUUGUCAAAAACUGAGGGAAAUACUUACGCUACUUUGCUGCAUCACCCUUUCCUCUUCAAGGGAAAACCAACGCAUGCUCAAGAGGUAGCACUCCCCUUGUGUCGAAUCUAUAAAUUUGGGUUGAAUACUCUACCCUUGAAAACUGUUGCGAUCCCCUAUACUAGUGGGUUAUCAAGACCUUUUUCUGGCGCCGUUGCCGGGGAGCAUAUCUAUAUUUGCUAAGUCACUUGGGAUUAUUAUCAAUUUAUCAUUAUGAAGAAUCUGAAGGAUACCAAGACUAAUAUUUUUCCCUCUAAGACGAGGGGAGGUAAGGAACUGCCAUCUAGCUCUGCACUUGAUUCACCUUCUAUUAUGAGUAAACUUGCGACACCACCACAUGCUAUUAAUCCUGAUAUGUUGCAAGUUAUUGAUGAUGGUACUUCUAUGAAUGCUACUCAUGAUGGUGCUAGUACCUUGCUUGACGAUGGUGUGCCACUAGGUGAUUUUGUUGAUGAACAAAUUGCUAGAGUUAGAGAGAGUGAAAUUACCGAAACUAAUGAGAUUACUGAAACUGAUGAAGUACUUGAAACUGAAAAUCUUGAAACACCUUUUAGACCUAGCUCUCCUAGAUAUGAAUUGCCUAAGGUACGUGAAGGUUAUGUUAUGGAUGAGGAGACAGCUAGAGACUUUUUUGCUUCCAAUGAUAGAGAUGAUCUUAAGAAAUUAUUAUGCAAACUGAAAGAAAAAUCUUUGAAUGCUAGAAUGAAAUGUGAUCCUUAGUUUGCUACUUCUCCUAUCUUUGUUGAUGAUAAGGAUUAUGAAUUCUCUAUUGACCCAGAGUUAAUUACUUUUUUGAAUCUGAUCCUUUCCAUGGUUAUGAAACUGAAACUGUUGUGGCACACCUUACUAAGUUGAAUGACAUAGCCACCCUUUUUUCUCAUGAUGAGAAAAUUUGCUAUUAUUAUAUCCUCAAGUUAUUUCCGUUCUCAUUAAAGGGUGAUGCUAAGACUUGGUACAAUACUCUUGCUCCUGGUUGUGUGCGUAUUCCCCAGGAUAUGAUUUAUUACUUCACUGAAAAAUAUUUUCCUGCCCAUAAGAAACAAGCAGCCUUACAGGAAAUAUUUAACUUUGUGCAAAUUGAAGAACAGAGUCUCCCACAAGCUUGGGGGAGGCUUCUCCAAUUGCUAAAUGCUUUGCCUGAUCAUCCUCUCAAAAAAAUGUAAUACUUGAUAUCUUCUAUAAUGGACUAACCGAUGCUUCUAGGGACUUCCUAGAUAGUUGCGCUGGUUGUGUUUUCAGGGAAAGAACUGUUGAGCAAGCUGAGGAAUUAUUGAAUAACAGAUUGAAAAAUUGUGAUGAUUGGACUCUUCCCGAACCACCGCCUAAACCCACUCUGAAGAAGAGGGGUAUCUUAUAUCUCAGUCCUGAAGAUAUGCAGGAGGCAAAGAAAUGUAUGAAGGAAAAAGGUAUUAAAGCCGAGGAUGUGAAAAAAUUACCUCCUAUCGCAUCACCACCAUCAUGAGUGGUAGGGGUAAAUUCUUAUUGAAGUUUGAUGAAGGUGAUAUUCCUUAUAAUAAACAUCCUAGUCAAUGCCUUUAUGAGUUUGACAACUAUAUUAGAAAACAAGAUCACUUCAAUGCCAAUGUUAUGAAACAAUUGAAAUAUAAUUCUGAUAUGAUUGCUCGCUUGAGUGACUUGUUAUUUAGAAUCUCCAAUGAUGUUAGAGGUGUAGGAAAACAUGCCUCUAUGGUUCAAACUCAAUUAGAACAAGUUGCUAAAUCUCAAAGAGAAUUGCUUGAUGAAAUGAAUAGUAACAUACAUGAUAAUUUUCAUGAAGAUACUCAACCAGACAAUGAUAAACAACCAGAUAACAAUGUUGAGAUAAAACCAGCUGUUGAUCUUGAUAACCCACAAUCUAAAAAUAAAAUAUAUGACAAAAAAGACUUUGUUGGUAGAAAACAUGGAAGAGAAAGAGAACCAUGUCCAAAAACCCAUGCCCUUUCCACCUAAAUCCACUAAGAAAAAGGAUGAUGAAGAAUUUGAACGCUUUGCUAAAAUGCGUAGGCCAGUCUUUUUGCACACUCGUUUGACUGGUAUUUUAAUGAUGGCCCCUUAUGCGAAAUACAUGAAAGACAUCAUCUCUAAUAAAAGAAAAAUACCGGAAGCUGAAAUCUCCACUAUGCUUGAUAAUUAUUCUUUUAAGGAUGGAGUACCUAAAAACUUGGAGAUUCGGGAAUACCAACUAUACCUUGCUACAUUAAAAGAAAUUAUGUUAAAACUGCUUCGUGUGAUUUCGGAGCUGGUGUUAGUGUCAUGCCUUUCUCCUCAUAUAAAUGACUUGAUUUGAAUAAACUCACACCUACUGAAAUAUCUUUGCAAAUGGCUGACAAAUCAACUGCCAUACCUAUCGGUAUUUGUGAGGAUGUGCCUGUUGUUGUUGCAAAUGUUACUAUCUUGACUGACUUUGUUAUACUUGAGAUGCCCGAGGAUGACAACAUGUCGAUUAUCCUUGGUAGACCCUUCUUGAAUACUGCAGGGGCUGUUAUCGAUUGCAAUAAAAGCAAGGUCACUUUUCAUAUCAAUGGUAAUGAGCAUACGGUGCACUUUCCGAAGAAACAAUUCCAAGUGAAUGGUAUUAGUGCUAUUCAAAAAUCUCCGACACGCACUAUUGGAAGUUUUCAACUACCUCUACUACUGCCAAAAAGAAACAUGAAAUGCUUAUUGUUGGGGACAUACAUAUCCCCGUUGAGGUAACUUAGUGUUUUUACGCAAGUUCUUCAAUUUCAUGCUAAUCGAAGAUGGUUGUUAAUAAUACUUGAUCAACCUUAUUAAUGGAUCGUUUUUGAAAGGUAUAAAGUUGAUGAACCUAGUAGGCACAACCUUCUAUUUCCCACUCUUGUUUUCUGUUUUUCUUAGUUAAAUAAAAUAAAAUGCCAUGUUUUGUCUGCUUUCUGAAUUUUCCGUGAAAUAAAAAAUGAGCCAAAAAUAGAAGUUCUCAGAAUGCCACGAAAAUAUAAUACAAUUUUUUUCUGAAUAUUUCUGAAUUUUUAGUGCAAAUAACACCAGAGCGGGGUGCUCUAGGUGGGUGAUACGUCUCCAACGUAUCUAUAAUUUUUGAUUGUUCCAUGCUAUUAUAUUAUCCAUCUAGGAUGUUUCAUAUGCAUUUAUAUGCUAUUUUAUAUGAUUUUGGGACUAACCUAUUAACCUAGAGCCUAGUGCCAGUUUAUGUUUUUUCCUAGUUUUUGAGUAUUGCAGAAAAGGAAAACCAAACGGAGUCCAAUUGACCUGAAAUUUCACGGAGAUUAUUUUUGGACCAGAAGAAGCCCACGGAGUAUCGGAGAUGGACCAGAAGAGUCCCGAGGCACCCACGAGGGUGGGAGGCGCGCCCUACCCCCCUGGGGGCGCCCCCCUACCUCGUGGCCGCCUCGGAGACCCCCCUGACUUGUUCCCGAUGCCAACACCUCUUAUAUAUACCCAAACUUCCAGAACAUAACCUAGAUCGGGAGUUCCGCCGCCGCAAGCCUCGGUAGCCACCAAAAACCAAUCGGGACCCUAUUCCGGCACCCUGCCGGAGGGGGGAUCCAUCACCGGUGGCCAUCUUCAUCAUCCCGGCGCUCUCCAUGACGAGGAGGGAGUAGUACACCCUCGGGGCUGAGGGUAUCUACUAGAAUCUAUGUGUUUGAUCUCUCUCUCUCUCUCUCGUGUUCUUGAUAUGGCACGAUCUUGAUGUAUCGCUAGCUUUGCUAUUAUAGUUGGAUCUUAUGAUGUUUCUCCCCCUUAUCUUCUUGUAAUGGAUUGAGUUUUCCCUUUGAAGUUAUCUUAUCGGAUUGAGUCUUUAAGCAUUUGAGAACACUUUAUGUAUGUCUUGCAUGUGCUUAUCUGUGGUGACAAUGGGAUAUUCACGUGAUCUACUUGAUGUAUGUUUUGGUGAUCAACUUGCGGGUUCAGUGACCUUGUGAACUUAUGCAUAGGGGUUGGCACACGUUUUCGUCUUGACUCUCCGGUAGAAACUUUGGGGCACUCUUUGAAGUUCUAUGUGUUGGUUGAAUAGAUGAAUCUGAGAUUGUGUGAUGCAUAUCGUAUAAUUAUACCCACGGAUACUUGAGGUGACAUUGGAGUAUCUGGUGACAUUAGGGUUUUGGUUGAUUUGUGUCUUAAGGUGUUAUUCUAGUACGAAAUCUAGGAUAGAUCAAACAGAAAGAAUAGCUUCGUGUUAUUAUACUACGGACUCUUGAAUAGAUCGAUCAGAAAGGAUAACUUUGAGGUGGUUUCGUACCCUACAAUAAUCUCUUUGUUUGUUCUCCGCUAUUAGUUACUUUGGAGUGACUCUUUGUUGCAUGUUGAGGGAUAGUUAUAUGAUCCAGUUAUGUUAUUAUUGUUGAGAGAACUAGCACUAGUGAAAGUAUGAACCCUAGGCCUUGUUUCCUAGCAUUGCAAUACCAUUUAUGCUCCCUUUUACCACUUUCUACCUUGCUGUUUUUAUAUUUUCAUAUUACAAAAACCUAUAUCUACCAUCCAUAUUGCACUUGUAUCACCAUCUCUUCGCCGAACUAGUGCACCUAUACAAUUUACCAUUGUAUUUGGUGUGUUGGGGACACAAGAGACUCUUUGUUAUUUGAUUGCAGGUUUGCUUGAGAGAGACCAUCUUCAUCCUAUGCCUUCGACGGAUUGAUAAACCUUAGGUCAUCCACUUGAGGGAAAUUUGCUACUGUCCUACAAACCUCUGCACUUGGAGGCCCAACAACGUCUACAAGAAGAAGGUUGUGUAGUAGACAUCAAGCUCUUUUCUGGCGCCAUUGCCGGGGAGGUUAGUGCUUGAAGGUAUAUCUUUAGAUCUUGCAAUCGAAUCUUUUAGUUUCUUGUUUUAUCACUAGUUUAGUCUAUACAAGAAAACUACAAAAAAUGGAAUUAAGGGUGCCCCAUAUGCUUCAUCUUUUUAAUAUCUUUGGUGAAAAUGAUGGGAAGGAAAUUUGUGCUCAAGUACUAGAAGAAGAAUUACAUAGAAUGCUUGGCACUAAAUCUUCGAAUGACGAGCAUGAUUGCAAUGUUGUUAGUAUGAAUUCUUUUAAUACCCAUGAUGCUAAUGAUAUGCAAAGCUACAAGCUUGGGGAUGCUAUGUUUGAUGAAGAUGAUAUUUUUUGUCCCCCAAGUUUAUUAUGAUGAAAGCAUGCCUCCUAUUUAUGAUGAUUAUUGCGAUGACACAUAUGCUAUAAAGAAUAAAGAUAACCAUGAAACUUGUCAUCAUGAUUUUAAUUUUCAAUUGGAUUAUGCUUCACAUCAUAGUUAUUUUGUUGAGUUUUCUCCCACUACUAUUCAUGAGAACAAAUUUGCUUUUGUGGAGAGUAAUAAAAUUUCUAUGCUUGUAGAUCAUGAAAAGAAUGCUUUAUGUGAUGGUUAUAUUGUUGAAUUCAUUCAUGAUGCUACUGAAAAUUAUUAUGAGGGAGGAACAUAUGCUUGUAGGAAUUGCAAUAAUAUCAAGUUUCCUCUCUAUGUGUUGAAAAUCUUGAAGCUAUGCUUGUUUUACCUUCCUAUGCUAGUUGAUUCUUGUUCCCAUAAGUUGUUUGCUCACAAAAUCCCUAUGCAUAGGAAGUGGUUUAGGCUUAAAUGUGCUAGUCAUAUGCUUCAUGAUGCUCCCGUUAUUUUUCAAUUCUUAUCUUUUAUGUGAGCAUCAUUGUCAUCAUCAUGCCUAGCUAAAAAGGCAAUAAAGAAAAGCGCUUGUUGGGAGACAACCCAAUAUUUACCUUUACUGUUUUUGCGUGUUCACAUGAUUAUGCUACUGUAGUAAUCAUGUUUUAUAGCUUUUGUUUCAAUAAAGUGCCAAGUAAGACCUUUAGGAUAGCUUACGGUGAUAGUUAAUUUGAUCUUGCUGAAAAACAGAAACUUUUGCGCGCACGAGAUUAGUUUUCAUAAAUCACAGGAUCGUGCUUUUCAGUUGAUUCUUUUUGCAGAAGAUUAAUAAACAAAUUGCUUAGGACUUCCUAAUUUCUCAGGAUUUUUGGAGUUACAUAAGUAUUCGAAUGAUACAGAUUACUACAGACUGUUCUGUUUUUGACAGAUUCUGUUUUAUUAUGUUGUUUGCUUAUUUUGAUGAAUCUAUGAGUAGUAUCGGAGGGUAUGAACCAUAGAGAAGUUUUAAUACAGUAGAUAUUACACCAAUAUGAAUUUAGAAUGAGUUCACAACAGUACCAAAAGUGGCGAUUUAUUUUCUUAUACUAACAGAGCUCAUAAGAUUUUCUGUUGAGUUUUGUGUUGUGAAGUUUUCAUGUUUUGGGUAAAGAUUCGAUGGACUAUGGAAUAAGGAGUGGCAAGAGCCUAAGCUUGGGGAUUCCCAAGGCACCCCAAGGUAAUAUUCAAGGAAAACCAAGAGCCUAAGCUUGGGGAUGCCCCGGAUGGCAUCCCCUCUUUCGUCUUCGUUCAUCGGUAACUUUACUUGGAGCUAUAUUUUUAUUCACCACAUGGUAUGCGUUUUGCUUGGAGAGUCAUUUUAUUUUGUUAGUAUUUGCUUACUGUUAUUUAGAAUAAUGUUUUGCAUCUUUAUUUUCAAUAAAAGUGUCAAGGAUAGCCCUUACAAUGCUUAUUUUGCGAGUAUACAUGUUGCUGUUUAAAAACAGAAAGUUUGUCGUUGUUGCAAAAAUUCCCUAGAAAAGUCAGAAUAUGAUAAAAUGUUGAAACUUUUUGCAUAAUAAGCUCUGAUAAAUUUUCUACAGUGUCGUAGAAUUUCAUAAUGUUUGGAGUUAGGGAAGUAUUGAUACUCUUGCAUUCUUUACAUACUGUACUGUUUUGGCAGAUUGCUGUUAUGUUUGCAUUGUUUGCAUAUGUUUGCUUGUUUAAUGAUUCUAUUUGAGGAUAGGAGUAUUAAAUAUGCAGAGACAUUUAGUAUGCAAUGUUUAAUAAUAAUUUUUGUGAUUUUCUACAGUAGAGAAUGAUAAGGUUUUUGCAUUGAUUUAUACUAACUUAUCUCACGAGUUCUUGUUGAGUUUUGUGUGGAUGAAGUUUUUUGAGAUUUAGGGAAACCGUGAUAUGAGAGGAAUUAAGGAGGCACAAAAUCUCAAGCUUGGGGAUGCCCAAGGCACCCCAAGAUAAUAUUUCAAGAAGUCUCAAGCAUCUAAGCUUGGGGAUGCCCCGGUUGGCAUCCCACCUUUCUUCUUCAACAAUUAUCGGUUAGUAUCGGUUGAUCCUAAGUUUUUGCUUCUUCACAUGAGUUGUCCUAUCCUUGCAAUGUCAUUUUAUUUUGUUUUGCUUGCUGUUUGAAUAAAAUACGAAGAUCUGAAAUUCUUAAUUGUUAGAGAGUCUUCACAUAGUUGCAUAAUUAUUCGACUACUCAUUGAUCUUCACUUAUAUCUUUCGGAGUAGUUUGUCAUUUGCUCUAGUGCUUCACUUAUAUCUUUUUAGAGCACGGCGGUGGUUUUAUUUUGAAGAAAUAGAUGAACUCUCAUGCUUCACUUAUAUUAUUUUGAGAAUCUUUUAGAACAACAUGGUAAUUUGCUUUGGUUAUGAAUUUAGUCCUAAUAUGAUAGCCAUCCAAGAGGGAUAUAAUAAAAACUUUCAUAUAAAGUGCAUUGAAUACUAUGAGAAGUUUGAUGCUUGAUGAUCGUUUUGAGAUAUGAGGAUGGUGAUAUUAGAGUCAUGCUAGUAGAGUAGUUGUGAAUUUGAGAAAUACCUGUGUUGAGGUUUGCAAGUCCCGUAGCAUGCACAUAUGGUAACCGUUGUGUGACAAAUUUGAAGCAUGAGGUAUUUCUUUGAUUCUCAUCCUUUGUGUGGAGGUCGGGAUCGCGCGAUGGUUAACUCCUAGCAACCCUUCCCCUAGGGGCAUGCAUGUAGUACUUUGUUUUGAUGACUUGUAUAUUUUUGCAAUAAGUAUGUGAGUUCAUUAUGACUAAUGUUGAGUCCAUGGAUUAUACGCACUCUCACCCUUCCAUCAUUGCUAGCCUCUUCGGUGUCGUGCAUUGCCCUUUCUCACCUUGAGAGUUGGUGCAAACUUCGCCGGUGCAUCCAAACCCCGUGAUAUGAUACGCUCUAUCACACAUAAACCUCGUUAUAUCUUCCUCAAAACAGCCACCAUACCUACCUAUUAUGGCAUUUCCAUAGCCAUUCCGAGAUAUAUUGCCAUGCAACUUUCCACCAUUUCAUUUAUUAUGACACGCUUCAUCAUUGUCAUAUUUCCUUGCAUGAUCAUGUAGUUGACAUCGUAUUUGUGGCAAGGCCACCAUGCAUAAUUCAUACAUGUCACUCUUGAUUCAUUGCCCAUCCCGGUACACCGCCGGAGGCACUCAUAUAGAAUCAUAUUUUGUUCUAGUAUCGAGUUGUAAAUAAAUAGAAGUGUGAUGAUCAUCAUUAAUAGAGCAUUGUCCCAAAUAAACAAAAAAAAUAAAGGCCAAAGAAAAAAAGAAAGGCCCCAAAAAAGGGGCAAUGCUACUAUCCUUUUUUUCCACACUUGUGCUUCAAAGUAGUACCAUGUUCUUUAUGAUAGAGAGUCUCUUGUUUUGUCACUUUCAUAUACUAGUGGGAAUUUUUCAUUAUAGAACUUGGCUUGUAUAUUCCAAUAAUGGGCUUCCUCAAAUGCCCUAGGUCUUCGUGAGCAAGCAAGUUGGAUGCUUGCCCACUUAGAGUCUUUUGUUGAGCUUUCGUACAUUUAUAGCUCUAGUGCAUCCGUUGCAUGACAAUCCCUACUCCUUGCAUUGACAUCAAUUGAUGGGCAUCUCCCUAGCCCGUUGAUUAGCCGCGUCAAUGUGAGACUUUCUCCUUUUUUGUCUUCUCCACAACCACCAUUCUAUUCCACCCAUAGUGCUUUGUCCAUGGCUCAUGCUCAUGUAUUGCGUGAAAGUUGAAAAAGUUUGAAAAUACUAAAGUAUGAAACAAUUGCUUGGCUGAAACCGGGGUUGUGCAUGAUUUGAGUAUUUUGUGUGACGAAGAUGGAGCAUAGCCAAACUAUAUGAUUUUGUAGGGAUGAACUUUCUUUGGCCAUGUUAUUUUGAGAAGACAUAAUUGCUUUGUUAGUAUGCUUGAAGUAUUAUUAUUUUUAUGUCAAUAUUAAACUUUUGUCUUGAAUCUUAUGGAUCUGAAUAUUCUUGCCACAAUAAAGAAGAUUACAUUGAUAAAUAUGUUAGGUAGCAUUCCACAUCAAAAAUUCUAUUUUUAUCAUUUACCUACUCGAGGACGAGCAGGAAUUAAGCUUGGGGAUGCUUGAUACGUCUCCAACGUAUCUAUAAUUUUUGAUUAUUCCAUGCUAUUAUAUUAUCCAUGUAGGAUGUUUUAUAUGCAUUUAAAUGCUAUUUUAUAUGAUUUUGGGACUAAGCUAUUAACCUAGAGCCCAGUGCUAGUUUUUGUUUUUUCCUUGUUUUUGAGUAUCGCAGAAAAGGAAAACCAAACGGAGUUCAAUUAACCUGAAAUUUCAUGGAGAUUAUUUUUGGACCAGAAGAAGCCCACGGAGUAUCAGAGAUGGACCAGAAGAGUCCCAAGGCACCCGCUAGGGUGGGGGAGCGCCCUACCCCCUGGGCGCGCCCCCUACCUCGUGGCCGCCUCGGAGACCCCCCUGACUUGUUCCCGACGCCAACACCUCUUAUAUGUACCCAAACUUCUAGAACAUAACCUAGAUCGGGAGUUCCGCCGCCACUAGCCUCUGUAGCCACCAAAAACCAAUUGGGACCCUGUUCCGGCACCCUGCCGGAGGGAGGAUCCAUCACCGGUGGCCAUCUUCAUUGUAGCGAUUUGACCUCAGACGGUCAAAUCUCUGUGUUCAGUGUCAUCCCUGGAUCGGUAAUGCUGACACACACAGUACUUGAAGGAUUUAUAACAGAGUAGCAAUCACACACUUAUUACAUCGGUAGUCUCAAAAGAGAACUUAUUACAAUAAAUAUGGCUUAAGGCCAUAUAACUAAGAUAACAGCGGAAGGCUUGGAAGAUAAAGUGAGUCCAUCAACUCCAACGACAUAGCUCAGUGCAUGACAACGACCUAGCGCACCUUACUCUUCGUAUGGAAAGUCUGCAACAUGAUAUGUUGCAGCCCGAAAACGGGUCAGCACAUGGAAUAUGCUGGAAAUAUAACACAAUAGAGCAAAGAACAGAUAAAUGCUAUCACUACAUGCAUAUAUGGCUGGUGGAGGCUCUAUGAUUAUAAUGUUUUGCGAAAAGCCAAUUUUUUUCCUACAACAAAGGAAUAUGUUUUAUUUAACUAUCAUGGUGGUUGAAACAUCAUUGAGAAGGUUCCUCCAACUCAAUCCCAAUUAAAAUAAUCAUUAACAUCCGAACAAAUUAAUUUAGAGUGAUGAGAUCAAAUCAAUAGUUCAAGUACCAGAUACUCAAGAUGUCCAUAACCGGGGACACGGCUAACCAUGUUUAGUUUGUACACUCUACAGGGGUUUGCGCACUUUUCCCCAUAAGACUUGAUCUCCUCCGUUGGAUUUCUUGCACUACAUGGUGUUUGAGAAACGGAUGACCGAGACACAGUCUUUCAGAAACAUUAACUCUUUACUCUGGGUGGACAGUUACACCUACUUUCCCCUACAUCUGCUAGCCCACCACUGAAAGAGGUCAUACAACAUACUCAACUAUGCUAGAGUCCAUAAUAGCUUGUGGCUGCACACGGAAGUUUCUAGCAUGAAUAGUCUUAUGAUCCCUUCGAGCCUGGGUGGCGAACCAGAGGAUGAUCACACGGGUACUCCGGGAUAUCCUAGGACAACACUGGAUUCUCCAGGUGCCCAAACCAACAAUCCACCCAGAUGUGUAUUAAAGUAACGACCUUAAUACAACCAUUAAUUAAACACUCACAUCUAUCAUGGAUCUCUCAAACCAAACCACGUCUACGAGCAUAGCAUAGCAACAUAAGCAUAACAUAGAAGUAACUCCCAGGGUUUGAAUAUAAACAAGGCAAUAGGUUCUACCUCAUCAUCUACUUCCCAAUACCCACAUGUUAUCAAUUCCUAACCAUGCAAUGUUUGAGGGUUGAAACUAAUGCAUAAAAAUUGGGUAUGAAAAGAAUAUGAUCAAUGUGUUACUUGCCUUGCUGACGAUCCACAAAACCUAGUGACUCGUAGUAGCACGCUUCGCACUCCGGGAAUUCUAUCGCAAACAAACAAUAACAUACAUAAGCACUCAAGCAAAUAUGCACAGGUAAAACUCAAAUAAGAAGAUCGAAUCUGAAAACUCAACUGAAGAGAUUCGAUCUGCAAAAAGAAUCAAUCGAAUUGGAGCUACGGAACUGAAACUACGGUCAAAAGAACUUCGAAUUCAAAUCUGCUUGAAACCAAAAUUUUAAAUUGUAGAAACCAUGUUCAAGUUGAUUAAACAGAAAGAGAGGUUUGAGAUGAAGAUUUUGGCGUUGGUUUCACUGGAUUUGGACAAACGGUUAAGAAACGGCGAGGGUUUGAAGAUCAGGGGCUAAUCUACGAUAAAAGUAAUCACAGAUAGGUCCCUGGCCGAAAAAUAAAAUAAAGAGAAAAAGACUAACGAAUGAACAUUCGCUGUCUGAACCUAACCGGCGAACAACGUUCGUUAAAACGAACGAACGGACGAACGUCCACUAAAUAAAUAAACCGGCGAAAAGCCGAACCGAUCUAAAAAAAUAAACCGAUUUAGGGUUUUUAAGAAAACCGGGGUUUUUACCUAAAAAAAGCAAAAAAACCAGCGGCAGCUCGAGGUCAACGGCGGCGGCGGGGCAGCAAGAUCCGGCGGGCGGGGCGGCAUGCGGCGGCGUGCGGCGCGCGGGCGGUGGCGGGAGGCGCGGCGCAGGCGGCGGCGAGCGGNNNNNNNNNNNNNNNNNNNNNNNNNNNNNNNNNNNNNNNNNNNNNNNNNNNNNNNNNNNNNNNNNNNNNNNNNNNNNNNNNNNNNNNNNNNNNNNNNNNNNNNNNNNNNNNNNNNNNNNNNNNNNNNNNNNNNNNNNNNNNNNNNNNNNNNNNNNNNNNNNNNNNNNNNNNNNNNNNNNNNNNNNNNNNNNNNNNNNNNNNNNNNNNNNNNNNNNNNNNNNNNNNNNNNNNNNNNNNNNNNNNNNNNNNNNNNNNNNNNNNNNNNNNNNNNNNNNNNNNNNNNNNNNNNNNNNNNNNNNNNNNNNNNNNNNNNNNNNNNNNNNNNNNNNNNNNNNNNNNNNNNNNNNNNNNNNNNNNNNNNNNNNNNNNNNNNNNNNNNNNNNNNNNNNNNNNNNNNNNNNNNNNNNNNNNNNNNNNNNNNNNNNNNNNNNNNNNNNNNNNNNNNNNNNNAGAGGCGGCGGGGGGGGGGCGCUAUAUGUAGGAGAGGUGGGGCUCGGCGGCUUGGGGAGGGGGUCGAAGAGGAGGAGUCCUCCUCGGACGCGGCGGUGGCGGCGUGCGCCGGCCGGACUCCUGGUCGGAGUCGGUCGGGGCGAGGCGGUGGGCUGCGGCGGCCUGGCUCGGAUGGGCCGUUGGCCCAGUCGGGCGCGUGAUUUUUUUUAAAUAAUAAAUUCCACCGAGAAAAAUCCUAAAUAAAUAAAAAUAAAAAUCUAAGAAUGCCAAAACCAAUUUUCACCGUCUAAAUAGAAUAUUCAUAACUUAGUGAACAUUUUCUUGGCCUAAAAAUGCAAUUUUGAAAAAUGCAUAUUUUUUCUAAUUCAAAUAAAAUAGCAAUAAAAUCCAAAUAAAAUUAUUUAUUUGAUUUUAACAUUUUUCCUCUAAUAUUUCAUUUAUUUUGGAGAAGUCAUAUUAUCUCCUCUCAUAUAUUUUAAUUAGAAAUAUUUUUGGAGAGAAAAAUAAUUAAAACCAAAGUGAUCCUUGUUUCGAUAUUUGAGAAAAUUCAAAUAUGAAAAUCGUGAAAUCCCCAACUCUCUCCGUGGGUCCUUGAGUUGCUUAGGAUUUUCUAGGAUUGCAAAACAAAAUGCAAUAAAAUAUGAUAUGCAUAGAUGACCUAUGUAUAACAUUCCAAAUUGAAAAUUUGGGAUGUUACAAACCUACCCCCCUUAAGAUGAAUCUCGUCCUCGAGAUUCGGGAUGGCUAGAAAAUAGGUGUGGGUGGUCUUUCCGUAGAUCAUCCUCUCGUUCCCAGGUGGCUUCAUCCUCGAUAUGGUGGCUCCACUGAACUUUGCAAAAUUUGAUAACCUUGCUGCGUGUAACUCGGCUGGCAAACUCGAGAAUCUUGACUGGUUUCUCCUGUUAGGUCAGAUCACUAUCCAACUGAAUUGCUUCCAGGGGCACUGUAUCUCUCAGAGGGAUAUCGGCCAUCUCUGCAUGGUAUUUCUUCAACUGGGAAACGUGAAACACAUCAUGAACUCCUAAAGUCCUUCGGGUAACUCCAACUUGGAGGCUACUUCUCCCAUACGUUCCAAAACUCGGUAUGGUCCUACAAAUCUCGGGGCGAACUUCCCUUUGACUCCAAAACGUUUAACUCCUCGUAGAGAUGACACACGAAGAUAUGCUCUGUCUCCGACUUCAUAGACUACCUCCUUGCAUUUCGAAUCUGCAUAACUCUUCUACCUGGACUGAUACUGCAACUUCAUAUCAUAACCCUUUAUGAGCUCCAACCAUCUCCUCUGCCUGAGGUUCAGCUCCUUCUGUGUGAAAAUGUACUUCAAACUCUUAUGAUCCGUGUACACAUCACAACGGUUCCCAAUAAGAAAAUGUCUCCAGGUCUUGAGCGCAUGCACUGCGGCUGCUAACUCCAAAUCAUGCAUGGCAUAAUUCAACUCAUGCGGUCAAGCUGACGUGAGGCAUAAGAAACAACUCUUCCGUCUUGCAUAAGUACUCCUCCAAGUCCUAAGCGAGAAGUGUCGCAAUACACUUGGAAAUCCUUGUGUAUAUCUGGCAGAAUCAGCAUUGGGGUUGUAGUCAAACGUUUCUUCAAUUCCUGAAAAAUGGCCUCACAUUCUUCCGUCCAUUUGAACUUAGUGUCCUUCUUUAACAGCUCCGUCAUGGGCUUCGCAAUCUUAGAGAAAUUCUCGAUAAAUCUCCGAUAAUAUCCCACGAGUCCAAGAAAACGGCGGAUCUCUCCAACUGAGGUGGGUGCCUACCACUCAGUGACUGACUUAACCUUGGUGGGGUCUACUGCUAUACCUUCUCCUGAUAUAACAUGUCCAAGGAAUCCAACUUCCUUCAACCAAAACUCACACUUGCUGAACUUGGCAUACAACUGAUGUUCCCUGAGCUUCUCGAGAGCUAAACGCAAAUGCUCCUUGUGUUCCUCUUCAUUCUUCGAGUAUACCAAAAUAUCGUCAAUGAACACCACAACAAACUUAUCCAAGAACUCCAUAAACACCUUAUUCAUCAUACUCAUGAAAUAGGUAGGGGCGUUAGUCAAUCCAAAUGACAUAACUGUAUACUCAUAUAGCCCGUACCUUGUGGUGAAGGCUGUCUUAGGUAUAUCUUGUUCUCGGAUCUUCAGUUGGUGGUAUCCUGAUCGCAGAUCGAUCUUUGAAAACGCUUUAGCUCCUUGCAGCUGGUCAAACAAAUCAUUGAUCAUCGGCAGUGGGUAUUUGUUCUUGAUCGUCACUUCAUUCAGCACACGUUAAUCAACAACCAUUCUUAACGAUCCAUCCUUCUUCUCAACCAAGAGCACUGGGGCUCCCCACGGCGAUAAACUUCGUCGAAUGUAACCUUUCUCCAGUAACUCCUUAAUCUGUUUCUUGAUCUCCUCCAGAUCAUUCGCGGGCAUUCGGUAUGGUCUUUUCAAUAUCGGUCCGGUGCCUGGCAAAAGCUCUAUCAAAAACUCAAUGUCUCGAUCUGGUGGCAUGCCUGGUAAUUCCUCUGGAAACACAUCCGGGUAAUCCUUCACUACCGGCACUUCCUCCUGAACAACUCCUGAGAGGGAAUUUACUUGGGUCCUCCUUGGCGCAUGCCUAGAUGCAUACUUGAUCCUUUUUCCCUCCGGGGUGGUGAGCAAAAUUGACUUACUGGCGCAAUCGAUGUUUCCUCCAUACAUCGACAGCCAAUCCAUGCCUAGAAUCACAUCCAAUCCUUGGGACUCUAGAAUUAUCAGGUCUGAGGGGAAAACAUGCCUACCUAUGGUUAAUGGCAUCUGAAAACAUCCACUGCUUGCCAUAUACUCAGCUCCGGGUGAGCUUGCUAACAUAGGUGUUCUAAGAACAUUGGUGGGCAACUUAUACUUAUCCACGAAUCCCCUUGAAAUGUAUGAAUGCGAUGCACCAGUAUCAAAAAGAACGAUUGCAGUAAAUGACUUAACCAAAAACUUACCGAUAACUGCAUCUGGCUGCUCUUCAACCUCCUCCACGUUAACGUGGUUUACUUGUCCCCUGUUGAAAGGGUUGGGCUUCUCCCCAGAGCUUCCAUUGCCAUUUCUGUUCUUCGCUUCAGGGCACUCAGUGGCAUAGUGUCCAGUCUUCCUGCACCUGAAACAAGUAAUGUGACUUAGGUCCUUCUUGGCGGGUGUGGCUGAAUUGGAGCGGUUCUGAUUGCUGCCUGCUCCAUUCCCAUUCCCAUUCUUGGGGCCAUUGUGGUUAUGGUAACUUCCUCCAUUGUGAGUGUGGCCUCCAUGGUUAUGGGUAUAUCCUCCCAAGUUUGGGGUAAAACGAGGCUUCUGCUGUGCUCCUGAAUUGUACUUCCCUUGUCCAUACUUCCUUUUGCGGCUCUCUAUCUGCUGAUGCUUCCCUUCAAUCAUGAGGUCCUUGUCUACCAACUCCUGGUAGUUGUUAAAUGUUGCCACCAUCAACUGCAUGCUCAUCUCAUCAUUUAGCCCUUCCAUAAACUUCUCCUGCUUCGCGGCAUCUGUGGCCACAUCAUCAGGGGCAUAGCGAGAUAACUUACUAAACUCAUCUACAUACUGAGCCACAGUACGGUUUCCUUGGUGCAAGUUAUGAAACUCACGCUUCUUCAUGCUCAUAGCUCCAGUUGAGACAUGGGCUGUGCGGAAUGCUUGCUGAAACUGAUCCCAAGUGAUAUUGGCUAUAGGGAAAGUGGUUGUAUAAUUCUCCCACCAUGAAGCUGCGGGUCCAUCCAAUUGAUGUGCGGCAAAACGCACCUUCUCAGCAUCUGUGCAACCUGCGGUGGUCAACUCCCUUCCAAUCUUGCGUAGCCAGUCAUCAGCAACUAUUGGCUCGGUGCUACUGGAAAACACUGGCGGCUGCAACCUCAGAAAAUGGGCUAAGUUGUCAACGGGUGGUGGUGGUGGUGGCGGGUUGUUGUUGUUGUUGUUGUUGUUGUUGCCUUGGUUCUGGACUAAUAUCUGCAUCAAGGCAUUCUGCUGCUGGAUCAACUAGGUGAUCUCAGGUGGGAAGACAAAUCCGGUGUCACGUCUCGGAGGCAUCUAAUGGGUUUAGAGGGGAGAGAUUAGAAUAGAAUGAGGUCUAGUGAGAAAGCACUGCCCAUAUGCACAUGAGACAAACACAAUCAUAUCACACCAAAUCAAUUCAAGCAAGGGCAUACAAUCGGUCUAGAACUAUCGUUAUAGUGCUCGGACUACUACUAUGUACAUGGGGAAGUACUACUAAUCAUAUGGUGGUCUACUAGAAAUUUUGAUCAGUGGAAGACUCCAUGAUAUCCACUCCAGCUUCGUCUUCGUAAUCAUCAUCACUACCAUCAGGGUCAGAUCGGUGUCGUCGAUGAUGAUGUAGUCUUCAGAACGAAUCUCCUUGGGUUCAUCGUCUUCUCCUCCUGGCGCGGGGUCUCCCAUGAAUACUCCUAGCUUCCUUGUCAGGUCGUCAUUCUUCUCCACGAGUAUUGCGAUUUCCUCCUCAUAUCCGUCGCGUGUAGACUUGAGUUCCUCUUCUAGCUCUGUGUUCCUGGUCAUCACCUUCUUCAGAUCUAUCAUGCUUGCACACAUCUGGUUCUCCUGUCGACGAAUGUGUUGGUUUAACUCCUGGAUGAAAGCUGCAAUGGACCUGUCCCUCCUGGUGCUGAUGAUCUCCCAUAGCUCAUCUCGGCGCCCACAUAUCUGGUAGAUAGUAUCCUUCAGAUCCUUGUGGUAAACUUCUCCGAUGCAUCCCAUAGCAAUGUGGGUUGCCAUGCUCUUGCCUAGACUCCAGGUUCUUGCAUCAAAGGAAAACUCUAUGGGAUCAGUGACUGGCGUGAAUGUCCUUCCGGGAACUUGAACUCGAAUCAUCCAUCGCUCCUCUUCUGGUAAAGUGGCGGUGUAGGUCCCGGUGAAACUUGGUAUUCCGAUAUUCAGGUACCUAGUGACUUCCUUCAAGUGUCGUCCAAAAGCGGUGUCUUCAUCCGGUUGUGCAAACUUGUUCCUUGAGUUCGCCAUCCUAAAGAGUAGAAAAUGGAGAGGGGCCAGAAAUGAGUAGAGAAGAGUGACCUAUGGCUCAUCUUAGUGGUCGUGUCCUACAUUCAGCGUGUGCUCUGAUACCAUCUUGUAGCGAUCCGACCUCAGACGGUCACAUCUCUGUGUUCAGUGUCAUCCCUGGAUCGGUAAUGCUGGCACACACAGUACUUGAAGGAUUUAUAACAGAGUAGCAAUCACACACUUAUUACAUCGGUAGUCUCAAAAGAGAACUUAUUACAAUAAAUAUGGCUUAAGGCCAUAUAACUAAGAUAACAGCGGAAGGCUUGGAAGAUAAAGUGAGUCCAUCAACUCCAACGACAUAGCUCAGUGCAUGACAACGACCUAGCGCACCUUACUCUUCGUAUGGAAAGUCUGCAACACGAUAUGUUGCAGCCCGAAAAUGGGUCAGCACAUGGAAUAUGCUGGCAAUAUAACACAAUAGAGCAAAGAACAGAUAAAUGCUAUCACUACAUGCAUAUAUGGCUGGUGGAGGCUCUAUGAUUAUAAUGUUUUGCGAAAAACCAAUUUUUUCCUACAACAAAGGAAUAUGUUUUAUUUAACUAUCAUGGUGGUUGAAACAUCAUUGAGAAGGUUCCUCCAACUCAAUCCCAAUUAAAAUAGUCAUUAACAUCCCAACAAAUUAAUUUAGAGUGAUGAGAUCAAAUCAAUAGUUCAAGUACCAGAUACUCAAGAUGUCCAUAACCGGGGACACGGCUAACCAUGUUUAGUUUGUACACUCUAUAGGGGUUUGCGCACUUUUCCCCACAAGACUCGAUCUCCUCCGUUGGAUUUCUUGCACUACAUGGUGUUUGAGAAACGGAUGACCGAGACACAGUCUUUCAGAAACAUUAACUCUUUACUCUGGGUGGACAGUUACACCUACUUUUGCCUACAUCUGCUAGCCCACCACUGAAAGAGUUCAUGCAACAUACUCAACUAUGCUAGAGCCCAUAAUAGCUUGUGGCUGCACACGGAAGUUUCUAGCAUGAAUAAUCUUAUGAUCCCUUCGAGCCUGGGUGGCGAACCAUAGGAUGAUCACACGGGUACUCCGGGAUAUCCUAGGACAACACUGGAUUCUCCAGGUGCCCAAACCAACAAUCCACCCAGAUGUGUAUUAAAGUAGCCACCUUAAGUUAACCAUUAAUUAAACACUCACAUCUGUCAUGGAUCUCUCAAACCAAACCACGUCUACGAGCAUAGCAUAGCAACAUAAGCAUAACGUAGAAGUAACUCCCAAGGUUUGAAUAUAAACAGGGCAAUAGGUUCUACCUCAUCAUCUACUUCCCAAUACCCACAUGUUAGCAAUUCCUAACCAUGCAAUGUUUGAGGGUUGAAACUAAUGCAUAAAAACUGGGUAUGAAAAGAGUAUGAUCAAUGUGUUACUUGCCUUGCUGACGAUCCGCAAAACCUAGUGACUCGUAGUAGCACGCUUCGCACUCCGGGAAUUCUAUCGCAAACAAACAAUAACAUACAUAAGCACUCAAGCAAAGAUGCACGGGUAAAACUCAAAUAAGAAGACCGAAUCUGAAAACUCAACUGAAGAGAUUCGAUCUGCAAAAAGAAUCAAUCGAAUCGGAGCUACGAAACUAAAACUACGGUCAAAAGAACUUCGAAUUCAAAUCUGUCUGAAACCAAAAUUUUAAAUUGUCAAAACCAUGUUCAAGUUGAUUAAACAGAACGAGGGGUUCUAGACGAAGAUUUUGGCGUUGGUUUCACUGGAUUUGGACAAACGGUAAAGAAACAGCGAGGGUUUGAAGAUCAGGGGCUAAUCUGCGAUAAAAGUAAUCGCAGAUAGGUCCCUGGCCAAAAAAUAAAAUAAAAAGAAAAAGACUAAUGAACGUUCGCUGUCUGAACCUAACCGGCGAACAGUGUUCGUUAAAACGAACGAACGGACGAACGUCCGCUAAAUAAAUAAACCAGCGAAAAACCGAACCGAUCUAAAAAAAUAAACCGAUCUAGGGUUUUUAAGAAAACCGGGAUUUAUGCCCAAAAAAACCAAAAAAACCAGCGGCGGCUUGAGGUCAACGGCAGCGGCGGGGCGGCGUCCGGCGGCGUGCGCACGGCGNNNNNNNNNNNNNNNNNNNNNNNNNNNNNNNNNNNNNNNNNNNNNNNNNNNNNNNNNNNNNNNNNNNNNNNNNNNNNNNNNNNNNNNNNNNNNNNNNNNNNNNNNNNNNNNNNNNNNNNNNNNNNNNNNNNNNNNNNNNNNNNNNNNNNNNNNNNNNNNNNNNNNNNNNNNNNNNNNNNNNNNNNNNNNNNNNNNNNNNNNNNNNNNNNNNNNNNNNNNNNNNNNNNNNNNNNNNNNNNNNNNNNNNNNNNNNNNNNNNNNNNNNNNNNNNNNNNNNNNNNNNNNNNNNNNNNNNNNNNNNNNNNNNNNNNNNNNCGAUGGUGAGAGGUGGCGGGGGGCGCUAUAUAGGAGAGGGGGGCUCGGCGGCUUAGGGAGGGGGUUGAGGAGGAGUCCUCGGACGCGGCGGCGGCGACGUGCGCCGGCCGGACUCCCGGUAGGAGUCGGUCGGGGCGAGGCGGUGGGCUGCGGCUGCCUGGCUCGGCUCGGCCGUUGGCCUAGUCGGGACCGUGACUUCUUUUAAAAAAAAAUUCCACCGAGAAAAAUCCUAAAUAAAUAAAAAUAAAAAUCUAAAAAUGCCAAAAACAAUUUCACCGUCUAAAUAGAAUAUUUAGAACUUAGUGAACAUUUUCUUGGCCUAAAAAUGCAAUUUUGAAAAAUGCAUAUUUUUUUCUAAUUCAAAUAAAAUAGCAAUGAAAUCCAAAUAAAAUUAUUUAUUUGAUUUUAACAUUUUUCCUCUAAUAUUUCCUUUAUUUUGGAGAAGUCAUAUUAUCUCCUCUCAUAUAUUUUAAUUAGAAAUAUUUUCGGAGAGAAAAAUAAUUAAAACCAAAGUGAUCCUUGUUUCGAUAUUUGAGAAAAUUCAAAUAUAAAAUUCGUGAAAUCCCCAACUCUCUCCGUGGGUCCUUGAGUUGCUUAGGAUUUUCUAGGAUCGCAAAACAAAAUGCAAUGAAAUAUGAUAUGCAUAGAUGACCUAUGUAUAACAUUCCAAAUUGAAAAUUUGGGAUGUUACAUUCAUCAUCCCAGCGCUCUCCAUGACGAGGAAGGAGUAGUUCACCCUCGGGGCUGUGGGUAUGUACCAGUAGCUAUGUGUUUGAUCUCUCUCUCUCUCUCUCUCUCUCUCUCUCUUUCUCUCUCGCUCUCUCUCUCUCUCAUGUUCUUGAUAUGGCGCGAUCUUGAUGUAUCGAGCUUUGCUAUUAUAGUUGGAUCGUAUGAUGGUUCUCCCCCUCUAUCUUCUUGUAAUGGAUUGAGUUUUCCCUUUGAGGUUAUCUUAUCGGAUUGAGUCUUUAAGGAUUUGAGAACACUUUAUGUAUGUCUUGCAUGUGCUUAUAUGUGGUGACAAUGGGAUAUUCACGUGAUCUACUUGAUGUAUGUUUUGGUGAUCAACUUGCGGGUUCAGUGACCUUGUGAACUUAUGCAUAGGGGUUGGCACACGUUUUCGUCUUGACUCUCCGGUAGAAACUUUGGGGCACUCUUUGAAGUUCUUUGUGUUGGUUGAAUAGAUGAAUCGGAGAUUGUGUGAUAUAUAUCGUAUAAUCAUACCCACAGAUACUUGAGGUGACAUUGGAGUAUCUAUGUAACAUUAUGGUUUUGGUUGAUUUGUGUCUUAAGGUGUUAUUCUAGUACGAACUCUAGGAUAGAUCGAACGGAAAGAAUAGCUCCGUGUUAUUUUACUACGAACUCUUGAAUAGAUCGAUCAGAAAGGAUAACUUUGAGGUGGUUUCGUACCCUACAAUAAUCUCUUCGUUUGUUCUCCGCUAUUAGUUACUUUGGAGUGACUCUUUGUUGCAUGCUGAGGGAUGGUUAUAUGAUCCAGUUAUGUUAUUAUUGUUGAGAGAACUUACACUAGUGAAAGUAUGAACCCUAGGCCUUGUUUCCUAGCAUUGCAAUACCGUUUACGCUCACUUUUACCACUUGCUACCUUGCUGUUUUUAUAUUUUCAGAUUACAAAAACCUAUAUCUACCAUCCAUAUUGCACUUGUAUCACCAUCUCUUCGCCGAACUAGUGCACCUAUACAAUUUACCAUUGUAUUGGGUGUGUUGGGGACACAAGAGACUCUUUCUUAUUUGGUUUCAGGGUUGCUUGAGAAUGACCAUCUUCAUCCAACGCCUCCCACGGAUUGAUAAACCUUAGGCCAUCUACUUGAGGGAAAUUUGCUACUGUCCUGCAAACCUCUGCACUUGGAGGCCCAACAACGUCUACAAGAAGAAGGUUGUGUAGUAGACAUCAGUGGGCACAACCACCUGGGCGCGCCAGCAGCCCCAGGCGCGCCCUGGUGGGUUGUGGUCCCCACGUGGGCCCCUCACUUACCUCUUUAGCCCAUGUCACCACCUACCUCCAGAAAAAAUUCACCAUUGCUCUCUCUCUCUCUCUCGUGUUCUUGCCCUCAAACCCGCGGAUUUCGAUCUCUUUUCUCAAAGCUCCAUUUCCGAAACUGUUGUGGGGCAUUGCUUCUUGGUAUGUGACUCCUCCAUUAGUCCAAUUAGUUAUUCUUUUAGUGGUUUAUAUUUUGAAUAAUUAGCUACUCUUGGUGCUGCUGUAGAUGAGCUUGCAUGUUGAAUUCUUAGAGUUCUAAGUGGUUUGAAUGCUUAAUAUGGUGUCGGAGUAAAUGGCCACGGGUAGCUUAACUGACUACCCCUGGUUCUUCAGAAAAAUUAUCAGGCCUUUGGGCCUUCAAGCACUCCAAGCAUUUGGGCCGCCUUCCCUGGCCGGGUACCUCUGAAGCCGACUCCCGGAAGGCGACCCAGCCUCAAGCAACCCCUCCCCAGGACGACUACGGGGUGGCCGACUCCAAGAAGCCGGCCAAGAAGGACGCCGACUCCUAGCAGCCGGCCGAGACCACAACCACCAAAGCUGUUCCCACAUAACGGCGACAAGACGGGGUGUGGCCACAGUGCGGCCCACUACCCCUGAAGCCCGAGGCGGGCAUGGCUACAGGAGGCCGUACGGGACGGCCGUCUCCCAUACGGCUCGGCACUGUAGCCAUGUUAGCCUCGACGUCAUCCAUGACUGACUCCCGUACGGCCCACGGGCGGCGGGCCCCUUUAGCCAGAGAGAGACGUGGAGGCGGCCCGGCCUUUCCCAGUCGGCCAAGGGCGUAGCCGGCCCCCCGAAGCCGGCUACUCCCUUCCUCGAAGCAGGAGCCCCAUUAAGGAGACAAGACGAGGUAAGGCUACAGUGAGAGCCCCCGAGGCGGCCCACUGUAGCCACGCUUACCUCGACAAAGCCCUCGUCAUCAGAGGCGAGGCUACAGUAAGCAGCCGCCGACAAGACCCUAGGCGGUGGGGCCGGCCUGUCGACCAAGAAGCCGGCAGCCGGCGGGACCCAACAGCCGGCGGAGAAGCCGGCGAGCGUAGACACUGACGGCUGGGACCAGAGCCCAGCCGGAUUACCGUUGAACCCCCGGGGGGUAGGCCUAUAUAAACCCCCCGGAGCACCCAUGCAAAGGGUUGGCCUCUGAGCAUAGAGUUGGCUUCUAAGCACAGCACACACACCAUAGAUAGAGAGAAGUAAGAGCUAGCCUUGUUCUUCUUCUCCCUCGAACCCAAACAGCUCUAGGAGCGAUUGUAGCUACUUUCACCGAUCUAGUGAUCAUGCGGAGACCCCGCAGAGCAGGACUUGGGGUGUUAUCUCCUCGGAGAGCCCCAAACCUGGGUAAGAUCCGCCGGCGUGCAUGUCUUCGCCUCAUCCCGUUUCCAGGCACCGGCGACGUUUUAUUGGCACCCACAAUGAUAAGCCAUCCCUUGGCAUAUGUCUCACCAACCACCCGACAUUUGGCGCCCACCGUGGGGCCAGGUGCACCGUCGUCCGGAGACCUGUUCUGGACGGGAACCCUCUUCCUCCCCCGCGAGCGCAGCCAGCCUGCUGCGCCCGAUGGUGUUUGCCUCGACGUGCUGCAAGGCGUCGACGAUGCCUGCGCAGCGAGCUACCUCGCCGAUCUGCUCGGCGAGACCCGCAUCUCCGACGAGCCUGCGUCCGACGCAGGCACCGACUACCCCGAGAGCCGCCUCGUCAGCCUCCUCGACCAGCUUCACAUCUCCAGCGAGCCCGCUGCAGAUGUGGAGUCGGUCGGCUCCACCGACCCGAUGCUCGUCGACUCCGACACCGCAUCGCUUGACGCCUACCCCUCCGACGUGGUGGUCUUCGAUGACCCCCUCCCUCGAGCUGACAGCGGUAGCAGCGCUGUCACCAAAGUGCUGGUCAUCAGCCACGUCGCCAACUCGAGCGAGAAUGCCCACGACGCUCUGCAAGCGGCGAUGCACGACCUCUCCGUCCCCAUCCCGUCCGAUGCCGACGCCGAGACCCUGGAGGCACGCCGCCUCGCCCUCAUCGCGGAGGGCCAGAAGAUAGCCUCCAUGAGACGCCUCACCGAGGCCCACCAGCGGGAAGUCGACCGCGCCGCCUUCGGAACGCCGCCGCCUAGCGUCCCGAGCCGAGCUGGCUUCGUCCAGAAGAGCGGCGCGGCCGUUGCCAGCAUGCUGGGCGCAGAUCGCCCCGUCUACGCCACCCCGCUCGAGAAUCUGCGAGCCGCUCAGGCGGCUGCAGAGGAGCUCAAUGGGCUGGGAGCCGAUGAGCUCCCCUACAUGACGAGACGGAUCCAGCAGCUGCUCGACGCGGCUGCAGAACGGCACGAAGCCGGCGCCCGUGCUGAUAGUCAUCCCCCGCGCCGGGAGCACGCCGUGAUGUCUCGCUCGCCGACUGCGAGCGGCGCGCGCCAGAAGAAAGACAAGGAGCCGGCUGCCAGCCGCAGCUGGACUCGCAUCACCAUCGAGCGCGACGCGGAGGGCCGCCCUCGAGCAGUAGAACACCAAGGAAAUCUGCCUCCUCCCCCGCCUCGAAGAGAAAGACGCCUCACUCCGCCGCCCAUCACACAUUCGACUCUUGGCGACCGACUCGGCCGCCGAGAAGGAGUCGGCGAGAAUGACGCCCGCCACAGGAUCGACCGCCUUGCUCGAUCCUUGGCGUUAGAAGAAGAAGACGAUGUCGGCCCGCCAUGCUUUGGCCCCCGCAUCCGCGACGAGCCCUUCCCCAAAGGGUUCUCGCUCCCCAGAGACACGCCCAAGUACAACGGCUCGGUGAAGCCGGAAGAUUGGCUCAUCAACUACUCCACGGCCGUUAGCAUAGCCAACGGAAAUCGGCGCGUCGCCGUGAAGUAUGUCCCCCUCAUACUGCAAGGCACGCCACGCACAUGGCUCAACAGCCUCAAGCCCUACAGCAUCAACAGUUGGCUGGACUUCACCGAAGUCUUCGUCCGCAACUUCACCAGCACCUACAAGCGGCCUCCCAAGCCUCGCCAGCUCUCCCUCUGCGUCCAAGGGCCAAACGAGUCGACCCGCGACUACCUCACGCGAUGGGCCGAGCUCCGCAACUCCUGCGAGGGAGUGCACGAGGUCCAGGCCAUCGAGUACUUCACCACCGGGUGCCGAGAGGGCACCCUCCUCAAGCACCGACUCCUCUGCGACAAGCCGGCUACCCUCGACGAGUUACUAGUCAUCGCCGAUAAGUACGCCACUGCUGACUCCUCGAUGAAAACCGAGCUCCGAGUAGACGCCUCGGGGAAGGUGAUUGCUCCGGCUCCCAAGACGCCGGCUGGCGACCCUAAUCGGCGCCCCUACCAGAACGACCACAAGCGUGAGGGCCCCAUGCCGACUUCCUCCAGUCGGCAGGUGGCCACCGUUGAAGACGAGCAGCCCGAAGAGCGGCCUGCUCCCAAGAAGAAGGGUGGAAGGCCGCCUUGGCAGCCGUCUUUCUCCUACGAGCAGGCUCUCGAUGCCCCCUGCAAAUUCCACAGCGGCGCGAAGCCGUCCAACCACACAACCCGGAAAUGCCACUGGCUCACCCGCAUCACCAAGGGCGAAGGGAUGUUGCCGCCUCCGCCUCCCGGCCCGCCGCCUCCGGCCCCCCAGCAGCCGGCGGCUCGGCCGGCAGUCGGCGCCAUCCAAGACAAAUUUCCCGAAGAGCACGCCGCCUACGUCGUCUUCACCAGUCAAGCCGACGACAAGCGUAGCCGACGCCGCCAGCACCAAGAAGUGAAUGCAGUCGCCACCAGCGCCCCCGAGUUCAUGCACUGGUCAGAAAAGCCAAUUAGCUGGAGCCAGGCCGACCACCCAGAGGUGAUGCCUUCGCCCGGCUCCUAUGCAAUGGUCUUGGACGUCACCCUCGCGACGGAGAGGCAAGCUGCCAGAUUUUCCCGCGUCCUGAUAGACGGCGGAAGCAGUAUCAACAUACUGUACCGCGAUACCAUGGAGAAGCUGAACAUCAAAGCGAAGCAGCUCAUGCCGAGCCGCACUGUCUUCCAUGGUAUCGUCCCUGGCCUGUCUUGCUCCCCAAUCGGCAAGAUCAAAAUGGAUGUUCUCUUCGGAGACAAAGAUCAUUUUCGCCGAGAAGCAAUAUGGUUCGAGGUAGUGGAUUUGGAGAGCCCCUAUCAUGCACUGCUUGGCCGACCUGCUUUGGCCAAGUUCAUGGCUGUGCCUCACUACGCCUACCUGAAGAUGAAGAUGCCGAGCUCGAAGGGGAUCAUCACGGUAGCCAGCGACUACAAGAAGUCCAUCGAGUGCGCCAUGGCCAGUAGCCGGCUGGCCGAGUCCCUCGUGGUGGCAGAAGAGAAGAAGAUGUUGGAACGGGUUGUGGCCAUGGCCGGCAAGCAGCCGGCCUUGUCCCCCAACCCCAAGGAUUGUGAUGCGCAGGGCUCCUUCCAGCCUGCCAAAAAGACGAAGAAGAUACCUCUGGACCCGGAGAAUCCGGAGAGGUUCGCUGUGAUUGGGGCGAACUUGGACAGUAAAUAGGAAGGCGAGCUCGUCGACUUCCUCCGUGAGAAUCGAGACAUCUUUGCAUGGUCCCCAAAGGACAUGCCGGGUGUCCCGAAGGAUUUCGCCGAGCACAAAUUACAUGUCCGAGCUGAUGUGAAGCCGGUCAAGCAACCCCUCCGCCGACUAUCAGAAGAGAAGCGAUGAAUUGUGGGAGAAGAGAUAGCCCGGCUCCUUGCCGCCGGCUUUAUCAUGGAAGUGUUCUUUCCAGAGUGGCUUGCCAACCCAGUUCUGGUUCUGAAGAAGAAUAACAAGUGGCGUAUGUGUAUAGACUACACGAGUUUGAACAAGGCCUGCCCAAAGGAUCCGUUUGCUCUGCCACGGAUUGACCAAGUGAUAGACUCCACAGCCGGAUGUGAGCUGUUAAGUUUUUUGGAUGCAUACUCAGGGUAUCAUCAGAUCAAGUUGGACCCGGCUGACCGCCUGACUGCCUUCAUCACACCCUUUGGAGCUUUCUGCUACCUGACAAUGACAUUCGGCUUGAGAAAUGCCGGUGCCACUUUUCAGCGUUGCAUGCAGAAAUGUCUCUUGAAACAACUCGGCAGAAAUGCCCACGUCUACGUAGACGACAUUGUGGUGAAGACAGAGAAGCGCGGUACCUUGCUGGAAGACCUGAAAGAAACAUUCGCCAACUUGCGCCGAUUCGAGAUCAAGCUCAACCCCGAGAAGUGCGUGUUCGGAGUGCCAGCCGGCCAGCUGCUAGGCUUCCUGGUGUCCGAACGCGGCAUUGAGUGCAACCCUGUCAAGAUCAAGGCCAUCGAGAGGAUGGAGAUUCCCACCAAACUACGAGAUGUGCAGAAGUUCACUGGUUGCUUAGCCUCUCUGAAUCGUUUUAUCAGCCGACUAGGCGAGAAGGCCCUCCCCCUGUACCGACUCAUGAAGAAGUCCACUCACUUCGAGUGGAAUGAUCAAGCCGACCAAGCCUUCCAUGAGUUGAAGAAAAUGCUGACCACUCCGCCUGUCCUGGCUGCGCCGACUGAGAAGGAGCCCAUGCUCCUCUACAUCGCCGCGACUAGCCGAGUCGUCAGCACUGUUGUUGUGGUCCAGCGCCCGGAGGAAGGCCGAGCCCAGCUAGUCCAGAGGCCGGUGUACUAUCUCAGCGAAGUGCUAUCCAGCUCGAAGCAAAACUACCCGCACUACCAGAAGAUGUGCUAUGGGGUGUACUUCGCUGCCAAGAAACUGAAGCCCUACUUCCAAGAGCACCCCAUCACGGUCGUGUGCACCGCCCCGCUUGCCGAGAUCAUAGGCAGCCGGGAUGCAUCCGGCCGGGUGGCCAAAUGGGCCAUUGCAUUGGCGCCCUACACGAUCUUCUAUCAACCCCGCACCGCCAUCAAGUCACAAGCAUUGGCCGAGUUCCUCGUCGACUGGGCCGAGACCCAGUACCUACCGCCGGUUCCCGACUCUACCCAUUGGCGGAUGCACUUUGACGGGUCCAAGAUGCGCACCGGCUUGGGAGCCGGCAUCGUCCUCACCUCUCCCAAAGGCGACAAGCUCAAGUACACGCUGCAGAUCCACUUCGCCGCCUCCAACAACGUGGCCGAGUAUGAGGCGCUCGUACACGGGCUCCGGCUAGCCAAAGAGCUUGGCAUACGCCGGAUCCUGUGCUACGGCGACUCAGACUUGGUGGUCCAGCAAUCGUCUGGCGACUGGGACGCCAAGGACGCGAACAUGGCGAGCUAUCGUUUCCUCGUCCAACAGAUAAGCGGAUACUUCGAAGGGUGCGAGUUCCUUCACGUGCCAAGGGCCGACAACGACCAAGCAGAUGCCCUAGCACGGAUCGGCUCCACCCGACAAGCCAUACCGACUGGCGUCUCCCUCCAGCGCCUCCUCAAGCCAUCCAUCAAGCCGUCUCCAAAGUCGGAUUCCAUCUUCGUACGGCCUGCGCUAGAUAUAGCCGGAUCCGACUGGAGAAAUCCCGCAGGCGGCACGGGGACUUCGACAACUGGCCCGGGGACUGCCGUAGUCGCACCCGGCCCGGGGACUUCAGAACCCGGCCCGGGGACUGCAGCAGUCGGCCCGGGGACUGCAACGACACAAGAAGCGGUGGCCGACUCCAAUUCAACGCCACCCAACCCACCCACCCGAGUCAUGGUGGCCACAUUAACAGAAGAAGAAGUCACAGCUCCCUCAUGGGCCCAGCCCAUCCUCAAGUUCCUAGUCAGCAGAGAGCUGCCGGCUGAUGAAAUCUCAGCAAGACUAGUGCAACGACGAGCCGCAGCAUAUACAAUAAUCAACAGAGAGCUUGUGAAGCGCAGCGUCACUGGAGUUUUCCAGCGUUGUGUCGAGCCAGAAAAAGGAGUGGCAAUCCUUCCCCCGAAGCCGGCUACUCCCUUCCUCGAAGAAGGAGCCCCAUUAAGGAGACAAGACAAGGUAAGGCUACAGUGAGAGCCCCCGAGGCGGCCCACUGUAGCCACGCUUACCUCGACAAAGCCCUCGUCAUCAGAGGCGAGGCUACAGUAAGCAGCCGCCGACAAGACCCUAGGCGGUGGGGCCGGCCUGUCGACCAAGAAUCCGGCAGCCGGCGGGACCCACCAGCCGGCGGGACCCAACAGCCGGCGGAGAAGCCGGCGAGCGUAGACACUGACGGCUGGGACCAGAGCCUAGCCGGAUUACCGUUGUACCCCCGGGGGGUAGGCCUAUAUAAACCCCCCGGAGCACCCAUGCAAAGGGUUGGCCUCUGAGCAUAGAGUUGGCUUCUAAGCACAGCACACACACCAUAGAUAGAGAGAAGUAAGAGCUAGCCUUGUUCUUCUUCUCCCUCGAACCCAAACAGCUCUAGGAGCGAUUGUAGCUACUUUCACCGAUCUAGUGAUCAUGCGGAGACCCCGCAGAGCAGGACUAGGGGUGUUAUCUCCUCGGAGAGCCCCGAACCUGGGUAAGAUCCGCCGGCGUGCAUGUCUUCGCCUCAUCCCGUUUCCAGGCACCGGCGACGUUUUAUUGGCACCCACAAUGAUAAGCCAUCCCUUGGCAUAUGUCGCACCAAUCACCCGACAUAUGGCCUCUAUGCAUCCUUAUGAGUAGUUGCUAUCGAUCUUGUAAAGUUUUAUUGAAAAGAAAAUUAUACGCAAAUAAUAUGAACUUCUUUGGAAGGAGUUCUUCGAGGCGGAGGUCCUUGGAGGCAUCUUCUAGUAGUGGCUUAACCCGUCGGUCUUAUGUUGAACCAUGUGCAAGUUCAAUACAGGAUGCCGCUACCAAAUCAUGCUUAUGGCUGUGCGACAAUUUCAUGUUGAGUGCAGGUAUUAAAGAAGAAUUUGAGCAAUAUGUUCACAACGCUGAGCUCGGUCCCUACAUCCAAGAUAAGUGCAACCAGUACCUCAGUCUAUCAGAAUCGUUUACUAAAGAGUUUAAAUUUCAUCCUCGUGAGUCUAGAGUCUCGUUUAAACUUUAUGACCGUUCGCUUACCAUGCCUCUAGACGCGUUUAGUGGUGUGUGCAAAAUUCCAUUUUGGGGUUUGUUAGAUGAACCACCAAGAUCUGAGUAUGAAACAUUUUUGACUAGCCUUUGCGAUGGUGAAACUAGAGGAGUGACACAUGGUAGAAUAAGAAGCAUUCAUUUCCCAUCAAUUCAAUACUUUGCACUGUUUAAUGGAAAAUGCAUCGUAGGCAAACAAGACUGUAGUACACUUUGUGCUCCUGAUUUGAGUUUCAUACAUACUGCUCUCACCGGUGUUAAAUGCUAUAACCUUGGAGCGACUGUUGCACGUAGAUUGCAGCACAAUGUUGGUAGUGCAUAUUUUUAUGGUGGGAUUUAUACUUCACGUUUAGCAGAGGAGUUCCGUGUAUCACCUUGGCCUAAUGAUACCAUCCUUCCUACCUAGUACCUAGACUUUGAGGCCAUGAAGUGUCAUAAGUACCUUAGUGGUGGAAUUAAUCGUUAUACAUAUAACUUACUAUUUAAUUAAAAGUCCGUCGUGGACACCUUUUUGCCUGCGCUUGCUCUCUUUGGUUAUGACAACAAGGGAAGAUAUUAUGUACUUGAGACCGAGGCCCACGCACACAACACACAGGUUGUGGCUGCUCGGCAGGCUGAGGAGGCUGCACCAAGAGCCUCCGUGAGCUAUCACUCUGAUUAUUAUGCAGGCUACAGACGGUGAUUACCAAGCUAGGCCAAAAGCCUAAGCUUGGGGGAGUACGUAUUUCCACCGACAUUACAUUCAUGUUCACACAUUUCAUUUCAGUUGUCGGUUGUCGGUGGAAAACGACACCUAUGGGAUCACAAGAAUCCCUACUACAGUUGCCGGGGCGCGGGGUCGUGAGAAGAGCAGGAUUAACAGUCAACACAAGGAUCGUUUACCUAGGUUCGGGCCGCGAGGAUGCGUAAAACCCUAGUCAUGCUUUGGUGGAUGUAUUGAGUGUUCUUGAGCUUUCGAACUAGCUACGGUGGCUCUGUAGUUCAAAAGAGCCGAAUCCCUCUCCCGUACGCCAUGGGCCUCCUUUUAUAGUCGAAAGGGGCUGCCACAGUGGCACACAGGAGGUGGAAAGGCCUACAGUACUGCGAGCUUAUCACCCGUAUUACAGGACAAGACGCAUUUAAUGCAUCGCUUAGGUGUCCCUUAGCUUUAUCGGGGACGGGAACGAGGCCCGUCCCGUCCAUCGCCACUCCUCCUCGCUUGGACACGCACCCUGGCCAGCGAUGCAUGCGGUGCCAUGUAGGCAGGCAGGCAGCUGAGGUGGCGCGGUGGUAGGGUCUUCAUGAAGAUAUGCAUGCCGCCACGCACGCGCUUGUUGAGUUGGCCUGGGAGGCGCAUGUCGCCACGCAUACAUGCUAAUGGUGGUGGAAACUUGGCUGGCGCGGGCCUGGCAGUGGCCCCGCUGAUGUCCUUGGCAAGGGCCUUGCUGGGGGCCCGCCAAGGGUCUUGCCACGGUGUUGCAGUCAUCCCCGGCAAGGAUCUUGCCGGGGGUCUUCUGGCUUCCCUCGGCAAGGAUCUUGCCGAGGACUGUUGUCUUCUGAUCCUCAUCUGAUCUUGGGUGUUUACGAUCUUGACAAAGAUCUGGCCACCACGGAGGUGCCUCCUGAGCCCCAGUCCCAACGUGGUUGAUGGUGUUGGAAACUGUGGGCUCAAGGGUGGCGCGCUCCGCUGGUGUUGGGCGAGCUGCCCCGGCAAGGGUCUUGCCGGGGCCGCUGAGACUGCCCCGGCAAGGGUCUUGCCGGGGGAACCUGCUUCGUCCCUCUGCUCUUCGUGUUCUCGGCCUUGGCGCUGCCUCGGUUGCCUUGUGCUUCGGCUUCUCUCCGGCUCCCCUCCCUUGCCCUGCUACGUGUGGCUGUGGCGCGCGGUUCUGACUGCCCGUGCACAAGUAUAGGGGUCAAAAGGAGCGCCCCUACUUUUGUACACGAUAGGAGCCCCCAGGCCUGGGCCACACAUGAGCGCGACACAUUGUUGGGCCAGGCCCAAAACGGUGCGUGGGCAGUUGGGGCAGGAUUUUAUCGCAGUAACUAUUCGUCCGCUGCGCUUCUCCAUGACCUGCGCGACGUGGAGUGUCGUGCGUGACGUGGGGGUCAUGCGUGGGGCGGUUUCUGCAUGCAUGCGUCACAUUGUGGUAAAGAGGCGGCUCGCGCCUUCCCCAUAAAAAGAGGGAGGGGUGGAGGACUCGAGUCGCAGUCUUCAAGGCGUCCACGCCCCAUGAUCAUGGGGCGGGGAACGGUCGCCUCACCCGUCCCUUGGAUCCUGUUCGCUCGCCACGCGUCCUCCAUGCAAGUGGCAGGCGGGAAACCGGGCCGUCGCUGAUUGGGGCAGCGGGUUGGUCCUGAUUCCCUGCGCUUCAGAUGGCUGGAUUGGCUGAGUGGGGCAGCCGAGCCUCGACCCCGCCCCUUUAUAAGGAGGGGGAGAGGGGGCGUCAUCCCGCAUUCCUUCCGUAUCCAUCCUCCUUCACCUUUGCUUCUUCCUUCCACCUGCCAUAACGAGAGGAGGUGCUGGGCCUUCGACGGUGGCGGCGAGGGUUGCUGCUCGUCAGCGCGUCCCUCCUUCCCGCGAGCCCGCGGCGGCGGAGCCAGCCAUGAGAGGAAGGGGGAGGGGGCGUGGCCGAGGUCGCCGUGGCAGUCGGGGGAGAGGGGGACGAGGCGGUGCGAUGGCCGUGCCUCCGCCAGCGGUGCCUCCCGCGAUGGAGGGUCAUGUCGGCGACCAGCCCCGCGAGUUCUUCAUCAGGCUGCGCCAGCCACCGCGUCGUCGUCUCCGUCUCCCCACCCGCUUCACUCAAGAGAUGGAGCUUGAUCCACCCCAGACCCUCAGAUUGCACAUGAGGGGCUGCGGGACCGGCAGCACGCGGGUCGACGUUGACUUCCCCGCUCCUCAUGUUAUGUAUCUCCGUCGCGGAUGGAAGACAUUUGCCCGCAUCCAUAGCCUGACGGUGGGGCUCGUCCUCUACUACAAGUUAAUGGAGGGCGGCCUGCUCUCCGUCAAGGUCUUUGGAGAUCUUGGCACUCGCCUGAAGUGCUGCGUGGAGAGCUCCUCUGACGAUGAAGAUUCCUCCUCAAGCGGGAGUGACGAGGAGGACAGCGACAACGGCAACGAGGGAGUCGAGCGGCAGGAUGGCGACUACGACUUCGACUAACCGCGCCGCCCCUCCGUCGGCCACGCGCCCUGCCGAGGGCCAUCCUCGCCAAGCUCUCCAUCGGGGUGCUCCCCGUCGUCUCCUUGGGCGGCUGGCGUAGGAGGACCGGAGAAGGUGAAGAAGGCGGGUGGCGGCCGUCAACUCGGAGUACAAGGGCACUGACGCCUUCGUCGCGUAUUGCCGGCCCGCUGCCCCGUCUUCCAGCUCCUUUCCCGACACCAAGAUGUUCUCUUGGUGCCUUCUGCUCCUCGCACCUCGCCUAGGCGCCCCUUUUGCCCUCUCUCUGUCUUGCUCCACCUUCUGAGGACAGGGACAAGAAAGGGAUUACGGGCACCUUAUCUCUUUUUAAUUUGUAAGCCUGCGGGUACUUGUUAAUUUUAAGACUUGUAACUCCCCUUGCUCAUGUUUUUAAUUCCGUAUGAAAUGUACCUGUAUGGGAUGUUUUUAAUGAAAAAUGGUGUUUGUCGGGUUCUUUGUGCGUGAGCGAGGCCCAUGCCAAGGACGAAUCCUUGUUAUUUUUAAUGUAAACAUUGUCGCCCGGCAACAGGCCUUGCCGUUUCCCCACUUUAGUCGACCAUUCUCGCGCUCUUGGCGGAGGCAGGGUGAAGUAGAGUUAGGCCCCCCGUUCAUCUCCUCGCCACCGCGACUACUACCAAAUCCUGACCCAGGAGGUAGCUCUCAGGUACAUGAAAGGGGGAGCACGGUGGUUUUAGUAAUAUAAACGAGGUUUCACAUAUCCUAGUUCUAUACGGAAACACAUAACAGGGGAUGUAAGACUUAUCUGAAUCCGCAGCCCCCGGCAACCUUGGCUUGCCGUGGUUGGAUCCUUGUAUCUUCAGCCCCCGGCAGCCUUGCCCUGCCGGGGCUGGAGCGCCGGGUCGUUCUCCUUUUCCCAAGCGGCUCAGCAGAAGUGCCCUGCGAACCAAAGAGAACAGAAAGACGCAUACUCGACCUCUAGGCUAGGGGUUAGUCGCUGCUAAGCACUACCAACCCUAACUGAUGGAGAGACUUAACCUAGCAUGCAUGCUAUAACUUAGGGCGCCAGUGCUUCAUUUAUUUAUGCUCAGGGUAUGCACCUGUCUUUGUACAGAGGGUUACAUGCCUUGCCGGCAAAAAGCUUGUCCAAAAGGUGGCUUGACAGGAAGCCCGACAAGCCGCGCCUUAUGGGUAAAACUUGCAAAGAUGCUCGAUGUUCCAGGAGUUGCUCACUGGGACAGCAUCUUCGGUCUCCAGGUGGACUGCGCCGGGCCUGGUGACUCGUAUUACCCGAUAAGGGCCUUCCCACUUUUGGCGUCAACUUGUUGGAAUUCUUGGCCGACUGAACAUGCCGAAGAACAAGGUCGCCUUCCUCAGAGCUUCGGGCAUGAACCUUGUGGCUACGAUAGCGGCGCAAGGCUUGCUGGUAGCGUGCUGCUCUCACAGCCACCCGAAGACGAUCUUCCUCAAGGAGCGUUGCGACAUCUUGCCACAAUAGCUCUUGCUCAAGCUCGUCGUAAGUGAGCACUCUAGGUGACCCGUAUGUGAGUUCCGUGGGGAGAACUGCUUCUGCCCCGUAUACCAGGGCAAAGGGUGUCUGGCCGGUGGCUCGAUUUGGCGUCGUCCUGAUCGACCAAAGAACCGCCGGCAACUCAUCAAUCCAGCGCCUUCCGCUCUUAUGCAGCUUGUCAAAAGUCUUUGUCCUCAGGCCUCGCAACACUUCAGCAUUUGCCCUCUCCGCCUGGCCGUUGCUCCGUGGGUGUGCCACGGAAGCAAAAUAGACCUUGCUGCCGAGGUCUUGGAUGUACCGCAUGAAGGUGUGGCUUGUGAACUGUGUGCCGUUGUCGGUGAUGACUCUGUUUGGUACACCAAAACGGCAGACUAGCCCCUUGAAGAACUUGACGGCUGACUGUGCUGUCACCUUCCUCACUGCUUCCACCUCCGGCCACUUUGUGAACUUGUUGAUCGCAACGUACAAGUACUCAAAGCCCCCGACAGCACGGGGGAAGGGGCCCAGUAUGUCGAGCCCCCAGACCGAAAAUGGCGAGGAGAGAGGGAUUGUCUGAAGGGCUUGAGUUGGUUGAUGAAGCUUCUUUGAAUGGAACUGACAUGCUUCACACUUGGUUACUAGUGUCGUUGCAUCUUGGAGGGCGGUGGGCCAGAAGAAACCCUACCGGAACGCCUUGCCGGCAAGGGCCCUCGACCCUAUGUGGGAGCCACAUAUGCCUCCAUGUAUCUCUGCCAACAGCUCCAAUUCUUCCUCCCGGGCGAUGCACUUUAAUUUCACACCGUUCGGUCUCUUUCUGUACAGGACGUCAUCGAUGAACUGGUACAAGGCAGACCGACGGGCUACUUUUUCCGCUUCUUCCUGCUCCUCAGGAAGUUCCCCUGCCUGGAGGAAACGGACGGUAUGUUGUGCCCACGCCGUAGCCUGGGGCUCGACGGCAAGCACCAAAGGCAUCUCUUCUGCCAUGGGAACGUCCGUCUCUAUGGCCAGGGCUUGACGGCCUGCCAGAGUCGGUCGCUCCUCGGCAGGCUCAGGGCCUACGGCAACACCCUUGCCGGUGGCCCCUGGGGGCUUGGUGGGAAAGUACUUGCCGGGGCCUGAUUUCCUCUGAUUGUUCUGCUCCAUUGAUGGUUCGACGGAUGGUUGAGUUAACCGAAGCAAAAAGGUACCUGGUUCCACAGGUAACAUGAAUGCAGCGCGCUUUGACAGGUAAUCGGCAAUGUCGUUCUCCGCUCGGGGAAUGUGCUCUGCUUGUAUACCAUCAAAGCGCUCCUCCAGCUUCCUCACCUCAUCUACGUAGGCCUCCAUCAACGGGCUCUGAUAAUCUUUGUUGACUUGUCUGAUGACAAUCUACGAAUCACCCCUGACGAUGAGCUUUUUAACUCCGAGGUCUACCGCGAUCCUGAGACCGGCAAGCAAUCCCUCGUACUCAGCAGUGUUGUUGGUGGACAUCUCCCUGGGAAAGUGCAUAUGGAUUACAUACUUGAGGUGCUCUCCGGUGGGUGCGACGAGCAGCACACCAGCACCGGCGCCUUGCAGCGAGAAAGCUCCGUCAAAGUACAUAAUCCAGUCACGAGCUGUUUCCUUGCCGGCGAGAUUGGUCUCCUGGAUCUCUUCAUCAGGCGUCGAGGUCCAUUCUACAAUGAACUCCGCCAGGACUCUACUCUGGAUUGUCGAAGUACUUUCAAACCUCAACCCAAAGCUAGACAACUCCAAGGCCCACUCCACAAUCCUUCCGGUUGCAUCUGGGUUGUGCAGUAUCCGUUGCAACGGGAGGCGGGUGACGACAGUUAUCUCGUGGGCUUGGAAGUAAUGAUGCAGCUUCCUCGAGGCCAUAAGGAGGCCGAAGAGCAAUUUCUGCACACCGGGAAUAUCUUGACCUAGCCCCCUACAAGAGGGAGCUGACGAAGUAAACCGGGUGCUGCAUCACCUUCUUCUUCUGCACCACUCCACUUGACGGCGCGGGCUCUGACCCGAUGGCGUCAGACUCUGCCGGGAGCCUUGCCUUGCCGGCACCUGGCCCUGCCGGGGGAGUCUGUAACUUGCCGUCUGCCGGUCCUGCCAUUGCCACCGCCUCCUCGUCGACCUCCCUCUCUGCCACCAGUGCGGCGUUGACCACUUGAUUCGUCGCUGCCAGAAAUAGCAGCAACGGCUCUUGUGGUUUAGGCGCAACCAGUAUCGGCAUAGAGGAAAGGUAUUUCUUCAGAUCCUGCAAUGCUGCCUCGGCCUCUGGGGUCCACUCCAUAGGGCCCGCCUUCUUCGAGAUCUUGAAAAAGGGAAGGGCGCGCUCAGCAGACUUGGAGAUGAAUCGGCUCAUGGCGGCAACAUAGCCAGUGAGCCGACGCACAUCCUUGAUCCGCUUGGGCGCCUCAAUCUACUCGAUAGCCUUGAUCUUGUCUGGGUUUGCCUCGAUCCCACGCUGCGACACAAAGAACCCGAGAAGUUUGCCGGACGGAACGCCAAAGACACACUUCUCAGGGUUCAGCUUGAGGUUGAUCUUGCGUAGGUUGGCAAACGUUUCUUCUAAGUCUUGUACAAGAGUUGUCCUGUCCUUGCUUUUGACUACUAUGUCAUCCAUAUAGGCUUCCAUAUUUCUAUGUAGCUGGGGUUCAAAACCAAUUUGGACUGCUCUUGCAAAUGUUGAACCAGCACUCUUCAACCCGAAAGGCAUCCGUAAAAAGCAAUACGUACCACAUGGGGUGAUAAAUUUUGUCUUCUCUCAUCUUCUCUUGUCAUGAUGAUCUGGUGGUAGCCCAAGUAGGCGUCAAGGAAUGACAACAAAUCACACCCGGCCGUGGAGUCAACAAUCUGGUCGAUGCGCGGCAACGGGAAGGGGUCCUUAGGACAAGCCUUAUUGAUAUCUGUGUAAUCAAUACACAGCCUCCACUUCCCAUUUGCCUUGCCCACCACCACCGGAUUGGCCAACCACGUCGGAUGGAGCACUCCUCUCACCAAACCUGUCGCUUCCAAUUUCCUGAUCUCUUCUGUGAUGAACUCCUGCCAUUCCAAAGCUUCCUUCCUGACCUUCUGCUUGACGGGUCGCGCAUGGGGACAAACAACAAGGUGGUGCUCAAUCACUUCCCUGGCAACGCCGGGGAUGCCGGAUGCUUGCCACGCAAACACAUCGACAUUCGCCUGCAGGGAAACGAUGAGCGCGCCUUCCUAUUUGCUAUCGAGGGUGGAGCUUAUGGUGAAAGCCCCUCCCGUGCCAUCCUCCUUGACGGACACCCUCUUGGUCUCUGGUGGUGCAACUCUGGAUUUCUUGCUCUUACCGGUGGAGCUCUCUGGCACGUCCUCGAUGGUAGCACAACACUCCGAAGAGGUGCGCUUGCCGGAGUGGGUGCAAGAGGUCUUGCCGGUCUUCUUCUUCCCUCCCGGGGCUUCAGCGGCAGGAGCAAGUGCCUUGGCGGCAGCUGCUGCAACUGCCUCCCGGUAGAGUAGGUCGGCGCAGAUAAUUGCGUCCUUCUUGUCGGAGGGGACGGUGAUGAUGUUCAUCGGCCCAGGCAUCUUCAGCGUGUUGUAAGCAUAGUGUGACGCCGCCAUGAACUUGGCCAGUGCCGGGCGGCCGAGGAUCCUGUUGUAGGGCAAGGGGAUCUCGGCUACAUCGAAGACAAUCCUCUCCGUCGUGUAGUUCAAAUCGCCUCCGAACGUCACAGGCAACGUGACCUUCCCCUUCGGCUGGCUCCUUCCUGGGUUGACCCCUUGAAAAGUGCCCAUUUCCUUAAGGUCUCCAUCAGGAAUUUGCAGCCUUUUGAUCACAACAAGCGAGAUCAAGUUCAGACCGGCCCCGCCGUCAACCAACAUCUUGUUCACCUUGAGGUUGCGUAUCGUUGGUGAAACCAACAAUGGCAAACACCCGACCGCAGUUGUGCGGUCAGGGUGGUCCUCGGCGUCAAAGAUGAGGGGCGUGCUAGACCACUUCAGUGGCUUCUGAGCGUCGAACGAGGGCUCCGCUGCUGUAAUCUCACGCGCCCACUGCUUGAGCUGGCGGUGAGAAGUAUGCAGCGAGGCACCACCAUCGACACACAUGGCCUCCGUAGCCUUCUGAAACUCAUGCUCGCAGGACUCGCCGUCCUCGUCAUGAUCAUCGUCUUCUUGCUUCUUGUCGCGGCCCCGAGCGGGCCUCUCUUGCUGGUUAUCCUUGCCGCAGCGACCUCCCUGGCCGCCAUGCUUCUUGCCGGAUCCUUCGGCACCAUCCUGACCAUUCUCCUUGUCCCGCCUCUCAUACUCGGCCUUUUGCUUCCCAGCAAGCAGCUCGACUUGCCGGCAGUUCUGGAGGUCGCGGCCCUUGGUGCGCUGGAUCUUGCAGUACUGCUUGUCGGAGCCCCCUGGCUUGUCGGCAGCUGCUAAGGCCCGGCAAGCGGCGCACCCGGCAAUCUCCUUGCCGGGGUCAUCUGCCUUGGCCUUCUUGGCAGCGCCGGUAUCAUCAGAUCCCUCGACGGCAAGCACGGCCUUGCCCUUGCGUUUCCUGUUAUGACACCGGCCCUUCUUUGUCAGGGCGGCGGUGUCUUCAUCAGUAGAGUCGGUUUCCGCGCCGGCGUCCUCGUCGGGGUACUUCCUUCCCUCUUCAGCCCAGGCGCACCUAUCGGCCAGAACAUAAAGUCCGGCCACGUCCUUAACCUUGUUCAUCGCCAGAUCCUCACACAUCUUGCGAUUGCGCACGUUCUGAUGGAACGCGCUAAUCACGGCCGCGGGGUGAACGUCGGGGAUGUUGUACUGCACCCGGCUGAACCUCUGUAUGUUCUUGCGCAUGUUUUCUCCUUCCAUCUGGGGAAUGAUAUGCAAAUCACUCGCCUUGCCAUGAGCUUGGUGGCCUCCAGUGAAGGCACCAACGAACUCAUGGCACAGGUCUGACCAAGAAGAAAUGGAGUCUGCCGGCAAGUGCAUCAACCAAGACAUGACAUUGGGUUUUAGGGCCAACGGGAAGUAAUUGGCAAGCACCUUGUCGUCACGAGCCCCAGCGGCUUGCAUCGCAAUGGUGUAGAUGCUGAGGAACUCCGACGGAUGGGUCUUGCCAUUGUACUUCUCACCGACGUCGGGCUUGAACGUGCGGUGGGACGGCCACUGGAACUACCGCAGCUCACGGGUAAAGGCUGGGCAACCCACCUCGUAAGGUAGGCCGCCGGAGCCUCCCGGGGCCAGGUGGUCCGCAGUGGGCCCUGCCCGCUUGUCCGACUGGUGGCGUGUAUUGCGCCGGCGCUCGAUGGUGGUUUUAGCGUCUUCAUGGGAUCGCUCCCGAAGAACUUGGCGCUGGCCGCGGUGGGUCCAUGGGUCGGACGACGCUAUGGAAAUGUUAUCACAUGCGUCGUCACGACGGAUUGACACUGGGGGUAGCUGGCGUGGGGGAGGAGAGUGCACUGUGGCCGCAGCUCCCCCGGUCCUUCCCCCGCUGGCAUGUGGUGGCUCGACGGAGCGCCGGUCCGAGGGCCCCGCCGGCCGUGGCUCGUCUUUGUUGGCGACUGUCGGUGUCAAAACCGGCGGAUCUCGGGUAGGGGGUUCCGAACUAUGCGUCUAAGGCAGAUGGUAACAGGAGGCGGGGGACACGAUGUUUACCCAGGUUCGGGCCCUCUCGAUGGAGGUAAUACCCUACUUCCUGCUUGAUUGAUCUUGAUGAUAUGAGUAUUACAAGAGUUGAUCUACCACAAGAUCGUAGAGGCUAAACCCUAGAAGCUAGCCUAUGGUAUGAUUGUUGUUGUCCUACGGACUAAACCCUCCGGUUUAUAUAGACACCGGAGGGGGCUAGGGUUACACAGAGUCGGUUACAAGGGAGGAGAUCUACAUAUCCGUAUUGCCAAGCUUGCCUUCCACGCCAAGGAGAGUCGCAUCCGGACACGGGACGAGGUCUUCAAUCUUGUAUGUUCAUAGUCCAACAGUCCGGACAAAGUGUAUAGUCCGACUGUCCGAGGACCCCCUAAUCCAGGACUCCCUCAGUAGCCCCUGAACCAGGCUUCAAUGACGAUGAGUCCGGCGCGUAGAUUGUCUUCAGCAUUGCAAGGCGGGUUCCUCCUCCGAAUACUCCAUAGAAUAUUUUGAGCACAAGGAUAGUGUCCGGCUCUGCAAAACAAGUUCCACAUACUACUGUAGAGAGAAUAAUAUUUCCACAAAUCUAAUUUGCUGACGACUUUUCAUAACGUGACAUCACACCACGGCCUGAUCAUCAUUCGAACCGCUUUUCUCAAUCAGCCUGCCACUGCACGUUUUGCGAGGCAAUUUUAUUAGCACGUCUUGUCGAAGCAGAGAUCGUGUCCCCCUUAUUACGGGAUUCUCAUCAAUAUGGAUGUGGGUAACCCAAUCGUGCCCGUUGGUAUGACUCCUCGAUUUUAGGCAAGUCCCAAACGGCCACGCGGAGGACGCUUGAUAUUCGCCCUAUUUAUAAAGAGGCCAAGGCCUGUCCUUUUUCUUCUCGCACUCAAUCGAAUCCUUCCCCCACCUCGAGUUCCAACACCCAAGGCUCAGGUCGGGCGCUUCGGACCUUCAACUAUGUCAUAGAGGAAGACAUCAAGAAGCUAAGAGAGGCUAGGUAUCUGACCGCCGAAAUCUCGCACAGGCUACCUGCUCGAGGGCAGGUCAUUCCCACUCCCGAACCCGGCGAGAGCGUCGUAUUCAUCUCUCACUUCCUCCGAGGGCUAGGCCUUGUUCUAGAUCCCUUUGUUAGGGGGCUCAUGUUCUAUUACGGGCUGGAUUUCCAUGACCUGGCCCCGGACUCCAUCCUUCACAUUUCGUUGUUCAUCGUCGUGUGUGAGGCCUUCCUCCACGUCACCCCGCACUUUGGCUUGUGGCUCAAGACCUUUAAUGUAGAUCCGAAGACGAUUAAUGGGCGACACAGAAUGCGGAGGAGCCAUAAUAAGCAAAGGCGCCGAUGUUCCAUGGCCAAAUGGUUCCUUCCCGGAGGUAUCCAGCUUAUGGCAACGGGAGUGGUUUUACAUCACAGCCCCCCGCGGUACUAAGUGGGUGACCGCCCCUGCCUUUCGCUCGGGCCCCCCGCCACAACUGACGUCAUGGAUCAACAAGGGGCUGGACUAGGGGCCAGUAAAUGAUGUGUCGAUAUUGCGGAGUUGCAUCCAAGAUCUCCUCGAGAGAGAUAUCAGCCUAGUCACGGUAAUGCAAGUCAUGCUAGUUCGUCGAGUCCCGCCUUGCAAACGUCGACCCCUCCGUAUGUGGGAGUUCAACCCGGAAGGACCGCGAGCUAUUCAGCACUUCCUCGGCAUGACGCUCGAAGAGAUGUACAAAUUGUUUUUCGGACCACAAAUAAGGUGUCCGGACACCACCGAGGAUGCGGGUCUGAGCUGCAAUCGUCCAGAUACCCAAGUAAGUAGUCCUUCGGCCGAACACGUUGUCUCUAUAUUUAUCACAACAUCAUUUUGAAAAGUCGCUCUUUGACCAGGAUGGGGUAAAAAAGGCGAAGAUGAUCAGGUGUUCGCCCCCCUUCCCGAAGGCUCAGCAGAUCCAGUACUGGCCAGAAUGCUUGAGCUUGCGCCUUAUCAAGCGUCCUCAGUGGAAGAUAAAGGGGGAAUAAAGCGGCUGAAAGCGGGCCUUGCUCAUUAUUCAUCCAAACCAGGGGAAUUAGCGCCUCCGCGAAGGAGGAUAACUGGGGAGAAGAAUCUGAAAUUCCCUCUCCCCAGGGAAGGAAGAGGACCACCUCUGAAGACUUGGAAACAGUGGUUUCCAAACGAGGGAAGAAAUCUUCGCCAGAGGGUCCUGCCCCGGAGGGUACCCUUGCCGCACAGUGCCUGCAAGGGGAUCAGCCCUCCACCGAGCUGUAAGUAAACAAAAAGUACUUAAUAGUAAAAAUAUCCUGCUUUACUUCCGAGGACAAUAACCGAAGCAUAUAUCUUGUAGUUCCGAUCGUAGCCCUUCUCGACAGAGUUCUUCUUCGGGGGAUCUUCUUCCGGAGAUGAUGGAGAGCGAAACACCUACCCAUGCCUCCCCGCCUCAUGGGGCGGGCGAUCCUGAGGUGUCGUCACGGAGGAUUUCUCCUGAUCCGCCAAGGCCAGAGGGUAAUCCUUCGGCCACCCGAAGUCCGGAGUAUUCGGCUCUUAAAGAGAGCAGCAGAAAGACGCCGGGACCGUCCAGUGUGCGACGCGACGCACUGAAGGAUCUUCUGGAGCAAGCGGCUAUCUCAGAAGCGCAUCGUACGCUAAUGGGUACAGUGGUUGAGAGGAUUUCAUCCGCUGAAAGCGGGCUGCAUGAAGCUUUUAUGAGCCUGCUGAGAGGCUUUGAGGUACGCAAAGUAGUAUAUGUUUUUGAUGGUACCGCACACGCUAGGUGUGCCAUAUGCAGAUAGUAGCCCCUGAUACUCUGGUUGCCGUCAAAAACGGCGGCAAACAGAGGAUCAUAGUCCCAGGUAAUAAUCAUGCCACCUUCAUAUGCAGGUGGCGGAAGGUCCGGUGGCUAGCCGGACUGGUGAGUUUGCCGAGCUGAAGCGGCAACUUGAUGCGGCAGAUGCCGACAUCGUGCUUGUAAACAAGCGGCUUGACGAGGCACAGGGUAUGCGUUUUCUCCAGUGAUCAACACAUAUUAAGAGGAGCAUGAUGCUAGUAUCUUUAAUAUGUUGUGACUGCAGAUGGGGCUGCCGCCGUGGAGACCCUUCGGGCGGAACUUGCCCGAGCCAAGGAACAAGCCAGGAAGAGUGAUGCGGCCGCUCUAAAGGCGGUCAAAGAGCUGAGAGCCGAACAGGCUGCGCAUUGCCAAAGCAAGGAUAAAAUAGCCAAAAUGGCUGUUGAGUUGAAGGAUGCCGCCGACCGUUAUGAGCUUCUUGAAAAGGAAAAUCGAACGAAGAUGACGGACCUGGAGAAGGCCAUGGUAGCGGCCAAGGAUGCCCGCUCUAAAAUCAGAGCGGCGAAGGAAGAGCUGCGUCAAGCCGGGGAUAUCGCGGCUGGGAAGCCCUUUUUGUUGCGGACGAAGUUCGGAGAUCCUAAGUAUGGCCCUCUUGAUCAACUAUGGAGUUCUACAGACGCAUACGUGGAUUUGGCAGCAAGUGCUGCUGAUGCGGCCGAGUUUUACAAAGAUCAAAAUAAUCGUGAAGUAGAAAAGUUGUUCUGGUCAUAGUUCAAUGUUCCAGUGCGUCCGCUGCUGUUGAAUGAGCGAAUGGCCGAGUGGGCCGAGCUCCAUAGGUUGUCCGGGCUUGCCAUGAGGUCUGUUGUGGAUCAUCUGUGGCCGGAAGGGCCAAGGCCGAAUAGUUAUUUUAGUUUGGUGCAACAGUUCCUUGGUGUUGUGUCGCGCAUCGACGCUAUGAACAGGUCGGCGUGCAUAGAGGGUGCGCGGAUGGCCCUUGCCCGUGUCAAGACAUACUGGGCAGAGAUGGAGGCCACCGCUAUUGCAACCCAGAGUUCGGCCGUGGGCCGAGUAUCGGCCGAGCACUACUUUGAAGAAGUCCUUGAAGGUGCUCGUUUAAUAGAGGCUCGGUGCUCGAAAAAUAUUAUGUUCUAGUGAUAUGUAUUCCCAUUGUAAGAACAAUGUUUAUUAAAUUAUAAAGGCUGUGUUUAUACUUUUGCCUGGAAGUAUUAUGAUGCCUCCUGUGCGGCCGUUUAUGUAUAUAUGUAUAUAACCUGAAAGUUUGCAGUCGUCGGCUUCAGCCCCCACGCAUAUAAUGCGGGGGUGUUCGCAAAAAACGUGUAUACACACUUGAUCCAACGUCUUGGUCCAUUAAGGAGGUGAUAUCGCAGCGAACGAGGCAAUUGGACUAUAUUGCUUUAACACUUUCACUUAGCCAUAGGAGUUUGAUAGUGGGACUACUAUAUAGCCCAUGGUACCUCCGCGCUCGUCCGAAUACGGGGCGCGUACAUACAUGACCGGGAAACGACCCUUCAUUAAUGCGAAGGAAUCCCGAAGAUCCGCUAAGUCAUCGAGUGGUUGACCAGUCUCGCGCUUUAUCAUGACAGUCAGUUUUCGGCUUCUCUACUGAGGUGCUCAUCCGGAUGAACCAGGGCACAAUCGCAGUAGUUCUCCCGGUGCCACCUUAGCCGAUAGAGCGGAACGUAAGGUAGCAAAACACGGGAGCCGGGCAAACCCAACAUUUGACCAAAGACAUGAUUCGGAGCUGAUGCAUAUAAGGCCAAACUCGCGACGCCGAACACUCCCUAACGUAUUCGGUCUUUAUAACAUAUGCCGGGCUGAGCAGUGCCCUUGAUAAUGAACCCCCGAGUGUCCAGGUACGUGCAAUGUUCUGACGUGGCGAAAUGCCAAUAACGUCAGCAUCCUUCUCGGUUGUACUGAGUAUCCGGAGGAUGUGAACAACAAGAGACAGUAAAAAAGGUUUACACAGUGUCUUAAUCUAAAAAGAAACCUUUGAGCGGGUCCCUACUGCACGUCUGCGGCUGUGUCUCCGUUGUGCCGUAUCCUGGAAGGGUGUAGCACGAUUGUCAUCUGUAAAAGAGAAGAACUUAGGUGAAAGUUGUCGUGCGAAAAAAUUGGUUAUUCUUGAUAAACCAUGAAAAUUCAAGAUAAGUGAAGUUGAGCCGAACUAGCCCUGUUUACACGCGGGAAGCCCCUGGUACCGUCUAUGGGGGUAUAACCAUCAAACCGAUCUCGGGUUUAUCUAAGCUGUUAUAGCUAGUAAUGCGCCGGACUCGUCUAGCCGUGUCCGCGGUCUUGACGACCGGUCAUUUAUUCUGGUUGGAGGGGCCGUUUAGUGUUCGGCUGUUAAAGUCGUCGCACAUUCUUCCGCGCGUAAGGAACAUUCAAUUUUUCCGCUAAUUGUGAUGAUGCCACGUGGACCGGGCAUCUUAAGCUUGAGAGAAGCGUAAUGCAGUACUGCAUUAAAACGAGCAAAAGCUGCUCUUCCGAGUAGUGCUUGAUAGCCACUUCGGAAUGGAUCGAUGUCGAAGGUUAACUUUUCGCUUCAGAAGUUGUCGGGAGAACCGAAUACAACCUCUAGUAUUAGAGAGCCCGUGCAGCGGGCCUCUGGGCCUGGUAUUACUCCCAUGAAGGUAGUAUUACUGUGGCUGAUUUUUGUCGGGUCUAUCCACAUUUUGCAGACUGUGUCCUGAUAUAUCAGAUUAAGACUACUGCCUCCGUCCAUAAGGACUCGUGUGAGAUGGUAUCCCUUUAUUAUUGGGUCUAACAUCAAGGCAGCCAAUCCUUCAUACCGGAUGCUUGUCAGGUGAUCCAUGCGAUCAAAAGUGAUCGGGCAGCCCAACCAGGGGUUGAACUUAGGGGUGACGGGCUGUACGGCGCGUGUGUCUCGGAGCGCAUGCUUGCUUCUCCUCUUCGUCACGUGGAUCAUGUUCACUGUUUUAACCUCUGGUGGGAAUUUUUUCUGUCCCCCAGUGCUUUGCUGGCGACGCUUGUCCUCGUCUUCACUUGGUGUCUCCCUCCCCUUGUGUUCGGCGUUUAGCUUAUCGGCCUGCUUGAAGACCUAGCAUUCUCUGUGGGUGUGAUUUGCAGGUUUAUCGGGGGUGCCAUGAAUCUGACAUAGUUUGUCUAGAAUCUUGUUUAGGCUGGACGGUCCAUCUCUGCUGCCUUUGAAAGGCUUUUUCCGCUGACCCGGUCGAGAGCCCCUGAAUCUAGUGUUUACCGCCGUGUUAUCUGGGAUGCCUUCUUUAUUUCGACGCUUGCUUUUACUGCGUCGUGGUUUUCCAUUGCCAUCCCUGACUUCGGAUGUGCCUGGGUCGCUGGUGCUACUACGGGCUAGCCAGCUAUCUUCGCCUGCGCAAAAGCGGGUCAUGAGGCUUGUCAGGGCUGCCAUUGUUCUCGGCUUUUCUUGGUCGAGGUGUCUGGUGAGCCAUUCGUCCUGGACGCUGUGUUUGAAAGCUGCUAAGGCUUCUGCGUCCGGGCAGUCGAUGAUUUGGUUCUUCUUAGUGAGAAAUCUGUUCCAAAGCUUUCGGGCUGACUCUUCGGGCUGCUGAAUUAUAUGACUUAAAUCGUCUGCAUCAGGAGGUCGGACAUAGGUCCCUUGAAAAUUAGCCCAAAAAGAAUCCUCGAGCUCCUCCCAACUUCGAAUUGAGUUUUCGGGGAGGCUUUUCAGCCAGUGCCAAGCUGGUCCUUUCAGCUUGAGGGGCAAGUACUUGAUGGCGUGGAGAUCGUCUCCGCGAGCCAUAUGGAUAUGGAGGAUAAAGUCCUCAAUCCAGACCCUAGGGUCUGUGGUUCCGUCGUACGCCUCUAUGUUCACUGGUUUGAAUCCUUCUGGAAGUUCGUGGUCCAGUACCUCAUCGGUGAAACAUAGGGGGUGUGCGGCACCCCUGUAUUUGGAUGUGUCGUGGCGUUCUGACGGUUGUAGUGUUCGGUUUUGGUUGUGCACUGGAGCGCGUUUCCUUGAUCCGUAGAUGGAUCUGGUCGCGCCGGUCUUCUGAUGCAAGUCCUCACGUGAAGCGUGUGCUGACUUAUGUGCGGCCUUGUUAGCCGCUCUAUCGCGGCCACAAGGUGGUUGAUCCGACCGGUCGGCCGUUUUAUUUUUCGGCUGUGCGGGCUCUAAGGCCUCAUCAUCAAAUUCAGGCAACAGCUUGCGCUUUGGAUAGCUCUUUGUGUGGUAACUACCACCAUACUUUUCUUCAUUGUCGAGCACUUUGUUCCAUCUACUGUUGAGCGUAUUCUGCACGGCCUUAAGCCUUUGCUUCUGCUUCUUUAGACUCCUCGCGGUGGCAAUAAGCCUUCUGCGGAGGUUCUCUUGUUCCAAGUGCCUUUCUGGGAUUGUGUGUGCAUCUUCGUCCGGACUGUUUUCCUCUCUGGAGGGAGGUUGAUGAGCUUUAUCCUCAGCGUCGCCGUGUUUGGACAGCGGAUCCGUACUAUGUUCACCGUUUGCUGGUUCAUCCUGUUCUGCCGCUGGGUCAAUGUGGUCGUCGUUUCCUCUGGAGUCGACUGGGGUGUUAUUUUCUCUUGCGCUGUUAUCGCUGUUUUUGCCGAGGCAGGAUUUGGAGCGGCGCCUACGCCGACGCUUUGUUUGCUUCUCGAGGGAGCUAUCCUUCGCUGCAUCCUUCCGUUCCUCGUCAUUGUUUUCUUUGGGUGUAUCCACCAUGUAUAUGUCAUGUGAUGAAGUGGCUGUCCAGCGCUCUGUGGGCGAUGGUUCCUGUUCCUCUCCUGCAUCGUCGUCCAUGCCGUCGAUGUCUUCGGAGUCGAAAUCGAGCAUGUCGUUUAAAUCGUCGACAGUGGCUACUAAGUGGGUGGUGGGUGGGGAGCAAAUUUCUUCGUCGUCCGCAUCCCAUUCUAGCCGAACAUAGUUCGGCAGAGGUUCUCCUGACAAGGAGAGGGACCUUAAUGAAUUUAGCACGUCGCCGAAAGGCGAGUGCUGAAAGAUAUCCGCGGAGGUAAAAUCCAUGAUCGGCGCCUAAUCAGAUUCGAUGGGCACGGACACAAGCGGCUCGGUGUCUGUGGCCGGGGACGAAUCCAAUGAUUCGGCAAUACGGGUCUCGUGGGAGGUGAAGUCAGUAUUCGGCUCUAUCGCCACUGAGAGUGCGGCUUUCGUGGCGGGGUCUAUCCACCCGUCCUCCGAUGGCGCAAUUUGUUCCGGAUUAAGGGCCGGAGUAAUUGCAGGCGCGAUCUCCCAAACAUAGUCCGACGGCAGAGCUAAAUCAUGCUCGUCAUGAUCGUGCGGCGCACUUGACAUGGGCUCGAAUCCGCCGAAGACCAAGGCUCCGUGGAUGUCGGCAGUGUAGUUCAAGUUUCCAAAUCUGACCUGAUGGCCAGGGGCGUAGCUUUCGAUCUGCUCCAGAUGGCCAAGCGGAUUGGCCCGCAGUACGAAGCCGACGAAUAUGAAGAUCUGUCCGGGGAGGAAAACCUCACCCUGGAUCACAUCGUUGCCGAUGAACGAAGGAGCCAUCAAGCCUUACGGUGACGGCACAGUGGAACUCUCAAUGAAAGCACCAAUGUCGGUGUCAAAACCGGCGGAUCUCGGGUAGGGGGUCCCGAACUAUGCGUCUAAGGCGGAUGGUAACAGGAGGCGGGGGACAUGAUGUUUACCCAGGUUCGGACCCUCUCGAUGGAGGUAAUACCCUACUUCCUGCUUGAUUGAUCUUGAUGAUAUGAGUAUUACAAGAGUUGAUCUACCACGAGAUCGUAGAGGCUAAACCCUAGAAGCUAGCCUAUGGUAUGAUUGUUGUUGUCCUACGGACUAAACCCUCCGGUUUAUAUAGACACCGGAGGGGGCUAGGGUUACACAGAGUCGGUUACAAGGGAGGAGAUCUACAUAUCCAUAUUGCCAAGCUUGCCUUCCACGCCAAGGAGAGUCCCAUCCGGACACGGGACAAGGUCUUCAAUCCUGUACCUUCAUAGUCCAACAGUCCGGACAAAGGAUAUAGUCCGGCUGUCCGAGGACCCCCUAAUCCAGGACUCCCUCAGCGACGGCGACGAGGCUCCGGAUGGUGGGCCUCCACUCGUCAAGCUUCUCUGCAACAGGAGGGAAGUCGAGGAGCAGCUGCACACGCACCAAAGCUUCUGCUGGCGUGGGUGGUGGCGAGAGCUGCGUGGACCGUGGCGCGCUUGGACUUCCAACCAUGUUAGAAGGAGCUCUACCACGGCCCAGCGGCUACGUGCCACUAUCGCCAGCACUUCGGCGGGCAUGCUGGCCUCCUUCGUCUCGCAGAUGAUGCACAUGGCUCUUCCCACGGCGGUGCUCAGGGUGACUGGCAUGGUGACGCUGCUCGUCGCGCACACCAUGGGAAGAGCGCACUGUGGGUGCCAGAGUGGGCAUCCUGGAGGUCGUCGCGCCGCUCGUGGGCGGCGCGGCGGCGACCCCGGAGGGCCCCGCGCCGCCUGUGGGGGGCUCCGUUUCUGGAUUUUGUGGCGUGCGGCCCGCCGUCUUGCGUACGAAUGACGCCGCUCGCCAGGCUCUGACUGCCAGAGCGAUGUUGGUGCUCGCGGGCCGCGCCUUGGGUCCUGUCCGCGACCGGCCCGCUACUCGCCCUCACCGGUACGGGCCGUCUGGCCCCCGAUGAACCGACCGUCGUGGCCGCCUUCUUCUUGGGAGCCAUGGUGACGAAGAACUGCUAGGCUAACAGCUAGACCAGAUUCUCACAACAGCGAGCCCCUACCUGGCGCGCCAAAGAUGUCGGUGGAAAACGACACCUAUGGGAUCACAAGAAUCCCUACUACGGUUGUCGGGGCGCGGGGUCGUGAGAAGAGCAGGAUUAAUAGUCAAUACAAGGAUCGUUUACCCAGGUUCGGGCCGCGAGGAUGCGUAAAACCCGAGUCCUGCUUUGGUGGAUGUAUUGAGUGUUCUUAAGCUUUCGAACUAGCUACGGUGGCUGUGUACUUCAAAAGAGCCGAAUCCCUCUCCAGUACGACAUGGGCCUCCUUUUAUAGUCGAAAGGGGCUGCCACAGUGGCACACAGGAGGUGUAAAGGCCUACAGUACUGCGAGCUUAUCGCCCGUAUUACAGGACAAGACGCAUUUAAUGCAUCGCUUAGGUGUCCCUUAGCUUUAUCGGGGACGGGAACGAGGCCCGUCCCGUCCAUCGCCGCUCCUCCUCGCUUCGACAUGCGCCCUAGCCAGCGAUGCAUGCGGUGCCAUGUAUGAGGGAGUCCUCGAUAAGGGGGUCCUCGGACAGCCGGACUAUAUCCUUUGGCCGGACUGUUGGACUAUGAAGAUACAAGAUUGAAGACUUCGUCCCGUGUCCGGAUGGGACUCUCCUUGGCAUGGAAGGAAAGCUUGGCAAUACGGAUAUGUAGAUCUCCUCCCUUGUAACCGACUCUGUGUAACCCUGGCCCGCUCCGGUGUCUAUAUAAACCGGAGGGUUUAGUGCGUAGGACAACAACAAUCAUACCACAGGCUAGCUUCUAGGGUUUAGCCUCUACGAUCUCGUGGUAGAUCAACUCUUGUAAUACUCAUAUCAUCAAGAUCAAUCAAGCAGGAAGUAGGGUAUUACCUCCAUCGAGAGGGCCCGAACCUGGGUAAACAUUGUGUCCCCGGCCUCCGUUACCAUCCGCCUUAGACGUAGAGUUCGGGACCCCCUACCCGAGAUCCGCCGGUUUUGACACCGACAUUGGUGCUUUCAUUGAGAGUUCCACUGUGCCGUCACCGUAAGGCUUGAUGGCUCCUUCGAUCAUCGGACAACUCGAUGGCAAUGAUGCGAUCCAGGGUGAGGUUUUCCUCCCCGGACAGAUCUUCGUAUUCGGCGGCUUCGUACUACGGGCUAACUCACUUGGCCAUCUGGAGUAGAUCGAUAGCUACGCCCCUGGCCAUCAGGUCAGGUUUGGAAACUUGAACUAUACUACCGACAUCCGCGGAGACUUGAUCUUCGACGGAUUCGAGCCCAUGUCAGGUGCGCCGCACAAUCACGACGAGCAUGAUUUAGCUCUGCCGUCGGACAGUGUUCGGGAGAUCACACCUGCAACUACUCCGGCCCUCAAUCCGGAGCAAAUUGCACCAUCCGAAGAUAGGUGGAUAGACCCCGCCAUGGAGGCCGCACUCUCAGUGCCGAUAGAGCCGAAUACUGACUUCACCCCUUAUGAGCCGCGUGUUGCCGAACCAUUGGAUUCGUCCCCGGACACGGGCUCCGAGCCGCCUGCGUCCGUGCCUAUCGAAUCCGAUUAGGCACCAAUCAUGGAGUUUACCUCCGCGGGUAUCUUUCAGCACUCGCCUUUUGGCGAUGUGCUAAAUUCAUUAAGGUCUCUCUCCUUGUCAGGAGAACCUUGGCCGAACUAUGUCCGGUUAGAAUGGGAUGCGGACGACGAAGAAAUUCGCUCCCCACCCACCACCCACUUAGUAGCCACUGUCGACGAUUUAACCGACAUGCUUGACUUUGACUCCGAAGACAUCGACGGUAUGGAGGACGAUGCAGGAGACGAACAGGAACCACCGCCCACAGGGCGCUGGACCGCCACCUCAUCAUACGAUAUAUACAUGGUGGAUACCUCCAAAGAAGGCAAUGGCGAUAAGACAGCGGAGGAUGACCCCUCCAAGAAGCAACCCAAGCAUCGACGUCAGCGGCGCCUCUCUAAGUCCCGCCAUAGCAAAAGUAGCGAUACCGGCACAAGAGACAAUAACGCUCCGGAUAGUGCCGAAGAAGACGAUAAUCCCCUCCAGCCAGACCUCGAGUGGGAGGAUGAGCAAGCUAGCCCUCCGGAACAGGCAGCAAAUGGAGAAUCAGAGGAUGACAAUUACAUGCCUCUCUCCGAAGACGAAGUGAGCCUCAGCGACGAAGAAUUUGUCGUGCCUGAGGAUCCCGUCGAGCAGGAGCGCUUCAAGCGCCGGCUUAUAGCCACAGCAAACAGCCUGAAGAAGAAGCAACAACAGCUUCGAGCUGAUCAAGAUCUGCUAGCGGAUAGAUGGACCGAAGUCCUGGCAGCCAAGGAAUACGAACUUGAGCGCCCAACCAAGAGUUAUCCAAAGCGCAGGUUGCUACCUCAACUCGAGGAGGAAGCAUUGAAACCUACAUCACCAGCGUAUGAUGCGGCUGAUCGGCCACCUCGUGGCCGAGACAGAGAGGCAUUUCAGCCCGAAGUCCAGCCCGCACCCCGCCGCCAAUCAAACAAAAAUACCAAGGCCCAGGGCAACACGCGGGACCUGCGAGACGUAUUGGAAAACAAGACAAAACAUGCAAGAUUGAUCUACAGAUCACGGGGGCGCGCACCAACGCGGGACGAUGACCGUCACGCCGGAUACACUAAAAGCAAAUCCGGCUGGGCCGAAUACAGAAGACAAGACUCAUAUGAACUGCGUCGUGAUAUAGCCCGGCACAGAGGCGCCGCACACCCCCUAUGCUUCACUGAUGAAGUAAUGGAUCACGAGUUCCCAGAGGGUUUUAAACCCGUAAAUAUUGAAUCAUAUGAUGGUACAACAGACCCCGUGGUAUGGAUCUAGGAUUUGCUCCUCCACAUCCACAUGGAUCUAGGAUUUACAUGCCAUCAAGUACCUCCCACUAAAACUCAAAGGACCAGCUCGGCAUUGGCUGAAUAGCUUGCCAGCAGACUCCGUUGGCAGUUGGGAGGAUUUGGAAGAUGCAUUCCUUGACAACUUCCAGGGCACUUAUGUGCGACCACCGGAUGCUGAUGAAUUGUGUCAUAUAACUCAGCAGCCAGGGGAAUCGGCCAGGCAAUUCUGGACCCGGUUCCUAACUAAGAAAAACCAAAUUGUCGAUUGUCCGGAUGCAGAGGCCUUAGCGGCAUUUAAGCAUAACAUCCGUGAUGAGUGGCUCGCCCGGCACCUCGGCCAGGAGAAGCCGAAGUCUAUGGCAGCCCUCACGACACUCAUGACCCGCUUUUACACGGGCGAGGAUAGCUGGCUGGCUCGCAGCAACAACACAUCAAGGAAUCUUGGCACUUCAGAUACCAAAGAUACUAACGGCAGACCACAUCAUAACAGACACAAGCGCCGCAACAACGGCGAUACCGCCGAAGAUACGGCAGUCAAUGCCAGAUUCAGUGGCUCUAAAUCCGGUCAGCGGAAGAAGCCGUUCAAAAGAAGCAAUCCGGGCCCGUCCAGUUUGUACCGCAUACUCGAUCGCUCGUGUAAAAUUCACGGCACCCCCAAUAAGCCAGCCAAUCACACCAACAGAGAAUGCUGGGUGUUCAAGCAGGCCGGCAAGUUGAAUGCCGAAAACAGGGACAAGGGGCUGCAUAGCGACGACGAGGAGGAGCCCCGGCCGCCGAAAACAGGAGGACAGAAGAGGUUCCCUCCAAGAGUGAAAACGGUGAACAUGAUAUACGCAACUCACAUUCCCAAGAGGGAACGGAAACGUGCACUAAGGGACGUCUAUGCGAUGGAGCCAAUCGCCCCAAAGUUCAACCCAUGGUCCUCCUGUCCGAUCACCUUCGAUCGCAGGGACCACCCCACUAGUAUCCGUCAUGGCGGAUCUGCCGCAUUGGUCCUUAACCCCAUCAUCGAAGGAUUUCACCUCACCCGAGUCCCUAUGGAUGGCGGCAGCAGCCUAAACCUGCUCUAUCAGGAUACAGUACGCAAAAUGGGUAUAGACCCCUCGAGGAUCAAACCCACCAAAACAACCUUUAAAGGCGUCAUCCCAGGUGUAGAGGCCCAUUGCACGGGCUCAAUCACACUGGAAGUGGUCUUUGGAUCUCCGGACAACUUCCGAAGCGAGGAGUUAAUCUUCGACAUCGUCUCGUUCUGCAGUGGCUAUCACGCACUGCUCGGGCGAACCGCAUUUGCAAGAUUCAAUGCGGUACCGCAUUAUGCAUACCUCAAGCUCAAGAUGCCAGGACCUAGGGCGUUAUGACAGUCAAUGGAAACACAUAACGCUCGCUCCGCACGGAGGAGCACACCGCGGCCCUCGCAGCAGAAGCACAAAGCAGCCUUUUAAGGAAAACCGUCAAUUCGGUGAUAAAGCCCCCGGACACCUUCAAGUGAGUCCGGAGAAACCCGCAACAGGAUCGCCUGGCACGUUCAGAGCUCGCCUAGCAAUUCGUCCUCCGUCCUAGUCCCAAUCAAGCGGCGAAAUUUAUGCCGCGUGUACAUAAUUACGCACUACAAAUACCAUGGGCAUAGGCGGACGCACGGCCAGGACACGUCCCACAAUGCGGCUUAACCGCCCCAGGGGCUAUAUACCUUUAUCAUUUCCUCUCUUUCAGGACCUUACUCUCUGGAAGCCCUUUCCGGCAGCCUGAUUGCUGGACACAUUACGGGAAGGAACAACCAAGGAAGCAAGAAGCUAAGACGUACAAGGGAAUCCCAAGGUGGUCUCUGAUACAAUUGAAGUACCCGUUUUUUAAUACCCAUACGCAGCUUACCCUUGGAUAGGACAUGUCAAAUAGUCCUAUUUUUUUCUUAUCACACUACUUGUAUCAGUACGCUUCGACGUAUUAUUUAAAUAACAAUGCACAGCACUAGUCUAUUAUUGCAUUACCCUUCUUUUUUCUUCUCUGUUUAUUUACGACAACUUGCACCCGUACAUUCUGGUACGACCAAUGCGCCAGGGGCUUCAGUAUACCCCAUAAUAUGACAUGAGAAGUCCGAACACUUUCGAUAGUGCGGCACCCCGAACUUAUAGCAUUAUAUGCAUCAGCUCCGAAUCAUGUCUUGGGUCAAUAGUUGGGUUUGCCCGGCUCCCAUGUUUUGGUACCUUACGUUCCGCAAAAUUGGCUAAGGUAGCGCUAGGAGAACUACUGCGAUUGUGUCCCGGUUCUUCCGGACGAGCACCUCAGUAGAGAAAGCCAAAAACUGACUGUCAUGAUAAGGCGAGAGAUGGUCGCUGUUCGAGAGGUCUCAAGUCCUUAAAGACUUUUUCCGCUUCAGGCGAGGAGUCGGCCUUGCCCGACUUAGGCAUAUAUAGCGCCCCAAAUUCGGCCUUCCGAAUACUAGGGGCUUCGCCAAAAUUUAAAAUUGUAGACUUCUAUGGCUAAGUGAGAGUGAUAAAGCCUUAUAGUCCGAUUGCCUGGUUCGUUGUGCUGAACACCUCCCUCGAAUGACCCAAAAUUGGGAUAAAGAGUGUUCAAGUUUAUCCCGAACACCCCAGUACUAGUUACAUGGGGGCAGAAGCCGACGACUGGCCAACCCUCAGAUUUCAUAAACGGCCGCACAGAAGGUAAUAUUUUAAAUUAACAAGCGUUGCAUAGCGCAAAUGAACUCGUUUCACAUUACAGGAUCACAUGAGUACGUUCAUUCAAAUAUUACUUCUUUAGCACAUUCCUCCGCCACAAGGCGGGAACCCUUCAGGACACUGUCAUAAUACAUUUCGGGGUGGCGAUGCUCCUUGCCUUCCGGCGGCCCCUCCUUCACCAGCUUACAGCGUCCAGCUUCGCCCAGUGCACCUUCGCCCUGGGCAAAAGCCAUGCGCGCACCCUCGAUGCAGACGGACCGCUUUAUGACUUCAAGCCGUGGGCAGGCAUUCACAAGCCGCCUCACCAGACCGAAGUAGCUGUCAGGCAGGGGAUCGCCAGGCCAUAUCCGGACUAUAAGACCCUUCAUGGCCUGUUCGGCCGCCUUGUGGAGCUCGACCAGUUGUUUCAGCUGGUCGCUCAAGGGCAUUGGGUGUUCGGUCCCAGUAUACUGAGACCAGAACAACUUCUCCGUCGAGCUCCCCUCCUCAGCCCGGUAAAACUCUGCGGCAUCCAACACACCGCGGGGAAGAUCUGCGAACGCUCCUGGAGAGCUCCGAACUCGGGUAAGUAACAGGAAAGUUUCCUUCACAUGCUUGCUUUGCAUAAUGAAUGCCUUACCCGUUGCUAUCUUCUUAACCGCCUCAAUCUCCUGGAGGGCCUUGUGGGCUUCAGCCUUGGCGUUUUGUGCGCUUUCGAGGGCCUUCGCAAGCUCGGACUCUCGCGUCUUAGAGUCAAGCUCCAAGGACUCGUCUUUUUUGGCGAGAGCCUGGAGCUCUUCCUGCACCUCGCCUACCCAGGCUUCUUGCUUUUCCCACUCGAUGCGCUCCUUGGCCGCUUUGUCUUCGGCCUCGGACAGUGCCUUCUUCAGGGUCGCCACUUCGGUCGUGGCCCCUGGCAAAUUCAUGAUGAUCCUAUUAUUUUGCAACCAAAUUUCUUUUUAAUAUAUAGACAUGGUAUCGCUUACCUUUGUUCUCUUCGAGCUGCCUCUUGGUAAGGCUGAGCUCUUCCUUGGACCGCUCAAGGUCCUGCUUCAGUGCAGCAACCUCCGCUAUAUGUGCGGCAGCGGCCAGCAGUGAAGCCCGCAUAUGCACAUAGACAUAUUCUAAUUAGACUCCUGAGUCAUUAUUUGAUCCUCUAUUCGGCCUUUCUUCGCGAACGCCAAACAGAGCAUCAGGGGCUACUGUCUAUGCGGUAAUAUUUUCCUAUAAGUUGAUUACUUACCUGAAAGCCUGUUAGGAGGCUAGCACAAGCUUUAGUUAGACCGCUUUUGGCAGACUGAACCUUCUCGAUCACCGCACUCAUGAUAGUGCGGUGCUCUUCGUCGAUGGAAGCGCCGCGAAGCGCUUCCAGCAAGUUGUUCGGUGCCUCUGGAUGGACGGAGGCCACCGGCACGGGCGGCUUGCCCCUCCUAACGGGGGGUCGCCUGACAGAGUCUGGAACCACUGGAGGUUCCGGCGCAGUGUUCAGCUGGAGGCCGAAUUCGGAGCCCAUGGGAGUCUUGCUCCCUUUGCGCCCAGGGUCCGGAAUGUCACCUCGAGGCGCCUCCAGGACUACCUCCCCUCGGCUCGGUGCCCUUUGAGACAACACCUCGAUGUUGUCCGUAGGGCGAGGGGUGGAGGCGGUCGGAAGUGAAUCGCUAUUCAUAUCCGACGGGUCCAAAGAACCAUCCGACGAAGAUACGUUGAUACGGGCUCGGGACGGACUGCAUAAUCUUGUUCGGCGUGAUGAGAAGCAGUGCAAUAAAACAUACCAUGAAUUACUAUGGUAUCCGGAUACUUACGACUUCGCCAGGGGCUUGUCCCUGGGCAGCCACUCGUCGUCGCUGUAGGCGGCCGUCGUGGAGCAGUCCGGAAGGAGGGUCCUUCCCUUCUUGGACCCUUCGGCCUCCCCGGUUGGGGCGGCCUUCCUUUUCUUGUCUCCCCGGGCUGGGGGGGAGAACUUUCCUCUUCCUCCUCCUCGUUUUUGUGGGAGGAGUGCGCCUCAGAGUUUUCGGACGAUGAGUCCGAUAUAACCUUGCGCUGGAGACCCUUUCGGGUCCCCAUGGCCUUCUUCUUGGCCUUCUUCACCGGCACCUCAUAAGGCACCGGAACCAGCAUCUCCUUUAGGAGAGCAUCUGCUGGAUCCUUAGGCAGGGGGGCUGGGCAAUCGAUCUGCUCCGCUGUCUCUACCCAGUCCUAUUAAUAGCAUGGAGGCUUAGAUCCCGCACAUGAUUAAACUGGGGAAAAUAAAACAUCCUGCGAGAUAUAAAAAAACUUACCGGAUUGGCAUGGCGCUUUGCGCUGAGUCCGCGGUCCUCGGUAAGGGGAGGAGGUACCUCGGCACCCUUGAACAGCACCUUCCAGGCGUCCUUGUGCAUCGUGUCGAGGAGCUCUCGCAGCGUCUGGUGCUUGGCCGGGUUGAACUCCCACAAAUUGAAUGCCCGUCGUUGACACGGGAGGAUCCGGCGGAAGAGCAUGACCUGGACCACGUUGACAAGCUUGAUUUUCUUGCUCAUCAUGUUUCUGAUGCAUUUCUGGAGUCUGGUCAGCUCUACCGGGGAACCCCAGGACAGGCCCUUCUCUUUCCAGGAGGUGAGCCGCAUGGGGAUUCUGGAUCAAAAUUUGGGGGCCGCCACCCAGUUGGUGUCGCGCGGCUCGGUGAUAUAGAACCACCCCGAUUGCCACCCCUUUAUGGUCUCCACAUAGGAGCCUUCAAGCCAGGUGACGUUGGGCAUUUUGCCCACCAUGGUGCCUCCGCACUCCGCUUGCUGGCCGACCACCACCUUCGGUUUAACAUUGAAGGUCUUCAGCCACAGGCCGAAAUGUGGUUGGAUGCGGAGGAAGGCCUCGCACAUGACGAUAAACCCCGAGAUGUUGAGGAUGAAAUUUGUGGCCAGAUCGUGAAUUCCAGCCUGUAGUAGAACAUGAGCCCGCGGACAAAUGGGUGGAGGGGAAAUCCCAGUCCGCGGACGAAGUGGGUAAGGAAAACCACCCUCUCAUGGGGUUCUGGAGUAGGGAUGAUUUGCCCCGCAUCUGGCAACCGGCGCGCAAUAUCCGCGGCCAGGUAUCUGGCUCCCCCCAGCUUUGUGAUGUUCUCCUCCGUAACGAAGGAGACCAUCCACUUGCCUCCCGCUCCGGACAUGCUUGGAGUGGUUUGAGGAGAAAAACGCGAACUUGGGCGCUGGAGCUCGAGUGCGCAAGAAUGGAUGAGCUAGGAGGAAGAAAGCGUAGGUGAAAAGGGUGAAUCCUUGCCCUUUAUAAGGGCGGAAGAGGCUAUGCGCCUCCCCACCUACCUGGUAAAAUCGCUUAUUCCCCAAGCACCGUAAUUGAUGGCACGGCGCGGUUACCCACACCCGUAUUGAUGAGAAUCCCGUGAUAAGGGGACACGAUCUCUGCUUCGACAAGACGUGCCAAGGAAACCGCCUCGCAAUACGUGUUGUGGCUGGUUGUGAAAAAUAGUUCGAAUAAUGACCGGGCCGUGGUGUGAUGUCAUGCUGCAAAAUGUGUUAACAGAUUAGAUUUGUGGAAAUAUUAUUCUCUCUACGGUGGUAUGUGGAAUUUUUUUUGCAGAGUUGGACACUAUCCUUGUGUACAAAAUCUUCUAUGGGGUAUUCGGAGGAGGAACCCGUCUUGCAAUGCCGAAGACAAUCUGCGCGCUGGACUCAUCGUCAUUGAAGCCUGGUUCAGGGGUUACUGAGGGAGUCCUGGAUUAGGGGGUCCUCGGACAGCCGGACUAUAUCCUUUGGCCGGACUGUUGGACUAUGAAGAUACAAGAUUGAAGACUUCGUCCCGUGUCCGGAUGGGACUCUCCUUGGCGUGGAAGGCAAGCUUGGCAAUACGGAUAUGUAGAUCUCCUCCCUUGUAACCGACUCUGUCUAACCCUAGCCCCCUCCGGUGUCUAUAUAAACCGGAGGGUUUAGUCCAUAGGACAACAACAAUCAUACCACAGGCUAGCUUCUAGGGUUUAGCCUCUACGAUCUCGUGGUAGAUCAACUCUUGUAAUACUCAUAUCAUCAAGAUCAAUCAAGCAGGAAGUAGGGUAUUACCUCCAUCGAGAGGGCCUGAACCUGGGUAAACAUGGGGUCCCCCGCCUCCUGUUACCACCCGCCUUAGACGCACAGUUCGGGACCCCCUACCCGAGAUCCGCCGGUUUUGACACCGACAAUGUAGGCAGGCAGGCAGCUGAGGUGGCGCGGUGGUAGGGUCUUCACGAAGAUCUGCAUGCCGCCAUGCAGGCGCUUGCUGAGUUGGCCUGGGAGCCGCAUGUCGCCACGCAGGUGCCUGCCCAGCUGGUCGGGCUGGCAGCUGCAUGCUAAUGGUGGUGGAAACUUGGCUGGCGCGGGCCUGGCAGUGGCCCUGCUGAUGUACUUGGCAAGGGCCUUGCCGGGGGCCCGUCAAGGUCUUGCCGCGGCGUUGCAGUCGUCCCCGGCAAGGAUCUUGCCGGGGGUCUUGUGGCUUCCCUCGGCAAGGAUCUUGCCGAGGACCGUUGUCUUCUGAUCCUCAUCUGAUCUUGGGUGUUUACGAUCUUGACAAAGAUCUGCAUGCCACCACGGAGGUGCCUCCCGAGCCCCAGUCCCAACAUGGUUAAUGGUGUUGGAAACCGUGGGCUCAAGGGGGGCGCGCUCCGCUGGUGUUGGGCGAGCUGCCCCGGCAAGGGUCUUGCCAGGGGAACCUGCUUCGUCCCUCUGCUCUUCGUGUUCUCGGCCUUGGCGUUGCCUUGGUUGCCUUGUGCUUUGGCUUCUCUCUGGCUCCCCUCCCUUGCCCUGCUACGUGUGGCCGUGGUGCGCGAGUCUGACUGCCCGUGCACAAGUAUAGGGGUCAAAAGGAGCGCCCCUACUUUUGUACACCGACAUCGGUGUCCACACUUUUUCUUUGUAUUAUCCUUGCUAGAUUUAUUUUCUCGCUUUCUUCUUGUGUGUUUGAAAAACUUUGAGAAAACCCAAAAAUAUUUCUUGCUUCUUUUUGGUUUUUCUUUCUAGCUUGGUUAGUCGUAGUAUCUAAAAGAAAACCCAAAAAGAUUUCCUUGUUCUUCUUUUGCUUGUAGGGAGAUUUCCCGUGUAAAUAGUUUUUCUCGUUUAUGUUUUUUCUUUUUCUUUAAUUUGCUUUCUUCUAGAAAAAACUAAAAACUCCAAAAAUAAUCAGUGUGCUUCUUUGGAAAAAAAUCCGUUUAUUGAGUCAUACCAAGGAGAAGACCACGAUGAAAUUGUUGAGUGGCUCCCAUAUGCAUUAUUGUUGAUCUAAUAAAGAGCUCAAAUUGCUUUGUCUUCGCCUCUUGAAUAAAAUGUUUGCAGAUUCCAGCUUAGUCCACGGCACUCUUACAUUAUUAUUUUCAUAUCAUUCGGUCGUGCAAGUGAAAGGCAAUAAUGACGAUAUUUGAUGAACUGGCCGUGGCAGAGAGAAACGGGUAUGAACUCAACUUGUUCUGUUUUUGUAAAUAUGUUUAACCUAGUAUCCAUGAUUCAGCCUAUUAUGUUCAAACAUGUUUGCAAUGACAAUUAGAGAUUAUAGUUUCUCAUGUCGUGCUUAAAUAGCUAGGAGUGGAUAAUGAUUUAUCUUGGAUGUCAACAUUGCGUUAAAAUGAUUGUGAUAUAGUAUGAUGAUAUGAUAUCCUCCUCUAAAUGUUCGAGUGGCUUGACUUGGCACAUGUUCAUGCAUGUAGUUGAAUCAAAACCAACAUAGCCGCUAUGAUAUUUAUGUUCAGGGUGUUCAUAUCCUACUCAUGCUAGUAUCCAAUGUUACUUAUGCAUAAUGCACAUGUUCAUGACCGUUUUCGCUCUCUAGUUGGCCGCUUCUCAACCUAUUUGCUAGCCUUCGCCUGUACUAAGUGGGAAUACUGCUUAUGCAUCAAAAUCCUAAAACCCAAGUUAUUCCAGAUGAGUCCACCAUACCUACCUAUAUGCGGUAUUGCCCUGCCGUUCUAAGUAAAUUUGCAUGUGCCACCUCUAAAAACUUCAAUUAAACAUCCGUUUUUGUGUGCCUGGAUUGUUCAUAGAGUGACAGGAGGUAGUCAAUAUCUUCCAUGCUAUGCGGGUUAUUCUCAUGAUGAGUGUUUAUUCACUCGUCCUUACACGAGAGGGGCGGUAAUAGGGAUUCCCAGUCCCGAAUUCAAAAAUUGCAAAUAAUUAAACAAAACUCCCCCAGGACUGAUGUUGGUAUGGACGGCACCCGUGGAUUCGGUUAGCCGUGGAGUGUGUUUGUUGGUGGAUGGGGAGUAAACCUUUACUUUUAUCGCUUGGGAACCGCCACUAAUGUGUUUAGCAUGGAAGAUAUCGAUAACUAAUGGUCACGAAGUAAACAGGAAGGGUGCAUUUCUCAAGAUUUCAUUUAUCUCUGUUUUAAUAAAACCUGAGCUCUGGCACCGCUACAAAUUAAUCACUGCUUCCCUCUGCGAAGGGACCAUCUAUUUACUUUUAUGUUGUGUCAUCACCUUCUCAAAUAAGUGCCAGAUAUGAGGGCAUUAUUGCCAUCCUGAUGCAUUGUGUGUAGCUAAUGUUGGAUGCAUCAUGACUGGAUCUUUUCUACCAUGAAUUACAAUGUUUAGUCGCUGCUUGAACUUUGGAGGUGCUCUGCAUUUAUGUUUUGCGGUCUCAGAAAGGGCUAGCGAGAUACCAUUGUUGUCAUAUUAUAUCACGAUUGUUUUGACAAAGUGUUGUCAUUCGAGAUAUCUUAUUAUUGCUCGCUAGUUGCUUAUGCCAUUGAUAUGAGUUAAUAUAAUUUUUAAGAGUUAUUGUCGACAUGGUUAGUCAUAAUAUUUGCUGAAAACCUGGGUGCUACUUCAGCUUAUUUAUGUAAACAAGAUCAAAAGAGUUCGCAAAAGUUUUUCUUUUUCACUUUCAGUUUAUCAACUGAAUUGCUUGAGGACAAGCAAAUGUUUAAGCUUGGGGGAGUUGAUACAUCUCCGUCGUAUCUACUUAUCCUAAUGCUUUAACUCUUGUUUUGGACUCUAAUUUGCAUGACUUGAAUGAAACUAACCCGGACUGACGUUGUUUUCAGCAGAACUACCAUGGUGUUGUUUUUGUGUAGAAAUAAAAGUUCUCGAAUUGGAAUGAAACAUUGCGAGGAUUUUUAUAUAAUAAAAGAGAAUUACUGGAGCCAAGAACCACCAGAGGGGGGGCCUGGGUGAGCACAACCCACCAGGGCGCGCCCCCCUCCUGGCGCGCCCAGGUGGGUUAUGGCCACCUGGUGGCCCCUGAGGGAGUCCUGGAUUAGGGGGUCCUCGGACAGCCGAACUAUAUCCUUUGUCCGGACUGUUGGACUAUGAAGAUACAAGAUUGAAGACCUCGUCCCGUGUCCGGAUGGGACUCUCCUUGGUGUGGAAGGCAAGCUUGGCAAUACGGAUAUGUAGAUCUCCUCCCUUGUAACCGACUCUGUGUAACCCUAGCCCCCUCCGGUGUCUAUAUAAACCGGAGGGUUUAGUCCAUAGGACAACAACAAUCAUACCAUAGGCUAGCUUCUAGGGUUUAGCCUCUAUGAUCUCGUGGUAGAUCAACUCUUGUAAUACUCAUAUCAUCAAGAUCAAUCAAGUAGGAAGUAGGGUAUUACCUCCAUCGAGAGGGCCCGAACCUGGGUAAACAUUGUGUCCCCCGCCUCUUGUUACCAUCCGCCUUAGACGCACAGUUCGGGACCCCCUACCCGAGAUCCGCCGGUUUUGACACCGACAUUGGUGCUUUCAUUGAGAGUUCCACUGUGCCGUCACUGUAAGGCUUGAUGGCUCCUUCGAUCAUCGGCAACGAUGCGAUCCUGGGUGAGGUUUUCCUCCCCGGACAGAUCUUCAUAUUCGGCGGCUUCGUACUGCGGGCCAAUCCACUUGGCCAUCUGGAGCAGAUUGAAAGCUACGGCCCUGGCCAUCAGGUCUGAUUUGGAAACUUGAACUACACUGCCGACAUCCGCGGAGACUUGAUCUUCGGCAGAUUCGAGCCCAUGUCAGGUGUGCCGCACGAUCAUGACGAGCAUGAUUUAGCUCUGCCGUCGGACAGUUUUCGGGAGAUCCCGCCUGCAAUUACUCCGGUCCUUAAUCCGGAACAAAUUGCCCCAUCGGAGGACGGGUGGACAGACCCCGCCACGAAAGCCGCACUCUCAGUGGCGAUAGAGCCGAAUACUGACUUCACCUCCCACGAGACCCGUGUUGCCGAAUCAUUGGAUUCGUCCCCGACCACGGACUCCGAGCCGCUUGUGUCCAUGCCCAUCGAAUCUGAUUGGGCGCCGAUCAUGGAGUUUACCUCUGCGGAUAUCUUUCAGCACUCGCCUUUCGGCGACGUGCUAAAUUCAUUAAGGUCCCUCUCCUUGUCAGGAGAACCUUGGCUGAACUAUGUGCGGCUAGAAUGGGAUGCGGACGACGAAGAAAUUCGCUCCCCACCCACCACCCACUUAGUAGCCACAGUCGACGAUUUAACCGACAUGCUCGAUUUUGACUCCGAAGACAUCGACGGCAUGGACGACGAUGCAGGAGAGGAACAGGAACCAUCGCCCACAGGGCGCUGGACGGCCACUUCAUCACAUGACAUAUACAUGGUGGAUACACCCAAAGAAAACAAUGACGAGGAACGGAAGGAUGCAGUGAAGGAUAGCUCCCUCGAGAAGCAAACAAAGCGUCGGCAUAGGCGCCGCUCCAAAUCCCGCCUCGGCAAAAACAGCGAUAACAGCGCAAGAGAAAAUAACACCCCAGUCGACUCUAGAGGAAACGACGACCACAUUGACCCAGCGGCAGAACAGGAUGAACCAGCAAACGGCAAACAUAGUACGGAUCCGCUGCCCGAACACGGCGACGCCGAGGAUAAUGCUCAUCAACCUCCCUCCGGAGAGGAAAACAGUCCGGACGAAGAUGCACAAAUCAUCCCGGAAAGGCACUUGGAUCAAGAGAACCUCCGCAGAAGGCUUAUUGCCACCGCGAGGAGUCUAAAGAAGCAGAAGCAAAGGCUUAAGGCCGCGCAGAAUACGCUCAACAGUAGAUGGAACAAAGUGCUCGACAAUGAAGAAAAGUAUGGUGGUAGUUACCACACAAAGAGCUAUCCAAAGUGCAAGCUAUUGCCUGAAUUUGAUGAUGAGGCCUUAGAGCCCGCACAGCCGAAAAAUAAAACGGCCGACCGGUCGGAUCAACCACCUUGUGGCCACGAUAGAGCGGCUAACAAGGCCGCACUUAAGUCAGCACACGCUUCAUGUGAGGACUUGCAUCAGAAGACCGGCGCGACCAGAUCCAUCUACGGAUCAAGGAAACGCGCUCCAGCGCACAACCAAAACCGAACACUACACCCGUCAGAACUCCACGACACAUCCAAAUACAGGGGUGCCGCACACCCCCUAUGUUUCACCGAUGAGGUACUGGACCACGAAUUUCCAGAAGGAAUCAAACCAGUGAACAUAGAGGCGUACGACGGAACCACAGACCCUGGGGUCUGGAUUGAGGACUUUAUCCUCCAUAUCCAUAUGGCUCACGGAGACGAUCUCCACGCCAUCAAGUACUUGUCCCUCAAGCUGAAAGGACCAGCUAGGCACUGGCUGAAAAGCCUCCCCGAAAACUCAAUUGGAAGUUGGGAGGAGCUCGAGGAUGCUUUUCGGGCUAAUUUUUCAAGGGACCUAUGUCCGACCUCCGGAUGCACACAAUUUAAGUGAUAUAAUUCAGCAGCCCGGAGAGUCAGCCCGAAAGCUUUGGAAUAGAUUUCUCACUAAGAAGAACCAAAUAGUCGACUGCCCGGACGCCGAAGCCUUAGCAGCUUUCAAACACAGCAUCCGAGACGAAUGGAUUGCCAGACACCUCGGCCAAGAAAAGCCGAGAACAAUGGCAGCCCUGACAAGCCUCAUGACCCGCUUUUGCGCGGGUGAAGAUAGCUGGCUAGCCCAUAGUAGCACCAGCGACACAGGCACAUCCGAAGUCAGGGAUGGCAAUGGAAAACCACGACACAGUAAAAGCAAGCGUCGAAAUAAAUAAGACAACCCAGAUAACCCGGCGGUAAACGCUGGAUUCAGGGGCUCUCGACCGGGUCAGCGGAAAAAGCCUUUCAAGGGCAGCAGAGAUGGACCGUCCAGCCUAAACAAGAUUCUAGACAAACUAUGUCAGAUUCAUGGCACCCUCGAUAAACCUGCAAAUCACACCCAUAGAGAAUGUUGGGUCUUCAAGCAGGCUGGUAAGCUAAAUGUCGAACACAAGGGGAGGGAGACACCAAGUGAAGACGAGGACGAGCCUCGCCACCAAACCACUGGGGGAUAGAAAAAAUUCCCACCAGAGGUUAAAACAGUGAACAUGAUCCACGUGACGAAGAGGAGAAGCAAACAUGUGCUCCGAGACACACGCGCCGUAGAGCCCGUCACCCCUAAGUUCAACCCCUGGUCGGCCUGCCCGAUCACUUUUAAUCGCAGGGAUCACCUGACAAGCAUCCGGCACGAAGGAUUGGCUGCCUUGAUGUUAGACCCAAUAAUAAACGGAUACCAUCUCACACGAGUCCUUAUGGACGGCGGCAGUAGUCUUAAUCUGAUAUAUCAGGGCACAGUCCGCAAAAUGGGGAUAGACCCGACAAAAAUCAGCCACAGUAAUACUACCUUCAAGGGAGUAAUACCAGGCCCAAAGGCCCGCUGCACGGGCUCUCUAAUACUAGAGGUUGUAUUCGGUUCUCCUGACAACUUCCGAAGCAAAAAGUUAACCUUCGACAUCGCUCCAUUCCGAAGUGGCUAUCAAGCACUACUCGGAAGAGCAGCUUUUGCUUGUUUUAAUGCAGUACCGCAUUACGCUUCUCUCAAGCUUAAGAUGCCCGGUCCACGUGGCAUCAUCACAAUUAGCGGAAAUAUUGAACGUUCCUUACGCGCGGAAGAAUGUGCGACGGCUUUAACAGCUGAACACUAAAUGGCCCCUCCAACCAGAAUAAAUGAUCAGUCGUCAAGACCGCGGACACGGCUAGACGAGUCCGGCGCAUUACUAGCUAUAACAGCUUAGUUGAACCCAAGAUUGGUUUGAUGGUUAUACCCCCAUACACGGUACCAGGGGCUUCCCGCGUGUAAACAGGGCUAGUUCGGCUCAACCCUACUUAUCUUGAAUUUUCAUGGUUUAUCGAGAAUAACCAAUUUUUUCGCACGACAACUUUCACCUAAGUUCUUCUCUUUUACAGAUGACAAUCGUGCUACACCCUUCCAGGAUACGGCACAACGGAGACACAGGCGCAGUCGUGCAGCAGGGACCCCCUCAAAGGUUUCUUUUUAGAUUAAGACCCUGUGUAAACCUUUUUUACUGUCUCUUGUUGUUCACAUCCUCCGGAUACUUAGUACAAUCGAGAAGGAUGCUGACGUUAUUGGCAUUUCGCCAUGUCAGAACAUUGCACGUACCUGGACACUCGGGGGUUCAUUAUCAAGGGCAUUGCUCAGCCCGACAUAUGUUAUAAAGACCGAAUACCUUAGGGAGUGUUCGGCGUCGCGAGUUUGGCCUUAUAUGCAUCAGCUCCGAAUCAUGUCUUUGGUCAAAUGUUGGGUUUGCCCGGCUCCCAUGUUUUGCUACCUUACGUUCCGCUCUAUCGGCUAAGGUGGCACCGGGAGAACUACUGCGAUUGUGCCCUGGUUCAUCCGGAUGAGCACCUCAGUAGAGAAAGCCGAAAACUGACUGUCAUGAUAAAGCACGAGACUGGUCAACCACUCGAUGACUUAGCGGAUCUUCGGGAUUCCUUCACAUUAACGAAGGGCCGUUUCCCGGUCAUGUAUGUACGCACCCCGUAUUCGGACGAGCGCGGAGGUACCAGGGGCUAUAUAGUAGUCCCACCGUCAAACUCCUAUGGCUAAGUGAAAGUGUUAAAGCAAUAUAGUCCGAUUGCCUCGUUCGCUGUGAUAUCACCUCCUUAAUGGACCAAGACGUUGGAUCAAGUGUGAAUACGCGUUUUUUGCGAACACCCCCGCAUUAUAUGCGUGGGGGCUGAAGCCGACGGCUGCAAACUUUCAGGUUAUAUACAUAUAUAUAUAAACGGCCGCACAGGAGGCAUCAUAAUACUUUCAGGCAAAAGUAUAAACACAGACUUUAUAAUUUAAUAAACAUUGUUCUUACAAUGGGAAUACAUGUCACUAGAACAUAAUAUUCUUCGAGCACUGAGCCUCUAUUAAACGAGCACCUUCAAGGACUUCUUCAAAGUAGUGCUCGGCCGAUACUCGGCCCACGGCCGAACUCUGGGUUGCAAUAGCGGUGGCCUCCAUCUCUGCCCAGUAUGUCUUGACACGGGCAAGGGCCAUCCGCACCCUCUAUGCACGCCGACCUCUUCAUAGCGUCGAUGCGCGGCAUAGCACCAAGGAACUGUUGCACCAAACUAAAAUAACUAUUCGGCCUUGGCCCUUCCGGCCAUAGAUGAUCCACAACAGACCUCAUGGCAAGCCCGGACAACCUAUGGAGCUCGGCCCACUCGGCCAUUCGCUCAUUCAACAGCAGCGGACGCACUAGAACAUUGAACUGUGACCAGAACAGCUUUUCUACUUCACGAUCAUUUUGAUCUUUGAAAAACUCGGCCGCAUCAGCAGCACUUGCUGCCAAAUCCACGUACAUCUGCAGAACUCCAUAGUUGAUCAAGAGGGGCAUACUUAGGAUCUCCGAACUUCGUCCGCAACAAAAAGGGCUUCCCAGCCGCGAUAUCCCCGGCUUGACGCAGCUCUUCCUUCGCCACUUUGAUUUUAGAGCGGGCGUCCUUGGCCGCUACCAUGGCCUUCUCCAGGUCUGUCAUCUUUGUUCGAUUUUCCUUUUCAAGAAGCUCAUAACGGUCGGUGGCAUCCUUCAACUCAACAGCCAUCUUGGCUAUUUUAUCCUUGCUUUGGCAAUGCGCAGCCUGUUCGGCUCUCAGCUCUUCGACCGCCUUUAGAGCGGCCGCAUCACUCUUCCUGGCUUGUUCCUUGGCUCGGGCAAGUUCCGCCCAAAGGGUCUCCACGACGGCAGCCCCAUCUGCAGUCACAACAUAUUAAAGAUACUAGCAUCAUGCUCCUCUUAAUAUGUGUUGAUCACUGGAGAAAACGCAUACCCUGUGCCUCGUCAAGUCGCUUGUUUACAAGCACGAUGUCGGCAUCUGCCGCAUCAAGUUGCCGCUUCAGCUCGGCAAACUCACCAGUCCGGCUAGCCACCGGACCUUUCGCCACCUGCAUAUGAAGGCGUGAGUAUUACCUGGGACUAUGAUCCUCUGUUUGCCGCCGUUUUCGACAGCAACCAGAGUCUCAGGGGCUACUAUCUGCAUAUGGCACACCUAGCGUGUGCGGUACCAUCAAAAAACAUAUACUACUUUGCGUACCUCAAAGCCUCUCAGCAGGCUCAUAAAAGCUUCAUGCAGCCCGCUUUCGGCGAAGGAAAUCCUCUAGACCACCGUACACAUUAGCGUACGAUGCGCUUCUGAGAUAGCUGCUUGCUCCAGAAAAUCCUUCAGUGCGUCGGGUCGCACACCGGACGGUCCCGGCCUCUUUCUGUUGCUCUCUUUAAGAGCCGAAUACUCCGGACUUCGGGUGGCCGAAGGAUUACCCUCUGGCCUUGGCGGAUCAGGAGAAAUCCUCCAUGACGACACCUCAGGGUCGCCCGCCUCAUGAGGCGGGGAGGCAUGGGGAGGUGUUUCGCUCUCCGUCAUCUCCGGAAGAAGAUCCCCCGAAGACGAACUCUGUCGAGAAGGGCUACGAUUCGAACUACAAGAUAUAUGCUUCGGUUAUUGUCCUCAGAAGUAAAGCAGGAUAUUUUUACUACUAAGUACUUUUUGUUUACUUACAGCUCGGUGGAGGGCUGAUCCCCUUGCGGGGACUGUGUGGCAAGGGUACCCUCCGGGCCGAACCCUCUGGCGAAGAUUUCUUCCCUCGUUUGGAAACCACUGUUUCCAAGUCUUCAGAGGUGGUCCUCUUCCUUCCCUGGGGAGAGGGAAUUUCAGAUUCUUCUCCCCGGUUAUCCUCCUUCACGGAGGCGCUAAUUCCCCCGGUUUGGAUGAAUAAUGAGCGAGGCCCGCUUUCAGCCUCUUUAUUCCCCCCUUUAUCUUCCCCUGAGGACGCUUGAUAAGGCGCAAGCUCAAGCAUUCUGGCCAGUAUUGGAUCUGUUGAGCCUUCGAGAAGGGGGGCCGAACACCUGAUCAUCUUCUCCUUUUUUACCCCGUCCUGGUCAAAGAGUGACUUUUCAAAAUGAUGUUGUGAUAAAUAUAGAGACAACGUGUUCGGCCGAAGGACUACUUACUUGGGUAUCUGGACGAUUGCAGCUCAGACCCGCAUCCUCGGUGCUGUCCGGACACCUUAUUUGUGGUCCGAAGAACAAUUUGUACAUCUCUUCGAGCAUCAUGCCGAGGAAGUGCUGAAUAGCUCGCGGUCCUUCCGGGUUGAACUCCCACAUACGGAGGGGUCGACGUUUGCAAGGCGGGACUCGACGAACUAGCAUGACUUGCAUUACCUUGACCAGGCUGAUAUCUCUCUCGAGGAGAUCUUGGAUGCGACUCCGCAAUAUCGGCACAUCAUUUACUGGCCCCCAGUCCAGCACCUUGUUGAUCCAUGACGUCAGUUGUGGGGGGAUCCCGAGCGAAAGGCAGGGGCGGCCACCCACUUNNNNNNNNNNNNNNNNNNNNNNNNNNNNNNNNNNNNNNNNNNNNNNNNNNNNNNNNNNNNNNNNNNNNNNNNNNNNNNNNNNNNNNNNNNNNNNNNNNNNNNNNNNNNNNNNNNNNNNNNNNNNNNNNNNNNNNNNNNNNNNNNNNNNNNNNNNNNNNNNNNNNNNNNNNNNNNNNNNNNNNNNNNNNNNNNNNNNNNNNNNNNNNNNNNNNNNNNNNNNNNNNNNNNNNNNNNNNNNNNNNNNNNNNNNNNNNNNNNNNNNNNNNNNNNNNNNNNNNNNNNNNNNNNNNNNNNNNNNNNNNNNNNNNNNNNNNNNNNNNNNNNNNNNNNNNNNNNNNNNNNNNNNNNGGGCUGUGAUGUAAAACCACUCCCGUUGCCAUAAGCUGGAUACCUCCGAGAAGGAACCCUUUGGCCAUGGAACAUAGGCGCCUUUGCUUAUUACGGCUCCUCCGCAUUCUGCGUGUCGCCCAUUAAUCGUCUUCGGCUCUACAUUAAAGGUCUUGAGCCACAAGCCGAAGUGCAGGGUGACGUGGAGGAAGGCCUCACACACGACGAUGAACGAUGAAAUGUGAAGGAUGGAGUCCGGGGCCAGGUCAUGGAAAUCCAGCCCGUAAUAGAACAUGAGCCCCCUAACAAAGGGAUCUAGAACAAGGCCUAGCCCUCGGAGGAAGUGAGAGAUGAAUACGACGCUCUCGCCGGGUUCGGGAGUGGGAAUGACCUGCCCUCGAGCAGGUAGCUUGUGCGAGAUUUCGGCGGUCAGACACCUAGCCUCUCUUAGCUUCUUGAUGUCUUCCUCUGUGACAGAGGAGGGCAUCCACUGACCUUGAAGGUUGGAUCCGGACAUGGUUGAAGGUCCGAAGCGCCCGACCUGAGCCUUGGGUGUUGGAACUCGAGGUGGGGGGAGGAUUCGAUUGAGUGCGAGAAGAAAAAGGACAGGCCUUGGCCUCUUUAUAAAGAGGGCGAAUAUCAAGCGUCUUCCGCGUGGCCGUUUGGGACUUGCCUAAAAUCGAGGAGUCGUACCAACGGGCACGAUUGGAUUACCCACAUCCGUAUUGAUGAGAAUCCCGUAAUAAGGGGGACACGAUCUCUGCUUCGACAAGACGUGCCAAUAAAAUCGCCUCGCAAAACGUGCAGUGGCAGGCUGAUUGAGAAGAGCGGUUCGAAUAAUGAUCAGGCCGUGGUGUGAUGUCAUGUUAUGAAAAGUCGUCAGCAGAUUAGAUUUGUGGAAAUAUUAUUCUCUCUACGGUAGUAUGUGGAACUUGUUUUGCAGAGCCGGACACUAUCCUUGUGUUCAAAAUCUUCUAUGGAGUAUUCGGAGGAGGAACCCGCCUUGCAAUGCGGAAGACAAUCUGCGCGUCAGACUCAUCGUCAUUGAAGCCUGGUUCAGGGGCUACUGAGGGAGUCCUGGAUUAGGGGGUCCUCGGACAGCCGGACUAUACCCUUUGUCCGGACUGUUGGACUAUGAAGAUACAAGAUUGAAGACCUCGUCCCGUGUCCGGAUGGGACUCUCCUUGGCGUGGAAGGCAAGCUUGGCAAUACGGAUAUGUAGAUCUCCUCCCUUGUAACCGACUCUGUGUAACCCUAGCCCCCUCCGGUGUCUAUAUAAACCGGAGGGUUUAGUCCAUAGGACAACAACAAUCAUACCAUAGGCUAGCUUCUAGGGUUUAGCCUCUACGAUCUCGUGGUAGAUCAACUCUUGUAAUACUCAUAUCAUCAAGAUCAAUCAAGCAGGAAGUAGGGUAUUACCUCCAUCGAGAGGGCCCGAACCUGGGUAAACAUUGUGUCCCCCACCUCCUGUUACCAUCCGCCUUAGACGCACAGUUCGGGACCCCCUACCCGAGAUCCGCCGGUUUUGACACCGACAGCCCCGCAGACCCUGAAUCCAACUCCAUAAAUACCUAUUUUCAGAGAAAAAAUCAGGGAGAAAGAAUUAUUGCGUUUCAUGCGACGGAGCCGCCGCCACCUCUUGUUCUUCAUCGGGAGGCCAGAUCUGGAGUCCGUUUGGGGCUCCGGAGAGGGGGUCUUCGAUCUUCGUCAUCACCAACCCUUCUCCAUCGCCAAUUCCAUGAUGCUCCCCACCGGGAGUGAGUAAUUCCUUCGUAGGCUCGCUGGUCGGUGAGGAGUUGGAUGAGAUUCAUCAUGUAAUCGAGUUAGUUUUGUUAGGGCGUGAUCCCUAGUAUCCAUUAUGUUCUGAGAUUGAUGUUGAUAUGACUUUGCCAUGCUUAAUGCUUGUCACCUUGGGCCCGGGUGCCAUGAAUUCAGAUCUGAACUGUUUAUGUUUUCACCAUUAUAUCUAUGUUCUAGAUCCGAUCUUGCAAGUUAUAGUCACCUACUACGUGUUAUGAUCCGCAAACCCCAGAGUGACAACAGUCGGGAUACUUUCCGGUGAUGACCGUAGUUUGAGGAGAUCAUGUAUUCACUGAGUGCUAAUGCUUUGUUUUGGUUCUCUAUUAAAAGGAGGCCUUAAUAUCCCUUAGUUUCCUUAUGGACCCCACUACCACAGGAGGGAUACUUCUCCAUCGCCAAUCACCCAGUGACAUUGGUAGCGAGGCACAUAUUUUAUUGUUGCCAUCAAGGGUAAAAAGAUGGGGUUUUCAUCAUAUUGCUUGAGUUUAUCCCUCUACAUCAUGUCAUCUUACUUAAAGUGUGUUACUCUGUUCUCUUGAACUUAAUACUCUAGAUGCAGGCAGGAGUCGGUCGAUGUGUGGAGUAAUAGUAGUAGAUGCAGGCAGGAGUAGGUCUACUUGACAUGGACAUGAUGGCUAUAUUCAUAAUCAUUGCCUUGGAUAUCGUCAUAACUUUGCGCUUUUCAAUCAAUUGCUCGACAGUGAUUUGUUCACCCACCGUAUUAUUUUCUUUCAAGAGAGAAGCCUCUAGUGAAACCUAUGGCCCCCGGGUCUAUGUUCUAUCAUAUAUUUUCAGAUCUAUAAACCAAAAAACCCAAAAAUACCUCGCUGAGUUUUAUUUACUUUACGUUUUAGAAAUCUUUUAUAUCUAUCUCUAUCAGAUCUCACCUUUGCAAGUGACUGUGAAGGGAUUGGCAACCCUUUUAUCGUGUUGGGUGCAAGUGUUUGAUUGUUUGUGCAGGUGCAUAGAUUGGAGACUUGCUUGUAUCUCCUACUGGAUUGAUACCUUGGUUCUUAACUGAGGGAAAUACUUAUCUCUACUUUGCUGCAUCACCCUUUCCUAUUCAAGGGAAAAAGCAACGCAAGCGCAAGAAGUAGCAGUAUCUACUUUUCCUAACGCCUUUGCUCUUGUUCUGGACUUUAAUUUGCAUGAUUUGAAUGAAACUAACCCGGACUGACGCUGUUUUCAGCAGAACUACCAUGGUGUUGUUUUUUAUGCGGAAAUAAAAGUUCUCGGAAUGGAACAAAACUUUUUGGAGAAUUUUUAUACAAUAAAAGAAAAAUACUGGAGCCAAGAACCACCGGAGGGGGGGCCUGGGUGAGCACAACCCACCAGGGCGCCCCCCUCCAAGCGCGACCAGGUGGGUUUUGCCCACCUGGUGGCCCCCCAGACCCUGAUUCCAACUCUAUAAAAUUCUAAUUUUGGAGAGAAAAAUCAGGGAGAAAGAAUUAUCAUGUUUCACGAGACGGAGCUGCCGCCGCCUCCUGUUCUCCAUCGGGAGGCCAGAUCUGGAGUCCGUUUGGGGCUCUGGAGAGGGGGGUCUUCGACUACAUCAUCACCAACCCUUCUCCAUCGCCAAUUCCAUGAUGCUCCCCACCGGGAGUGAGUAAUUCCUUCGUAGGCUCGCUGGUCGGUGAGGGAGUUGGGUGAGAUUCAUCAUGUAAUCGAGUUAGUUUUGUUAGGGCUUGAUCCCUAGUAUCCAUUAUGUUCUGAGAUUGAUGUUGCUAUGACUUUGCCAUGCUUAAUGCUUGUCACUUUGGGCCCGGUGCCAUGAUUUCAGAUCUAAACUGUUUAUGUUUUCACCAUUAUAUCUAUUUUCUAGAUCCGAUCUUGCAAGUUAUAUGCACCUGCUACAUGUUAUGAUCCACAAACCCCGGAGUGACAGUAUUCGGGAUACUUUCCGGUGAUGACCAUAGUUUGAGGAGUUCAUGUAUUCACUAUGUGUUAAUGCUUUGUUCUGGUUCUCUAUUAAAAGGAGGCCUUAAUAUCCCUUAGUUUCCUUAUGGACCCCGGAGGGUAGGACAAAAGAUGUCAUGCAAGUUCUUUUCAUAAGCACGUAUGACUAUUUACGGAAUCCAUGCCUACAUUAUAUCUAUGAACUGGAGCUAGUUUUGUAUCGCCCUAGGUUAUGACUGUUAUAUGAUGAAUAUCAUCCAACGAAUUCACCGAUCCAAUGCCUAUGAGGUUUUCACAUAUUGUUCUUGCUAAGUUACUAUUGCUAUUUCUACUGUCACAACUGCUAUAAAAUCAUUGCUAUCACUAUUACUAUUACUAUUACUACUACUAUUACCACUGCCAUCAAAGUUAUCAUAUUCUUGUGCUACUGAUCACUUUGCUGCAGAUAAUUAAUCUCCAGGUGUGGUUGAAUUGACAACUCAGCUGCUAAUACUUGCAAAUAUUCUUUGGCUCAACCUGUGUCGAAUCUAUUGGGUUGAAUACUCUACCCUUGAAAACUGUUGUGAUCCCCUAUACUUGUGGGUUAUCACUAUCUCCCCAAGCAACGCCAACCUAUAGGCUAAAAUAACAAGGUGAGACCCCUACUCGGAAAAUAGUGUUCGUUCAAGAGGUGUUCAUCCUAUGAUUCAGUAAUUUGACAUUCUAAUCUUAUUUGUCUUCUGCUCAUGGGGCAUGGUGUCUUUAGGUUAUUGAAGGGGAUUUGUGUAUGGAUGCUGACAUCCAGAUUUUGGUCAGCUAAGAGGUUAGAAUUACUCGAUGUAGAUUUCCGCUUAUAUAUAAUAUAAUACAAUAGUAGAAUCCCAUCCAAUACCUGUUGUUAAUUUUAUUCAUCUUACUUUAUCCAUUCAUGUUGUUCUUAACUUUGUUGUUUACUAAGUACUAAAAUGAAAUAAUGCACGUGAUGACAUGAUACAUGCAAAAAUAUUAGGUUGUGGUGUUAAUCGUAAGCAAAUUAUGGCAAGACACAUACCAUUUAUAUAUCAUAAAACCUUAUUGCAAUCUCUAUGUUAUUUUAUUCGCCUCUCGUACUACAUUGUGAUUCUUACAAGGAAUUACUUCCUCAUUUUUCCCUUGGUUUUCUUUUGCAUGGAUAUACUAGCCUCACUAGGAUGGGUUAAGAAUCUCAUCUACUCCCCGUCCCUAAUAAAAUUUUCAGUUAAACUAUCAAUUUGAGUAUAUUUUUAUUUAUUAAUGUUAAUUACAUAAUGGAAUCAACCUGCAGAAACUGUAAUUGCAAAGGUGGAUUGGAGAGGAAGUUGUCGAUGCUCAAGCCAUGUUAUGAAGUGGAGCAAGAAGAGUGAAUUAGGAAAACAGAGAACAUGUGUAUUUUGUAUGUCUUAACCUUAGGUUGUAUUUGUUGUGUCAAAUUGACCAAGUUUUCUUAGCACUGUCAAUGCUGGCCAUUGAUGAAUGUUGGACCGUUUAGAGUUGAAUAUAAGGCCUACCAGUAAUAUAGGAAGGAAUUUGUGGUAUGUGUGUCAUUAAUUAGUUAUCUGAUAAACAAAUGAGACCACCAACUUAUUUUAGACAACAUAUCAUCAUUAAUUGAAUUUCUCUUAUACAGGGUUAAUUUGUCAGUCUGAUAUAUGUGCCCCUUCUACCUGGCCAUUUUAACAAUUAGUUAUGCAAUGUUAAUGCUCCUAAUAGUGCCUUUGAUCUAUCUCUUAUCGCAUGGAAUACCAAAUGCAUUCUACCUCAUUUUUUCAAUUCUACCAUUUGACCUGGUGUUUUCCUAUUGAACCAUUACCUUGGUUUAACCUGAUUGUUGUCUUAAAUAUGCUAAACCUGGAUUAUUACCGACUUAGCAUUAUCUGCUUGACCAAAACAUUGGAACCAGCACCCUCAUGCCAAGGCGCGAUCCCGAUCUAGUGGAUAUGGAAGGGUUGCAAAAGGUGCAGGUAAAGAGCGGGCCAUGGCUCUAAUAUAUGGAAGGGUGACAUCUGAUGGGGGCAUAUUUGGUGCACUAGAACUUUGAGGAGUACUAGGGGAGUAGGGGUAGUGCGCGACACGCCGCGCCAUACUGAUUGUUAUACGUGUCUUUUUUUUAGUUUUUGCAGAGUGUUUUUCUGUUUGACUGAUCACAUUGGUAUUCAUGCAUGGAUAAUGUACAUUAAGUAAGAUACACAGUGCUAGCAGUAGGAAGUGCUAAUAAGCUAGCAGUACAGCUGUGAUAAUAAAAGAGCUCUUUGUCAGUACGAGUGAAUAGCCCAACACCCCUUCAUGUUCAUAAUAUACUAGAUCGGGAUCGCGCCUUGCCGCGAGGGUGCUGGUCCCAACAUUUUGGUCAAGCAAGUAAUGCAGUAAGUAUUAAUCCAAAUUUAGCAUAUGCAUUCAUACAGGAUAACAAUAAAGUGGAAGAAGAAACAUUCAUAUCUAAUCAGCAGGACACACUUCAUAUUCCAUUAGGCAGUAUUAGACGCUCAUGACUUUACAACAGAAGUAAAGCACAAUCACAUUUCAUGAUAAGUUAUUUACAGUUCUUUUAGAUAGAUAGCUUAUGCUUUGAUGUGUCCUAGUUGGAGAUCCUUUUCUUGAGUGAUCAACCAAUGUCGUACGGCCUGUUAAAAAACUACACUUGGUUACAAAUUUUGCCUUUUUGUCUUCUUUGUCUAUUAAAUGAACAUGAUCUUGCACACAUCCACAUGUGGUUUUAAUUGGCAUUUGCUCAACGGUUCGAUUGAGAAAAUCCUAAAGAUAUGGAACAGAGAAGUACUGCAGCUCAGGAGCAAAGUGAAGUUAUAUGGUGUGGGUAAGAAAAGUACAUAUGCAUUUAUCCAAAGGAGAGUUUGAUAUUUCAUUCUUAGAAAAAGAGCAGAUGCACAUUAUCAUCUGGCGGUGAGUAUUCCCAUUGUUGAAAACUAUAAUCAGAGGCAUCUAUGUUUCUUGUAUCAAACUAAAAACAUGUGCCUUUUAAAAACCAUAGGAUUUGUCCAGGGUCAUGAGAGAGAGAGAGAGAGAGAGAGAGAGAGAGAGAGAGAGAGAGAGAGAGAUUUAUGAAAGGUAUAUACUAACCUUCGCAUGAUAUACCUUUAACCAGAACAGUAUGCGAGCCUGCGGCAAACCUCAUUUCUGGAACUCAACAGUAUACAACACUGGAAGGUAACAAUGGCAUAACUCAGAUACAAAACAACCACUUUGAACUAAAGGCAAGAAUAAAAAAUUAUGAUACACAAGGGAACAAAAGUAUUACCUGUGUUUAUAGGGCCAUAUGGAUGACCUUAUUUAAUAUCAUCCAGGUACUCGUUAGGCUUCAUGUUAUAGGCCCUAACAACAGUAUCGGCCCUGUCACAAAGUUUCUGCUCCAGUUCUAACAAUAGGGCUUCCGCGAUCUCGGGACAUUUUGGCUUGUACGUCAAAACAGUAAAGCAGAGGAUGUAGCCCUAAAACCCAUCACUCUCUUCCCGACCAACCAUAUGAGCCAUACAACCCUCAAGACACAUGAACAUAAGCAAUGAUCGAUCAAAACAAACCAGGACCAAAACAUACUAACCCAGGCAAACCAAAUCGACCAACAGAAGACAAUGAACAGGCCAUUCUUCCCAUCCUUUUUCAGAAGGCCACUGGACCAAUCCAAAUGCAGCAGACCGAUCCUAAAGGCACAUGAUGCAGCCGACAAAUCCAAAAGGCACAUGCCCGCAUCAUGGUUUGGUGCUAAUUCUAGCAUCCAGGUUUGUUUAAUUAGUGAGCCACUAAUUAUUCAAUCAAUUGAGAAGUAGAUACACACAAUCAGUGAUGUAUAUGCAACACUAAUGCAACAAUUACUUGUGUUGCUCUCAUCAUGGCACACAUCGUCUGCUUGUCAACAGGUAUCAUGUUUAAUAGCAACUAUAAAUUCAAUAGGAUCUGCUUCAUAGAUUGCGAUGAAUAACAAACUACUACAGUGAGCAAAUUGAGUGUUUGUUUCAAAGUUCAGAGAAUAAAUAUGAGACAUAGUUUCCAACAGGAGAAAGAGGAUAGCCCUAAAAAUCUUUGCACUGUCACGUCACAAACCCUUUCUGUAGUCUAAAUCUAAAAUACAUGUCGUCAAUGAUUCUAUUUCUAAAUCAAACCAAAUAAAUAAGAGGCAUACACAAUUUGCGUCAUAGAGCAUAGGUGCAAAAUUCCCACUAACUGAUAAACAUCACCAAAAGGAGGAGGUCAAGUGUGCCUUGGAGCUGCCACGCCAUGGAAAUCCUCUGCACUGGGGAGUAGUGGGAGCGGCGUUGUCAUUCUGACCUCGUACACGACAGCUGCAAGAAAGACCGUCAGCAUAUACACAACAAAUGCAAGCACACAAAGAAAAGGAGGGAGACAAACCUAUAGUAAUAGUAGGGGCAAAUCUACAUAAACCAAAAAUUGGUCAAGAAAAGCCAUACAAUUCCUGAACAGGUCACAGAAGGAGAUUGAAUCUUACGCGAUAACACCGAGAAGCCACUCGCACUGGCUCUUCGGCUCUUUCAACCCGGUUCCCCUACAUCGUCAACCAUUAAUCCCCAUCAUUGGUUCAUGUCCACCAUGGUAACCAGUCUCGAAUCUAGGAGAGUGACAUCAAGAACCAGGAAGAGGAACGUCAUGUACCUGGCCCCAAAUCUGGUACUUGAAUCCAACAAGAUUGGCACCCAUAGUCCCCAGGAAGUUCUUGCCGGAGUUGCAGAAGACACCGUCCUGGUUCUGCGCCACGAUGGACUCCGACCUUCCUCUCCUCCUCCGGUGCCGGGCCACGGCCUGCUUCUGUUCCUGCCGCCCCUGCACCUCCUGCAAUCGCACAAUAGAGAGACGGGCACGAAUCCUUAUGGCACUAAUUUCAUUAUUUAUAGGAUAUAAACAUAACAUAUGGGUAUAUAUGAGGACAUUCAACACCAUGAAAAAAUAGAAGACAGCAGGAGAGCGCGAGGCCAUAAGGCACAGAAGGCAUCUAAUAGAUAAAAGGAGCACACCAUGAUUGCAUAAUCACAAUGCAACAAAGUAUCUUAUAAGCUUGUUCUCCUUACAUAAUCCCAAGGAACAUGUCAUCUUGCAAUAUUCUCGUAACAUUAAGGACAGAACAGGGGAGGGGGCACAAAGCACGAGGUAAAUAAUCAGAAACAUCUUGAUCUCCGUCAAUUCAUGAAUUACAAAAUUUCGAAGAACAAAACGGACUACUUGACCUGUUAUCAUUUACUGGAGCUAAAUUCCAGAAAAAAGGAAGUCUGAGACACCGCUACAUAUUAUUCAUUGUCAUUGAUGUCUAUUGAGUUUUUUUGUUUGUCCCUUUCACAAUAGUUAUGGCUUGUAUCACUCAGAAUUAUGGCUUGUAUCAAUAUACAGUUAACACUCUAUAUAUUAUAUAGAAAUCAGAAUGCUACAUAUUACACAGGAUCAUAAGACGGCUUCUUAUUCUUCCUUUUGGAUCUAACAAUGAUAAAUAAAAUAUUUUCCUGGCUGACAAUCUAUAUAUCUGGAUUUAUGGUUUGGCAGGAGAUAUAAUUACAUUUGAUCGAAGCCAAUUUCCUCACGGAAGAAGUUGUCUAAAUUCAGGGAAGAGAAAGGAAAGGUAAACUCCUGCUCUGGAAAUAGAUUAUCAAUUGCCUAUAUCCAGGGAACAGAUGAUACAAUUGUCUAUAUUCAAGGAACAAAUGAUAUAAAUUGUUUGUAUUCAUGGAACAGAUGAUGCAACUAUAUUUUAAUGCAAAGGAAGCCAAGACAAUUUAUUCUCUCAACAAACAGAAAACAGUGAACAUGCAACCUCUCCAAGGUGGAAAUGUGUUAAAAAAAUCAUGUCUGUGAUCGCGGUAGUUGUCUCUUCGUUAUCCAGGAGCCCAGCAUCACCACAUUCUCUAAUGACAGUUUAUAUUUAAGACUGAGUUACUCAUUUUGCAUAAGUUUCUGAAUUUUUAGGUGCACCUAGAAACAAAAAUAUGCCAUCUCAGCUUAGUUUCAGGGGAAGAUCAUCACCCGGUUACCGCUGUUAGUCACCUCUCCUCGUUCGCACUAUCUUUAAAUGGUGGUAUAAUCCUGGUCUACGCACUUUCUCUUAUAGUUAUCGCGGUUGAGAAAGCAACCAAAUAAUCGUCUAUCCAGGUAAAAUACAAAACAAAUACACAUGAUGACACACAUGGUCAUGUUAAUAAAAGAAGCUACAUGCAUGCAGAUAUGUUAUUCUGUCUUCCAAUGUAUUAUUUGGUCAUACAGGAAUUAACCAAUCCAAUGAUAGGGAACAUCUUACCGAAAGUAACCAAAGGAACAUAACAUGGCGGAGCUUACAGCUUGGUAGACUUAACUGGGAAGUGCUCGACAGUAGUCAUCAAUCUUUGAGCCACAGAAUGGCAAGAUCGAACUGAGACUCGGACCUGCAUAACCAUAGGAACAAAGCCUAGUGAAUCAGGCAUGAAUAAUUAGCAUCUCCCCGGAAAGCAGAACGAACUAUGUCCAACAGGAUACAACACCAGCAGCUCACAAUGUAAGCCAAAAAAGUUUCAUCGGUAAAUUAGUUGAUAAUAAACUAUAAACUCUAAUCCUAGAACUAUUGUUGUUGGCCAAAACAACUAAAUUAUGAUUUACCAAUCUACAAACAUAGGCACAUGACUAUAAUUGUGCAACCCCAAUAAAAACAGAACCAUCUUCUGAUAAUUAAAUGUGAGCCUUGGCGCGCCCUAGUCAGGCCAGUGGAUGGUUGGGACGAUAAAAAUGCACAUAUGAACAAACAUUAAAUAUUGAAGAUGAUAAAAACAGGGAAAGAUAGAACAAACAGAGAAUCGAUUUCCGUCAUUUCCUAAAACAACCAAUCUAAAUGAAAUAUUAAGCAAAUCUCUGGAAUGAAAUUUCGAACCAAGAUGUCCUGAUAUAACAGAAGGUCAAACAUAGGCCUAUAUGAAAUAGUAACUACAUGCAAAUAUCAAACAGACAAUAUAUGAUUCAGAGAUGCAUCAGUUAAUAAGCACUAUUGUAGAUUUUUCCUAAAUACUUAUCUAGCAAGUGUGCAUCUAUAGUUGGCAACGUGGUUCAGAGAUGCAUCAGUUAAAACCUUUUGGGCUUCUAUAGAUGAAUUUACAAAAAUAUCUACUAUAUUCCUAUCUACAGAUAAGGUUCUAGGAUGUGAAUGCACACUUGCUAAAACUCUUUGAAUAAAUGCCAACCAUGUUGCAGUUCAUGUGUAAACCUAACUAUUCUGUAUAUGCAUGCACAGUUGCUAAACGUUGCAGGAAAUCGUAUUUUGUGAAUCAUAAAAUGAGGGUGCUGGAGCUAAUGAACUUUCAAUGAUAACUCCAACACCACAUCAACAGAAAGUUUACUGGGCUAAAUAAAUGAAAUAGUUGCAGUUUGUACCUAUUCCAAAACCAAGUCCUGUACCAACUCCACAAGACCACAACCAAUGUCUGCUUCAAGUUCCUUUAACCCUUCCUUCCUUAGCUAGAGCACAAGGAAGAACACAAAAUCAGAUCGAGAGAACUAGAAAAAUGUAAUUCAUUGAUCCUAAGCACUCACCGAAGCUAGCCAGAUCCUUCCAUGGCAACCAACAUGUCCCUCCGCAGUAGAACCUCACCUCUGGCAUCGUCCACUCCUCGUAUGUGCACCUCUUUACACCGGUGCGACGUUGGGCUAGCUGUAGCUGGUGACCUGCAAGGAAAGAGGAGCAACGGUCAGAGAGAUAGAGAGAGGUCAACCUAGAUGGAGUAGAGAAGGGGGCGAAGUUCGAGGCGGUAGAGCUCCGACCAUGGCCACCGCAUGACAUAGAGGGGCAUCAUUGAUCUCACUCACGUGUUGGACACCAUAUCCGGUGCCACCGUGAGCCGCUCGACGCCGAGGGAGAGAGGGGCCGAGCAGCUGCGGGAGUGGCAGCCUUCGCUCCUCCUGGCGAUGCGGACGCUCGAGCUCGACGAGCGAGUGGCACAAUAUGUACGUCCAUUUGAGCAUACAAAAUUAAUUCCAUGAAUGUAGAAUUCAAAAGAAAUAAAAAGAAAAAGAUAAGAAAAACAAACAUAUAACUACAAAGAUGAGCAGAGCUAGAUCAAGGAAAAGUAACAGAAGCCUAAAUCAGUAUAUUGCUAAAUUAAGUUUAACCCAAACAGCAGUACCACUAUAGCAAUAUCUUGGACCAGAUUACACUAAAGCCCACAUAGUUUAUUACCCAAAACUUCCUGGCAGCACAUCUAUAAUCCUAGACACUAAUAAUUCAAUCGGCCAUGUCAAUUCAGAGCAAAGAACAAGGGCAGCAACCAUCCAUGUGCAAAAAAAAUCCCACCCCUAGUAGGAUCUACACAAGGAACAAAAAGAAACACAUAUAAAAUCGCUGAGAGCGCCCGUAGCCCCCUUCGCUCUUGUUUUUGGAUGGAUCCCAAAAGGUGGUUGUAAUAAUAAAAAAGGCACCUCUCAAAUUAAAAAUGUCAUCCUCACAUAAAUAAAAAUGUCAAUCCUAUUAUAAAAAAUGUCAUGCUCUUAUUAAUAAAACUGCCAUCCUCUAAUAAUAAAAAUGUCAUCUUCUUAUAAUAAAAAUGCCAUCUUUUCUAUAUCUAUACCUAAUAAUAAAUGGCUAUUGCUUUUUGCGGUACGUCACCGAAAUUGCCCUCAAAGUUGUAAAAUAUUACCCACCAAUCUCACCCAGCUAUAAAUGAUAAAAAUGUUUCACACAGGGGAAUUCCCGUCUGGGCUGGCCCAUAUGCAAUAGUAACCUUCUGUACUGCGCUCUACGCACUGGGAGCUCCUACUCAGCGCUUUAAGUGCCCGUUAGCAUUGCUGGCACUCGCAGCGCGGCGUAACGAGCCGUCCCAGCCAUCUGCUGAAAAAUCCAACGCGAUGAAAAACCCGGGUGAAGUGGGACUCGAACUCCAACCGCCAAUGUCAACCGCACAGCGCUAAUAAUAAAAAUGCCAUCUUCUUAUAAUAAAAAUGCCAUCUCUUCUAUAUCUAUACCUAAUAAUAAAUGGCUAUUGCUUUUUGCGGUACGUCACCGAAAUUGCCCUCAAAGUUGCAAAAUAUUACCCAUCAAUCUCACCCAGCUAUAAAUGAUAAAAAUGUUUCACACAGGGGAAUUCCCGUCUGGGCCGGCCCAUAUGCAAUAGUAACCUUCUAUACUGCGCUCUACACACUGGGAGCUCGUACUCAGCGCUUUAAGCGCCCGUUAGCGCUGCUGGCGCUCGCAGCGCGGCGUAACGAGCCGUCCCAGCCAUCUGCUGAAAAAUCCAACGCGAUGAAAAACCCAGGUGAAGUGGGACUCGAACUCCAGCCGCCAAUGUCAACCGCACAGCGCUAACCACUAGACCAUGCUCGACUUCCCAACAAUACUGGGGAAACAGGUCUAGUUAACCCUUCCUUCAAUGCAAACAUUAGUAUAUACUAGUAUUAUUAUACCCACUAUAAAUUGAAUAAACUAAAACAUAAAUUUGAGAAAGAAUUCACAAAAACAAUGAAUUGAAAAAAACUGAAAAACGUUCAUACCAAUUGGAAAUAUUUCACGAUAAUCGAAAAAGUUCAUGAUUUCAAAAAAGGUUCAUGAUUUUGAAAAAAAGUUCGCUAAUUUAAAAAAAAAGCAUAAAAUUGUAGAAAGUUCAUGAGUUGUAAAAAACGUCAUCAAUUUAGAAAAAUAGUUCGAAAAGGUUAAUUGAUUUGAAAAAACUUUCAUCGUUUUUCAAUUAAAAUAUCUUGAAUUUGAAAAUAUUUCACGGGGGUAUGGAAAAGUUCAUCGAUUUUGAAUUAAAAAAAUCACGAAUUCGAAAAUAGUUCACAGGAUUUUGAAAAAGUUCACAUAUUUGACAAAAAUCACUGAUUUUGAUAAAAAAAAGGUUCACGAAUUUGAAAAAAAAUUCCAUUGAAUUUAGCAGAAAAGUUCAUCAAUUAGAAUAAAAUUACAAACAUUUUUUUUUAAAUUCAUCAAAUUCGAAUAAAGUUCAUCGACUUUCAAUUCAUUUCUCUAAUUUGAAAAAGGUUCAUUAGAACUGAAAAAAAGUUCAUCCAUUUUGAGAAAAAAAAUCAUCAUUUCUCAAAAAAGUUCACAAAUUUCGGAAAGAGUUCAUCGAUUCUUAAAAAAUGAAAAUUAAGAAAAGUUCGCGCAUUUGCAGAAGAAAAAGGAAACAAAAGAGAAACAGAGAAAGAAACAAGAAAAAAACACGGGCAUCGCGUUUUGGAGAAAGAAUAAGAGUACGGAAACGAAUUCAAUUGUCACGUGCAGCUUGGUGUUCGAGUGGUACUGCGUUGCUAUGCGAAGCUUUUUGUCUCAGGUUCCAAUCCGUUGCAACGCUCCCUUUUUUAUCAGCUUCCCUAGAAAGAAAGGGGACAUGGGCUGGGCCAAAUAGGAUUCGCCCUAUGCACUGGGAGAAGACACAGUGCGCCUGUUUGGGCCGGCCCAUGGCCAGGUGGUUCUUUUUAAAUUUCCUUUUUCUUUUUCUGUCUUCCUUUAUUUUCUACCUUAAAUAAUUUGGGACUUACAAAAAGUUUCGAAAAUUUAAAAAUGUAUUUUGAAAUAACGUUUUUAAUAAUUCAUAAAUUUUUUGUGGAUUUAGAAAAUAUUUCAGAUUUAUUAAAAAUGUUCGCACUUUUAAAAACAAAUAUUCGGGAAAUACGAAAAUAUUCUUCAUUUUUUUAAAAGUUCGUGUAUUAGAAAAUAUUCAUGAAUUGAAAAAUAUCCUAAAAAUUUAAAAAAAUUCGUGACCUCCUAAAUAGUUCAUUAAUUCAUAAAAUGUUCACUGAUUCAAAAAAUGAUCAUGCAUUUCGAAAAAUAUUUGUUAAAUUUAAAAAAUGUUUGUGAAUUUCAAACAUUGUUCCACCAAUUUCCAAAAAUUGUUCAUCGAUUCUAGAAAUGUUCGCCUACUCAAGAAUUUAUUUUUAAAAAUGUUCACAAAUUUAAAAACGUUACAAAUGAUAUAAAAUGUUCAUGAAUUCAAAAAUUGUCCAUGAUUAAAAAAAUGUUUAAAAAUCUGUAAAAAUGUUUACAAAUUUUGAAUUUUUCACAAUUUUAGACAUGCUCACGAGUUUAAAAAAAGUUCAUGAUUUUUUUUAAAUCGGGAUUUCACAAAAAUGAGAGUGAUGUGUACCUCGGUGAUGCAGAAAAAUGUGAUCAUGGCCAUUGAAGAUUAUGGUAUUUUUUUCUUCCGUUGCAACGCAUUGGGUGUUUUUCUAGUAUCUUAUAAUAAAAUGCCAUAUUCUUAUAAUAAAAAUGCCAUGCACACAAAUAAUAAAAAAUGCCACCCUGUUAUAAAAUAAAAAGUGCCAUGCUCUUAUUAAUAAAACUGCCAUCCUCUAAUAAGAAAUAUGCCAUCCUCUUAUAAUAAAAAUGGCAUCUCUUAUCUUAUAAUGAAAAAAUGCGAUCCUCUUAUAUUAAAAAUGCCAUCCUCACAAAUUAAAAAAAUGACAUCCUAUUGUAAAAUAAGAUAAAUGCCAUGCUCUGAUAAAUAAAACAACCAUCCUCCUAUAAACAAAACGGCCAUCCUUUAAUAAUAGAAUUGCCAUCCUGUAAUAAAAAAUGCCAUCCUCUUAUAAAUAGAAGUGCCAUCCUCACAAUAAAUAAAAAUUCCAUGCUAUAUAAAUAAGAAUGCCAUCUUUUUAUAAUUUAAAAAAUCUGUAUUUUUAGAAAAACCUUUAAAAAUGUCAAAUUUAUAUAUAAAAAUCAGUUGUACCACAAGUUUUCACAAAUCCCCAUGCAAUCGAUUGGCAAAAAUCCCAAUUCAAAACCUGCUACACCGCACGAAUUACCCAGUUUUUUGUAGAAAAUAAAAAACAAGCGUUCACCGGGAAAUGACGGACAACGAACGCCUCCAACCAUCCGAUGUGGCGUUGCCUCUGCAUUGAGUCCGUGCAACGGCGAUGGGGGUGUUCGCUCGGUCGGCCUCCCAGGGAACGUCGGCCAGAUAAGAUUACCAUAUAAUAUCAAUAAGUUAUGAUUUGAAUACUUUCCUAAGUGAGUGGACAGUUCGGAUGGAAUGAAAAUUUUGCAUUAACAUCUUGUAACAUACUAUCAAAGUAAUGCUAGGAAUACCAAAUACAGUAGUAUGUAUUUCUCCUCUCGCUCUACAUGCAAGGAGCAAAGUUUAUGUUGACACCAGAUUUUGGCACGGUCGAAGACAUAAUUAAGAAGGCCUCAAAUGGAAAAGUGCUCAAAGUGAGAAAGUUCCGUAUCGUCAAAAGGAGAAACUUUGAUAUUUGGGCCAUCGCCAUUCGAUCUCAUCUCAAAGGCCAAAGUUGUGUCCGAAGUACUGUGAUUUUGUAUCCAGAACACUAUUCGGCUGAUUACGCCCCCAAGAUGGGCCCAUAUGAGAAAAGUUUCUACACGAAUUAUCUUUGUCUCGUCGAAACGAUCGAUUUUUAUAUAAAAAUCAUCUCAAUCCAAAAUCGUGUGCAAAAGUUAGAGACAUUCGAAUGGAGCCCUGCCAGGAGGCUACAUAUGGCGCGCCCCACAAGACAUGAUGUCUGAUGGGUAGUGCCACCACUCGGCUGUCUUGCGCGAGCAAUUCGGCCCCGAAGAUGGUCUCGAAGCAAAAAACGUUCAACAUGAAAGUUGUUCGUCUUGUCGAAACAGUUAAAUUUUCUUUUGGGUGCAUUUUCAUCCAAGGUAGUUUACUAUCACAAAAAAGACCCGCAAGGUGCAGCCAGUUUAAACCGAACAUUUUUGAAAAGUUCGGACAAAAACAAUCCUAAUUUGACUAGGGUUUUGGGCGUGAAUCCAAGCCUUUUCCUUGCACAGGAAGUCAUGCCGCCUCUUAUAUAUCUAAGGGGUGACGGCCGAUUGAACAGCACACAAUCGAUCUAUCAAUAUACCACUUUUUACCUUUACUUUUAUCCUCUCCCUUGUUCUUCUUCUUCCUCGUUCUUCGUUCGUUCUUCUUCAUUGCAGGGCGGCGAAGCUCGAGGCCCUAGGGGCGGUCAGGACGACCUAGGGCAGCCCAUAGCCGUCGCGCGCCCUGACGGGGUCCCUCCCGGGCGUGUGGGGUUUCGGGUCAUCAAGAGCGCCCGCCGGAUUGCUUGUGUACUGCGCUUCCGGAUGGGUCUCCUUCGACGUGAGCUGCGGUGCAUCACCCUCGGCGUUGGAGGUACACGGUGACGUGUUCGUGUGAGAACACACUUUUUGGCGACUCCGCUGGGGAUGAAGCUUUGAACGGUUUCCAGCCCGUUCUUGCUACGAAGAGAUCGUCAUCAAGUUGCUGCAAUCUACAAAGGUAAUAUGAAUACCCAAUUCCCCUUUGUAGAUGCAAAUAAUCCAUAUGUUGUUGCUGGAUCACCUAAUGAGCAUAAUGUAUCGGCUAGCCCUAGUUUUAUCAAUCAUGCAUCUAAUUAUGCGCAAGGGCCGAUGCAAAACAGUCUUCAUGCUUCAAAUUCUUAUGAUCUUAGCAACGUACAACAUAUGUAUCCAAACUCUCAUGCACCGGCAACCCCACAAAUCCAUAUGCCGAUGAACAACAUGAUGGGUUUGGUUAAUCAAUUUGAAACACCUCAUGUUAAAAUUUCCAAUAGCAUACAAGAAAGUGUUUCACCUUUUUAUUCAUCGGCAACUAAUUUGCAAUAUGUGAAUCCAACCUUGCCGAUGGAUGGGAGAAUUGGCCAUGCUACUACUAGCUAUUCGGCCAGUUACUCUCAACCAUGCUACACCUCAUGUUAGUAAUUUUUCAGCACCGUAUGCAACUGUAGAUGUCCAUAAUUCGGCCCCGCAUCUUCAUGGUCAUAGCCGAAUAAGUGAAAAUUUUACAGGAACACAUGUGUCGUCAUCAAAUACUGUAGCAUAUAAUGCAUACUCUACGCAAUUCAAGAAUUUUGGCAACACUCAUGAAUCAUUGCCGAAAGAAUCUGAAAGUAUUGCGGAGCAAUCCCUUCCAGAAGCGGUUGUAGCUGCAUUAAAAAAGAGGUUGGCACAAAACAAGAGGAUUAGUGCUCUUUGCCUUGAACAAUAUGAAAAGGGGUUGUUUCCUGAUUAUGCUGCAAUAAAUGCUAGAGUUUUGCAAGAAGCUGAAACUUCAUCAAUUCAUAGAAUUGGCGAGAGAGCAUAUGGUUAUACAGCAGUGCAUACACCUCCACCUAGUACCGCAGCAUAUUAUACACCCCCUACAUAAUUGCAAAAUUUCCGCAACACUAAUACUUCAUUGCCGAAAGAUCCUAAAAGCAUUGGGGGCAAACUAAUCUAGAGCGGGCUGAAAUUGAGAGGGGAGUUAAAGCUUUACGCGAUAGGGUGCAAGUACUUCGCCAAGAGAGAAUUGAUAGGGAAUUAGCUCAAAGAAAAGAAGCCUUGCCAAUUGAUAUAACCGGUGAAAAGAAUGAUGAUUCGGAAACUAAAAGUGCUUCGGUUGAAAAAGCUGAAUCAAGUAGUAUAUACUUCGAAUCCAUCAAAUCCAAAGAGGCAAACAUUGUUGACAAAGGGCAUGGAAAGUAUAGCAAGACAGCCAUACUUUGAUUUUUCUAAAGUUAAUGGAACCUACUUCCUGCCCUAUGAGUUUCGUGUCAUAGAAAUUGACGAGCUUCAAGAACAAGAACAAGUAGCCGAAGAAAGUUUGGUGGACAAAGAUCUUCAAACUAAUGAUGCAAGAAAUCAAGAACAAGAUGAUGACAAGGCAUUGGGGAGCUAUCCGAAGGCGGAGCAAGAUACUCUUCAAGUCACACCACCAUCAUGCACUCCCAACAUAUUUGAAGAGGUAUGUCUAGCAAUUAAUUUACCUGUUUUCAGAUUUGGUCAUGACUUAGUUGUUGAUGCAUAUAUUAGAAAAAUCUUCAUAAGAAAUAUUGAGAGACCAAUGAAGAAGGGUAAUUUAUUUGUUAGCAAUCAAAUUGUCACAAAGCAUAUCGAUCAACAUAUUGCACCAUUCAGAAAGACCGAUAGCGAAAAAUUGUUGCAGCCAAGGCUGUCCCCAUUGCUUUAUCUAAAGCUCAUAUCUAAUUGGCACUACAAAAAAAAGACACAUCCGUGACAUUUUGGGUUGAACGAAAAUCUUUUCUGUCAUACUUAUGACACUUCUAUGACGAUAGUUGUGACAAAACCCGGUAUCAUCAUAGAUGUGGUGGGGUCCUACUUCUAUGACAAAAAAUCAUGACAGAAAAUGGGCUUUUCGUCCUAGGCGGGCCGGAGACGCAGCUGCAUGACAUUCUUUGGGCCGUCCAUGACGGAAAAAACCGUGGUAGAAGCGAGGGCGCGGAAAAUAUCGGGGAGUCCCCGGUUACGGUGGGUGGUCGGGGGCCGAGCGAUGCGCGUUUCUCUCGUACGUACGUGCGUGUGUGCGAGGCAUUGGGCUCUAACUGAACCCGAGCGAGGCGUUGGGCUCUAACUGAAUCCGAGCGAUUGCACUGCAGGCUACGCGUUACUGAACCCGAGCGACCGAUCGAUGGCUGUUAACUGAACCCGAUCGAGCCAUUCCUUCGCUACUGCUGCUAACUGAAGCCGAUCGAUGCUGCCUCUGGAUGNNNNNNNNNNNNNNNNNNNNNNNNNNNNNNNNNNNNNNNNNNNNNNNNNNNNNNNNNNNNNNNNNNNNNNNNNNNNNNNNNNNNNNNNNNNNNNNNNNNNNNNNNNNNNNNNNNNNNNNNNNNNNNNNNNNNNNNNNNNNNNNNNNNNNNNNNNNNNNNNNNNNNNNNNNNNNNNNNNNNNNNNNNNNNNNNNNNNNNNNNNNNNNNNNNNNNNNNNNNNNNNNNNNNNNNNNNNNNNNNNNNNNNNNNNNNNNNNNNNNNNNNNNNNNNNNNNNNNNNNNNNNNNNNNNNNNNNNNNNNNNNNNNNNNNNNNNNNNNNNNNNNNNNNNNNNNNNNNNNNNNNNNNNNNNNNNNNNNGUUGCCUCUGGAUGAACAGUGAGUGUUGCUGGGGGGUUUGGAUGAACAGUUCCCGGUGGGGGUGGAUGAACAGGACCCCGAUCGUUCGAGCCAGUUGGGGUAGGAUGAACAGGACCCCGUGGAGGGCAGGAUGAACAGUAGACGGUGGAGGGCUGGGUGAACAGUAGCCCGUGGAGGGGUGGUUGAACAGGAGCCCGUGGAGAGGGCUUGUUGAACAGUAGCCGGUGGAGUAACGCGUGGUGGAGGCUGGAUGAACAGGAGUCCGUGGAUGAACAGUCGCAGGUGGAGGCUGGAGGAGGUCGACGGUGGAUGAACAGUCGCCCGUGGAGGCUGGAGGGGGUCGACGGUGGAGAUGAACAGUAUCCCGUGGAGUCCCAUUUUGCGGUACGCCAUACCCCUCCCGAUGAACAGGACCCCCGUUUCGACCGUAGCGCUCCAACACAAGUCCGUUUCCUCCGUUUUGCGGUACGCUACACCCCUCCCGAUCAACAGGACCCCCGUUUCGACCGUAGGAGGUCCGUUUCCUCCGUUUUGCGGUACGCCAGACCCCUCCCGAUGAACGGGAUCCCGUUUCGAACGUGGCCGGUCGAACACAAGGCCGUUUCCUCUAUUCUGCGGUACGCCAGGCCUCGUUUCCAUCGGUUGUUCCGUCCAAGCUGGUUGGCUCCCACGCGUUCCAUUUCCUCCUGAUGAACACGACGCAUUCUGUUGCCUCCCCAUGAACACGACGACGACGUUGUUUCUCCGUUCCGACCCAGCCAUGUAUACGAGCCCUGGCAGUACGUACGCGCGAGUAGGCGUUCGAGACCGCGCCCGUAUGUACGUACGUGGCCGUAUUUACUUUCUUGCACCCUGGCCGCUGUACGUACGUGUACAUGCUACGUGCGCGCCUCUACUAUGACACAUGCGCGCCUCUACAUCGACCAGUAUGUAUGUACACGUUCGUGACCAGAAUGACAAUGCUACGUACGCUUCGACUAGGUGGGUCCCGACUAUCAGGCACUUCCUUGCCUGCGAAGAUGUAGCUGGUGGGUCCCAGCAGUCAGGGGGGCGAAUCAUUUUUUUUUGCCCAGAGACACUUCCUUGCGUGCGAAGAUGUAGCUGGUUGGUCCCAGCAGUCAGGGGGAAACGUUUUUUUACGAAAUACGAUGGCCCGUCGGGUGGGUCCCCACUAUCAGGUGGAGGAUUAAUUAUUUUGCGCGUAAUAAGGAGGCACUUCCUUGCUGCGGUCGUGGACCCAACUGUCAGCCUCUCCACGAUAGUACUCUUCUGAUGGAAGUCGUUCCUUGACCACGUUGACCACGCCGCGCCGAGAGCACCAGGGCGGUGGACGACGGCGAGGCCUAGGAAGGGGACAACGCGGAGCCAGGGAAGACGCGACAGUGGAAGCCCGCGCGGAGAGGAGUACGAGGGUUCACUGGUUUGGCUGCGGUGUGAGGCUGCCGUCGCCGCAGGGCCUGGCCAGCGGUGGGAAUAGUAGGGGCGGUGUGGCCUCCGCGGCAGCACAGCCGGCCACGGGAGGCAGGAGCAUGCGGCACGACCGGCGCUGCUUUGGGUGGCUGGAGCAACAAGACCAGAGGUUGAAGAAGCACUACGGCCGUUGGAUGGACAUCGUACGGUCACUGGAGCUAGAAUCGUUCAUAUUGACUAAGUUGACAAAGCACUCUGUCCCCGUCAACUUAGUAGGCCCACAAGUCAGCCUCCCACCAAGGUGGGUCCCAACCAGCAGGGGGGUAUUCAUUUUUUUGUGCGUAAUAAGGAGGCACUUCCGGUGGGUCCGAGCUGACAGUGGGGGAACGUUUUUUUCGCGCAAUACGGUGGCCCGUCCGGUGGGUCCCUGCUGUCAGGUGGAGGAAUCAUUAUUUUCCGCGUAAUAAGGAGGCACUUCCUUGCUGCCGUCGUGGACCCAGCUGUCAGCCUCUCCACGUACAGUCCACGUCCGAUGGAACCCGUUCCUAGACCACAUUGACCAUGCCGCGCCGAGAGCACCAGGGAGGUGGACGACGGCGAGGCCUAGGAAGGGGACGAUGCGGAGCCGGGGAAGACGCGGCAGUGGAAGCCCGCGCGGAGAGGAGUGCGAGGAUUCACUGGUUCGGCUGCGGUGUGAGCCUGCCGUCGCUGCGGAGUAACAGGGGGUGUGGGUGAGUAGAGGGAUGGCCUGGCCAGCGGUGGGAGUAGUACGGGCGGUGAGGCCUCCGCGGCAUCACAGCCGGCCACGGGAGGCAGGAGCACGUGGCACGACGGGUGCUCCUUUGGGCGGCUGGAGCAAGAAGACUAGAGGUUGAAGAAGCACUACGGCCGUUGGAUGGACAUCGUACGGUCACUGCAGCUAGAAUCGUUCAUAUUGACUAAGUUGACUUAGUAGGCCCACAGGUCCGCUUCCGAAAUGGUGCGCCCCAGAUGUCAGGGGGAGGAAUCAUUUUUUGGGCGGAUGAAACUAGAAUAUCCGAGAUUGAAGAAGAAGCACGGCAUCCGUUGGAUGGACAUCCAACGGCCACUGCUGCUAGAAGCGUGUGUUGACUAUAAUAAGUUGAUAAAGCCUUGCAUACGCGUCAACUUUUUUUAGGGGACGCGUCAACUUAGUAGGCCCACAAGUGUGUGGGAGAGAACUUAUAGCCCAUUUGCGAUUUGUAAGAAUGUACAACCCAUUUUUGAAUUCUAAUGGAAUUUACUACAGCCAAUUUACAGUUUGUUAAAAGUACAGCCCAUUUUCUAGCUAGGACAACGAUUAAUAAUUUCAACCAACCGUUCAAGACAGAAUUCAAUAAAAAUUUCCCACAUUUUGAAGGGAUCCGAAAUAUUUUUAUCCCGAAAUUUCUAGUCAGAUUAAAUAUAAGUUUGUAUUACGUAAAAAUCUAACGAAACAUUGCGCGCGCAACAAUUAAAAAUUAAGAUUUUCAAAAUCCAUAAAUAAUAUUUUAUAAACUAAUUAUGUGCUUGGUGCAUUUUUAUAGUUACUACCCAGUUUUUAUAAUUACAUCCCAUUUAUUAUUUUUUAAAGCCCAUUUUCCUGUUAAGCCUAAUGCAUCCCUCCUAGGAAAGAUUUGCAGCCCAGCGGGGCGGAGAAUAACAAGUUGACCUUGCCUGGGUAUUCCUAAAAAAACGUAUAGCUAGGCUAGCCAUUUUCAUCUUGAAAAAUUUUAAUAUCUGGGCUGGAUAUCUGCCCUGGGCUAGACGGGCCACAGCCCGCCCAGUUAAUACCCUGCUCUCCUCUGAACAAAAACGAAAACAUCGCCAAGAAAAACUCUGCAGUGCUCACGCCUCAAAAACACAAAUACUGCUCGAGCUGCUUGGUCCCAGCUGUCGGCCGCACCUUGUGCAAUUCUCUCGUUUAUUGACUACAUAGGUUGACUAUGGUGUGGGACCGUGAUGUCAGGAAACCAGGAGGAAGCAAAAAAAAAUAUAGUUGUACAUAAUAAGGAGGCACUUGCUUACGUACGGCUAUGUCCCUAGUGGGUCCCUACUGUCAACCAGUCAAAAUAAAGUCAUCUCCUGAAUCCUCAUGUUCAUUGACCAUGUUAACAAUGCUCGGUGCCACGGCGAGCGCAACAACUCGAAGGAUGACGGAGAGGGCCUCGCGGGCCCUACGGAUGGUCUGAUACAGCGCCCGCUGCUCAUUCAGGAAGCCAGGAUCAUCGGACACCUAUGAGCACCUUCGAGAGACUGAGACGGGAUGAAACGGUAAGGCCACGCUUGGGAGCUCUGGUUUAUUUCACAACUGUAUUAAGAUACAAGUGUAAUUUACUCGUCAUCGGAAACAACGCGUAAAAUACAGGCGUAAUGAAACCGAGGGCCCGAGGUCUGUAAGUAAAACCGGCGGGUUACACGUGUAAUUUGAGAGACCGGUGUAUAUUUUACUAGUCAAAAUCGACCAACCAAGCGCUUCGCCCGAGACCAUCUGCUUUUAUUUACAAGCGUCAGUUUUACAAGCGGUUUUGGUUGGAAAACGACGAUCCAAUCACGGCCUAAGGUGAUGAGUUGGUCGGAAGAUCAUAUGGUUUCACAUCUAACCUACCCGACUUGUCGUAUAGGCUAUGAAUGAAACAUAAGACGAUGAACUUAUUAAGCACGGAAACAACAGAAGAGGAUGAUCUUCCUAACAAGCAAAUCACUGGCAUUAGAUCGACAUGCAAAACAAUACGAAGCAUUAUUCUCAGGAGGCACGGUGAACAGCUCGUGAUGCCGCAUGCCACAACAUUCCAAGCUCAACUUUGCAAUCAAACACAAGGCCUGGCAUUACAUAGACAAUAUUCAGAACAAACUCUUAAAAUAUCUUACAUAAGUCAACAUUCAUGUGACUAUGCAUCUCAGUAGAGUAAAUAUUUACUUCUGAACUGAAGACAGGAAUAGGAAAAAAACGAUCGACGUUGCUCACAGCAAAGGGCGUCCCACUCAAAAAUAUCAAAUGCAUGUCUUCUGGCUAACAUCAAUCAGCAAAAAUUGACAUGGUUUUCCAAUUCCAAUAUAUUAAACUAAUGUCAACUUUGACAAGCUUUUCCCAUUCAAAAUAUGUAAUGCCUAUGAUUGUGGAACGGUCAGGGUUUGUCAUCUGAUAGUCCGGUGGCUCAAGGUGACGACGAAUGAUUAGAGAACCAUUCAGUGUAUUGUGCAUGAUGAAGUAUUAUUAUGGAGGACACGAACCAUUUGAAUAUUUUGUGCAGUUCCACUAAAAUCAAGCUGAGCAUCCCUGUGGAUUUCAUAUUUAUAUGCUGCCAGAAAACAAAGACACAUCAGCACACACAUGAAUAUUGGCCCCAGUGUCAACCCACCAAUCGGUGGACUAACAAACUAAAAGUAUGGUAAACAGAUUACCAUACCCAGAUGCCCCAUCAUUGUUGCUUAGAGUGACAUUGACAGACUUGGAGUCAUGUCCUGGCUUCUUGGUACUUGUUUGGCACUUGUUUGCCCAGUGUUCCUCCGAACCACAAGUAAAGCAGCCAUCUCUGCAGACUAGGCAUGUCACCAGCGUCUACUAAUACUCUGUGAAGCUUAUCGAUCAUUCCUUGUGUAAUGUAGCGCAAACAGUGACUCCUUCUUUCUGCAAAGUGGUAAGACCAAUUGGACCCACUAAUGCAACAGUUUGCCUUAGACACAUUGGCUCCUUUUGUGCAGUUCAACUAAAAUCAAAGUCGGAAUAAAACUGAGCUUUAAUUUUAAUAUCCCUGUAAGCAACAAAAGGUAUAAGGGAAAUAAUUACUGAGAAAUAACGGUUGAUGACUUGUACUCCCAGAAGAAAAACAUCUACUGAACUACCUUAUCUUAAUGGGAAACAAAGCAGGAGAGUAGCAAUUCUCAAUCAGUGUGAUUCAUUCAUAUUAACUGAGACAUUAUCUUAACAAUGCCUUGUUUCAACAUGUAUAAAGAACGACAAAGCAGAAAAGUAUCAUUACUAAAACAAUGCGACUGAUUCAUUUUAACAGAGACAUUAUCUUAACAAUACCUUGGUUAAACAUGUAGAAAGAACUACAAAGCAGGAUAGUACCAUUUGUAAAACACUGUAACUGAUAUAUAAUAACAGAGACAUUAUCUGAACAAUACAUUUCUUAAACAUGUACUCCGGCCGAUCCCUAACAGAAAUGGUACUCCCGCAGAUCCCUAACAAGUGUUGCAGUUUUGAACUAAGAUUCAGUAGUUAAUUCUGAGGAAAGUCGGUACUGACCUUUCAAGACCAAGAUUUGAAAUAACUCGUGAGGAAGACCUCAGAGAGAUCUCAACACAUAUAUGGAAAUUCGGUCUCAUUUUGUGCAGUUCCACCAAAAUUAAGCGAAGCAAAAUGUCGCAAUAGCAACAAGUUGAAUAGAUAUCCCUGUUUUAGCAGAGGCAAAAAAGGAAUCAAUUACUGGCCAAUAAAGGAGGAUGAAACAUGCGGCCACAAAAAUGGUAAUCCCGCCAAUCCCUAACAAGUGUUGAAGUUUUGAAAUAAGAUUCAGUAGUUAAUUCUGAGAGUAGGCUUAAUUUUACCAGCGGCUUAGAUUAACAAAAAGCAUAAACAGUUCCAGGGGAGAGUGGGCGCAACAACAACAUGUGCUUCCAUCUACUUAUAAAGGGGGUGAUGCAGAGUUUGUUGUAACAAAGCAACAAGCAUAAUGUCUGGGUUGGUCCCAUUUUUGUUCACUACUUAAUGGGAAAAGACAACAAUACAAUAGCUUCAAUUCAACAUUUAUUUAAAACAGUACCAAUACAAGUAGCACAACAUCUCAAAACACACUGCACGAUCAUGUGGAUGAAGGCAAGUACCAACCUGUCAUGACGCACACAAGAUCACGUACAAAUCUGCCAACAUGAAUAGGAAAUCCAAUCUCGUUUUGUGCAGUUACUCUGAAAUCAAGUAAAGUCGCCGGUGAGACAUUUAAGUUUGCUAUAGCAACAAGUUGAAUAGAUAUCCCUGAUUAAACAGAGGCAAAAAAGGAAACAAUUACUGCCAAUAAAGGAGGAUGAAACAUGCGGCCACAAAAAGAAGCAUCUACCUUAUCUUGAUGGAAAACAAAGUAUAGGACAGUAGCAUUUCUAAAAUGGUUGCAUUGAUUUGUAUUAACAGAGAAAUUCUCUUAAAAUUGUUCAGUAGUUAAUUCUGAGAGUGGCAUUGCUUAAAAUACAAUAGCUUCAAUUCAACAUUUAUUUAAAACAGUACCAAUACAAGUAGCACAACAUCUCAAAACACACUGCACGAUCAUGUGGAUGGGACAUGAGACAUGCCAGCACCAUGCGCGUCCACGCGUAUAAAUGGGUGAUGCAGAGUAUGUAGCCAAGCAGCAUAUUUGCGUUGGUCCCAUAUUUGUUCUCUUUGAAACUUUUUCCGAUGUGAGGGCAACAAAUCGAGUCCUNNNNNNNNNNNNNNNNNNNNNNNNNNNNNNNNNNNNNNNNNNNNNNNNNNNNNNNNNNNNNNNNNNNNNNNNNNNNNNNNNNNNNNNNNNNNNNNNNNNNNNNNNNNNNNNNNNNNNNNNNNNNNNNNNNNNNNNNNNNNNNNNNNNNNNNNNNNNNNNNNNNNNNNNNNNNNNNNNNNNNNNNNNNNNNNNNNNNNNNNNNNNNNNNNNNNNNNNNNNNNNNNNNNNNNNNNNNNNNNNNNNNNNNNNNNNNNNNNNNNNNNNNNNNNNNNNNNNNNNNNNNNNNNNNNNNNNNNNNNNNNNNNNNNNNNNNNNNNNNAAGAGUUGGGUUCCUUACAGAUGUGUGUACUGGGUUACCCCCUUUUUCCCUUUUCGACCAACAAAGCGGCUGGAUAGCUAGUCUAUACUACUUUCCCUCCCUCCUUUCCUCAUUGAACCACGUCCUAGAUUCAUGCUCCACCCCACUGCACCCUUCUUUCCUCUUUGAACCAAGACCUAGAUUCGACUACAGAAUCAAAAAAGAUCAGCAUGCAGCUAGAGCAAUGACGGUUUCAAAGAAACUUAUACCUUAGGGUCGUCGGGAUGUGGCAAGGCGUGCGGCGGGAGGUUGGAUCUGCUCACACUACGUACGACAGCGAGGAAGAAGGGGUCGGUGGCCCUCCUGCACAGGCGCUGGGUGAAAGAGAAAAGCGCAGCUGGCAGUGGAUUGCCUCCCUCGCCGAAGGCGAUAGAGUGAACGCUACACCUCCUCCCCUUCCCGAUGCGACGGGAUCCGGACGCCUCCUUCGCCAGCUGUCUGUGAGGGGGGUGAGAGAGACAGAGGCCACAACGCAGUCUUGUUUAGAUCUCGUGAAGAGGGUGAGAGACAGUGAAUAUAGCAAACCCUAGCAAAGGAACGCCGAGCCUCCAGCAUGUAUAUAUAUAUAUAUGUGUGCAAACCCUAGCGAACAAGCGCUGAGGCUCCAACUUAUAUAUAUACUGUAGUACGGACUGAGCUCCGGUGCCUUAACUGCACCUGCUUUUGGCUAUAUGACAGGUGGGCCAGCCACAUUUUGGGCCCACCUGUCAUAAACCCAAAGGCAGGUGCACUAGAGUCAAUGAAGCUGCGUCCAUAUAGUACUCGUGUAUACGACUAAUAUAUAGUGGAGUGGUUUUCUUAUUCUCUCCAUAACAAUCAUUUUAAAUUGUGUAAGUACGAAACGAAACUCUUUAUUUAACGUACCAGUGAAGAAAACUACUACUCCCUCUGUUCCUAAAUAUUUGUCUUUCUAGAGAUUUCAACAAAUGACUACAUAUGGAGCAAAAUGAGUGAAUCUACACUGUAAAAAAUGUCUAUAUACAUCCGUAUGUGGUAGUCCAUUGCAAACCACUUGAAAGACAAAUAUUUAGGAACGGAGGGAGUACUUCCGAUGAACUAACGAUCCACGCGUCUUGGCCACACUUCCUGGCCUUCACGUGCGGUACACUACCCUCCCUUAAGUGAACAACCACACAUGCGCCAAAUUAUCGGAAAUGUGUGAGAGUGUGUACAAAUAAAGAAUUUUAAUUUCAAUUAUUGGAAAGGUUUGAGAGUAUGUACAGUUUGCCCUCUCUAAUAAUUAUGGUUUGUUGUGUUCGGCCUAAACUUGGUCAAACUUUACAAAGUUUGACUUCAGUCAAAUCUAAUAUGCGGAGUAAAUAAAACUGGAGGGCUACUACGUCCAUCCGGGUUUUUAGUCCACACCAUUUUUUAAUCAAAGUUAAUAGCUGGACAAAGAAAAUUACAGGGGAGCUGGAGACAAAGUUGUGAGAAGGCUUAGAAAUCAAUACAAAACUUAUGCUCUUAGUACCAACUUCGAUCCUUCUUCGAGGAAACAUUUGGUUCAUAGCCAAUUGUGUGAUAAAAUUGCACCAACGUGAAAGACGACUGCGUCUCCAACGCAACCAAGGUGAACUGACGAAGGAUAUCAUCUUUGUGGGUAACAGGCAAAGAGCACUGAUGGAAGACAACUAGUUUUUCAUUGAAAAUCGAUCAGCUUCACCAGCCGACGCAACCAUGAGGCGCAACCAUGAGCAUCGAUACGUCAUCAUGGUGAUGCAUCAUCCAUUUGGCAUCAAGUUUGGGUGAGGCACCUAUGAAGUUCGACAAAUCCUCACUAUGGUCUGUUUCUUCUCAGUAGUGAAGCUCGAGGAAGGAAGAACCACGUGGCAGAGGACAGUGAGGUGGAACAACAAUGGCCAUCCAAUUUUGUGCAGUUCCACUAAAAUUGAGGAAGACAUGCCCGGGUAUGGAGAUACGCAUCGCUGUUUCCAAAAAUAUAAAAAAGGGAUAUAGUGUUGUUACUUUGUUUUACAAGAUUAAAAACGACAUCUCAAUUGUCAAUAAGAAUUAUGAAAAGUACACCAACAAACAGAAGCAUCAUGAUUAUCUUGAUGGGAACUAAACCAGGAUACCCGAGAAAAAAAAGCAUUUCUUCAUUUAACCAGUGAUAGUAUUAGAUUAGCAGCAGCAAUAUGAGCAUAUGGACAAUGACCGCACAACCACCAUGUACUUUUUGUCGAAACAAAAUGUAUACCUCCACCGAGGCAUAAAUCAGGACAACUUUUCGAGUGGCAUUUCCUCUAUAAUAGUAGGUGAUGUUGGACCAGCUGACGAACCUAGCUACUAUACAUGGGGAGCUGGGGAGUAGUCGCAUAGAAGAAAACCCGCAUGCAGCGACCUGGGGAGCUAGACCAGUACAAGAAGUUAUACCUCAGGUGGGCGAGAUGUUGCUUAGGCGGGCGGGCGGGAUCUGCCCACACGACGACAGCGAACAAGGGCGCGGAGGACCUUCGUCCGUGCCAGCGCCGGCUCUGAGAGGACGGUGCGCAUCGGCUUCCUCCAUCGUUGACGGCGACAACGUCAACACUGCACCUCCUCACCUCCCGCAGCGGAUGGGAUUCGGCCGGAUCUGUGACCACCGGUGAGGAGAGAGAUAGUGUGGACACUGUCAUCUUGUUUUGAUAUGGAGAGGGUGAGAGAUCGAGACGCGAGAAACUCUAUCAAACAAGAGGCUAUAAUGGAGUAAAACAAUCUCUCCAUAGCAGUGGUUUUAAAUAGAAUACGCGCGUUCCCGAAAAAAAGAAACGAAAACUGGCGGACAAUUUUUUAACGUACCAAGAAAGAAAACUCGAUCAAAAACACGCCCCUGCUUCCAGGUCGUGAGAGUCGUCGCGCACACACACAUAGACAUAGACAUGCUUAUCCGUGUUUACGUAAAAUUCCAUUUCCAUCUCCAUCUCCAAUCAUAUUUGUCCAACUGGCACAUUAUUUACGUUGUUAAUUAUAUACACGGCAAUAUUAACGUACAUCAUCUCUUGUUUGCGGGCGUCCGGACCGCUGCCACGGCCGCUCCUGACCAACCCGAACCCUCUUCAUCACCCGUGCGUGCUUCCCACCCGAAACGGUCAGUGCCGCAUUCAUGCCCGGCCAGAGCGAACGCGACCUCUCACUGGCACCGGUAUUGAAGCGGCGCGCCGGCCGAGAGAGCGUCGCCCGCGCCGCUUCCUGGUGCAAGCGACUGCUCCGCGUUCAAAGGUCGCAAUAGCCGGCCACAACAUGCAUGUAAAAAGUUCUUGGGAGUCCAUGCUAGAGCUAGUUGUCCUCCCCAACUCGUCAAUCUCUUCCAGUAGUACUAGUACUCCAUGGCGCGAUCCAUCGACAAGCAGGCGGGGAAGUUAUCGUAUACUCGGUUUGCGGUGAGUGGCAUGCUGAGCGACCGUGUGGGGUCGAGCCGUGGAGGAGGGUGAGACACGAAUGUGACAGACGUGAUUUAAACGUUGGUUUUGCUCGAUGGCGCGAUCCAACAAAACAAAACGUUGGUUUCUCUCCGUUUCCAAUUUUUCUCCGGAAAAACGAAACUUUCCACUCCAUUUUCAUUCCUACUCCAAGGUUGCCCCAUUACAACAUUCCAUCAAAUACAAAGGAAAACUAACACGCAUGCUGAUGCAUCUCAAUGAUUCACAGAUCAUAGCCAAUAUUUACUUCACAACUAAAGACAAAAGUUGUGAGAGCGUGUACGAAAGAAAAACUACUGAUGGGGUCACUACGACUCAAACCCUAAACCCUAAACAGGAUUUAAUUUCCUGGCCAGGUAGAACCUGUCGAAGGAAAGACGGCUGGCGCCCUCGGAUCAUACGGUGCUUUUGUGCAGUUCCACUAAAAUCGAGCUGAGCAUCCCUGAUGGCAAAGAUAUUGAAGAAGUGUGAUUAUAAUAAUAGUACUGGCACUAGUUCAUGAGACAUACACUCAUCACAAGUAGAAGCCGAUAGAAGUAGAGAAAGAUCGACAUGGAGAUGGAGCUACGUGGGGAGCUGCGGUAGUAGAGCAAGCCGGCUCCAAAAGGAAGAUGGACUACCUGGGACGUCGGGCUGUAACUAGAAGGGCGGUUGGGAUGCGACAUCGGCCCAUACCGCGGUGACCCCCGAUUGGGAUGCACCGACUGUGGAUUUUCUCCCUCGCCGAUGUCGAUCACAUCUACGCAGAACAUUGUUCCCUUCCCCCAGCUGCGGGAUCAGGCCGGAUAUGUGACCAGCGGUGUGGCCACCGUCGUUCGAUGCUUGUGAAGAGAGCAACCCAAGCAAGCAGGCUUGUAGCUUAGGCUCCUGCUAGUGUAUAUAUAGUGGUUUUCUUUUUCUCUCCAUAUCAACCAUUUUAUAUUGCGUACGUGUCAUUGAAGAGUGAAAUGAUGGUUGCUUCUUCCGACUAACUUACUGUGUGAUUUGACUGCUCCCUUAGUGGCCCCUACACGUACUCCCCCUACGUUUAUGCAACAGUCACACGUACACAUGGACGCAAAAACGUGCACGAUGCCCUAAUGCAUUCAUGUCCGAGCACACGAUGGAACACACACGUUCACGCUCAAGUGCUCAACCUACACGUGCAUGCACACACAUACUCAGCCAGGGUGAGCUAGUGACCGUAUAAACACCAGAAAAUGUAUAUAUUGAGCGCAAUGAGCGUAUUAUGAAGUCCACUGACCGUAUUUUUACAAAUAUACAGUGACAGACAGUGUAUUUAUCUCGUUUGAAAUUAAGCCAUAUUAACCGGAGAGGAGGCAGUAUGGACUAGCAUUACUUUGCUGUGUCCCAUCAACUUGCCGAACGAGGAGAAGCUUGCAGGACGGGAGAAGCUUGCACGCGGUGGCUCGCAGGACAAGGAGAAACUUUUGACUAAUGCAAGCUGUCCUUCGCUCAGGCGGUGGACGUGCCACAGUUAAUUCUGUGUCAGAUUGCCACAAGCAUACACUAUACUAGUACUAUUAUUGUUGCACUUCCCGAAGAGGUGAACAGCCAAGCGCAAAGUUUACUAGUACUACUACUAUAGUCUAUAGAGGUACUAUACUAGUACUAGGAACCGGAUGGAGGAGCGUCUGCACUCUUAUUAUAUUUUUAAAAUGUGAUAAAGCAAUCUUCAACACAUUUGGUUCUCUUCGAGGGUUCUCGCAUGUGAUAAUGGAAGUCGAUUGCAUGGAACACUCGCCACAAUUCUCGCUUAAUUCUGGCUCAUAUCCUGUUACAAAUAGGAGCGCUCGGUAAUAUUUCCUUUCUUUUUUGUAAUUCAGCAUGUAAACAGGCCAGCAAACCUUGCGGCACAUCUUUGUGCGAACCGUGCUUGCUGCACUUUGAAUGUGGCCAAGAGCUGGCUUGAUGAAACACCUCGCUUCCUACUUCUUUUUUGGCGGGGUACCUCACUUCCUAGUGACCAGUGUCUUGGCUGAUCGUCCUAAGAAUGCUUAUAUAUGAAUAAAGCUCUCUCAUUUACCCACAAAAAAGACUAAGCCAUAUUAACCGGAAAGGAGGGAGUAUGGACUAGCACUACUUGUUGGUGUGUCCCGUCAACUCGCAGAACGAGGAGAAGCUUGCAGGACAAGGUGAAGCUCGCUUACGCCUUUUGACUAAUGCAAUGUACCUCGCCCAGGCGGUGGACAUGCAUCAGUUCAUUCGGUGUCAGAUUGCCAGAGGCAUACACUGUAGUACCGAACAUGCGGAGUACCAUCAUUGUUCGACUUCACGAAGAGGCGAAGAGCCAAGCGCAAGGUUUAGUAAUACAAGUAGUACUACUACUAGAACCGCAUGGUGGAGCCUCUGUACUCUUAGUUUUCUUAAUCUUUGAUAAAGUACACAUUUAUUCCGGAGAAGGGCGGAAAACGGCAGCCCAACAUGUAAUGAUGAUAUCAAUCAACCAUGCUCGAAUAUAUCUUGGCCUCCGUGCGAGCCCGUCUGUGUGUUCUCGCUCCUCGUCUCUCUCAAGGAACGGCGGGUUGGCCAUUUUGCCAUCAAUUGAGAUCGGUUUGCUCACACUCCGGUCCCACAUGUCAGUGAUAUGCCAAGACGAGGUGCGUUGACCGACUAGCCAUACGCGUACUUGGUUUUGCACCUUCAUACUACUCCUCCCUCCGUCACAGUUUACAGGGCGCGCUUCAUUAUGAUGCAUUUCUCUCAAUGCAUUUCGACCACCAGAGAGACUUUAGACGCGUUUGGUUUAAUGCUCAAUUAAUUAGGGCGUGGUAACCGCAAUUUUCUCUCGAUGUAGUACUACGGAGUGGACUACCGAUCGGCUCUAUUACAUAAGCGGAUUCCUAAAUUUUGCCCCAUAUCAUGGGAUAAGUAAGCAGUUUUUUUAGUUGUAUCGACCCAGUCGCUCACUAAUUGAUCUUUACGGUGCUUUCUCUAUCAAUUUGAGAAACUUUAUCCAUAGAGUAGUAGUAUAGGCCAUACUUUCUUCGUUUUUUGAUUCUCGUGAAGUGUCCUUCCUUCCUACAGCUGAUAGGGAAAAAUCGUUGUUUUUAUGAUCCCUAUGUAGAAAGCCCUUUUUUCUAGUAUUUACUAGAAAAUUUGAUCCUCUUUUUUUUUCUUUCUAUAGUGGAGAUAGUGCAUGCAUGUGUCUACCCGGGGUGGAAGCACUGCAUGCAUGUGUGUACGCAUUAUUUCCUCUAGUAAUAGACACCGUGCUAUAACUACCAAUUCUAUUUUUCAGGCCGACCGCUAGUCGCCUUGGUCCCAGAGAUUUUCUCUUUUUCUGAAGCGCGCUCUAUAAACAGUGACGGAUGGAGUAGUAUGAGCGGAUUCAAAGAAGAGCGUAUUGAUGGUUGCUUCUUCCGAGCAACUUACAGUGGGAAAGGUGGGGCUUAUGAUUUGACUGCUCAUUACUCACUAUUAAUGCGGCGCAACGACCAGCCUGAGUCUCCCAUGCGGCUGUGCACUACCCCCUCGGUUCUUAAAUAUACUCCGGAGUAUUUGUCUUUCUAGAGAUUUCAACGAGUGACUACUCAAAUAUUUGUCUUUUUAGAGAUUCAAAUGGGCUAAUACAUACGGAUGUAUAUAGACAUAUUUUAGAGUGUAGAUUCCCUCAUUUUGCUCCGUAUGUAGUCACUUGUUGAAAUCUCUCGAAAGACAAAUAUGUAGGAGCGGAGGGAGUACACAUACGAAGCAAAAUGAGUGAAUCUACACUCUAAAAUAUGCCCAUUUGAAAUUUGUAAAAAGAAAAAUAUUUAGGAACGAAGGAGUAUAAUUUUGUGCAUGGCAGAUGGACCCAGAUGCCGAAGAGGCUUCUGGCAAUGCUCUCAAGCUUCCAGCAUUUGUUUACAUAAUUGACGUACUAUGCAAAUAAUUUUCCAGCGACAUGAAAUUGUACAAUGGUGUGAGCUUUCAGCUUUUGUUUCGUGUGUCUUGCCAUCGAUGCUCUUUCGGAAACAAUAAAAAACUUACUUCCUUGCUAAUCAGAGCUAAUAUUUACAUCACAACUGAAGACAAAGUUGUGAGAAGGUGUUAAAUUAAAAUUUAUCCAUGCUUUCAUUGGCAACAACGUCCCCCCAGCUCUGUCUAAAUCAACAAGGCAUGUUGGGAAAAAAGUAGCUGUCUGGAGCAUGCAACAUUCCGAUCAUUUUGUGCAGUUUCACUAAAAUAGAGCUGAGCGUCCCUGUUCCAAAGAUAUUAAGUGUGAUUACGAUAAUAGAGGACUGCUGAUGAAACAAUAAACACACAAAUAGAAGCCAGUCACCUUUGGAGUCUCUCUUAAGACUAACUAGUUGGAGAAGAUUAGGCUUGGAGUUGGAUGAGGAGGAUAGAGCAAAACCAAUCUCCCUUUGUGCAAUCGCAAUGAAAUGUAGAGACGCUGCCCGUGUGACAUUUUGGAAGAACUGCACAAAACACUCUUAAGAAAAAAGUGAUUUGUGCAGUUCACCAAAAGGUCGCAAUAGCAACGAGGUGAAAUGGAUAGCCCUGUUUGCAAAAAAGAGGUAGAAAGGAAACAAUUACUGGCCAAUAACAGUUGAUGACACAUGCGACGACAAAAAAGAAGCAUAUUCCUUGUCCUAAGGGAAGAUAACAACACGGUUGUGUUUGUCUAAAACGGUGUGAGGACGAGAUUGCAAUAUGGAAAGUACGCCGGACGAGCUACGUUUUGGGCAAAGAACUAUGGAAGAUCCACAUGCAGCAACGUGGGAAGACGGGCAGUGGAGCAAGGCCGGAGGGGAUACCUGGAGGUCGUCGGGAUGUAACUAGGUGAGCGGCGGCGGGCGGAAUCUGCCCAUACUGCGGCAGCGAGCAGGUGGCGUAGGCCCUACCACGCCGGAGCUUGGUUAGAGAGAACGGCGUGUGCUGCAGAUCGGGACGUGCUGCCUCGGCGCCGUCGAACGGAGAAACGAUGCACGUCCUCCCUUUCCGCCGGUGGACGGGAUGCGGCCGGAUCAGUGACCAACGGUGAGAGAGAGAGAGAGGCCACCGCAGCCUUGUGUGAGAUACUCUGAAGAGAGACAAACCAGGCAGGCAGGCUCCAUUGUAUAUAGUGGAGCGGACUACCUUUUUCUCCAUAAAAAUCGUUUUAUAUUCUGUGUACGUGCCAUUGAGCGAUAUGACUUUAUUUAAAAAUAACGCGCCAACGCAUCAAGUCGAACUUUGUUUCGUGCACGCGUGGUACACGACCUCCGUAGGUAAACAACCGCUACACGUGUUCAAAUUAGCACGUGGGCUGCCAUUUCGUACAGAAAUGAGCUCCACCCUAUACCCGCGCGGGUGUGGCUGGGCACGAAGCGUGAGUACAUGCACGGUGCACCUAUUCUCUUCUUGUAUACAUACACCACCUACGUGGGGUUGUGUGAGAGAGAUACAAACGAAGAGAGAUAUAGUGUGUGGGUUCGUGAGAGUUUUUUGGGGGGGAGGGGAGGGUGGGGUCAAUCAAAAAAUGUAACAUAUGCAAUGUGUGUGAAAUAGAGUCCUGGAUAUAUCAUAUAUAUAGAGGGGGCGAUCCACGAGAAGAGAGUGGAGGUAUCAUCGGCUUGAGGUGUCCAUAGAAUCGAAGAGAGGGAUGAUGUGUGUGUGUGUGUGCGCGCGCGAUCGAUAAAGAGUGCCAUCGAAUUUGUGUGUGCCCACGUCAAAGAUAUAGAGUGGCUGGCCUACUGGAACGUGAGAGGGGACAUGUGGAGUUUGUCUCUGUGGCAUGGAUACCUACUUACAAUGCUCGACUAUCGGUGUAUGGUGGGGGGGAGGGAGGCCUAAUUAACUAUAGAGGUACAAUGGCUGGUAUAUGUGUGGAGGAGGAGAGAGGCCUACCUCAUGUAUUAAGGGAGAUCGAUGUACCUCAUGUAUUAAGGGAUAUCGAUCGUCAUCCAUGCAUAUGUGUAGGAGAGGAAUAAGGUUGGGAGAGAGAUAGAGCUAGAGUGUUGGAGGGGGUGGUAGUGGAGUUGCUUCUAACAAAUGGUGGGAUAGGCUUGCUAGACAACCGGAGGGCACGCCUGCAAUAUCAAUAAGAGAGGGGAUGGCUGCCUGUCUGUGCACGUGCGUGUGAGAGACGGGUCAGGAGGCAUGCACGAAUGAUGGGGGCGAUAUGGAUGUGGUAAGCAGACAUAACUACAUAGGAAGAUCAAUCGUCCUUUGUCAGAGAAAGGAGAGACAUAACUUGUGAGGUACGUCGAUCGAUGGGGGGGGGAAUAGUUAAAGUCGACCUAGGUAUAUGUUGGGAGAUCGAUCGGUAUACAUGCAUGUGUGUGUUAGAAGCAAAUGAGGCACGGGGAGAAGGAUAGAGAGAGAGAGAGGGAUGCAUCUAGGAGGUGGUGCGAGAGUCAUACUAUAUCGAGGGGGAGAAGUGUGCGAGUACGAGAUCGAUGAAAAGAGUGGUGGGAGUGAGGCAUGGACGGUGAUAAGAGAAGAGGGGAAGCUUGUGUUUUGUGCUAGGCACACCUGGCUAGAGAGGCAUAUCGAUCGAUGUGUGCCGUAAAGAAGGAGGUGGGGGGCCUACACACACCGUGGGUGAACGACCUAAAGUGAAAAGACGAAUUUGCGCGAUGGAGCUAGAGAAUGUUGAGGGAGGGUUAGAGGGAUGCGGGCGUCUGCAUGCACGAGAGAAAGUUAGUGCUACCUAGCUACAAAGAUAAGAGGAUUGUGUGGGUGUAAAAGACGAAUAGAGAUCAUACUUCAUUAUAAAAAGCGAAUUCAGAUAUUUGAAGAAUUUAUAAUAGUGUUUUAAACCGACACAUGUGUGAAUAUAUAUAACGGUGAUACACAUGCUGUGGUUAAGAACAUGUUAUACUACAUAUAAUAUAUUUUAUCUCUACUCUUAUAAAAAUGGAGUUGUUGAUGAUGGUGCCAUCCUGCAAUAUAGGCCAUCCGAUUUAUAUCUGACGGAUAGGAAGGAAACUAUGGCAAUUUUGAAAAAAGAUACCUACACCCCUCUCCAUAUUUGCAAAUUAGGCCUCCCCUUGAUCAUGUUGAUGUUCUGUGGAACGCAUGGGCAUCUUGCUAUUACUACGUAUAACAUAUAGAACAUUGAUCAUAAUUUGGGCUAAUGUGUGGCUUUUGUAGCUCAGGUCUAAAUACUUGUCAUAAUGUAGGGGCGGGGCACUAUACUAUGUGUGAUAAACACGGUGUACACGUAUGGAACAUGGUUUAGAUUAUGAAUAUAUAGUUAGUACAUCAAAUAUACUAUUAUUUGGAAUCAACAUCAAGUGUAUUCAAAAAAUAGAAUUGGAGUUCAUGUAGUACACAUAGUUCAUAUCUAUCUCUAUAGUAAUAACGUGCUGUGUUAUUAAGGUAAUACACGAAUGAUGGUUGAAGUUGGCAACAAUCAUGAUUGUAGAUUUGUUAUUGAAAUAGAGAAACGAAUUCAAAUUCAGUUCGAAUUGCAGCGGUAGUAUAGACAUUUGGAAUGCACUAAAAUGUUGGUAUGAGUAGGUUACAUGCAUUAUACAGCAAGCGAAAAAAUUUAAUUGGACAUAACAUGGAUUCAUACUACCGAAUAGCAUUUAAUUGCACUAAAUUGUUGGUAUGAGUAGCUUUAAAUAGCAUUUUUAUAGUAAAACGGGGCAAGACUCUCUCUUUGUGUGGUGUGAAUAGUUUUAAUUUUUUCGUUUUCUUUUUUGUUGAGGGAAGUGCGAAUUGAUUUGGUACAUACAAGUACAAUAUUACACGUUAGGCUUGUCCCUAAAAUUCAACCCGCGCCUUGUUAUAUCCCGAAAUUCAGAUAUCGUGCUCCCAAAACUGGCGCCUUCACAACCCGCGCCUUGCUAUCUCGAAAUUACAACGCGCGCGAAAACUCCCUCCAGCUGCCAAAUCCCGACACCCGAAAUCCCCCUUCUAACCCUGAGCCGAAAGGGCCGCUAGUUCAAAUCGGUGCGGGGUACUUUUGUAACACACCCUACAUUUUGGACAAGCACGUCCCUAAGUCAUGGUUCACCCCCUCCCAUCGCCUCCUUUUUGCCAUUCGAAAUCCCAGGCCGCCAUAACCUCUCCGCUCCAGCCGCGAAACCCCACCCUCCUCCGUCCGCCACUGUCAGGACCCCGAUUCCAAGUCACACCGAUCUAGCCUGUAACACCUCAUAUCACUUUGCGGCCUCACGCACGGUACUCCCACGGGUGUCGCCUUACCAUGGCCCGGGACCGUUUGCGCCUUUUGGCUCACGUAUAUGACAAUGUCGCUAGCAUCCAUAUGACAGAGAACCCGGGCCGACAUGGCUAGUCGUGAACCCAAAGCGGCACUAACGUAUGGGGACAGGCAUACAUGAAUCAACAUUGAACGUGUCGGUCAGCAGCGUGCGAAUCCGGGCUGUAGCACUGGGCUAACAGGACUCCGGAUGUCACCGCGUGACAUUUCCCUGAAGGGACAGACACAGGAACGAUAUGAAACACAUGCCGGCCAGUCAAGUGUCCAGAGCAGUAGUGCUGGGCUAGCAGGACUCCGGUGAACCGGGCUAUAGCGGACUACUAUGGCUCAAGGAGGCACUAGACUACAUUUCCCCAUAAGAGAGGCUGCUAAGGAUAGACAACUAGAUUGUCGGAUCCCACACAUACCAAGCCUUUCAGUCAUACACACAAUAUGCUCGAUAUGUGCAAAUACAACAUGGCAUCACAACAAGACUCUACGACUCAGAGUAUUUAUUCAUUAGGCUCCGAAGAGCGAGAUAUUACAAACAUGGGUCUCAUGACCCAACAUUCAGAGCAUACAAGUCAAAGCACAUGCGGAAGCUUAACAUGUCUGAGUACAGACAUCUACAAAUGAAAAGGGCUGAGAAGCCUGACUAUCUACCAGAUCCUGCCGAGGGCACAAGAUCGUAGCUAAGGUAUCAAGCUAAACGUCGAAGUCCACACGGGACUACUAGCGAGACUGACGUCUCUCUGCAAAACAUAAAAUAAGCAAACGUGAGUACAAAUGUACCCAGCAAGACUUACAUCAGAACUAUCUACAUAUGCAUCGGUAUCAACAAAAGGGGUGGUGGAGUUUAACUGCAGCAAGCCAGCUUUGACUCAGUGGCUAACCUAAACUACGACUGCAAGCAACUCUUUUGGGGUGGCGCACACGAGUCCACAUAUUCACCAUAUCAAUACACCACUAUGGAUCCGCUCCCGUCUCCCUACGAGAACGCCAUCCAUAGCACUCACGCUUAUCUUGCGUAUUUUAGAGUAUCCACUUUCACUUGUCUAUGAACUGUUAUAGGCAACCCAGAAGUCCUUUACCGCAGACACGGCUAUUCGAAUAGAUCAUAUUAACCCUGCAGGGGUGUACUUCGUCACACACGCUCUCGCCACUUACCACCAUGUACACCUCGUGUACCUCGGCAACCUUCAAGCGGAAGCCUGGCGAGGGAGUCGGCCACGACCUGACUAACCACACAAGUCUCUAGCCCAGGUUUAUCGCCUAUUCGGGUUCCAUCCGCAAGGAGAUCCGGCCGGGGUGUCGCUCACGGCCCCAAACGAUGUGUGCAGGGUUCCCGAGCCCACCAUCCGGGUGCCACUCGGUACACCAGGCCACGUGUGCCUAGUCUGUCCCAAGCCCACCUGUACCGGGUGCCACUUGGUAGACUACUAACACUACCUACAAACACCAGAAACUAGUUGAACUCCUGGACAGAGAUCAGGUUGAUUAAUAAGUCGAGAGGGGCACUUAAGCAUUCCAAUGCGUGGUAGUAACUGUUCAUGGAUCACAAACACAGAACUCAGUUCCUGAGGACGGCUUCAAUGAGACAACCCACCAUGUACUCCUACAUGGCCUCUCACCGCUACCUUUACCAAAUCGUGUUCACACACUUAGCUCUCAACAGUAGGACAUGUUCACCACAUUCCAAUUCAUCCCCGAUGAAUCAGACUCGACUCAACUCUAAGCAGUAGCAGGCAUGACAUUCAAGCAUGAAUGAGUAGGCACAUCAGGGCUCAAACAACUCCUACUCAUGCUAGUGGGUUUCAUCUAUUUACUGUGGCAAUGACAGGUCAUGCAGAGGAUAAGGGGUUCAGCUACCGCAACAAGUAACAGAUGAAUCGUUGUUGUCCUAAUGCAGUAAAAGAGAGCAGGAGCGAGAGAGUGGGAUUGUAUCGGAAUGAACAAGGGGGUUUGCUUGCCUGACACUUCCGAAGAUAGUAUAGCUCUUCAUCGGUGUCAUCGAUCGCAUCGUCGAAGCAACGUCUACUGAGGGGGGACAAUACCGUCAAACAGAGAAGAAACACGAUCAAUGCAAUGCACAAUAUGAUGCAUGCUAUGACAUGGCAAUAUGAAUGUGUUUUGAGCUAAUGCAACUAGCAACAUAUUAAAUGGAGUUGGUUUGAACCUUAGGUUCAAAUUCAAACUCCAUAUAAGACAUUUCAAAUGCCAUUUAUUCAAAUUGUCAUAUACAGUGGCUGUAAGUUGUUCAAACAUGCAUGGGGAUGCCAUAAACAGAUUCUUUGGAUUUUUCUGAUAAUUUUUCAUAUAUAAAUCAUUUCAUUUGGAGUUAUAGAUUAAUUUCUAUGGAUUUUUUAAGUUUAAACAUUUUCUGGAAUUUUCAGAUUUAUUACUAAAUAAGAAAAUCCCAGCAAAUGUAUUUAUGACGUCAGCAGUGUGUCAUAGCGAUGUCAGCAGUCAACCACGGUCAAACCUGACGGUGGGACCCGCAUGUCAUUGAGACAGUGUUGAACUCCGGUUAAUCCCGCGUUGACUCAGCUUUGACCUGUCGUGGGGCCCGGUGUCAGUGUCACUGGGUUAAACUAACCACGGGGUUAGUGGCUAACCUAAUCUGCCACGUCACCUAGCCGGCGUUUAGCCGCCGGUGCUAAUCAGGACGCGGCGGCGCUCCUCGUCUGGCCAUCUCCGGCGAUGAGAGCUCGCGUGGCUGGGCGCGUUGGAACCGGAGCAAGGAGGCGCGUAGGUUGGUGGCCUCAGGCGAUGCUAGGGUGGCCGGGAACGUCGACGGCGUCGAGUUCCGCGGUGGCGCAGCUGCGGCUUGCACGGGUGCGAGGGCCACGGUGCACGAGCGGGCGACCUAAGGCGCGCUACGGGUUCCUGGAGAAACCUGGAGCACGACUCCAUGCUUGGGUUGGUCGGGCGGGGCAGCUAGCAGCAGCGAGCUUCGCGGCGGCGGCGGCGAGUGCUCGGCCAUGGCGGGGAUGCGGUUAGAGAGCGGGAACAGAGGGGGUGAGCACGGGGGAAGGUGUAGGAGCUCACAAAGAUGCGGUAGAGAAGGUCAGCGGCCUCGGGGACGGACGGAAACCGACGAAUCGACGGAGACGAUCUCCGGGCGCCGGCGGUGAAGACGAGGACGUUGGCGACGAAGCAAAGUCCUCCGGCUCGUUUCCUUCGGCUUGGGGAUGUGGUGCCCGAUUGCGGAGCUGCUGGGCACGAUCACGGGACAAGGGGUGGCCGGUGGUCAUGGCUACGGCGAGCGGCGCUCUCAGGUGCGUUCGGUGACGAGAGGAAGGGAGAGCAGAGGAGGGGGAGGGGUCCAGAGAGAGAGAGCGAGGGGGUCGAGCGGGCGACGUGGGCGUCGUCCGGAUCCUCCAGAGGCGCGGGCGACAAGCAGGUGACGACGUGGCGCGCGCGGCGGCGUCGCGGUGUCCCUCCUCUGCCUACUGGCAGAGGUAGGCGAUGACUGGCACCAGGCCAAUGGGCUGGGCCGUGCUGGGCCAGGCCAGGUAAGCGCCAGGUAAGACUCCUUUCUCUCUCUGUCUUUUAUUCAUGUUUUCUAUUUUCUGUCUUUGUUUUUUGGAUUUAGUAAAAUACUAAACCACUUCCAAAACUCCUGAAAAUAUUUGUGGGCACCUUUUGAAUUAUUUCCAACAGCCCUCAAAUCAUUUCAGAAUAAUCUGAGCAUUUAGAAUAAUUAUAGUAUUUAAAUGCCCAAAUUCAAAUACAAUAUGAGUUAAUUCAAAAAUCCAUAAAUGGCCAAGAAAUAUGCUCAUCAUUUUUGGCAGAGGUUUUCACCUUUAUCAAAAAUCAUGAACAUUUCCAAAGGGCAUUUUGGGUUCAUUGAAAACAUUUGAAUUUGACCCUAGUUGAGUUCAUUUGGUGCUAGGGUUUGUUCAUCCCCAUUUCAAAUUUAAAUAAAAUUUAAACAUGCUGCAACAGACAUGUGCUAGCCUAGUGCAAGGUAAGGCUAGGGAUUGACAACUCACCCCCACUAAAACAAGAAUCUCGUCCCGAGAUUCAAGCGUAGGGUAAGGUGAAAGGGGAACGCAAACUAACAUAAUCUUCACGAUCCAAUUGUUCUUCUGCAAGAUGUUGUUUCAUUGCAUCAUUUUGAUCUUGACAUCAUUUCUUUCGAGAGCUUCAUCCAACUAUGAUGACGGAAGAGAGGGAAAUUCUACAGGAUUGAUCUUCUCGAAGAUCGAGCUAUACAAGAUCAACUCGCGGAAUGAGAUGUUGAAACAUCUCGAGUUGAGACACAAAACACAUCGAGAGGGAUGGAAGAACAAACGAUGAGAUUUGACUUGGUGGGCAACAAUCCCACGCUUGAGGAGAUGGUGAAUGGUUUCAAGAUAGCGAUGAAAUAAUUGCCAUGAUUCCAUAAACGGGCACCUUAGGGAAGGUGGCUCGUAGAAAUAUUCCCUUAAGUGGCAAAAAGAAUUACUUUUGAUUCAGAGAUCAUUGAAACUCUUUAUACCAGCCUAAGGCAAUCACAAACGAUCGUUUGAAAGAAUUCAAAAGAAUGGCACACUCAAUUUGGAAAGGAAACUAUGGUUAUAGAACAACUCGGCAAAUGGAAGGCACAUUCCAGUUGAUACCAAGGAUUUAACCUAGUGACUGAGCGUGCUUUCAAGAACUUGAGCAUUUCCAUAUUCAUCAAGGUUUUACCAACAUCCGUGCUGAGGAUCCUUGCAACACAUCAUACCACCAUGAUGAACGGUGAUGGAGGAUGCAGGUGCCAAGGGGGACAUCACUUUCUCAGUUUUUUGCUUAGUAAUGCCAAAGAAGCAAAUCUGGAUGAUCGACCGAGAGACAUUUAGCACUCCGCUUCUAAUGUUCUCCUUGAUGUGCUAGCGUAAUCCAUUCAUAGAUAUGGUUUGAUAUCUAGAACAUCAGGUAAAGGUCGGACUUCGGAAAUAUAAAAAUCCAUAAGGAACAACUAGGGAGCAAAUCCUACGAAAUCCUUAUGGGGAGGUGGCCAACUUCCUCAAUCAAGUUACUACAAUAAUAGGUCUUCCGGCUGGGUGUGUUGGCCACGACAUCCACUUACCGGUAACAGAGAGACCAUUAGUAUAGUUCUUGGGAAACGUUCAACCAUCACAUCUGCCUGAGAUUCAGAUCUGGUUGGUGUCGGGAUAUUCCAGACUCAUCAAGCCUAGAAAGAAAAAUGAAAGUUUGCAACGCAAUUCGACGAGAUGACGUUGCGAGAUUCUCGGGGCAUGAGCUACAAUAGCAAGCUCCAAAACAUGAGCUGGUUCUGCUACAAACCUGUGAACACGCUAUCGAAGACAAGCAUGACCACGUGGUAGUCUUAUAAUAAAACACUACCGAGUUCAGGUGGGGAACCAUCAUCGCGGAUAUUGGAGUCUUGUGCAUGAUCUAGAAUUAGCACAACAACUCCUUUUCCUUGAACAAAUCAAUCAGUGGCUUGGUGUGCUAGGAACACAUAUAGAAUGAAGGUUGCAAGUCUCCAGACCAUAGAAUACUUCGCACAUAUGCAUGACUGACUUGGGAUGAUUCCAAAAGAAGCAAAAACAAGCUUUCUCGAGUUCACGGCGGCAACUUGCAUCGAUUGCACAUAAACCAGAGGAAGUCACUUCUUCCAUCAAAACGUAUACCUCAUGAGCGGAACAUGAGGGCAAUGCUUACAAAGUUUCCAAUACUAGCUGGAUGUUCAACACGAAUCAUGGAGAAGGUAGCAGUGUUGCUGAUGGGCUCAACAACAAUUCAUCCAGGUUUCCAUGGAGAUGGAAUUCCAUAAUUAUGUGAACAAGUGAUAGCAUUGGUCCGACCCAAAAGAUAUAAUGGUGCAUGCUCGAGGGAUCAACCACGAGUAAGACAACAUUAUGAUCAUCGUUGGUUCUGAUUUGAUUGAUAAUAGCCCAUACUCAAAUCAAAGUUUGGUUAAGAUGAUAGGUCCAUUAAUUGAUCACGAGGACCAAUCGAUGAAGAAAUCAUCUUUCUACAACAAACACACACACAAGAGAUAUCCUUUGGAGAGAACUAAGUCAGGCAAGCUUUUAUCUUCCAACUCUCCAAGUUGUUGUUUAGCUUAACCAACCAGCUCAAGGGUAUCCAACACAGAUUCUUGGAGAAAGAGUGGUUUAUAGGAAAACCAUUUGAUCACGAGCUCAACAUAGCGGUCAGGUGUCAACCUGGUAACACUUCCGAGAAGAUAUUCGAGAAAUCACGAACCACCGAUAUGUUACUAAGCUCGAGAACAAACUUGCUUUUCAGGGCAAGACGAUGUGAUCAAAAAGAGCGAGGAAUUGAUACAAUCCUAACUCGUUGACCAAAGAGUGCACCAGGAAAAAUGGACUAGGUAACACGAUCAAUCUCAGGAUGAUGAUUGAAUAACCAACACGCUAAGAAUGAGAUUGUUGUCCAUUAACUACCAAGCAACGGGGUUGCUAGGUCCGGAUCCUCCAGAGGCGCGGGCGGCAAGCAGGUGACGCCGUGGCGCGCGCGGCGGCGUCGCGGUGUCCCUCCUCUGCCUACUGGCAGAGGUAGGCGAUGACUGGCACCAGGCCCGUGGGCUAGGCCGUGUUGGGCCAGGCCAGGUAAGCCCCAGGUAAGACUCCUUUCUCUCUCUGUCUUUUAUUCAUGUUUUCUAUUUUCUGUCUUUGUUUUUUGGAUUUAGUAAAAUACUAAACCACUUCCAAAACUCCUGAAAAUAUUUGUGGGCUCCUUUUGAAUUAUUUCCAACAGCCCUCAAAUCAUUUCAGAAUAAUCUGAGCAUUUAGAAUAAUUAUAGUAUUUAAAUGCCCAAAUUCAAAUACAAUAUGAGUUAAUUCAAAAAUCCAUAAAUGGCCAAGAAAUAUGCUCAUCAUUUUUGGCAGAGGUUUUCACCUUUAUCAAAAAUCAUGAACAUUUCCAAAGGGCAUUUUGGGUUCAUUGAAAACAUUUGAAUUUGACCCUAGUUGAGUUCAUUUGGUGCUAGGGUUUGUUCAUCCCCAUUUCAAAUUUAAAUAAAAUUUAAACAUGCUGCAACAGACAUGUGCUAGCCUAGUGCAAGGUAAGGCUAGGGAUGUGACAGCCACCUCACCCCUGCCCAGUCGGAGCCUCUUCCCCAACGACGUUGUCCACCGCAACAGCUCGACGUCCCUCGUCCACCUCCCCGGAUGAGGAUCCGUCGUCAAUCUCGUCGUCCCGCCGGUUCAGCCGCCCCGUCCUCCACCUCCAAGGAGCUGCUCCGACGAUCGCCUUGUCUAUCGCGGCUGCUCCAUCCCCACAGCGCCGCCUUAACCUGCUCCACCGGAACCGCAACAUCCUCACCAACUCCUCGGACGAAGCCGAGGCCUACUCGGCGCCACCAAAGAGGCUGUACACUCAUCGCAUCGCACCUUCUCCUUAGCUCAACCUCCCGGCGCCGACGGUGCUCCAUCCCGCACCUCCAUGGAGCGGCUACCUUGAAGCCGGCGCCGCGGGCGACAUCUCCACGGCGGCUCUCCCCCAGUGCGAGGCCCCUUCGGCGGCGGCGGCCAUACCAGCCAGAUCUGCUGUUGCUGCUCCAGCUCUCGCUCGAUCACUCGCUCGCCCAGCUGCUGCUGCUCCGGCUCUCGCUCGCUCGCUCGCGCUGCUGCUGCUGCUCCGGCUCUUGCUCGAUCCCUCGCUCGCCCAGCUGCUGCUGCUCCGGCUCUCGCUUGCUUGCUCGUGCUGCUGCUGCUGCUGCUCUCCCCCUCGCUCGUGCUGCUGCUCUGCUCCAAUUUAGCUACACUUCAGUCGACUGAAUCGACUUUUGGGUCAGUCGAUUUUCAGGGGGUGGGGGGGCUCGCCGGAGUUACGGAAGAACCACCCGCAGCGGGGACGGGGGCUUGCUGGAGAGGUUCCCCACUAUCUAUAUUAGGGUUCAGGGUGGGGGCAGGGGGGCCUAUAGGGCUGGCCGGGGCAGCGGCGGAUCGGCGGUGGGGAGUUGUUUCGGGGCGGCGAGGCGGCGCUGGGGCCGGCGGUUCGGCCGGUGGUGGCUGGCGGCUCAGGGGGGUGUAGGUUGAAGAUGAACUGCAGGCCCUCCCUAAACUACAUGUCAAGUGCCUCUCUGCUACCAUUGCGUUCAGUUUCGACAGUAACAUUCAGAUUCCACAGUAAAUUUCAGUUUCAACAGUUAAGUUCAGAGUCAACAGUUUUUACCUCAUCUGUUGUAGUCAGGUGGUUUUUGGUGAUGUAAAUUUUACAUCUAUUUUACAUCAUCUAUUGGAGAUGCUAUUAGAAUCCCACUUGAGAUUGACGAUGUCUGUCUUGUGUUGCUUCAGCCUUGACGUCUUACGGCUCACCGGGGCUGCUCCAACAACAGAACGAUCCAUCACAACAGAGCAGUGCCCUGGACGCCGUCUACAGAUUCCUCAGAUCUUCCUCCACACCUCCGACAGCCACCUCUGCCUCAACUGCUUCAGCGACCAACCCAAUGAUGCUGAGGUCGACAUGGCUACGGCAAAGAGGUUGUACACUUGUUGCAUCACUUAUUACUAUACAUUCAUGUCGAUCCAUUAGGGCUAUUUUGGUUCAACGGAAAAACAUAGCAAUAGGGAAUUCUCCAAUGGCACUCUACUAUUCAAUUAUUCAUGCAUUUUGUUGAAAGGAAUGAAGCAAAACAUCCACCUGGACCUACUUUUCAAAAUCCUAUGCAUGAAAACAAGACCAAGUGCAUUAGUGGCAGAAUAACAUUCUAACUGUACACGCUUUCAUAUGGUUUCAUUUUAUUUUGGCCAUGUUUCUUUGCAUUCCUCUGCUCUUCCAAUUCCUGUAAACCAAACAUCAAGUUGACAGAAAUCCUGUGUUUACAAAUGCUCUGUUUACCAUGUGCAUUCCUAUCCUAUUCCGGUGUUUUUCCUAUCCCUGCGUUUUUAGAAUUGUGCAAGCCAAAUGAGCCCUUACAGAAUUACUUCAGUUACAGGUAGGUGUCGAAGGGAACUUUGUGUGGUUUGUCCUGCUCCUGCCGCGACGUCGUCCACCUCAACUGAGCUGCUCCAUCGAUAGAAACAUCCACCAAACCAGACAUCACGACUCUUGACCGUCUUUCGCCGCCUCAGAUCUCCUUCCCUGCCGCCGGCACCCACCACAACGGCAUCACCAUCAUCGACUCAGCAGAUGAACCUAGGAGUACACAGGUCCACAAGAGAGGUCGCACUCUUUUGUUUCUGCUUAUGUUAUGCAUUGCUUAAAAUUACCUGCUUCUUUAUCGUCCUGUUCACCUCUUGGACUCCAAGUCAGGUCCAAAUUAAUGUUCAAACUUGAGUUCUAAAUUAGUUGUGGGGCACAUAUCGAGGAAGCAAUGAAUAGUAUCUCUGCCUAAUAUCUGGUUCACCUAGGGUAUGCCUAUGUUGUUCAUCUUGGGUGGGAAACAAAUAGUAAAGCAAUCAUCAUCUGUAUUUUUAUUAAAUUAAAGCAACCAUCAGCCUGCUAUCAUUAUUUUUGGAUCCAUCCACUGGUUGUUACCAUCACUCUAAAUUUCUGCAUGCUCUCCUUACAUAAUCUCACCAUAUUUUUUUGUAUGUAUGCCAGAUAUUGUACACAGUCAUGCUGAACAUGUAGAGAAAAAGAGAAGAGUUUUGCGCGGCAAUACAAUGUCAUGCAGACAUCGCUCCAUGGUGGGUUCAAUGGAAAACCCUCCCCACCCCUCUCCAGAUUGUAAUCCAGAGGAAGAUAUCUGUUCUGAGGCGGAUUCAGACGCCGCUAACCACUCCUAUUUACCCCCCAAGGUGUUUGCUCUACCUUGGCAUGAUGAUUUUAGUCAUAUCAUGCAUAUGUUGCCUUGCAGUGCCUACUUUUGACAUCAUAUAUGUCAUCUGCUUAGUUUAGACAUGUUCUGUAAUGCCACCUGUUUAGUUUCUAUAUCAUAAAUGUGAAUUGUGCAGUCUCAUGUCUUUUAGCCAGCCAUAAUAUACGUGAAAUGUGCAAUGCCAUCCUGUUUAACCAGGCAUCAUAUAUUUGAAUGAUAUCUUUCCCAUCCUUUUCUUCAUUACAUUUCCAUUUGUUGACAAUGUUUGUACAUUAAACUACUCUUCCUGUGAAUCAGCCAUUUGGGUGGGAGAUUGAAAAAUCUGGAGUGAAAACAAGGCCUUCAGCGCAGACAGUGCUACCUGUCGAAUCAGAUCUCUUGUUGGGUCCCGAUAGCUCCUCAGAGAUGGAUUCAGAGACAGAUGACCAGUCCUAUUCCCCCACCGAGGUGUAUGCUCUAACUUGGCACGGUUAUACUGCUCAUAUCAUGCAUAUGGUGUCUUGCAUUGCAUAGAUUAGACAUCAUAUACACAAUAUUCAACACCAUGUUCUUAGUUCAGACAUCAUAUCUAAUGCCCUCUGUUUAGCAUAUAAAUUACAUAUGUGAAUUAAAUGAUGCGAUCCUGAUUACUUAGAUAACAUGUUGGUGAAUUAUGUCAUGCGAUCCUGUUUAGUUAUUCAUCAUAUCUUUGAAUUAUGUUAUGCUAUGCUAUCCAGUUUAGAUAGACAUCAUAUAUGUGAAAUUAAGUCAUGCUAUCCGUUUUAGUUAAACAAUAUACAUGUCAACUAUUUCAUGCCCUCUUUUUUCCACACUAUCUAUUGCAUCUGUCUCUCAUACAAUGUCUGUACAUUCAACUAUGUUUCCUGUUUAUCAGCCAUUUGAAUUGGAGCGGGUGAUGCCAGCAUCUAGCAGACUAAAAACACGGUCUUCAAAUAAAACAGUGCUACCUCUUGGUGGAGAUAGCACCCCGGUUGUACAUGCACGAGAACCAGCCCUACCACACAUAACCCAAACUCUUGCAGAUUGUACCCCUACUGCGAUGGAUAGAGAACCAGCUUCACCCAAUCUAACCCCAACCCCAGCAGAUAGUAACCCAGUUCCUGUUGACACAGCACCAUCUCCACCACAGAGCUCCCAAACAAGAGCAAUUAGUAAGGCAGCUCUAGUGCCUAAAGGGCUAGUACUACCACGGCGAACCCCAACUCCACCAGUUAGUACGCCUAUUCCUGUGGAGGAAGCACAACCAGCUAGUCGUAGUUUAGCAUCUAUCGCAUUUGAUGUUGUUAAAUCGUAUGUGCGUAUCUUCCCAUCUUGGAAAUAUUAUACUGAAGAUGAAGGAAAAUGCCAGUUGCGGGUGUUUGUCCAGGAGUUAUGUGUAAGUAAUGUUAUUCAUGGCAAUUACUUUGCUUUGUCCCAUACAUCCUACCUCCAUGAUGGUUAUAAUACAGCAAAUUUUCCCAUUUUUCUCUAUAGAGAAGGACCAAUUUGGAAACUCAGGAUGAGGUAACCUGUGCUAAUACCUCUGCUAUCUUCAAGAAUGCUUGGUGGCAGUAUCGGAAUUACCUGAAGAAAACGUACUUCACUAGCAAAGAAACUCAUCAAAUUCCCUUACGUUCUCCUGAGACACAUUUACUGGACGAUGACUGGGAACGCCUUGUUCUGUACUGGUCCCGAACCAAGAAUGUGGUAAGGUCUAUGAGAUCAUUUUCUAUUUAAGUACUAUAUUCUUGCGUCUUACUGUACUCUGUUCAUGUAGAACAAGUGCCUAAACCUGAAGAACAACUGUUCUAAUUUAAGAUUCCAUUGCUAUCAUAGUUCAAAAAAGCGCUAGGCGUUAAUUGUGCGGUUUGCCACCGCCUUGCACUUUACUGACCAAAGCGCACGCUUAUGCGCAGUUAUGCACAGAUUAAGCGUAGUUAUGCGCAAUGUGUUUCGCCAACGCCUAGAGCCUAGGCGCUUUUAAGCGCUCGCUUAGGCGCGCCUUCUUUAACUAUGAUUGCUAUCAUGCAUACUGCUUUGCUCUUGUAUCAUUGUAUUUACUCAUACAAACUUAUUUUUAAAUUGAAGGAUCCAAUCGAAACUUCAAUGGCACUGCAGGUAUGUUCACGCAUGUUUCUUUAACAUGCUUGCUCUUAUCAAUAGCUCUGUUGAUUUCAAUUUCAAUUGUGUAUACAGUUGACUUCUCAUAUCAUGCACAUUACUAGCAUCACAACAGAGCCAAUAGUGUUGUUGUACAUGUAGACCCGUGGUACCCAUCUGAAAUCUUGUUGUGCCGUGUAGUUUCCCACGCUUUGUAUUCUUUCACUGCUGCUUUGUCUUGAACUGAUAUGAUUUGAACCGUGUCUCUAUUUUGAUUUGGCAAGACAAUGCAGUGACCAUAGGACAUAGACAUAUGUUUGUUUGAUGCUUUUAUUAUGUACUAGUACUUGGCAAUAGAAGACUUGGUAGUUUAAUCUUGUCCACCUUACUAAUGAACUGGUUCACCGAAAUGAUUUUCAUAUACUAGUAAAUGCUAAACGGUUAUGUGUCUGCUUGUUUCUUCUUUUAGAAUGCUGACAGAAUAUUGGGGAAGAGUGCCUUAUUAAGCAAUGGUAAAGGAAGUAAUGCAGAUAAGAUUCAGGAUAGUGACACAUCCUUGUUGGUCUCCAACAAAGCUGAUAAAACAGCUAAGGAAGACUAUCUCGAAGACAGUGAGACAACCCCAAAGUCCUAUCUUGGUUUAGUGUUGGAGUUACUGGCCACUACUGCUUGCACAAGCUAUUCAAACUCACUGUCUAAAUCAGUUCGGUUUCUUGAGUCUCAACUACAAGCUGAAAGACAUCGAUCAGCUGUGCUGCGACAAGAAGCGGAAGGACUGCGGAAGUCCCUGGAGCAUUCAGAUGCAUAAUUUCUGGUGCAACAGCAAGCGUUGGAGGAUUUUAGCGCCAAACAAGACAAAGCUAAUAAGCUUGCUAAGCUUAUUGCCAGCAUGGUGGAUACCACGUUUCUUAUGCUCUUAUGAAGUUGUUUCAGUUAUGCUCUUGUUUUGCUGCGGCGUUUAUUUGCAUUGGUGGCUAAUUUUGACGGCCAGUGUAUGCAAUAUGCUGCUUUGUUCCCUAUAUUUGCACUGGUGGCGAACUUUGAUGCCCAGUGGAUGUAAUAUGUGUAAUAGCAGUAAUUGGCUAGCGUUAAUUGCUUGCUUAUUUAUUUCCUUAUUGUCUUGUUUAGUUGUUUGCUUAUAGUCACUGCAGCUCUUUUUCUGUGUUUUUCUAGUGGCCACAAUAACCUAUUUUUGGAAACUAGGCCAAAAUAAUAAUGGCAACACACGGACUGUUGUAACCAUGGGCCUCCUGCGGGCCGUAUGACCCAUGGGCCUUCUAUGGGCCGUAGGAUCCAUUGGCCUUCUAUACGGGCCGUAGGAUCCAUGGGCCUUCUAUGGGUCGCACGAUCCAUGGGCCUUUUACGGGCCGUAGGAUCCAUGGGCCUUCUACGGGGCGUAUCAUCAUUUCGCCAAUCAUGGGCCGCACUAUUCGUGGACAAUAACGGGCCGUUUAUUGGCCGUAUUUGAUAACUCUAUGAAAACAGCCGAACGGGUUUUUUCGACUUGAAAACGGCCCAACGUAUUAACGGUCCGCAAACGGGCCGACUGUAACCACGGGCUGAAUUUGGCUCACAAGCAGAAAAUGACAGUAACGGGCCGUAAGUAACCGAAUGCUGGAAAUGAGCCCAAGAAUAAAUGGGCCCUGAGAAGGCCGAAAGAUAUCAUGGUGUGGAAACGGCCCAACGGAAUAAUGGGCCGUUAAUGGGUAUAAAGUGAUACACUGUUCAUUACGGGCCAGUUUUACCACGGGUCGUUAAGGGGCCGAGGGUUACUAAGGGCCUCAUAUGGGCCGAAAGACGUCAUGGGCCAUACAUGGGCCAGAAGUUAAAACGGGCUGGAAUUAUAUUGGACGGCCCAGAUGACGCUAUUGGGCCUAAUUCGGAUAGGCCGUAAACGGGCCCUAGGAUAGUGGGCUGUAAAUGGGCUAUAUGUGAACAGGCCGUUAACAGGCUUGCCGCGGGCUGACCCGCCACCUUUUGACCAAGUCAAACGGGCCGGCCUUUUCACACGAAUGGGCCUCUGUUGGGCCGUGCCACGUGUCGGCGUAUCAUAGGCGCUUUGGGUCCAAUGAGUGGAUGACAUCUGUCCCAACGGUGAGCCGACACGUGUUUCCUCCAGCCAAUGAUGAUUUUACAUGUGGAAAAUCCCCAUUGGUCGGUGCUGUUAACGGGUUAUCGGAUCCAAAACCAGACCCGAUAGCUUAACGGCGUUCCGUUACGGUGGAUGCCACGUGUCGGUCACCCUUGACGAAAGCACUUCGGUGACGCACGAUUUAUCGUCAUGGAAGUGGACACUUCCGUGAUGAUAAUUUUGGUAAUGUCAUGGAACACUUCUACGACAGCACAGGUAUGACUAUCUUGAUUCUGUCAUAAGUUUGUCAUGGAUGUACAUGCAUGACAGAAAACGUGACCUUCUGUGACAAACACGUAUCAUCACGGAAGUGUAUUUUUUUGUAGUGUGGGUAGCUUUGCUUAUUUCUUACUUGGCUUACACUUGGUCUCAAUUGAGACAUGUAUGUUCUAACUAUUUUUGUUUCAGAAAUUUAAAGCCAAGGUUAAAAUCUUCUGAGCAAACCGAUGCCAGUAUAAUUUCUUAUCCAAAGACCUCGGAGAUAGAGUGCAAAACACAAUGCAUAGCCGAAUGGGGUGAUGCAAAAUCUGAACCAUUCGUUUGCUUAACUCCAAAGCCGUUCUCACAACAAGAUCGGCUAGAGAAUAAAAGUUUACCUUCAAUUCAAGCAUGUGUGAUCAAAUAUUUGAUUUGUUGUUGAGAAAUAAUUAUAUUAGAAUUCUUGAUCACCAUGUUGAGCUAUCUGUCCAGGGACGAAUGUAUUGUAAGCUGCAUGAUUCGUCCAAGCGUAAUUUUGAGGAUUGCAACAUGUUUCGUCAAAUAGUUAAAUCGGCCAUUGAUAAAGGACGAUUGAAAUUUGUUGAGACACCAAGAGAUGAGCAGUCUAUUCCGAUUGGGCCCGAUGGAAGAAAGUUUUUAAAUUGGUUGCUUCAAGCCGAUCCAUUUAAAGAGAAGGUAAAAACUGCAGGUGAUGAGAUCAAGCUUUCAAGUAAAGAAGUUGUUGAAGAGCAUAAUGAACAUAAUCUUGAGGGCGAGAAUUCCAUCGAAGCUACAAUGGAGAUGCCAAGGACUGGGGGGCAGCAAGCAAAUCCAAUGAUCGAUGAAAGCAAACCAAAAGAAAACAAAGGCCGAAAUAAGCGCAAGUGUAAGAGAUCAAAAAUCACCUUCGCUGAACUAUUGGAUAAAUAUCAAAAGAAAAGUGAAGAGAAGAAUGCUUAUCGGCCAAAUCAUGCAAAGAAACCAAGAUCACCCCCAAGGCGCAAAUAUGAGGAUCGGUAUUGGCAAAGUGAGAAUUUUAAUGCAACAUAUUCAUAUCCUUAUUUUGGGCCGCCAAUGUCAAUACCGUGGAUGCCUCCCUAUUCUCAUAUAGAUCCAUAUCCAUCAUGGGACAGGUAUGAUACAAGGGCACAUUCUCCAUCUUAUUUUAGACCAUCUCACCAAUAUUAUGCAGCUCCGAGAAGAUCAACAUUUGAACAAUCACAUGUUAAAGACCGUUUCAAUCAUAAGGAGUCGGUCCAGAACUCAAGGAAGAAGAAAGAGGUGGUCAAGCAAGUUUACGGUGUUAAAAGAGAUGGUCGUAAGAGUGCAACUUCAGAUUUGAUCUCAAAUGAAAAAUACCCAAUUAAAGUGUUGACAUUGGCUACUAAAGGCAAUGAGACGAAGCAACCAAUUAUUGAGAAUCAAAGUGCCAAAUCUGAAGAAAAUAAGUUGAGAGUGCACAAGGCCAAAAAGGAAUUGCCAUUGGUCAAAACAAAAUCACAGCCGAGAUGCCCACUCGGCUUAUCGUAUUGGCAAAAGAGGGAAUUACAAAAACUUAGUGCAUAAGAACUUGAAGAAAGGAACAUGACAUGGGUUCCCAAGGGAAGUGCUCAAAAUAAUAAUUAUGUGCAAGCUUCCAUUACAAGAAGUGUGGCAAAGGUGAAGAAGGAAAAGAGUGAAAACUAUGAAGGACCAAGAUUAAGGUUUCAGCAUCUUCGGUCUACACAUUGUCCAUAUUCUUCAACUAUGCCAUUAACGCCUAUGCCAUGGAAUUCGUCAUCAAGUAUGAUUGGUAACCCUCAAUGGGCUUAUUUUAAUCAAUGGAUGCAAUAUAAUUUCUUACAUCAUGAAAGGGUAUUACCAAGUCACUAUACAUUUGAUUAGCUACAAGUUUGUUGCUGAUCCAAAGGGCCGAAAUACUUGAUUUGUCAUUUCAUUUGUUUAUUUCGGCUAUAUGUGCUUUGAAUGAAGUUUACAUGGUAAUGGCCGAUAUUUAUCUAUCGUCCUAAGAGUAUGUCAAUGCAUGGCCGGUGCAAUAUUCUAACAUCGUCCUUAAUUUGAUUGGAGAGCGAGACAAGGUACGUGCUCAUGGAAAUUUAUAUUUAUAUUUGAAUGGAGUUAAGACAUCAUGACCAAUGUCAUUGAAUACAUGAUGCAUAGACCAAUUCAUUUACAGAAUUGGCUAGGGGGCUUAUACUUUGUUUGGAUAUGAUUUGGCUUAUGCAUCUUUGAGAUCUAUAAGAGGCCAAAUCAUAGCUGAUUUUAUUACUGAACAUCGGAUUAGUGACAUGCAUAAUAUUGAUAUUAUCCUUGUCUCUCCAGUACUAUGAAGAUUAUGUUUUGAUGGUUCAAUUCGUAGCAAUGGCCAAAGUGUUGGUGUUGUAUAUAUAUCUCCUUAUGGUACUAUUUGUGAAGCCUCAUGCCUCUUAGAAUAUUUUUAUGCACGAUUAAUCAAAGCCGAAUAUGCAUCGUUAUUCGGAUUGAAUCUUUUACUUGCUAUAGGUGCUAUACAUUUUGAGGCUUUUAGUGAUUCGUUAUGAGUAGUGCAACAAAUAUCCAAGGGUUAUCAAUGUUUUGACGAAUCACUUGUAGUUUAUAUUGGGGUAUGUAUAGAUGCAAAAUUUACCUUGAGUUGCUUUUAAAUUGUUCAUAUAUUUAGACAUGACAAUUUAAAAGAGUUGGAACAGCAAGCAUCCGGCUACUAUGUUAAUCAUGGUGUAUUGCAUUUCUCUCAAUAGCCGAUGCUGGUCUUGUCAACAUAGGUAAGGCCGAACUGAAGUCCACAGCUUCGGCCACUAAUGAAAUUUUUAUGCUGGCGGAAGUAAGGAUCGGAGAAAGUUUAUUGUUGAUUAUCUACAAAAUCCUAGCAAAAGGGUGAACAAUAUGGUUCGGAGGAUGACCUUGAGAUACAUAUCCAUGGAACUUUAUCAUCGGAUUGUUAAUCAAGUUGAGAAGAUUUCGCCUAAGUUUGCAUCAAGCAUUCAAAAAUGAUAAUGGCCGAUAUAUAAUUAUUUCCCUAAGAAUAUAAAUGGCCGAUGGAGUGUUGACAUCGCGCUUAGAACAAACUUCGUGCAAGCUAUUUUUCGGCACACAAGUCUUGCCGAAAAACAGGGGGGCAUGUGUUGACACCAGAUUUUGGCAUGGUCAAAAACAUAAUUAAGAAGGCCUCAAAUGGAAAAGUGCUCAAAGUGAGGAAUUCCGCAUCGUCAAAAGGAGAAACUUUGAUAUUUGGGCCAAAGCCAUCCGGUCUCAUCUCUAAGGCCGAAGUUGUGUUUGAAGUACUGUGAUUUUGUAUCCAAAACACUAUUCGGCUGAUUACACCCCCAAGAUGGGCCCAUAUGAGAAAAGUUUCUACACUAAUUGUCUUCGUCUUGUCGAAAAGAUCGAUUUUGAUAUAAAAAUCAUCUCAAUCCGAGAUGGUAUGCAAAAGUUAGAGCCAUUCGAAUGUAGCCCUGCCAGGAGGCUACAUAUGGCGCGCCCCACAAGACAUGAUGUCUGAUGGGUAGCGCCACCACUCGGCUGUCUUGCGCGAGCGAUUCAGCCCCGAAGAUGGCCUCAAAGCAAAAAACGUUCAACAUGAAAAUUGUUCAUCUCGUCGAAACGAUUAAAUUUGCUUUUGGGCGCAUUUUAUCCGAGGUAGUUUACUAUCACAAAAAAGACCCGCAAGGUACAACCAGUUUAAACCGAAUAGUUUUGAAAAGUUCGGACAAAACCAAUCCGAAUUUGACUAGGGUUUUGGGCAUGAAUCCAAACAUUUUCCUUGCACGGGAGGUCCAGCUGCCUCUUAUAUAUCUAAAGGGUGAUGGCCGAUUGAACAACACACAAUCGAUCUGUCAAUAUACCACUUUUUACCUUUACUUUUAUCCUCUCCCUUGUUCUUCUUCUUCCUCGUUCUUCGUUCGUUCUUCUUCAUUGCAGGGCGGCGAACCUCGAGGCCCUAGGGGCGGUCAGGUCGACCUAGGGCAGCCCAUAGCCGUCGCGUGCCCUGACGGGGUCCCUCCCGGGCGUGUGGGGUUUCGGGUCAUCAAAAGCGCCCGCCGGAUUACUUGUGUACCGCGCUUCCGGACGGGUCUCCUUCGACGUGAGCUGCGGUGCAUCACCCUCGGCGCUGGAGAUACACGGUGACGUGUUCAUGUGCGAACAGUUUACAUCCACCGGACCUCAACUAAUCAACCACCGUGUACAUUACAGAGUUUAUGGUAUGAGUGAACCAAAUCUUCUAUUCUACCCCUAAUAAUAAAGAGGCUAGUGCUUCUGGUGGUUCGUCAUUAAAAUCGCCCCUAAAGUUGUAAAAUAUUACCCACCAAUGCCACCAGUAAGUGACAAAAAAACGUUUUGCAGGGUUCCCCUUACUGGGCCGGCCCAAGUAUAGGGACCCCUAUACUGCGCUCCGCAUGCUGGACAAACACACAACACGCCUGUUUGGGCCAGCUCAUGUGCAGGCGCCUGUUUUAAAAGCUUUUAAUCUUAUUUUUCUGUUCCAUUUUCGUUUUUUUCCUACUUUAAAUAAUUUGGAACUUCAAAAAAAUGAAAUUUCAAAAACUGUUAAUCUUUAAAUAAAGUGUUCAAGAAAACAUAAAAUAUUUGUGAAUUCAUAAAAUUCCCGGGUUUUUUCUAAAAAUGUUCGCAUAUUCAGAAAAAUGUCCUAAAAUUUUGAAAACAGUUCUUGUAUUAUAAAAGAGUUUAUUUAUUCAUAAACUGUUUACUAAGUCUGAAAAUGUUCAUGUAUUUUAAAUAAUGUUCAUGAAUUAUUGAAAAAAAUGUUCAUCUAUUCUAGAAUUGUUCGCCGACUCAAAAUAAAAUGCUUAAACCCGUUGACAAUAUAAAAAACGUUCACAAUUUUAGAAAAAUGUUUGUAAAUAGUAAGAAAUGUUCACGAUUUUUAAAAAUGUUCCCAAGUUUGUAAAAAAUGCUCACGAAUGAUCGAAGGUGUGUAGUUAAACAGUAAUACUUGUGAGUCUUUGCGGCUAUAUACCCACGUGAAUAUUGAAGUAUGUUUAAAAAAAGGUAUCUUUAAAUUCAGAAUAAUUGUUUGAAUUACCAAGUUUUUCUACAACCAUGAUAUUUUUUCAAAAAUGUAAACAUUGCUUCAAUUUGUGAAUAAAUUUAAAAAAGAAACACUUUCUUGCAUUUGUGAAGAAAUUUUCAAAAUCAUGCGAUGAGAUGUGGCCAAAAUGUGGUCGUCGCCAUGAUUUUUUUCCUCCCGUUGAAACACACGGGCCCAUUUGCUAGUAAUGCAAAACAAAACUGACUUGCCCCUUCCUAAUUGAUGGAUAGGUACCGGAUGCAACUCUACGUAAUAAUCUUAAUUUCCCCACCCACAAAUACUAGCUAGCUAGCUAGAUUUUGGGAAGAAGAGGAAUCUAUCUACGGAGCAAACUGAUCCCAAAAAGUAGCCCUUCUGUAAUAAUAAUAAUAAUAAUAAUAAUAAUAAUAAUAAUAAUAAUAAUAAUAAUAAUAAUAAUAAGUGUUUUUGGCGUACUCACCGAUACUACCUAUAAGUGACAAAAAAAAACGUUUCACACAGGGGAUCCUCCGCCUGGGCCGGCCUAUGCUGUAAGGACCUCCUAUACUGCGCUCUGCGCGCUGGGAUAACACGCAGCACGCCCGUUUGGGCCGGCUCAUGUGCCGGCGGCCUGUCGUUAAGUUUCGUUUUUCUAUUUUUCUUUUUUCUUUUCAUUUUUGUUUUUCUCCUUUAAAUUAUUUGAUACUUCAAAAAAGUUUCAAUUUCUUUUAGAAAAGCAUAUAAAAUAUUUACUAAAUCUUAAAAUGUUUUUGGAUCCAAAUAAUGUUCGUAAAUUUGUAAAAAAAUGUUCGCUUAUUAAAAAAAGUUUGAAAUUUUGAAAACAAAUGUUUGGGAAAUAAAAAAUGUUCAUUAUUUAAAAAAAUUCAUGUAUUAAAAAAUGUGAAUGAAAUUGAACAAUAUGUUCGCCAAAAUAUUAUCGAUGAUGCAACAAAAGGUUGUCAUGGCCAUUGAAGAUUAUGAUUUUUUUCUGCCGCUGCAACGCACGGGCCCUUUUGCUAGUACUAGUGAAUAUACUUACAAGCUAGAAUGGUAGCCAUUGUGGAAUUCUAAAAUAAAGUAAGUCCCUUUUUUAAGUACAUGCCAAUCUAGUUAUCCACCUCUCCCCAUAUCCAUGCUUUUCUUUUAUCGUAAUUUCACUUGGGUAGGCCAAGAUAGUCAGGUUAUACUCUAUAUCAGAGCAAAUUUCCUUCUUUUAUUCAAGAUGUUUUAAUUUAAUACUUUGAAAAAUUAAAGCAUGAUUCCCCAUAGAGAUAUGUACAUAAAGGGGAUCUUUGGAUAAUAAUGUUGUUCGGACCUAAAGUUUACCUAUACACGGAUUAAGCAUAAAGCCAUAAUAUUUUAUUAUGCCAUUGAAGGGGGGGGGAGAUAAUACCGAUUUAAGAGUAGUUCACUACUGCAAUAAAAAAAGAGAAUUCUAGUUAACGGUUCCAAUUUAUUCUGAAUUUUGCAGCCUGUGGAUAGAAAUCCACUUUUUCUUCUUUUUCAUCUCAAUAGAAAGAAAUGGGAAGUUUUAUUGUGUUAACAAUGUAUGUUUUAAGAUAGAAUCUAUUGAGGAGAAUAAUAGAAACUGGAUCAAAAAAAGCAGGAAUAGAUUUUUUGAAAAAGAUUGGAAAAAAGUAAGUAGAAUUAUAUUGAAAAUAAAAGGGGCUUUUCGUAAGAAAACGUGGAUGAAUACUUGUUGUUUUCUAGAUUUUUGAUCGGAUUUUUUGGCGGCAUGGCCAAGCGGUAAGGCAGGGGACUGCAAAUCCUUUAUCCCCAGUUCAAAUCUGGGUGCCGCCUGAUCAAUAAAAUACUUAGGUUUUUUUAUAGUGCUGAUCGAAUUCGAUAAAUUUUUACUUCGCAUAAGUUCGGGCAAGAGAGUAACUUGGCCUGCCGAUACUGGGUUUAGAGAAACCAUACCAUAGUUCUAUCCUCAAACUAGGGUUAGGGUUUGUUUUGACGGUAGUGGCCAAAAUGGUUAUCAGUAGGGGUGAGGUAGUGUUUCCUUAUUCUUUUAUUAUAUGAAUUUGAAUUGGUUCUUAAUUGAGAUUCGAUUUGAUAAUUUUCAAAUACGAGGAUAAGAUGUCAGAAAUCUUGGUAUCCAAAGAAAGGUCCCUAAGGGGCAUUCUUUUUUUUUCAAUCUAAGAUUCAAGAAGGGACUCCACAAAAGAAUAUCAAGACUUACUAAUUAUUAUACAUUUUUUUAUCGUACAUCUUGUGUUACCUACAUACACUAAAGUAAGGACUACUUAAUUCUAACGAGAAUCGGAUUAAAUAGGUCGAUCAAAAAUCAAUUUAGGAGUUGUGUUAUGGAUAAAAUCUCUUCAUUCUUUCAUAGAAUGAUACAAAGCAAGGCUGCAGGGUUUAGGUCAAAAAUAAACAUUAGGUAAGGUAGGUAUCCAAUAAAUAUUUAUCUAUCGAUAAUUUUAUGGUAUAUUCGUGCGUCCUUUGCUUAAAAAAAGAGUAACAAAAGGAAUAAAAAAUCUUCCUAUUCCCGCUUCUUCUAUUCAGGACAUCAUUCCCGUACUCUUUCUUUUUUAAGGAAAAAAGGGCUAUAGUAUCGUUUUUAAUGCUCUCUAAUUCUACCAGAAUUCCUAUAAGAAUUUGUUAGGAAUAAAUUCCUUGAACUGAUUGAUCCAUGGCCUUAGGGCGGAAUCCCUUUUUGACUCUGUACCCUUGAUUCCACUAUGAUUAUUGAUCAAUAGUAGAAUAAUCCCUUCAUAGAAAUAGGAGACAUAAUUUAGAUGGAUAUAGUAAGUCUCGCUUGGGCUGCUUUAAUGGUAGUCUUUACAUUUUCUCUUUCACUAGUAGUAUGGGGAAGGAGUGGACUCUAGGGAUACUACUAAUUGAUUAACUAAUCAAAUUGUUGUAUCAAUUCUUUUCUUUAAUGGAUCAUUUUGCAUUAAUCAUUUUGUCAAACGUUAUUCUUUAAUCUUUUUCUUUAGUUUUGUUUCACUCCUCUAAGAAACUCUUGUAUUGUAAGUUGUAAUGUAAGAAAGAGCCAUUAUACCAAUUCAGAAUUUCUACUAGAAAUGACGAAUGGUUAAAAAAGUUCUAUACAUAAGAAAAUUAGACUUUCUUCCACGGAACUAUUCAUGGCAUAUCACACAUUUUCCAUUUCCUUUUACUUGUUGCUAUAGUCUAUUCUUAAUAUUAUUUUUCUUUCCUUCCAUGGAUUCUUUGGUCAAGAAUUGUCUUAGAUUUUUUUAUUUUGACCUGAUUGAAAUUAAGUGGAUGCAAUGAAAAAAGAAAUUGAAUUAGACUACUUAACUAUUUCAAUCUACUAAUCUAUUCUAUGUAGAUUCAAAGAUAAUAUAAUAGAAAGAAUCUAAAGUGUCGUAGAAAAAACUAUAUGUAGUUCUUUCUACCACACUUUAAGAUUCCAACCACAUCCUUUCAUUUAAGACUUGGAUUUCUUUAUUUAAUCCCUUUUUAAUUUCUUCAAUGAUUAAUUAACUUCUUUCAUGUCUAAAUGUCUCCAGUACCAAGACCAAACAAGGCCCUCGAAAUUAACUUCUUUCAUGUCUAAAUGUCUCCAGUACAAAGACAGGUUGAAUACAAACGGUAGUAUGCAUCACAAGAACAUUGUUGCAACCGCUGCUUCACCUAGACGUGCUACCCCUUCUAAAGACGCUAGGAUGGUGUCCUAGACUAGGAGAUACUCAUUGUGUCCUCUCCCAGCCAGGAGGGCCGGGCCGAGGACCCCCUUGGUGGUUAAUUACUUGGCCUCUUCAGGAAACCCAUGUCGUAUGCAAGGAAGAUUCCACAAGACUUGGCGCAGAAGACGAGGACUCUUCUAAAUCCUAGACCUUUGGUGCAUUAUAUAAACAGAGGCUAGGCUGGUCGGUAGAACAUAUUCUAAGAUUCAUUCACACAUACGAUCUCGAGAUAAAUCAACAUGUACUGUGUACCCCAUCCACAAUCAAUACAAUACAAGUUUGAUGUAGGGUUUAUCUUUUUGAGAGGGCCCCAACCUAGUUAAAUACCGUGUCUCUUAUUCGUCCUAUGACCAUCUAACCAAGAUCACCAGCUCGGGAACCCCUACACGAGUUUGACAUAUUUAGCUCUAUCAUUGGUGGCCCAUCCAGAUCCCUCUGGUAGUCGCCGCGGUGUGAUGAGAAUUCAGAUCGGCUCCGAUGCGAUCUACGUGCCGGAACGGAUCUUCGUCGCCACCUCGACUGUCCGCCUCAGCCAGGCUGAGCAUUACACUCAUGUUGGAUCAGUGAGAGGUCAGUGGGUGCCUCCAUCAACAUCAAUUUCGAUCUCUACCGAGAUCAUGGAAAAAAUCGUCUAUGGAGCUCGAGGGCUCAACGUCAGCAUUGCCCUUGCGUGACCAUGCAGAAUUUUCUGGACAAAGGAUACUCCGCUUCACACGUAGAUCCCGCCACGACGCUCUGCUUGGAACUGCACCAACUGACAGCUCCACCAUUCAAUAUAAAUACGUAUCCAGUUUGUGACAUAGAGUCAUCCGGAUCAGUGUCAAAGCUAGCAUCGACAUAACCAUUUACGACGAGCUCUUUGUCACCUCCAUAAACGAGAAACAUAUCCUUGGUCCUUUUCAGGUACUUCAGGAUGUUCUUGACCGUUGUCCAGUGAUCCACUACUGGAUUACUUUGGUACCUCCCUGCCAGACUUAUGGCAAGGCACACAUCAGGUCUGGUACACAGCAUAGCAUACAUGAUAGAACUUAUGGCUGAGGCAUAGGGAAUGACUUUCAUUUUCUCUCUAUCUUCUGCAGUGGUCGGGCUUUGAGUCUGACUCAACUUCACACCUUGUAACAUAGGCAAGAACCCUUUCUUGGACUGAUCCAUUUUGAACUUCUUCAAAACUUUGUCAAGGUAUGUGCUUUGUGAAAGUCCUAUUAAGCGUCUUGAUCUAUCUCUAUAGAUCUUGAUGCCCAAUAUAUAAGCAGCUUCACCGAGGUCUUUCAUUGAAAAACUCUUAUUCAAGUAUCCUUUUAUGCUAUCCAAAAAUUCUAUAUCAUUUCCAAUCAACAAUAUGUCAUCUAUAUAUAAUAUCAGAAAUGCUACAGAGCUCCCACUCACUUUCUUGUAAAUACAGGCUUCACCGAAAGUCUGUAUAAAACCAUAUGCUUUGAUCACCUCAUCAAAGCAUAUAUUCUAACUCUGAGAUGCUUGCAUCAGUCCAUAGAUGGAUCGCUAGAGUUUGCACACUUUGUUAGCACCUUUAGGAUCGACAAAACCUUCUGGUUGCAUCAUAUACAACUCUUCUUUAAGAAAUCCAUUAAGGAAUGCAAUUUUGACGUCCAUUUGCCAGAUUUCAUAAUCAUAAAAUGCGGCAAUUGCUAACAUGAUUCGGACGGACUUAAGCAUUGCUACGAGUGAGAAAGUCUCAUCGUAGUCAACCCUUGAACUUAUCGAAAAUCUUUUGCGACAAGUCGAGAUUUGUAGAUAGUAACAUUACCAUCAGUGUCAAUCUUCUUCUUGAAGAUCCACUUAUUCUCUAUGGCUUGCCGAUCAUCGGGCAAGUCCACCAAAGUCCACACUUUGUUCUCAUACAUGGAUCCUAUCUCAGAUUUCAUGGCCUCAAGCCAUCUGUCGGAACCUGGGCUCAUCAUAGCUUCUUCAUAGUUCGUAAGCUCGCCUUGGUCUAGUAACAUGACCUCCAGGAUAGGAUUACCGUACCACUCUGGUGCAGAUCAUGCUCGGGUUGACCUACGAGGUUCAGUAGCAACUUGAUCUGAAGUUUCAUGAUCAUUAUCAUUAUCUUCCUCUCUAGUUAGUGUAGGCAUCACAUGAAUGGUUUUCUGUGAUGUGCUACUUUCCAAUUUGAGAGAAGGUACAAUUACCUCAUCAAGUUCUACUUGCCUCCCACUCACUUCUUUCGAGAGAAACUCCUUCUCUAGAAAGGUUCCAUUCUUGGCAACAAAGAUCUUGCCUUCGGAUCUGUGGUAAAAGGUGUACCCAAUUGUUUCCUUAGGGUAUCCUAUGAAGACACACUUCUCUGAUUUGGGUUCGAGCUUAUCAGGCUGAAGCUUUUUGACAUAAGUGUCGCAACCCCAAACUUUAAGAAACGAUAGCUUAGGUUUCUUGCCAAACCAGAGUUCAUACGGUGUCAUCUCAAUGGAUUUAGACGGUGCCCUAUUUAACGUGAAUGCAGCUGUCUCUAAUGCAUAACCCCAAAAUGAUAGUGGUAAAUCGGUAAGAGACAUCAUAGAUCGCACCAUAUCUAAUAAAGUACGGUUACGACAUUCGGACACACCAUUACGCUGUGGUGUUCCAGGUGGCGUGAGUUGUGAAACAAUUCCACAUUGUUUUAAAUGAAGCCCAAACUCGUAACUCAAAUAUUCGCCUCCGCGGUCAAAUCGUAGAAACAUUAUUUUCUUGUUACGAUGAUUCUCCAUUUCACUCUGAAAUUCUUUGAACUUUUCAAAUGUUUCAGACUUGUGUUUCAUUAAGUAGAUAUACCCAUAUCUGCUUAAAUCACCUAUGAAGGUCAGAAAAUAACGAUACCUGCCACGUGCCUCAAUACUCAUCAGACCGCAUACAUCGGUAUGUAUUAUUUCCAAUAAGUCAUUAGCUCGCUCCAUUGUUCCAGAGAACGGAGUUUUAGUCAUCUUGCCCAUGAGGCAUGGUUCGCAAGUAUCAAAUGAUUCAGAAUCAAGUGAUUCCAAAAGUCCAUCUGUAUGGAGUUUCUUCAUGCGCUUUACACCAAUAUGACCUAAACGACAUUGUCACAAAUAUGUUGCACUAUCAUUACCAACUUUGCAUCUUUUGGCAUCAAUAUUAUGAAUAUGUGUAUCACUACAAUCGGGAUUCGACAAGAAUAUACCACUCUUCAAUGGUGCAUGACCAUAAAAGAUAUUACUCAUAUAAAUAGAACAACCAUUAUUCUCUGGUUUAAAUGAAUAACUGUCUCGCACUAAACAAGAUCCAGAUAUAAUGUUCAUGCUCAACGCUAGCACCAAAUAACAAUUAUUCAGGUCUAAAUUAACCAUAAGGUAGAUGUAGAGGCAGUGUGCUGACGGUGAUCACAUCGACCUUGGAACCAUUCCCGACGCGCAUCGUCACCUCGUCCUUAGCCAAUCUUCGUUUAAUCCAUAGCUCCUGUUUCGAGUUACAAAUAUGAGCAAUCGAACCAGUAUCAAAUACCCAGGCGCUACUACGAGCAUUAGUAAGGCACACAUCAAUAACAUGUAUAUCAAAUAUACCUUUGUUCACUUUGUCAUCCUUCUUAUCCGCCAAGUAUUUGGGGUAGUUCCGCUUCCAGUGACCAGUCCCUUUGCAGUAGAAGCACUCAGUUUUAGGCUUGGGUCCAGCUUUGGGCUUCUUCCCGGGAGUGGCAACUCGCUUGCCAUUCUUAUUGAAGUUCCCUUUCUUUCCCUUGCCCUUUUUCUUGAAACUAGUGGUCUUGUUAACCAUCAACACUUGAUGCUCCUUUUUGAUUUCUACCUCCGUGGCCUUAAGCAUUGCGAAGAGCUCAGGAAUUGUUUUGUUCAUCCCUUGCAUAUUAUAGUUCAUCACGAAGCCUUUGUAGCUUGGUGGCAGUGAUUGAAGAACUCUAUCAAUGACACAAUCAACUGGAAGAUCAACUCCUAGCUGAGUCAAGUGAUUAUAAUACCCCAGACAUUUUGAGUAUGUGUUCACUGACAGAACUGUUCUCCUCCAUCUUGCAGCUAUAGAACUUGUUGGAGACUUCAUAUCUCUCAACCCGGGCAUUUGCUUAAAAUAUUAACUUCAACUCUUGGAACAUCUCAUAUGCUCCAUGAAGUUUGAAACGUCUUUGAAGUCCCGGUUCUAAGCCGUAAAGCAUGGCACACUGAACUAUCGAGUAGUCAUCAGAUCGAGCUUGCCAGACGUUCAAAACAUCAGCUUCUGCUCCUGCAGCAAGCCUUUCACCUAGCGGUGCAUCAAGGACAUAAUUCUUCUGUGCAGCAAUGAGGAUAAUCCUCAAGUUACGGACCCUGUAGUUGCUAGCAUCAUCUUUCAACUUAGCUUUCUCUAGGAACGGAUUAAAAUUCAGGGGAACGGUAGCUCGGGCCAUUGAUCUACAACAUAGAUAUGCAAAACUAUAAGAGUAAGUUCAUGAUAAAUUAAGUUCAAUUAAUCAAAUUACUUAAUAACUCCCACUUAAAUAGACAUCCCUCAAGUCAUCUAAGUGAUACGUGAUCCAAAUCAACUAACCCAUGUCCGAUCAUCACGUGAGAUGGGGUAGUCAUCAAUGGUGAACAUCUCUAUGUUGAUCAUAUCUACUAUAUGAUUCACGUUCGACCUUUCGGUCUCCAGUGUUCCGAGGCCAUGUCUGUACAUGCUAGGCUCGUCAAGUUUAACCCAAGUAUUCUGCAUGUGUAAAACCGUCUUACACCCGUUGUAUGUGAACGUAGAGUCUAUCACACCCGAUCAUCGCGUGGUGUCUCGAAACGAUGAACUGUAGCAACGACGCAUACUCAGGGAGAACACUUUUACCUUGAAAUUUAGUGAAGGUAUCAUCUUAUAAUGCUACCGUUGUUCUAAGCAAAAUAAGAUGCAUAUAAGAUAAACAUCACAUGCAAUCAAAAUAUGUGACAUGAUAUGGCCAUCAUCAUCUUGUGCUUUCGAUCUCCAUAUCCAAAGCAUCGUCAUGAUCUCCAUCGUUGCGUCGUGCUUGUCUCGCCAACUAUUGCUUCUACAACUAUUGCUAACUCAUAGCGAUAAAGUAAAGCAACUACAUGGCGUUUGCAUUUCAUACAAUAAAGAGACAACCAUAAGGCUCCUGCCGGUUGCCUGAUAUCUUACAAAAAGUGAUCAUCUCAUACAAUAAUGUAUAUCACAUCAUGUCUUGACCAUAUCAGAUCACAACAUACCCUGCAAAAACAAGUUAGACGUCCUCUACUUUGUUGUUGCAAGUUUUACGUGGAUUCUAUGGGUUUCUAGCAAGAACCGUUCUUACCUACGGCAAAAACCACAACGGUGAUUCGUCAAGUUUGCUGUUUUAACCUUCUUCAAGGACCGGCCGUAGUCAAAUUCGAUUCAACUAAAGUAGGAGAAACAGACACCCUCCAGCCACCUGUAAGCAAAACUAGUCGCAUGUCAGUCGGUGGAACCGGUCUCAUGUGCGUGGACAUGUAAGGUUGGUCUGGGCCACUUCAUCCCACGGUACCGCCGAAUCAAAAUAAUAUGUUGGUGGUAAGCAGUAUGACUAUCACUGCCCACAACUCUUUGUGUUCUACUCGUGCAUAUCAUCUACGCAUAGACCUGGCUCAUGAUGCCACUGUUGGGAAUCGUUGCAUGGAAAACAAAAAAUUUCUAAGCACACGCAAUGAUCUAUCCAUGGAGAAGCAUAGCAACGAGGGGGAGAGUAUGUCUACGUACCCUCGUAGACCGUAACCGGAAGCGUUUUACAACGCGGUUGAUGUAGUCGAACUUUCUUCGCGCUCCAACCGAUCUAGUACCGAACGCACGGCACCUCCGUGUCUGCACACGUUCAGCUCGGUGACGUCCUCCAUCUUCUUGAUCCAGCAAGACGGUGAGGUAGUAGAUGAGUUCCGACAGCACGAUGGCAUGGUGCCGGUGAUGGUGAUGUGAUCUCCGUAGGGCUUCACCUAAGCACUACAAAAAUAUCCGAGGGAGUAAACGAUGGACGGGGGUGCCGCACACGACUAAGACAAUGUUGUGUCCUUGUGUGGCGCCUCCUCCCCACAUAUAUAUAGGUGGGAGGGGGAGGAGGCAGCCUAGGGCAGCCAGGGCGCGCCCCAAGGGGCUGGCCGCCGGCCCUAGGGCUCCUACCCUCCUGCGCCCCCCCCUUGUAUGAAGAAGGGGGAAGGAAAGAAGGGGGAGUCCUACUCCACACUUUCCUUUCCCUCCCCUCUUUCCUUCUCCUCCUCAUAGGGCCGGCCUCUAUAGGGGCGCACCGGCCCCUUGUGGGCUGGUGUGUUCCCUAUCUUGGCCCAUAAGGCCCAUAUCUUUGCCGGGGUUGCCCGAAACUCCUUUCCGGUGACCCGAUAAGUACCUGGUACCCUCCGAAACACUUCCGGUGUCUGAAUACCAUCGUCCUAUAUAUCAAACAUUACCUCUCGACCAUUUCGAGACUCCUCGUCAUGUUUGUGAUCUCAUCCGGGACUCUAAACAACAUUCGGUCACCAAAUCACAUAACUCAUAUAAUACUAUAUCGUCAACGAACGUUAAGCGUGCGGACCCUACAGGUUUGAGAACUAUGUAGACAUGACCGAGACACCUCUCCGGUCAGUAACAAAUAGCGGAACCUGGAUGCCCAUAUUGGCUCAUACAUAUUUGAUGUCUACUACACAACCUUCUUCUUGUAGACAUUGUUGGGCCUCCAAGUGCAGAGGUUUGUAGGACAGUAGCAAAUUUCCCUCAAGUGGAUGACCUAAGGUUUAUCAAUCCGUGGGAGGCGUAGGAUGAAGAUGGUCUCUCUCAAACAACCUUGCAGCCAAAUAACAAAGAGUCUCUUGUGUCCCCAACCACCCAAUACAAUGGUAAAUUGUAUAGGUGCACUAGUUCGGCGAAGAGAUGGUGAUACAAGUGCAAUAUGGAUGGUAGAUAUAGGUUUUGUAAUCUGAAAAUAUAAAAACAGCAAGGUAACCAAUGAUAAAAGUGAGCGUAAACGGUAUUGCAAUGCUAGGAAACAAGGCCUAGGGUUCAUACUUUCAAUGUCACCUCAAGUAUCCGUGGGUAUCCGUGGGUACUCCAAUGUCACCUCAAGUAUCCGUGGGUAUGAUUAUACGAUAUGCAUCACACAAUCUCAAAUUCAUCUAUUCAACCAACACAAAGAACUUCAAAGAGUGCCCCAAGUUUCUACCGGAGAGUCAAGACGAAAACGUGUGCCGACCCCUAUGCAUAGGUUCAUGGGCGGAACCCGCAAGUUGAUCACCAAAACAUACAUCAAGUGGAUCACGUGAUAUCCCAUUGUCACCACAGAUAAGCACGGCAAGACAUACAUCAAAUGUUCUCAAAUCAUUAAAGACUCAAUGCGAUAAGAUAACUUCAAAGGGAAAACUCAAUCCAUUACAAGAGAGUAGAUGGGGAGAAACAUCAUAAGAUCCAACUACAAUAGCAAAGCUCGUGAUACAUCAAGAUCGUGCCAAAUCAAGAACACGAGAGAGAAAGGUCAAACACAUAGCUACUGGUACAUACCCUCAGCCCCGAGGGUGAACUACUCCCUCCUCGUCAUGGAGAGCGCCGGGAUGAUGAAGAUGGCCACCGGUGAGGGAUCCCCCCUCCGGCAGGGUGCCGGAACAGGGUCCCGAUUAGUUUUUGGUGGCUACAGAGGCUUGCGGUGGCGGAACUCCCGAUCUCUUCUAUUCUCCGAAGGUUUUAGGGUAUAUGGGUAUAUAUAUAUAGGAGGAAGAAAUACACCAGGGGAGCCACGAGGGGCCCACGAGGGUGGAGGGCGCGCCCAGGGGGGUGGGCGUGCCCCCUGCCUCGUGCCUCCCUCGUUGCUUUCCUGACGUGCACUCCAAGUCCCCCGGAUUGCUUUCUUUCCAAAAAUAACUUCUCCAGAAGGUUUCAUUCCGUUUCGACUCUGUUUGAUAUUCCUUUUCUUCAAAACACUGAAACAAGGGAAAAAACACGAACUGGCACUGGGCUCUGGGUUAAUAGGUUAGUCCCAAAAAUAAUAUAAAAGUGUUUAAUAAAGCCCAUAAACAUCCAAAACAGAUAAUAUAAUAGCAUGGAACAAUAAAAAAUUAUAGAUACGUUGGAGACGUAUCGGCAUCCCCAAGCUUAAUUCCUGCUCGUCCUCGAGUAGGUAAAUGAUAAAAACAAUUUUUUUGAUGUGGAAUGCUACUUGGCAUAAUUUCAAUGUAAUUCUUCUUAAUUGUGGUAUGAAUAUUCAGAUCCGAAAGAUUCAAGAUAAAAGUUCAUAUUGACAUAAAAGUAAUAAUACUUCAAGCAUACUAACUAAGCAAUUAUGUCCUCUCAAAAUAACAUGGCCAAAGAAAGUUCAUCCCUACAAAAUCAUAUAGUUUAGUCAUGCUCCAUUUUCGUCACACAAGAAUGCUCUCAUCAUGCACAACCCCGAUGACAAGCCAAGCAAUUGUUUCAUACUUUAGUAAUCUCAAACUUUUCAACCUUCACGCAAUACAUGAGCGUGAGCCAUGGAUAUAGCACUAUGGGUGGAAUAGAAUAUAAUGAUGGGGGUUAUGUGGAGAAGACAAAAAAGGAGAAAGUCUCACAUCAACGCGGCUAAUCAAUGAGCUAUGGAGAUGCCCAUCGAUUGAUGUUAAUGCAAGGAGUAGGGAUUGCCAUGCAACGGAUGCACUAGAGCUAUAAAUAUAUGAAAGCCCAACAAAAGAAACUAAGUGGGUGUGCAUCCAACUUGCUUGCUCACGAAGACCUAGGGCACUUAAGGAGGCCCAUUGUUGGAAUAUACAAGCCAAGUUCUAUAAUGAAAAAUUCCCACUAGUAUAUGAAAGUGACAAAACAAGAGACUCUCUAUCAUGAAGAUUAUGGUGCUACUUUGAAGCACAAGUGUGGUAAAAGGAUAGUAACAUUGUCCCUUCUCUCUUUUUCUCUCAUUUUUUUGGGCCUUCUCUUUUUUUAUGGACUUUCUCUUUUUUUAUUCCUCACUUGGGACAAUGCUCUAGAAAAUGACGAUCAUCACACUUCUAUUUAUUUACAACUCAAUGAUUACAACUCGAUACUAGAACAAAGUAUGACUCUAUAUGAAUGCCUCCGGCGGUGUACCGGGAUAUGCAAUGAACCAAGAGUGACAUGUAUGAAAGAAUUAUGAAUGGUGGCUUUGCCACAAAUACUAUGUCAACUACAUGAUCAUGCAAAGCAAUAUGACAAUGAUCAACGUGUCAUGAUAAACGGAACGGUGGAAAGUUGCAUGGCAAUAUAUCUCGGAAUGGCUAUGGAAAUGCCAUAAUAGGUAGGUAUGGUGGCUGUUUUGAGGAAGAUAUAAGGAGGUUUAUGUGUAAAAGAGCGUAUCAUAUCACGGGGUUUGGAUGCACCGGCGAAGUUUGCACCAACUCUCAAUGUGAGAAAGAGCAAUGCAUGGUACCGAAGAGGCUAGCAAUGAUGGAAAGGUGAGAGUGCGUAUAAUCCAUGGACUCAACAUUAGUCAUAAAGAACUCACAUACUUAUUGCAAAAAUCUACAAGUCAUCAAAACCAAGCACUACUCGCAUGCUCCUAGGGGGAUAGAUUGGUAGGAAAAGACCAUCGCUCGUCCCCGACCGCCACUCAUAAGGAGGACAAUCAAAGAACGCCUCAUGUUUCAAAUUUGUUACAUAACGUUUACCAUACGUGCAUGCUACGGGACUUGCAAACUUCAACACAAGCAUUUCUCAAAUUCACAACUACUCAACUAGCACGAUUUUAAUAUCAUUACCUCCAUGCCUCAAAACAAUCAUCAAGCAUCAAACUUCUCUUAGUAUUCAACACACUCAUAAGAAAGUUUUUACUAGUCUUGAAUACCUAGCAUAUUAGGAUUAAGCAAAUUACCAUGCUGUUUAAGACUCUCAAAAUAAUAUAAGUGAAGCAUGAGAGUUCAUCUAUUUCUUCAAAAUAAAACCACCAUUGUGCUCUAAAAGAUAUAAGUGAAGCACUAGAGCAAACAACAAACUACUCCAAAAGAUAUGAGUGAAGAUCAAUGAGUAGUUGUAUAAUUAUGUAACUAUGUGAAGACUCUCUAACAUUUAAGAAUUUCAAAUCUUGGUAUUUUAUUCAAACAGCAAGCAAAACAAAAGAAAAUAAAAUGACGCUCCAAGCAAAACACAUAUCAUGUGGUGAAUAAAAAUAUAGCUCCAAGUAAAGUUACCGAUGAACGAAGACGAAAGAGGGGAUGCCAUCCAGGGCAUCCCCAAGCUUAGGCUCUUGCCACUCCUUAUUCCAUAGUCCAUCGAAUCUUUACCCAAAACUUGAAAACUUCACAACACAAAACUUAACAGAAAACUCGUAAGCUCCGUUAGCGGAAGAAAACAAAACACCACUUCAAGGUACUUUAAUGAACUCAUUAUUUAUUUAUAUUGGUGUUAAACCUACUGUAUUCCAACUUCUCUAUGAUUUAUAAACUAUUUUACUAGCCAUAGAGUCAUCAAAAUAAGCAAACAACACACGAAAAACAGAAUCUGUCAAAAACAGAACAGUCUGUAGUAAUCUGUAACUAACGCAAACUUCUGGAACUCCAAAAAUUCUAAAAUAAAUUGGUGGACCUGAGUAAUUUGUCUAGUAAUCAUCUGCAAAAAGAAUCAACUAAAUAGUACUCUCCAGUAAAAUGUUUUAGCUAAUCUCGUGAGCGCUAAAGUUUCUGUUUUUUACAGCAUGAUCAUAAAGACUUCACCCAAGUCUUCCCAAAGGUUCUACUUGGCACAAACACUAAUUAAAACAUAAAACCACAUCUAAACAGAAGCUAGAUGGAUUAUUUAUUACUAAACAGAACCAAAAAGCAAUAAACUAAAAUAAAAUUGGGUUGCCUCCCAACAAGCGCUAUCGUUUAACGCCCCUAGCUAGGCAUUAUGAUUUCAAUGAUGCUCACAUAAAACAUAAGAACUGAAACAUAAAGAGAGCAUCAUGAAGAAUAUUAUUAGCACAUUUAAGUCUAACCCACUUCCUAUGCAUAGGUAUUUUGUGAGCAAACAACUUAUGGGAACAAAAAUCAACUUGCAUAGGAAGGUAAAACAAGCAUAACUUUAAAACUUUAAGCACAUAGAGAGGAAACUUGAUAUUAUUGCAAUUCCUACAAGCAUACAUUCCUCCCUCAUAAUAAUUUUCAGUAGCAUCAUGAAUGAACUCAAAAAUAUAACCAGCACCUAAAGCAUUCUUUUCAUGAUCUACUUGCAUAGAAAUUUUACUACUCUCCACAUAAGCAAAAUUCUUCUCAUUCGGAAUAGUGGGAGUAUAAUAAGAGACUUGAAUACUAUAAAUUGUUUCCACAUUAAAAGAGUAAUGUUCAGAAAAAGCGUAAUCAUAAUCAUGACAAGUUUUAUAAAUAUAAUCAUCACUACUCUUUAUAGCAUAAGUUUUAUUACAAUAAUCAUCAUAAGUAGCAACUUUGUUCUCAUCAUAAUCGAUUGAAACCUCUUCCAAGAUAGUGGACUCAUCACUAAAUAAAGUCAUGACCUAUCCAAAUCCACUUUCAUAAAUAUUAUAAGAUUCAACAUCCUCCAAAAUAGUGGGAUCAUUACUUCCUAAAGUUGACACUCUUCCAAACCCACUUUCAUCAAUAUAAUCAUCAUAAGUAGGAGGCAUGCUAUCAUCAUUAUAAAUUUGCAUAUCAAAACUUGGGAGACUAAAAAUAUCAUCUUCAUUAAACAUAGCAUCCCCAAGCUUGGGACAAACAUUAAUUUCAGCAAAUAUAUUCUCAAAUAUGUCAUCAAACAUAGCUUCCCCAAGCUUGGGCCUUUUCAUAUCAUAAGCAUAAUCACUCUCAUCAUUAAUAGUAUGGAUAGCACCAAUAGUAUAGCAAUUAUCAUAUUCUUCCAAGCAAGUGCCAAAAAGAUUUUCAAGAUCAUAAGAAGUAUUAUUAUCUUCCCAAUCAUAAUCAUCACAACAAGCAAUAGGCAUAACGAGAUCAUCAUCAAGUGCAUCAUCUUCCACAAUUAUUUUUGAUUCAUUUUCACGAGGCACAACAAUAAUAGGAGCAACAUUAUUUGGGAGAGAUAUCUUUUUACCUCUCUUCCUUUUUCUUUUCUUCUUCUUCACCCCAUCAUGUGUGGAUUCAAUCCUCCUUUUGGAGCUCCUUAUUAAUGAGAUUGGUUGAAUAGAAGGCUCCUCCUCGUUACCUGAUUCAUCAUGAGAAAUAAUAGGAGGAUAUUGGGAAGUCUCUUCCCUUUCAUUAGUAUUUUCUUCAUCUUCUAUUUGUUUUAUUUUCUUUAUGUAGUUGGCAAUAUAUUGAUUUUCAAUGCAAUUCACCGCGCAAUACAUAUAAAUUUACUAGAUCAAUAUCGAGGAAUUUCUCGAGGUUAUAUUCUGGAAUAAUCUUAGUUUGACGUUUCAUUUCUUCAUAACCCAAAAGCAAACUAAGUUCAUUAUAAUGUGCAAGGGAAAUCAGGUCAUCACAAUAUUUGUACACGAUUAUCAUGAAACAAUUUGCAUUUGAUAUUUAAAUGACCAUGUUCAUUGCAAAGUUCACAAGUACGGCUAAGAUAUUUUAAAUUUUCAGCACUAACAUUUAGCCUUUCUUGCAACCAUUUAGUUUCUAAGUGUUUAUGCCUCUUGCAAUACCUAUCUUCCCUAUUUGGUGUAUACUUACAAACCCAAUACACUCCACAAAAAUCGACAUGCUUAUAAGAGAUAUUUUCAUCAUGACUAGUGCAAUCAUCAUUAGUACUAUGGAUAUUCAAGGAGUUCAUACUAACAACAUUGCAAUCAUGCUCAUCAUUCAAAGAUUCGGUGCCAAACAUUUUAAUGCAUUCUUCUUCUAACACUUUGGCACAAUUUUCCUUUCCAUCAUACUCACGAAAGAUAUUAAAAAGAUGAAGCGAAUGAGACAAACUCAAUUCCAUUUUUUUGGUAGUUUUCUUUUAUAAACUAAACUAGUGCUAAAACAAGAAACAAAAAGAUUCGAUUGCAAGAUCUAAAGAUAUACCUUCAAGCACUCACCUCCCCGGCAACGGCGCCAGAAACUGCUUGAUGUCUACUACACAACCUUCUUCUUGUAGACGUUGUUGGGCCUCCAAGUGCAGAGGUUUAUAGGACAGUAGCAAAUUUCCCUCAAGUGGAUGACCUAAGGUUUAUCAAUCCGUGGGAGGCGUAGGAUGAAGAUGGUCUCUCUCAAACAACCCUGCAACCAAAUAACAAAGAGUCUCUUGUGUCCCCAACCACCCAAUACAAUGGUAAAUUGUAUAGGUGCACUAGUUCGGGGAAGAGAUGGUGAUACAAGUGCAAUAUGGAUGGUAGAUAUAGGUUUUUGUAAUCUGAAAAUAUAAAAACAGCGAGAUAACCAAUGAUAAAAGUGAGCGUAAAUGGUAUUGCAAUGCUAGGAAACAAGGCCUAGGGUUCAUACUUUCACUAGUGCAAGUUCUCUCAAAUAUAAUAACAUAAUUGGAUCACAUAACUAUCCCUCAACAUGCAACAAAGAGUCACUCCAAAGUCACUAAUAGCGGAGAACAAACGAAGAGAUUAUGGUAGGGUACGAAACCACCUCAAAGUUAUUCUUUCCGAUCAAUCCAUUGGGCUAUUCCUAUAAGUGUCACAAACAGCCCUAGAGUUCGUAGUAAAAUAACACCUUAAGACACACAUCAACCAAAACCCUAAUGUCACCUAGAUACUCCAAUGUCACCUCAAGUAUCCGUGGGUAUGAUUAUAUGAUAUGCAUCACACGAUCUCAAAUUCAUCUAUUCAACCAACACAAAGAACUUCAAGGAGUGCCCCAAAGUUUCUACCGGAGAGUCAAGACAAAAACGUGUGCCAACCCCUAUGCAUAGGUUCAUGGGCGGAACCCGCAAGUUGAUCACCAAAACAUACAUCAAGUGGAUCACGUGAUAUCCCAUUGUCACCACAGAUAAGCAUGGCAAGACAUACAUCAGGUGUUCUCAAAUCAUUAAAGACUCAAUCCGAUAAGAUAACUUCAAAGGGAAAACUCAAUCCAUUACAAGAGAGUAGAGGGGGAGAAACAUCAUAAGAUCCAACUACAAUAGCAAAGCUCGCGAUACAUCAAGAUUGUGCCAAAUCAAGAACACGAGAGAGAGAGAGAGGUCAAACACAUAGCUACUGGUACAUACCCUCAGCCCCGAGGGUGAACUACUCCCUCCUCGUCAUGGAGAGCGCCGGGAUGAUGAAGAUGGCCACCGGUGAGGGAUCCCCCCCUUCGGCAGGGUGCCGGAAUCGGGUCCCGAUUAGUUUUUGGUGGCUACAGAGGCUUGCGACAGCGGAACUCCCGAUCUCUUCUGUUCUCCGAAGGUUUUAGGGUAUAUGGGUAUAUAUAGGAGGAAGAAAUACAUCAGGGGAGCCACAAGGGGCCCACGAGGGUGGAGGGCGCACCCCUUGCCUCGUGCCUCCCUCGUUGCUUUCCUGACGUGCACUCCAAGUCCCCCGGAUUGCUUUCUUUCCAAAAAUAACUUCUCCAGAAGGUUUCAUUCUGUUUCGACUGCGAUUGAUAUUCCUUUUCUUCAAAACACUGAAACAAGGGAAAAAUAGGAACUGGCACUGGGCUCUGGGUUAAUAGGUUUGUCCCAAAAAUAAUAUAAAAGUGUUUAAUAAAGCCCAUAAACAUCCAAAACAGAUAAUAUAAUAGCAUGGAACAAUCAAAAAUUAUAGAUACGUUGGAGACGUAUCAAUAUUCUACGAAGAUCUUUAUCGGUCGAACCGUUAUGACAACAUACGUAAUUCCCUUUGUCCAUCGGUAUGUUACUUGCCCGAGAUUCGAUCGUCGGUAUCUCUAUACCUAGUUCAAUCUCAUUACCGGCAAGUCUCUUUACUCGUUCCGUAAUACAUGACCUCGUUAACGGCAAGUCGUGAACUAGGUAUGGAGAUACCGGCGAUCGAAUCUAGGGCAAGUAACAUAUCGCCGGACAAAGGGAAUUGCAUACGGGAUUAACUGAAUACUUGACAUCGUGGUUCAACCGAUAAAAGAUCUUCGUGGAAUAUGUAGGAAUCAAUAUGGGCAUCCAGGUCCGGCUAUUGGUUAUUGACCGGAGAGGUGUCUCGGUUAUGACUACAUGAUUCCCGAACCCGCAGGGUCGCAUGCUUAACGUUCGUUGACGCUAGAGUAGUAUUGGGAUAUUUGAUGAUUGGUAAUAGAAUGUUGUUCGGAGUCCCGGAUGAGAUCCCGGACGUCACGAGGAGUCUCGGAAUGGUCGAGAGGUAAAGAUUAUAUAUGGGAAGUCAUAUUUUGGGUUUCGAAAAAAGAUGCAGUUUUUUCGGUAUUGUACCAUGAAGCUUCUAGAAGGUUCCGGAGGACUCUGGAGGGGUCUGGAAGUCCACAAGUGGGUCCACCAUGACCCAAGGGCUGGCAUGGGCUGAGGGGAGGCGCCCUGGCCUUAUUGGGCUAGGCGCACCAAGUCCUUAAAAGCCCAUGUGGCUAGGGAAGGGGAAAAGGGGGAGUCCUAGUAGGAAUAGGAUUGGACUUGGAGUCCAAGUCCUCUCCCCCUUGGCUGCGCCCUAGGGCUUGGAUGGGCUGUUCCCCAUGCCCACCACCUAUAUAUAGAGGGGAGGGGGCACCCCAAGAGGACACACCAAGCCCUUGGUGCCCCUCUCUCUCUCGUUACUCCGUAGUUCCUCCGUCCCCGUUCUAGUAGCGCUUGGCGAAGCCCUGCUGAACUAGCUACACCAUCACCACCACACCGUCGUGCUGGUUGUGAUUCCAUCUGCUUCUCCGCCUUCUCUUGUUGGACCAAGGAGGAGGAGACGUCAUCGAGCCGCACGUGUGCUAAACUCAGAGGUGCCGUCUGUUCGGCAGUAGAUCGGUUGGAUCGUGAUCGGAUCGCGGAGAGUACAACUACAUCAACCGCAUUAUAUAUGCUUCCGCUUUCAGUCUAUGUGGGUACGUAGACACACUCUCCCCUCUUGUUGCUAUGCUUCUCCUAUAUAGAUCUUGGGUGUUCGUAGGAUUUUUUUUUUAUUUUCAUGCUUCGUUCCCCAUCAAUUUUAAGACCGUUUUAGGGGCUACUGAUGGUGUCCUGGACUAGGGGUACUCACCAUGUCGUCUCCUGGCCAGGAGGGCCUGGCCGUGGACCCAUGUGGCUGUUAAUUACUAUGCCUCUUUGAGCAUCCCAUGACGUAUACAAGGAAGAUUCCACAUGACUUGGCACACAAGACGAGGAUUCUUCUUAAUCCUAGACCUCUCGUGCAUUAUAUAAACCGAGGUUAGGCUAGUCGAUAGAGCAUAUUCUAAGAUUCACUCACACAUGUGAUCUCGAGGUAUAUCAACAUAUACUUUGUACCCCAUCCAUAGUCAAUACAAUAUAAGCAGGACGUAGGGUUUUACCUCUUCGAGAGGGCCUGAACCUGGGUAAAUAAUGUGUCUCUUCUUCGUCCGGUUACCAUCUAGCCAAAAUCACCAGUUCAGGACCCCCUACCCGAGAUCUGCCUAAUUUAGCUCCGCCAGGCUACCCACCUCGCUCUCCACUGCCCUGUUGCUUCACGUGUUUGGAUCGAUCCGGGCCUUCAACCUACUCCAGACUUGCAACAGAUUUGGGAGUCCACCACGCCACCGGGUUUGGAUCCAAACAUUUGGCCUUCAGUUGCUCUAUUCAUCCUCUGGAAAAUGUGAGACUCAUGAAAUGCGCUCAUUUUCCAUGAUGAUUUCCAUACUUCCAACAUCACCAUCAGAAAAUACCGCGUUUGACUUAUCACUAUGGAUCUUCAGAUUCAAAGAUAUUACUCUUUGUGACACCGCUAGAUCAUGGAUAUUUUAUCUCUGUUCGAAGCUUCAGGCUCUUUCCUGAUGUAAUAACUGACUAUCGUGCUUGGUAAUAUGGCUGGAUCUUUUUGUGGUGGAUCGAUGUGAUGUCUUGCCUGGUGCUACUUCUUGAGCUUGCGUUGGUUUUUCCCUUGAAGAGGAAAGGGUGAUGCAGCAAAGUACAGAUAAAUAUUUCCCUCAGUUUGACAACCAAGGUAUCAAUCCAGUAGGAGGAACACACAAGUCACCAAUGGUUGCACCUACACAAACAAACAAAUACUUGCAACCAAUGCGAUAAAGGGGUUGUCAAUCCCUUCGCGGUUAUUUGCAAGGAUGAGAUCUGACAGAGAUAGGUAUAAAAGAUAAAUAAAAGUGCAAAAUAAGGUAAAGGUAAAUAAAUUGCAGCAAGGUAUUUUUUUGGUUUUGGGUUUUAUAGAUCUAAAAAUAAUAUGAUAAAAAUAGACCCGGGGGCCAUAGUUUUCACUAGAGGCUUCUCUCUUGAAAGAACACAUACGGUGGGUAAACAAAUUAUUGUUAAGAAUUGAUAGAAAAGCGGAAAGUUAUGACGAUAUCUAAGGCAAUGAUCAUGAAUAUAGGCAUCACGUCCGUGACAAGUAGACCGACUCCUGCCUGCAUCUACUAUUAUUACUCAACGCAUCGGCCGCUAUCCAGCAUGCAUCUAGUGUAUUAAGUUAACAAGAACGGAGUAAAGCCUUAAGCAAGAUGACAUGGUGUACAGGGAUAUGUCCAAUCAAUAUGAACUAAACCCCACCUUUUUAUCCUUAAUGGCAACAAUACAAAUAUGUGCCUCGCUACCCCUUUUGUCACUAGGUGAGGACACCACUAGAUUGAACCCAUUACAAAGCACCUCUCCCAUUACAAGAAAAAUCAAUCUAGUUGGCCAAACCAAAUCAAUAGAUCGGAGAGAAAUACAAAGCUAUCUUAAUCAUGCAUAAAAGAGUUUAGAGAAGACUCAAAUAAUAUUCAUAGAUAAUGUGAUCAUAAAUCCACAAUUCAUCGGAUCUCAACAAACGCACCGCAAAAUAAGAUUACAUCGAAAAGAUCUCCAAGAACAUCAAGGAGAACAUUGUAUUGAAGAUCAAAGAGAGAGAAGAAGCCAUCUAGCUACUAGCUAUGGACUCGUAGGUAUGUGGUAAACUACUCACACAUCAUCGGAAGGGCAGCAAGGUUGAUGUAGAGGCCCUCCGUGAUCGAAUCCCCCUCCGGCGGAGUACCGAAAUGGGUCUUCAGAUGGGAUCACGCAAGGAGAGAAACUUGCGGCAGUGGAAAAGUAUUUUUGGUGUGCCCUCUGGUAUACGGGGAAUAUUUGGUUAUUUAUGGAGCUAAGACUAGGGUUGGAGGAGCCACAGGGCGCCCACAAGCCUGCGGGGCGCCCCCCUAGGGCGCGACCUCCGAGCUUGUCGUGGCCUCAUGGCUCUUCUGGCAUCCUCUCGAAGCUUCCUAGGUGUCUUCUGGUCUAGGAAAAAUCGCCAAAAAGUUUUGUUCCAUUUGGACUUCGUUUGGUAUUGUUUCUAUAAAAGACCAAAACAAGGGAAAAAAUAGCAACUGGCACUGGGCACUAGGUUAAUAGGAUUGUCCCAAAAAAUGAUAUAAAAUAGCAUAAUAAUGCAUAUAAAACAUCCAAGAUGGAUCAUAUAAUAGCAUGGAACAAUAAAAAAAUUAUAGAUAUGUUGGAGACGUAUCACCUGGUUGCACCAUCGAAGGAGCCACGAGCGUCAAUUAGAAUCCGAAAACGGACGAUGCGGCCGCCAAUAGCUUACACACUAAGAGAAUCUCUAACCAAUCCCCUAUUCAAUGUUAGAGGAGGAUAAAUUUCGUUAUCCUCCUCUAACCGUCACCUAACCAAACCCCUAUCGCCAUUGGAGGAGGAAAUUUUAUCCUCCUCGAAUGCCCCAACUCCUAAAUAUGCUUGUCUGCCCUUCUGCAGAGUAGAAGAUUUGGCCUCUUCCCCCACACCCGUGUCGUCGCCGGUCUUGCUUCCAACGACUACCCAGCGCCUCCGCCAACACCCCAUUGCCUCCACCGCCCUCGCAGCCCACCCACCCCACUCUGAGCCGGUCACCGGCCGUUGCUGUCACUAGAAACAAGCUCCAUCACUGUCUCCACCACAUGGAUUUCGUUCUCGGAAGGACGAACCGGAUCUUCUUCCUCUGAGACUCUCCGUCCACUGUCGGACAUCUCUAAGCCUGACCAACCACUAGCGACCGCUCAAUAUCAUCAACUGGCCGUGAAAACUCCUCUGCCCUUCAACGGUUGGCCUAGGUGAGUUUUCUUUGUGCUUUUUUCAUCUCAUUGUUCUUUUGUCAAUUCAGAUGAACCGUGUCAUUUAUAGUCAAGAUGAAGUGGUUGAGAGAGAUGAUCUUUGAGGACUCUUUGUUAUCGGAGGAGUAAGAAGACGAUGGUGACUUUGAAAUGGACAUUGCCAUGAUUUUCCAUGAAGAUUCUUGGUGGCCGAGGAGAGGUCACAAUUUGGCCAUAUACACCUCAACUGAGAUAGAGAGGAGGUCAUGCCAAGAUCAUGAGAUUAUUUUGACCCCGGUCCAACCUACCCGAAUAAGUAUUUUUGCUGGCGAUUUCAAAUGCACACAAGUCUUUUUCCCCAUUGCAAAAUCCAGGGAGAAGCAUGAUGAUUGGUUCAAACUCAGGAGAAGUCAUCCGGAGAGAUAAGUGUGAGCCCUUUGAUGAAGUGUAUCGCGGUUGUGCGAGUGCUCGCCUAUGAGUGUUUGGCCAAUGUCAUUGACGACUAUGUCUGUGUUGGAGAAAAUACAAUCUUGGAGGCUAUUUGAAGGUACGCAAAAGCCAUGAUUGGGAUUUUUGGGCCGGGGUACUUGAGUGCACCCACCGAUGAAGACACCGAGAGGCUGUUGGCUUUGAGUGAAGAAUGAGGAUGGCCUGGGGUGCCUUAAUCAACUGACUGCAUGCACUGGACAUGGAAGAGUUUUCCUGCAUGAUGAAAAGGUCAGUACAAAGGCCAUUGCAAAUCCAGCAAACAUUCUUGAGGCUGUUGCAUCAGAGGAUCUAUGAAUUUUGUAUUCAUUCUUUGAAUUACCUGGCUCUCACAAUGACCUGAAUGUGUUGUCGAGAUCACCACUGUUCGCUAGGCUACUUGCCGAAGAUGCUCCUCCUUGCAACCAUGUUGUCAAUGUUCAUGAGUACACGAUGGGUUACUACCUUGCAGAUGGCAUCCAUCCUCCAUGCGACACAUUUUUCAAGACAAUCGCACGUCCGAAAGGUAACAAGAGGUCUUAUCUUGCAAUACUCAAGAUUCGAUAUGGAAGGAUGCCGAGAGAGCUUUUGGCGUGCUUCAAAAGCGCUUUGGCAUCAUUCAUGGCCUUGCCGAGUAUUGGAACCCAAGGUCCUAUGGCAAAUCAUGACAUGUUGCAUCAUCUUGCAUAACAUGAUUAUUGAAGAGGAGAGAGGCAUGCUUCAGAACUUUCAGCGCAUCUUCAAUGGGGAUCCUGUUGUGCCGAAGCAUGAUGCAAACAUGAUACAAAGAUUUCUCGUAGCACAUUGCAACAUUGAGAACCGAGAAGUUCAUACCCGACUCCAAGAUGAUCUUGUUGAGCAUUAGUGACAUCUCCAUAGCACUUCAUAAUUGUGCUUUUAUCAUGCCCUUUACUUCAUUUGAACCCUUCCCUGUGUUUGAAUUUGAAUAAUAUGAUUUGUAAACUUUGAAUUUGUAAUAUUUGUGAAUUAUGUGAACAUUAAUUAUUAUGUUUGUACUUAAUUUGUGUGCAAAUUAGUAGUUGAAAUGUAGUGUGUACACUGAAACUAGAAAGAUUUGGUAAGAAUUUUUUUUAAGGAGUUAAGUAUUGGGGAUCGGUUAGAAAUGAAUUUUUGUAGAGGAGCAAAUAUGCUCCUCUAAAGUAUACUUGGUUGUAUCCUUCUUUAAAUUAGAUUCCUUUUUUCCUUGCAAAAAAGUAUCCUUCUUCAAAUUAUAGGGGGUCGGUUAGAUAUGCUCUAAAAAAUGAUAUUAACGGCAAUACACUCACACUAUAGCAAGAGAGAGGCUAGCAAGCAGAGCAGGUAGAGAAUGGAGAGGCUAGGGAAUUAACGAAAGAUCGGACAUCAGAGAGAGACAGAGACAGGCAGAGAGAGAGAGAGAGAGAGGGGAUAAGAGUGGCUAGCGAGAGAGCGAGACAAACAUGGUGGCACGGUACAUCAUCGCCGUGACUGCCAUGGCGUGUCGUGCGACGGUGCUGCUCCUCGUUGUCUUCACAACCACAUGUAUAGGCAUCAGAGGCGACUAUGGCUUCAGCGCGUUUAUGUAAGUAUUCACCGAUUUCUGCUGAAAACAAAUGGAUCAACAAGCUAGGAGUGGGUGGGGGGGCAAUUGUCCCCUCUUUUCUUAAAUAAUUAUUUACACUGGACUAUUGGCACAUGUAUUGCAUAAUAUAGAACUAUAGCUAAUACUGUGGACAUCCCCAAAGUAUCUGGAUUAAAAGUUUGUUUUCGCUACAAGUACAGUGUAUUUAUCCCCUUAACCCCUUAUAAAAAAUUGAUGUGCACCUAGUACCAAAUAAAUGGUUCGUAGAAACCAGCCAUCAAAGUUGGCCAUAAGUAUGUGUGGAUCAACAACACAUGCCGAGUAUUCUAUAACUAUUAACAAAGUAAGAGGACCACAUGACAUAUAUGGCAAGCAAUUCAAAGUAAUUCAAAAAAGUAAGAGGCUUUUUUUACCGCUGUAAUUUCGUCCGUUUUUGUCCAUCCACCUCACAUGUCCUGUUUCGUAUGUCAUACUCAUCUUCGAAAGUCGCAUGUCCAGAAUUUGUAUAUCUAUUAUGGGCUGGUAAAAAAAUUGCUCUUUUAUGCAUGUGCUAUUUUUUAAAAUUUCCUUUUGCAAUUGAUAGUCCCACCUUACUGCAUUAAAAUAAAUCCUAACAACUUAUAUAUGUUCGUGGGUUGUAAGAAUCAAGCAAGAUAAGACACCAACCAAAAUAGGAUGAGAUAUAUGGAUCAUCUUUACACUUGAGAAAUAAAGAAGAAUGAGAACGGGGCGUCUCUCCAUUGGAUUGGCGCCUAAGUUGGCUGCCAGCUUGCCCGCGUUUCAGCCUCGGCUCUAGCGCGAGGUUCUCGCGGAGGUUUCUUCUAUAAAAGAAAGCCAGCAAGGGUUAGCCCUAGAUUGGUCGCAAUUAUCACUACUGCAGGAUGGUCCAAACGUGAUAGUAUGAUCAGAGACCCUUCGACGAAACUGUGUGCGAUGCCAUAAUCGCAAAAGGUGGUGUAAAAAACCGUCAAAAAAGGUGCAAAACGUUUGCGAUGACGGAUGCAUCAAACACGGUUCAGAUUUUAGUUGCGCGUGCGAUGCAGGGCAUACAGUUCAGUUUAACUGUUUGGGAUGAGGAGGAACAAAAGAAACGGGCAGCCAGAUGAAGGUGUGUGUGAUAUACAGCAUACGGUUUACUAGGAUGAACUGUGUGUGAUUAGGCAACACAAUGGAAACGGUUCAACUGAACAAGAUGUGUGUGAUACGCGGCAAACAGGUCCGUAAUCAGAAAUGUGUGCGAAGACCAAUAAUAACACAAACGAUUGCUGCUAAUAAGCCGUGUGAUUUGCUCUGUCUACAGAAGAAUAACAUGUAUAUAUAACUGAAAUAAACAUCCAAUUACAUAAGUGACUAUACAGAUCAUUCACACACACCUCAAUAAACAAUUGCAUGCAUUCUAAAGUAGGAGAAACGAUCGUCUAGUCAUCUACUUCUUGUGACGCUCCCGCCACUCCUCUGUGGCUCGAUCCCUCGUCUGGGGCAGGAAGAAGACACUUCCUCAUGUCAACGAUCUGCCUGUACAUCUCGUAGCUUGUGUACGCGUCCUUGGCAGCGUACUUGACAUGUUGUUCAUCCAGUCUCUCAUGCCACACACUGUGCCACGCGUUCUUGUCCUUGCUCUCAUUCUUCAUCUUCAUGUAGUAGGGGUCGAUGAUGGCCGAGGCGAGGUCAACUAGGGAGUUCAGUUUGUUUUUGUCGCUGCCCCAAACCUUGUAGUGGUGCUGGAUGUUGACAAGAUUCGAGCGUUUCAAGCCCGAAACCUUGAGCGCUUUUAGAUCGUUGGUGGUGUCCACCGUAGCGAAACUAUAGUCGGAGCUAUUGAUAAACCUGGAGAAACGCUCACAAGGCCUUGUGGCAAGGUGGUAGUGGUAGACGAGGAUGUCAUGUCGCACGCACAACUGGGUGACGGCAACCUUCUGAUCGUGCCCGGCAUGACCGAUGGUGUACUUGAGGUCGAAGCCGACCACUUGGUACUUGUCCUCGGCAAGGAACUGCUCCAUAGUUUGGAUGGAGCUCUCCACCGAGACCGGACGUUCGUGUACACCACAGAGAGGGCCUUCCCCCUCACGUGGGUGUCCACUACGUGUUGCGUGGUGAACUGCCCGCCGUUGUCGUCGUCGAACGCUGGGAGCGCCAUUGGAGCCACGGGGAUCGCCAUUGGAACCGCUGCAUGUCCUCUCUGUAUGUGUCGUCGUGGGUGUGCUUAUUGUGUCGUGUGACGCGAGAGAUGAAGGUAAAUGGCCGCAGGAAUAAAUGGGGGCCGGGCGGCCUGGAUUCUCUGCGCGUCCGCAUGGUAGUUUUUGCAGCGGGUAACUGCACACACGAACGUGCGUGAUCGUGCGCCGGCCCCAAACACUGGCAGCGCGUGUGGAGGGAUGAGGGCAGAGCACACGGAGGGACGCGAGAGUGCUCGGCGACCAGCCCAUCAAUGCUACAGGGAUGGUCGCUGGCGCAGGCACAGGGAUGGGAGCUGGGACAGAGCGGGGGCAGCAACCGCCGCAGCCAGCUCGUUUUAGGCCAUGUCCAUGAGGCCCAAUUCCUCCUUAUUUUCUAUCUCCUCCGGCUCGGAGUUGACUUCACCAAACUUGAAGACUAGUGGCAAAUGAUCCUUCUGCGCCAUGGCGUUGGUGGAGGUCUACGGGAGGGAGGGGAAUGGGAGGCGAACAGUAAGGCCGCCCGUAUUAAGCAGCGGCUCGGGUGCUAUUAAUGGAGAGGAAGGCGGGCGGCCAUGGAAGUCAAAGGGCUCGCUUCCCAGUGAGCCUGCGCAGUGUACAGCUCGCACGCUUCCCGGUGAGCCUGCGCAUUGGAGGACACUUGCACGCCUCUCGGUCAGCCUGCGCACCGGACUGCGCUCGCACGCCUCCCGUUCAGUCAAGGUCAAGCAGCUGUCCGCACGGCACCUCCUAUACCAAUUAAAACUAAGACACAUGGCAUCACGUGAAUGGUUAACAGAAUGUACACGGUUUGAAUUAUACAAACGUUUGAGAUAUUAAAGUGGCAGCUAUUUUUUCAAAAUGUCUUUGUUGGCUGUUACUCGAGUGCGCCUUCUCUCAAAAUGGACAUGAAAAUACCACAGCAUGUCGGGUGCCAUUCCAUGAUAGCAUGCCAAGUUUCAUGAAUUUCAGACGAGUUUUGUAUUUACUAUAAUUUAAAAACAAAGUAUCUCAACGUUUUGCCGGCAAUCAACGGUGCCUUGUUGUUUGAAAUUCAUUCCCAUUUUUUGCAAGGGACCUAAGCAUGCACCCAAAGACACAUAUUUGAUUUUUCAACCAAUUUAUAUGCACUGGAGCAUGUGCAUGUAGUUCAAGUUUGAAUUAUGCACAUAAAUGCAUUGAAAACUCAGUUAAUGCAUAAAAAUGUCCACACGAACCCUGAAAAAUCACAACAAUUGACACAACACUCCUGUUGUUCUAUGUUGACAUGAGAAAAAUUUGGAAAGCAAUAAGAGGCAAUGGAUAUCAUUUCGUCCCCAAAGGUGGGGCGUUCCCUACCGAAACAAUCAUGCUUGUUGUGAGAAGCUCUGGUUUGUGAGAAGCAUAUACCCAAACCUGCCCCAAUUGGGACAAAAAUUUUACCACGGCAUGUUGCUGCCGCUCCAUGAUAGCAUGCCAAGUUUCAUGAAUUUCAUACGAGUUUUGGAUUUACUAGAAUUUAAAAACCAGGUAUCUCAAUGUUUGCGGCCGAGUGACGGUGGCAGGGUGUUUGACAUUCAUUCCCAUUUCUUGCAUGGGACCUAAGCAUGCAACCAAUAACACAUAUUUGAAUUUUCAACCAAUUUAUAUGCAUUAGAGCAUGUGCAUGUAGUUCAAAUUUCAAUUAUGCACAUGAAUGCAUUGAAAACUCAAUUAAUGCAUACAAAUGUCCAAACAAACCCUGAAAAAUCACAAAAAUUGACACAACACUCAUGUUGUUCUACGUUGACAUGAGAAAUUUUUUGAAAGCAAUAAGAGGCAAUGGAUAUCAUUUCGUCUCCAAAGGUGGGGCGUUCCCUACCGAAACCAUCAUGCUUGUCGUGAGAAGCUCUGGUUUGUAAGAAGCAUAUACCCAAACCUGCCCCAAAUGGGACAAAAAAAUUACCACGGUAUGUUGUUGCCGCUCCAUGAUAGCAUGCCAAGUUUCAUGAAUUUCAGACGAGUUUUGGAUUUACUAGAAUUUAAAAACAAGGUAUCUCAAUGUUUGCGGCCGAGUGACGGUGGCAGGGUGUUUGACAUUCAUUCCCAUUUCUUGCAUGGGACCUAAGCAUGCAACCAAGGACACAGAUUUAAAUUUUCAACCAAUUUAUAUGCAGUAGAGCAUGUGCAUCUAGUUAAUGCAUAAAAAAAUUGACACAAUUAAUGCAUUGAAAACUCAAUUAAUGCAUAAAAAUGUCCAAGCGAACCCCGAAAAAUCCCAAAAAUUGACACAACACUCCUGUUGUUCUAUGUUGACACUAGGAAGAAAAUUGAAAUCGAGAAGAGGCAAUGGAUAUCGUUUCAUCCAGAAAGGUGAGACAUUCCCUACCAAAACCAUCAGACUUCUGGUGAGAAGCAUAUCCCCAAACCUGCCCCAAAUGGGACAAAAAAAUUACCACGGCAUGUUGAUGCCGCUCCAUGACAGCAUGCCAAGUUUCAUAAAUUUCAGACGAGCUUUGGAUUUACUAGAAUUUAAAAACCAGGUAUCUCAAUGUUUGCGGCCGAGUGACGGUGGCAGGGUGUUUGACAUUCAUUCGCAUUUCUUGCAUGGGACCUAAGCAUGCAACCAAGGACAGAGAUUUGAAUUUUCAACCAAUUUAUAUGCAUUAGAGCAUAUGCAUGUAGUUCAAAUUUGCAUUAUGCACAUGAAUGCGUAGAAAACUCAGUUAAUGUAUAAAAAUGUCCAAGCGAACCCCGAAAAAUCCCAAGAAUUGACACAACACUCCUGUUGUUCUAUGUUGACACUAGGAAAAAAUUUGAAAUCCAGAAGAGGCAAUGGAUAUUGUUUUGUCCAGAAAGGUGAAAUGUUCCCUGUCGAAACCAUCACACUUGUUGUGAGAAGCUCUGGUUUAUGAGAAGCUUAUACCCAAACCUGCCCCAAAUGGGACAAAAAUUUUACCACGGCAUGUUGAUGCCGCUCCAUGAUAGCAUGCCAAGUUUCAUGAAUUUCGGACGAAUUUUGGAUUUACUAGAAUUACAAAAGCAAGUACAUCGAUGUUUGCCGGAGAGCCACGGUGCCGUGGUGUUUGAAUUUCAUCCCCAUUUCUUGCAUGGGACAUAAGCAUAAACCCAUGGACACAUAUAUGAUUUUACAACCCAUGUUGGUGCACCGGAGCAUGUGCAUGUAGUUUAAUUUUGAAUUGUGCACCUGAAAUGGCUAGAAAACCAAUUUAAUGUAUAAAAUUUUCAAAUGAACCCUGAAUAAUUCUAAUUCUUUUACGACACACAUAUAGUUGCAUGUUCACUGUAGAUAAAAGGUCUAGCAAUUCAAACACCGUCCAUUGCCGCUGUGACCCCAUUAUUUAAUUCAAAUCAAGAUGAAAAAUCAAGUAAAUCCCACACAAUUUAUUAUCACCAACCGUGUGAGAUGCAGCACAAAAUAUCCUGGAGCACCGUCGGUGCAUAGAACGCCUAUGGCUUACGCGAGAAGGUGUGUCGGCUACAGUCCACAGUCGGCGUCUCAAGCACACUAGCUCGCUCCCUAAAUAUCAUUUCACUGUUCAAUCAUCGCCGGUGAAAGAUGGGCACGUGGACUCGCGUCGUGAGGGCAACUUCGGUGGCCCACUCUGGGGAGAGCGUGGCCGCAGCCGCCAUGCGCAUGCUAACAAGGUGCAUGAGCGCGGCCGCAAUCUGCGACCGGGUGGCCAAGGCAGCCCAAACGGCUCCUGUUGCUUCUCAGGUGGCGGCAGCAACAUCUGCCUCGGGGAUAGCAACUGGCGAGAGCAGCACAGCAGCUGUCCGUUCCACAGCGACGGCCUUAGCCCUGAUGGAGGCCGCCCACGCCCAGCUCAUGGCGGUCACCGCACAAAUUGAAUGAAGCUUCUCCGACAACGGUCGGCAACCCACGGCCGAAGUGUUGGCAAUCGCCGAGAGCGUUCGAGCAGCCGUCCGUUCCUCCGCCGCAUACCUUGCAACGACGGAGCCCGUCCAAGCCCAGAUCACGGCCGCCCACGCCCAGCUUGUGGCGGCCUUUUCCAAAGAGAUUGCGGAUGCGGAUGGCGAGAUGCUUGCCGAGUAUGGUGUUAUGGAUGCCAUGGAGCCCGUUCCCCAGGAGACCGUCGGGCACGAGCUGGACAUGGAGGCGGCGGCGGAGAUCGGCGAGCACCAGCCAUAGUAGUACUCUUUGUUUUGUUUAAUUAAGAGCGCCGGUCUUUAAUUUGUUAGAGUAAUGUUUAGGUCAGCUAGCUCUGUUUAAUUGCUGAACUUGCUCGAUUAAGAAGUGUGCGUAUGCCAUAGUCUCCUUUGUGUACCCAAAUUGUGCAAUGACGUGGAUGACCAGUGUAACCUGGGACAUUCGAACCAAAAAUUUUGACGUUCAAACUCAUCACACACGAGUUAAGCUAUCUGAAUUGUUUGUGAUGUUCACAUAUCGUACACAGUUCUAAAUAAGGGACCGUGUCUGAUGACACUUUGCGCGCCAGUUUUUUCGCUGAAGUGAUUCCAAAUUUUCGGCUUCCGCGGAAAUAUCUACCUCCCCCCCUUACCAAAAGCCACAUUUCCCAUGUUUCCUCCUUCCUUUCCAAGUUGAAACCUUCACUCCUUGCUUGCAGCACCGCCUCCUCGCCGGCGACCCUCCUUCACGUUGCUCGGCCUCGUCUAUCUAGGCAGGUAAUCCACACCCGACCGCCAUCCUCCUCCUCCUUCCACAUCCCACAUGCCCCGACCGCCGGCGCGACACCUUCCACCCAAAUCACCGACCCCUCCACCAAAUAAGUGCCGCCCUAAGCCAUGGUGCACGCAGUAUAGCUAGGAUCUCAAGGAGCAUUUGGCAGCGGAGAAGCAAAUCACGGCCGCACGCGCGGAUGAGGUCGCGAUGGCUGCCAUUCGUGCCGACCCCUAGAUCUUGGAGGAGCACCUUGCCAUUUGCUAGCUACGCCGGUUAAGCAUGCUCGGUUUACCCGUUGCGUGUGCUGCUCCUACCUUUCCUUCACAAAUUCUAGUGAACUGUGCUAUCUAAUUUUACCAUGCAAUCUGUUACUCUAGUGUAUUUGUUCUAUAUGUCGUGCAGUGUGGUGCUCACUUAUUAACUAUUUUGUUAAUUAGUUGUCGUCUUCAGUUAACUAUUUGGUUCAAUUCUGCAAAUGUGAUGUUCAAUUCUUCAGGCUACAAUUUUGUAUUGUCUUCCAUGUGAAAAAUAAAUCGAAUUUAUCUUUACAAAAUACAUGAGAAACGAAUACAAUUGCUAUAUUUCCAAGUUGUCAAGCAUGCUUGGUUUGGUUAUACAUUGUGCAAUGUGGUGCUCAGUUAACGUUUGGUUCAUUUGUGUUGUGGUGUUUAGUUAACUGUUUGGUUCAGUUCUGCAAUGCGAUGUUCAAUAGUUGUGGGUGCAUUCUGUUAUUGUAUACCAUGUGAGGAAUAAAUUGAAUUUGGCUAUAGUAAAUACAUGAGAAAUAAAUACAAUUGCUAUAUUUCCAAGUUGUUAAGCAUGCUUAGUUUGGUUAACUGUCUGAUCUUCUAUUAGGAGUAUGUUAUAUUGUGCAAUGUGGUGCUUAGUUAAUGUUUGGUUCAUUUGUUGUGGUGUUUAGUUAACUGCUUAGUUCAAUUCUGCAAUGCGAUGUCCAAUUGUCGUGGGUAGAAUUUUGUAUUGUUGUGCAUUUGAGGAAUAAAUCGAAUUUGGUUGCACUUAAUACAUGAGAAACAUAUACAAGUGCUAUAUUUCCUAGUUCUUAAUCAUGCUUGGUUUGGAUAAAUGGGUUUUCCAUGUGGCUUGAAUUAAUCUGAUGAAUCUGCAAUGUGAUUAUUUUUCAUCAACAUAUUUUACUAAUAUCACACGGACCCUUACUUAACCUGAUGACUAACUACCUUAUAUGUGUUGUAGGGAAACAAUGGGAAACUGAGGUUUACAAUCGAGGUUAGCACGUGCAUGGUCUGUUGUCUAAUAUCACAUUAUUGUGCAAUUGCAGCAACCAUUCUAAUAUUUAGGUUUCUAACAAUUUGGUCUUGCACAUGUAGGUCCUGCUGUCAGAGGUUUUGACCCACUGUUCGAACUUUUUUGCAUAUGGGGAAAUGAGUUGUCCAUGAAUAUCAAUCAAAUCAAGAAACUUAGAAAGAUUGUUAGGAUAAAGAAAUUAGCGACAAAAAACAACAAGAUCUUUGUCUGCACAAUGAAGAAGACAUCAGUUCACUACAACAUGGUACUAACUAUUAUACCUUGUCUUUUUUAUUCCUUUGCCCCAUUUCCAAUAUAGAGAAGAUAUUUAUGCACAUCCUUGUUUUCAGGCCUUUCCAAAGCUGUUCACUAAUGAUUACCUCUCAAACCACCUCUAUGGUUAGGAGGCGAGGAAGGUUUUCAUACAACACCCACGGUUCAAUAUUGAAGUGUUCCUGAAGAGGACGAAGGACGGAUGGUCAAUCAUCCAUAGGCACUGGCCUAAAGUUGCAAAGACCUUCAACAUUAAUGAAGGCUCAAUAUUCGCCUUCCGCUUCAGCAGUUUUCCAGAUGAGAUGCAUCUGUCUAUAUACCGUCUAUGAUGCUAAUUUUGAAAGGUUCUAUAUGUUGCAUGUGAAACUUGGUGCUGGUGCAGUUGUGUAAUGGGGUAGCUGAGUGCUGAAGCUAUAUCAUGGUGCACUCUGAUGUAUUUCAAUUAUGAAAUCCUGCUUCCUUAAUAUGGAAAUGAAAUAUAUUAUGUGCUUAAUAUGAAUGUCAGUUAGAUUAAUAAAUGGAUUAUUAAUAAUAGGGCAAUUAUCCUACUAAUGGCAAAUUAACCUGCUAAUUGGGUUUCGCUAUUGCAAACGGUUAUUGAGAAAAUACCAUGGGCGAUGACCUCAAGCAACGCACACAGUUUCUAGGAAUAAACCUUGUUGGAUCAAUGAACAAUCACACACGACCUUCUCUUGAAAACUGUUUGUGUUAGGCCACCUUGCGCAAACGUUUACCACAUAAAAACUGUGUGUGAUGGACAUCCUUUGCCACAAAGUUUCUUCUAUGCACCGUGUGUGAUGCAUUCAAUAACGCAAACGAUAAAAUUGUUAAUAUCAUGUGCAAUGGCAACGCUAUCACAAACGAUUUAACGGGGAAAAUUGUGUGUGAUGUACCUGUGAACGAAAACGUUUUCCUUGAAGCGACUGUGUGAGAUGUACAUACGAACGGAAACGUUUAGCGGGGACUGACUGUGUGGGAUGUACUUGCCACCGGAAACAAUUUUGCCUGUAUAAUUGUAUUUUUUUUAGCUCUAUUGUACAUAUUACCGUAUUUGAGCGCUCGCCGGUCGCACACGAUAUCAUUUUGACGAGCAUGUGUGCCAGGAGGGCAUAUCCCCGACGGUUUCUGGGUCAUGUGGGAAGGACCCCCUAUCGCCGUCAUCACUAGGCGACGGUUCCAAAUGCCGUCGCGGAAAGGGGUUAAAAACCAUUUGUAUAGCACCGACGCGUACCAGUGUAUAAAUAAAGAAGAAUAAAAAAGCAGCACGCGUGCAUGCCUAGCUCGAGAGCAGAAAAGACACGAGAGGUGUUCGAUUACCUGCAUUAGGCCCAGCCAGGCCUGCGCGGGCAGUUUUCAGUCUGUUUGGUUGCUCGGGUCGCAUCUAAAAGUUGGUCCGCAUGAAACUUAAAGCACCUCUGGGCCUACAUCUAGAGGAACGCUCAAAUCGGUUGUUUUUUUAGGGCCAGGCCUGAGCGGUCCUACCCUAGGCACGUGAGAGUCUGCGGUUGCACGCGUGGAUGCGGUCCAGAGACAUCACAUUAUUUCUCGAAUCUGCGUCGUAAAUUACGCUCACCCCCUUUCCUCGCCGCUCUCUCCCCUCUUCCCCACUCACAUCAGUGGCAGCGACCACCAGAGUGAAUUCAAGACGAUACAAGACGGCGGCGAGCACCAGAUUGACUAGCGGAUCGGCCAUGGCAGUAAGCCCUUACCCUGUCUCUCGAUUUACUGCUUCCGGGUCACGGUAGAUUUGAUUUGUGGACAGGGUUGGAACACAUCGCGGGUCAGGGAUUGGGGUACAAACUUGUUUAGAAGCACCUAAUCCUAGUCGUGACGACCCUGGAGUCACAUCGAGCGGCAGCCGGGAGGGGGGAGGGGCGUAGCCAUCUUCUUUUCUUCCACCACCGCAGCAGCUGCAGUCUCGUCCUCAUAGUCUUCAUCAAGAAUGAUGUAUAUUGCACGGUCGCCUGCCGCCGGCGCCCUGUCCACCAUCUGCACCGCGUCGUUGGCUUCCUGCGGUGACACCAACGUCCUAGUCCAGUAUGUUGUGGCACGCUGGUCUUGAGGCGCCUUGUACUCCCUGUACUUGGCCCAUCUUGUCCUCUAUCCAGUGUCGCCCGAGUCUGCCUGAUUCAUGGCCCAACACAGGAUGUACACUGACAUUGCGCCCUUGUCUGGGCCAGAAAUCAGUGUCUUCAGCUCGUCCAAUGUAGCCUUCUUAAUCACAGCAUCGGCUUCCUUGUGCAUGUCUUUGAUGCUGCUGAAGUUCGAGCACACUUCCAUGGUGUUCUCUAACUUCACGGGGGCACCUAGCGAGCACUUGAGGAAGAAGGCCCUCCAUCCAAUGCCCCAGGGGAAAGGGUUGGGGUUGGAGUUCAUGGUGAGGGAGAGGUGUAAGAGGAGAGGAGGUGAAACAAAGAGAUCCAAGACGAGAGGUGGUGAAACAAAGAGGGUUUGACUGUGGUGCUAGGUAAGUAGUGUGGGUAAAUAUAGGACUAUUGGGCCGAUGGGAAUGAAUGCUGACCUUUGAACUGCGUCAUGUUCGUAAUGCAGAUCGACAAGGGCAAGGAGGUCAUGCCACCAUUGCAAAGGGCAAGCAAGUCGUGCCGCCAUUGGUCAACGUGCCAGUGCAGGAUCACCCAAGCGCCAAGCCGAGGAACUAUGGGCACUACCAUGAGGAGUCAGGACCAAGCCACUUUUGCAAGGUUAUCCUUGCUUCGAAGCUGGAGAGUCUGUCAUUACCUCUGGAGCUCACGAAGCACUUCCCCGCCAUCCCUACAGAGUUCAAGCUGAAGACAAACACCGGCUAUGCAUGGAGGGUCAUGGUGAGGGUGGUCGACGAUAGGGUCACCCUUGAUCAGGGUUGGGCCACCUUCGCCGUCGUUCACCAGAUCAUUAUCGGGUACAUGGUGACAUUCAAGUUGCUGACCCACGACACCAUGAAGGUGAUCUUGUUCAACGACGACGGCGUGGAGGUGGUCACCAAGUGCAAUAAACACGACAAGGCCUUCGCUGUGACCUCCUAAAUGAGCUCCCAUUGCUCGUUCUGUGUUAGUUGUUGGUUUUAGACUAUAUUAUGUGUUGAGUUUCUGUUUAAAACUUAUCGUACUAUGUUAAACUUCUAUGCAUGGUUAAGACUUUGAUGUGUGCAUAAGUUUGUUCUGGUUGCUCUAGUUUUGUUGUUAGCUAUCCGUGUGUGUCUAUGGUAACCCACUACUGCAGGAUGCUGCUAACGCAACACUACGAUCAGAAACCCUUCGACAAAACUGUGUGCGAUGCAAUAAUCGCAAAUGGUAAUGUAAAAAAACCAUCAAAAAAGAUACAAAACAUUUGCGAUGACGAAUGCAUCAGACACAGUUCAGAAGUUAGUCGUGUGUGCGAUGUGGGGCAUACGGUUCAGUUCAAUGAACUAUUUGCGAUGAGGCAAAAGAACAGAAACGGGCAGCCAGAUGAAGGUGUGUGCGAUAUACAGCAUACGGUUCACUUGGAUGAACUAUUUGUGAUUAUGCAACACAAAAGAAACGGUCAGCCAGAUCAAGGUGUGUGCGAUAUACGGCAUACGGUUCACUCGGAUGAACUAUUUGCGUUGAGCCAAGAGAACAGAAACGGUUCAAUUUAACAAUAUGUGUGUGAUACGCGGCAAACAGGUCUAUAAUCAGAAAUGUGUGCGAAGACCGAUAAUAACACAGACGAUUGCUGCUAAUAAGACGUGUGUGUUGUGUGUUGGGAUUGCAUACAGAACAACAACAUAUAUAUACACACACUUAUAAGGACACGGUUGCAUAACCAAAUUAAACAUCCAAUUAAAUAGGUGGCUACUACACACAUGACAUUUGCACACACCAAAGUAAACUAUUACCUGCAUAAUUACAUAGGUGGCUACUACACACAUGACAUUUCCACACACCAAAGUAAACUAUAUAUUACAUGAAUGAUUAACUAGGAUAAACGAUCAUCUGAUCAUCAUCUACUUCUUGUGACGCUUGCUCUGCUUGUGGGUAACGAGGCACUUCCUCAUGUCAACGAUCCGCCUAUGCAUCUCGUAGCAUGUGUACACGCUCUUGGUCGCAAACAUGAGGUGAGUUUCGUCCAGUUGUGGCAUCCAGGCCCCAUGUCAGGAUACGAGACAUGUUCUGUUGGCAUCCUACUUCAUCUUUUCGUAGUAUGGGUCGAUGAUGGCCGAGGCGAGUUCAACCAGGGAGUCCUUCUUCGUGCUGCCCCAGACCCUGUAGUGCUCACGGAUUUCGACAAGGUUCUCGCAGGCCAAGCCCGUAACCCUAAGCGCCUUACAUCGUCGGUGGUUUCCACCGUAGCGAACAUGUAGUCGGUGUUGUUGACAAACCUGGUGAAAUGGUCGCAAGGCUAUGUGGCCAUGCAGUAGUGGUAGAUGAGGACAUGAUGGCACGCACAACUGGGCGACGGCAACCUUCUGAUCUAUGUUGGGAUGACCGGCGGUGUACUGGAGGUCGAUGUCGACCACCUUGUACUUGUCUCGAGCAAGCAAUGUAGUCGUCCACCACGGCCGGGUCAAUGGUGUACACCACCGAGAGAUCCAUCUCCCUCGCGUGGGUCUCCACUUUAUGCUUGCCGAACUCCAUUGGAGCGCCGCUAGACAUCCCCUCUCUAUGUGUGGUCGUGGGUAUGCUCGUUGUAUUGUGGGGCGCGAUCGAAAGGUUGAAGAGACUAAGGUUAUAAUGGCCGCGGGAAUUAAAGGGGAAGCCGGACGGCCUGGAAUAUCGGCACGCCCUGAUGGCAGUUCUAAUUUGCAGCGCGUAACUCCAUCGUGCCGCACGUAACUGCAUCGCGUGGCAACGCGCGCGACGCAACCACAUGCAUAUGGGGCCAGCAACGUGAUCGUGCGCAGGCCCAACAGCUGGCAAAGCGCGCGCGGAGGGAGGCGAGCAGAGCACUCCGCGGUCACCUCAACGGCGAGCAACCAUAUAUAUGCAUAUAGUAGUUGAACACGCAAGGAAAAUUUGUCCACAAGCCGAGCGCGCCGACGAACGCGAGCAGAGCGCCCCGAUGGAAGCGAGCAGAGCGCGCCGCGGCGCCUAACGGUGAGCACAGCGCGCUGCGGUGCCUAACGGCGAGCAGAGCUUGCCGAGGGACGCGACCAGAGGCCGACACAGUGAUACGUUGCAAAUAAGACGAACUGUGCGAGCGAUGUCGGAGACAUCAAGCAUGAAUCAGAUUAGAGUUGCGUGUGCGAUACGUGGCAUACAGUUGAUCCAUCCGAGCUGUUUGUGAUGGAAUAAGCCGUGUGUGUUGUCGGCAAACUCUUGCUGGUAUAUAACCGUUUGCGAUUGAUGAAUUCAUCGCUGACGGGUUACCUAGUGCGGUCCGUGUGCGAUGUGAUAUGCUCUGUCUGCAGAACAUCUAUGCUCUCUGUACAGAAGAACAACAUAUAUAUACUUGUAACAUGACAUGGUUGCAAUACCAAAUUAAACAUCCAAUUAUGUUAUAUAACAAAUACCAUAAAUAUUGCAAGGUUCAAAUUCAAAUAUUACAAUGCCCAAAUUCAAACAUUGGAAACCUCGUCAUUUCUGCAAAGGGAUCAGUCACUGACAAGUCAUGUAUGGGUUUGACACAAUGACUUCCAAUUACUCUGUCAUAUGCUCUUCCAAUAUGAAGUUUAGCUUUUUUGGAGCCUCUUCCAUUCUGCAGUAGCUACCGGCUCUGGUCAACAUACCAUUCAUCUUUCCUAAUUAAAUGUGUGUUCAACCUCAGUACCCUCAGCACCCUUGCUUUGGCAAGAAAGAACCUGGUGAGUGUUAUCUCCGGUAAGGUCCCUCGGUAGGAGUUCAAAGUAAUAUUUGAGAGAUGCAGAUCUAGGCAUUCGAUGUGAUUUUCGUUAUAAACAUUAUCCACCUCCGGGCCUAUUAUUAUCUGCAAAAGAAGAGAACGUGUUAGUGCCUACAUGCAGUUUUGAACACUACUACACGCCUAUUUGGUUUGCAGGAUUUGUGAAAUGCACCAACGUGCCAUCUUCGAUCUGACAUGAUUAACAUGGGCAUUUGAUUACAAUCUAGAAAAAUGUAGCCCUCUUCUUAAGAGGAUGGAUUGGAUGAAAAAUUCCCUAAGAAAACUAGUACAGAUGAAUCCAAAGGAGAAAUGCUUAUGGAUUGUAACCAUAUGAAUCAAGCAACCAAUAUAGGGUGGGGGUGUAUGUCCUGAAAUCCUCCAAAAUUCCUUCAGAAAUCGUAGUACAUUGUCAUUGUAAACUUGGGAAAAGGUGCAAAAAAUUGAACUCCCUUAUGGUUAACAUUUAACAGGAAAGGAACAUCACCUCGAUAUCCAGCUUCUUCAGGCACGGAAAGCGUCUCAGGCAACUGAGAACUUGGUCCAGGUUGGGGCUGACAGAUUCUAUUGCCAAGACCUUCACUCUGCCCAGAAUUUGGGUGAAGCUUUGCUGGAUGACAGAUGAACAUACAUCUUCAAAACUAGAAAUAAUGUUGAUAUCAAGGAGAGGUAUAAGGCGACUAUUGUACCUGAAAGUAGUAGUAUUUGACAGACGAGUAGCUCGCCGCUGUCAAUUUCGGCGCAGAAAUGACAUUGAUUCUUGUUGGACCUUGUCUACUACAAGUAAUCUCUCAAGUGAAGGUGUGUCCUCAAUGACCAUAUUGUGCUCCACCUUUUGUGAUCUCUCGUUGCAGCACCAGCAACACACAUAAAUAGUCCGGAGAGUCCUGGAGUGAUGUGGAAGGUACUCGACCAAUUCAUCGCCUGAAGACGAAGGAACUCAAGUGCAGUACAGCCGCGGAGCAGGCGCUCCAUGUCAUCCUUUGGGAUGCAGAUGGCGACGAGCUCGAGGUGCUUCAGUCAUGGUAGAAAAAGAGCGGGCGCAUCAUUAAGGGGGGGUGGCAGUUCAUGAACUUGGCGAGGCGCAGCGUGGGCACGAAGCGGAGCACGGACGUUGGCAGCGAGCGCAUAUGCCCAUCAUUAAAACUGAGCUCCUCGAGCUGAUCUAUGGCGGGGGAUCGGAACCACUCGUCAAGCUUGGCUCGGUCCUUCCCAUUGGAACAGAACUUGCCCGUGAUAAGGCCUCUGAUUGGGCCAUGGUGAAUGCCGAGGAUCUGGGAGAACGCAUCCAAGAUUUUGCGAUAACCAUGGCAGAGCUCGUGGGCGUCGAGGAGGUCGAUAGGGGUGAGAUGCCAUAGGGGGUGCCACCGCCGGGAAAGGGCGGUUGUCCUCGCCCCAUAUUUGAUUGGGAGGAGGGAUAUGAUGACUGUCAACAUAUCAUCGGGAAGGUUGCUGAUGAAGUCUAGGCCUGCUGGAGUCGCUUGCGGUUCUUUCUGGACCCGCCUCUGCUUGUUGGCAGCCUCAUUCUCCACCUCGUCGGCGGCGAUGGAAACCUCUGUCUCCAUAUUCACGCCGUGCUCCGGUGCUUCAGUAGCCCCGGCGUCGCCACUCCCUCCGAUGGGGCGCUUCGGCGGCAUCCUCAUACACUGACGGCUUUGAGGACUGAGAGCGGCGUCGAGGAUGUGGGCGGAGAGAGAGGAUUGUGUGUGUGGCGAGGAUGGGGGGUGCGGCCGCCCGGGCGCGCCAUUAAUACAGACCAGUGGGAGCGAGGCGGGCGGCGGUCAAAGGCUGUCUCGCUUCCGGUGAGAACGACUGCUUAAUCUAUGAAUGAAAUCUAUGCUUAAUUACUAAAUUUUAGUUGCAAAAAUUAGAUAGUGCUAGUGAUUUUUAGCUGCAUAUUUUGACAAAUCGCAGUGUUACAAGGUUGACAAAUGGCAAUGUUACUACAUCAACAAAUGUCAAUCUUUCCAGUUUGACAAAUGGCAAUAUACCCAAUAUGACAGAUGCAAAUCUUACCAAUGUACGUGGUUGCACACGAGUCAUCCAAAACAACCAUUUGCGUUGAAGGGAUGUACAAAUCCUGCUCGGCAUAUUUUCUCUUGGCUUAGCGCCGAAGUCUGGCUUUGCAUACAGUAUUCAAUCUAAACGGUUUGCGUUGAAGAGAUGCACAAAUCCUGCAUUGAACAGCUUGCACGCUUCCCGGUGAGCCUGCGCAUUGAAUUUUCAGACGAGUUCCGGAUUUACUAGAAUUUAAAAACAAAGUAUCUCAACGUUUUGCCGGCAAUUAACAGUGCCCUGGUGUUUGAAAUUCAUUCCCAUUUCUUGCAUGGGACCUAAGCAUGCAUAGGGGACCCAAGGACACAAAUUUGUUUUUUCAACCAAUUUAUAUGAACUGGAGCAUGUCCAUGUAGUUCAAAUUUGAAUUAUCCACAUAAAAUGCCUAGAAAACCCAGUUAAUGUAUAAAAAUGUCCAAAUGAACCCCGAAAAAAAUCCAAAAUUUAACAUAACACUCCUGCUGUUCUAUGUUGACACUAGAAAUUUUUUGAAAGCAAUAAGAGGCAACGGAUAUCGUCUCGCCCCAAAGGUGAAUCGUUCCCUACCAAAACCAUCAUGCUUGUUGUGAGAAGCUCUGGUUUGUGAGAAGCUUAUAACCAAACCUGCCCCAAAUGGGACAAAAAAUUUACCACGGCAUGUUGAUGCCGCUCCAUGAUAGCAUGCCAAGUUUCAUGAAUUUCAGACGAGUUUUGGAUUUACUAGAAUUUAAAAACCGGGUGUUUGCGGCCGAGUGAUGGUGGCAGGGUGUUUGACAUUCAUUCCCAUUUCUUGCAUGGGACCUAAGCAUGCACCCAAGGACACAAAUUUGAAUUAGAGCAUGUGCCUGUAGUUCAAAUUUGAAUUAUGCACAUAAAUGCAUUGAAAACUCAAUUAAUGUAUAAAAAUUUCCAAACGAACCCCGAAAAAUUCCAAAAUUUAACACAACACUCCUGUUGUUCUAUGUUGUACACUAGAGAAAAAAUUGAAAUCAAGAAGAGGCAAUGGAUAUCGUUUCGUCCAGAAAGGUGAAACGUUCCCUACCGAAACCAUCAGGCUUGUUGUGAGAAGCUCUGGUUUGUGAGAAGCUUAUACCCAAUCUUACCCCAAAUGGGACAAAAAAUUUACCACGGCAUGUUGAUGCCGCUCCAUGAUAGCAUGCCAAGUUUCAUGAAUUUCAGACGAGUUUUGGAUUUACUAGAAUUUAAAAACCAUGUAUCUCAAUGUUUGCGGCCGAGUGACGGUGGCAGGGUGUUUGAUAUUCAUUCCCAUUUCUUGCAUGGACCUAAGCAUGCAACCAAGGACACAUAUUUGAAUUUUCAACCAAUUUAUAUGCACUAGAGCAUGUGUCUGUAGUUCAAAUUUGAAUUAUGCACAUAAAUGCAUAGAAAACUCAGUUAAUGUAUAAAAAUGUCCAAACGAGCCCUGAAAAAUUCCUAAAAUUAACACAACACUCAUGUUGUUCUAUGUUGAUACUAGAAAAAAAUUGAAAUCAAGAAGAGGCAACGGAUAUCGUUUCGCCUAGAAAGGUGAAACGUUCCCUACCGUAACCAUGAGGCUUGUUGUGAGAAGCUUAUAUACCCCAACCUGCCCCAAAUGGGACAAUAUUUUUACCACUACAUGUUGAUGCCGUUCCAUGCUAGCAUGUCAAGUUUCAUAAAUUUCAGACGUGUUUUUGAUUUACUAGAAUUUAAAAACCAUGUAUCUCAAUGUUAGCGGCCGAGCGACGGUGGCAAGGUGUUUGACAUUCAUUCUCAUUUCUUGCAUGGGACUUAAGCAUGUAACCAAGGACACACAUUCCAAUUUUGAACCAAUUUAUAUGCACUGAAGCAUGUGCAUGUAGUUCAAAUUUGAAUUAUGCACAUGAAUGCAUAGAAAACUCAGUUAAUGUAUAAAAAUGUCCAAGCGAACCCCGAAAAAAUCCCAUAAAUUGACACAACACUCAUGUUGUUCUAUGUUGACAUGAGAAACUUUUUGAAAGUAAGAAGAGACAGCAUAUAUCGUUUCAUCCCCCAAGGUGGCACGUUCCCUACCGAAACCAUCAGGCUUGUUGUGAGAGAAGCUGUGGUUUGCGAGAAGAUUAUACCCAACCUGUCCCAAAUGGGACAAUAUUUUUACCAUGACAUGUCGAUGCCGUUCCAUUAUAUCAUGUCAAGUUUCAUGAAUUUCAGACGAGUUUUCGAUUUACUAGAAUUUUGAAACCAUGUAUCUCAAUGUUAGCGGCCGAGCGACAGUGUCAAGGUGUUUGACAUUCAUUCUCAUUUCUUGCAUGUGACCUAAGCUUGCAACCAAGGACAAACAUUUGAUUUUUCAACCCGUUUUUAUGUACUGGAGCAUGUGCAUGUAGUUCCAAUUUUGAAUUAUGCACAUAAAUGCCUAAAAAACUCAGUUAACGUAUAAAAAUGUCCAAACGAUCCCCAAACAAUCCAAAAUUUGAACAACACUCCUAUUGUUCUAUGUUGACACGAGGAAAAUUUUAAAAGUAAGAAGAGGCAACAUAUAUUGUUUCGUCCCCCAAGGUGGCAUGUAGUUUAAUUUUGAAUUGUGCACCUGAAAUGCCUAGAAAACCAAGUUAAUGUAUAAAAAUGUCCAAACAAACCCUGAAUAAUUCCAAUUUUUUAACGACACACCUAUAGUUGCAUGUUUAUUGCGGAAAAAAGUUCUAGCAAUUCAAACACCGUCCAUUGCAGUUGUGACCCCAUUAUGUAAUUCAAAUCAAGACGAAAAAUCAAGUAGAUCGCACACAGUUUAUUAUCACAAACCGUGUGAGAUGAAGUACAAAAUAUCCUGGAGCAUCGUCGGUGUAUAGUACGCCUAUGGCUUACGCGAGAGGGUGCGUCGGUUACAGUCCACAGCCGGCAUGUCAAGCACACUAGCUCGCUCCCCAAAUACUCCCGCCUCUGCAUCCCUCGCAAUCUCAAAAAUAUCUGCUCGCCCUUGAUCCAAAUUUUUAGUAGCCCCGCCUUGUUACUCCCGCCUAGUAAAAAUUUUAGUUUCCGCGGUAUUUUCUCAAACAACACCUUGCCCCCCUCCACACACAACACACACUCCCCAAAACCUCCGCUCACACAGACACACACCACCCCCGAAACCAUUGGUAGGUCACCGCCAUCGCCGCUGCCUCCAUCCACAACCUCUGCCUGUGUGCCGGGGAGCUCGAGGAGCCAAUGGCCAAAAAGAAGUUUAUCGCGGCCUCUUCGCCCGAUGCCGGCGAGGUGGCCGCCGAGGUGUCCCCGUCGUCCUCCACGGGCUCUUUACAGAUCCGCCAUCACCGGUCCCCCGAUCCACCCGCCGCCACGCCCCUACGCCGGUUCGAGGACUUCCUCGUCCUCCCUCGGACCCGGCAGCCGACGAGGCCCUACCUUGGGGUCCGGCAGCAGCGGUGGGGGACAUGGGUCACCGAGAUUACAGAUCGGGAGACCCACACCUGCCGGUGGCUCGGUAGCUUCCACACGGCCGAGCUCGCGGCCAUGGAGUACGACCGCUGGCAGGUCCGCUGCCACGGCGCGGCGGCUAGGCUCAAUUUCCCCUUCGGCACACGUCUGGUCGACCUCGUUCUGCCGGAGCCAGGGUGGUGAGCUCGGCUAUGGCGCAGGAGGACCGCGAGGCGUGGGAGUGCUGUAGGUGUCAAAACCGGCGGAUCUCGGGUAGGGGGUCCCGAACUGUGCGUCUAAGGAUGAUGGUAACAGGAGACGGGGGACACAAUGUUUACCCAGGUUCGGGCCCUCUCUAUGGAGGUAAUACCCUACUUCCUGCUUGAUUGAUCUUGAUGAAUAUGAGUAUUAUAAGAGUUGAUCUACCACAAGAUCAUAAUGGCUAAACCCUAGAAGUCUAUCCUGUAUGACUAUGGUAAUGAGUCUAUCUAUCCUCCGGACUAAGUCCUCCGGUUUAUAUAGACACCGGGAGGAUCUAGGGUUACAUCAGGUCAGUUACAGAGAAAGGAAUCUACAUAUUUGUUCGUGAAGCUUGCCUUCCACGCCAAGGAGAGUCCCAUCCGGACACGGGUAGAGUCUUCGGUCUUUGUAUCUUCACAGCCCAUCAGUCCGGCCAUGGCUAACUGGCCGGACGCCUAAGGACCCCUUAGUCCAGGACUCCCUCAGUAGCCCCUGAACCUAGCUUCAAUGACGAGGUGUCCGGCGCGCAGAUUUAUCUUCGGCAUUGCAGGGCGGGUUCCUCCUUCCGAACUCCAAGAUAGUCUCCGGACGCAAUGAUCGUGUCCGGACCUGUAACACACAUACCACACACAACCGCAGAGAGUAUAAUAUUCCAUGAGUCCAAUCCGCUGACAUCUUUUUGCAACAUGACAUCACGUCUGCUCGGUCAUUAUUUCGAACCGUUUUUCGUCUGCCGCUCCAUGUUUCGAGAUGCGGUUGCCAUUGGCACGUCUUGUCGAAGCAGAGAUUGUGUCCCCUUAUCGCGGGAUUCUCAUCAAUACGGGCGUGGGUAAUCCAACCGUGCCGUUUACAUUGCCCUUGGGAACGGGCGAGUUUUAAGGCGAGUGGGGAGGCGCUCGACAUUCACUGCCUCUAUAAAGAGAUAAGGAUUCCCUUUAUUCACCCACGCCUUCUCUCUCCCUCUAUGCACUUCCAUUCUCGAGCUCCAGCGCCCAAGUUCUCAUCUUCUCCACCCCAAGGAAGCAUUCAAUCAUGUCCGGAUCCGGAGGUCAAGGCAAAUGGAUGGUCUCCUCCGUCAAGGAGAAGGACAUCGCCGAGCUUCAGGAGGCCAGGUAUCUGUCGAAGAAAAUCGCCCACCGGCUUCCGGCCAAAGGGCAAGUCGUCCCUACCCCAAAGCCCAACGAGAGGGUGGUGUUCCUCCCUCAUUCCGUUCGCGGGCUAGGGUUUCCACUCCACCUUUUCGUCCGCGGACUGAUGUUCUAUUACGGGCUAGAUUUCCAUGAUCUAGCCCCGAACUCCUUCCUCAAUACCUCAGCAUUUAUUGUCGUGUGUGAGGCCUUCGUCCGCAUCCAGCCCCACUUCGGAUUAUGGCUCAGAGUCUUCAACCUGAAGCCAAAGGUGGUGGAUGGUCAACACGCGGAGUGCGGAGGCGCCAUGGUGAGCAAGAUGCCCAACGUCACCUGGCCUAAGGGCACUUUCAUGGAGACUGUCAAAGAAUGGCAGAAGCAGUGGUUCUACAUCACAGAGCCACAUGGAGCCACUUGGGCGGCGGUUCCCGAAUUUAAGGUCGGGGCUCCGAUGCGGCUCACCUCCUGGAUGGAGAAGGGCCCCAACUGGUCUUCGUCAGACGAGCUGAUAGCACUGCAAACGCGCAUUCAGAGCAUGGUGGAUAAAAACAUCAAGCUCGUCGACGUGAUCCAGGUUAUGUUGGUUCGCCGGAUUCUCGCCUGCCAAAGCCGAAGCUUCCCUGUAUGGGAAUUUGAUCCGGAGAAGCACCAGACCCUGGAGGGGCUCUUCAGAACUACUCACGAAGAUGCCUGGAAGUUGCUCUUCAAGGGCAAUGAGAAGCCACCGGUCAUAGAUUCGGACCGCGGGCACGAUCAUACCCAUCCCGCUAACACGGUAAGUCCAUACCCUUUUGCGGCGCACCUUCUACUUGUUUGUUCAAGGAGGAUGCCUAAUCUUUACUAUAUAUUUUUCAGGUAUGGACGGAGAGAGCGGAGCAGAUCCAGUGUUCGGCUCCGCUGCCUGAAGAGCCAGUCAUCCUGCUCCUGGCGAAGAUGCUGGUUCCGGCGCCCUAUCAGCCGCCGGAGAAGAAGGCCAAGAAGAAGGCUAAGGGGGCUAAAGGUGGCCCCCGUCGCAAGGGUACUUCAGACGUGACGUCCGAAGACGAAGAGACCCAUUCCUCCGCCGCUGAGGACAACGACGAGGAGGAGGAGGAGGAAAACAACCCUCCCCUGAUGGGGGAAAGAAGAAGAGGGCGGCCUCCACAAGUCUGGAGGCGGGGACGUCCAAGAAGGGGAAGGGCUCCCUUGUGGAUACCUCCUCGUGGGAUGUCGGCAGCAGUCCGAAGCGACGCCCCCGGACCAAGCCCCUGGCCGCAUCGUAAGUACCAAAAGAUUUGUACAUGUCCCCAUACCCAGCGCUUCUUCUUUCAUCAUGUCAAUUCAUGCUGUUGCAGUCCGGCCCACGACAGCUCCCAGCGAUCCUUAUCAGGAGGUUCGUUGGAUUCGAAGGAGAUGGCUAGCGAGUCACUGCCGGCCGCUCACUCUCCCCUGGCCAAGGGCGACGAGGAGGUGGUGUCCCAUAGGACCUUCCUAGGCCAAGAAGAGGCUCAGGAGGCCGUCAGGGUGGCGCCGAAGGAUGACUCCUCGGCCGCCGGACACAUGGGGGGAGAGGCCCCCAUGGAGACUGGCGCUGGGGGCCAUAUCCAAUUCGGUCCCCAGCCGAAUACCAUUCCGGAGACCUACACGACUCUGGAGUCAAGCGAGCAACCUUCCCCGAAAGGAGGAGGUGUGCCUGUCCCGCCGGUGACCUCUAUCCAACCAGAGGCACCGGAUAAUCUGCUGGAAGCGCUACGAGGCGCUUCCAUCAUGGAUGAACAUUGUAUCCUUAUGGGUACGGUGAUUGAGAAGGUUCAGUCCAUCAAGAGCGGACUGACCGAAGCUUGCAGCAAUCUGCUGACCGGCUUUGAGGUAAGUGAUGCGAAAGAAAAAGUCCCAAUAUAGAUAGUAGCCCCUGAGACACUGUCCGGUGUUUGGAAACAAAAAUCCGGACAGAGGAUCAAUUAAAUCUCGUAGGAAACUAACUAAAUAUGUCUUAUGUGACUAAGCAGGUGUCGUUGCUAGCCGCGACCUCACACACUGUCGAAGUUUGCAGACUAAAGCACUUGAGCGGGUCGAGGAGGAGCUCGGCCAAGCGAGGAAGCAGCUGGAAGAUCAGCAAGGUAUGUAAUGACUUGCUAUACAUUCGGAAAGAAUAAUUGAGUUGUAUUGACCGUAACGUCAUGAUGUGUGCAGGAGCGAUGACUGAGGUCGAGGCCCUUAAAAAGGCCUUGGCCGAAGCCGAGGGGGAAGCUGUUAAGGAGCAAGCUGCCCGUAAGAAGCUCAAGGCCAGGCUUAACGAGGUUCAGCAGGAGCUCCAGGAUGCUGUUAAAAAAUGCGAGACCUUGGAGGGUGAUGUUUCGGCUCGAGACACUGAACUCGCCAAGGCUCGCCAAGUCACAGAAGAGGCCCGGGUUGAAGCCCAGGGCACCCUCCAGGAGAUCCAGGAGGCCAGGAAGAUUGCAGCGGGUAAGGCGUUUAGUAUGCAAAGCAAGUAUGUGAAGAAGAGGUAUUUCUUACUAACCCGAAUUCGGAGUUCCCCAGGGGCGUUUGCGGACCUGCCGCGCAGCGUGUCAGACGCUGCGGUGUUCUUCCGAGCCAAAGAAGGGAGCUCGACGGAGAAGCUGUUCUGGUCACAGUACCUUGCGCCAGAACAUCCAGUGCCCUUCACCGAUCAGCUCAAACAGUUGGUCGAGCUGCAUAGGGUGGCCGAACUGGCCAUGAAGGAUUUGAUAAUCCGGCUGUGGCCUACCAAAGCUAUACCCAGCAGCUACUUCGGCCUCGUGAAGCGGCUGGUGAAUGCAUGUCCUCGGCGGGACGUCGUCAAGCGGUCGGUCUGCAUCGAGGGCGCGCGUCUGGCCUUCGCCUACGUCAAGGUCUGGUGGGCGAAGAUGGACGUCAUCAAGCUUGUGACCGAGGGGCCGCCUGAGGGCAAGGAGCACCGCAAGCCCGAGCUGUAUUUUGAUAGUGUCCUGGAGGGAUCUUGCAUUGUGGCGACGCAAUGUGCGCAAGACAUGAUCUUUGAAUGAAAUAUGUUCAUGUUGUCUCUGCCUUGUAUGAUGGAACAAAGUUGUUAUGUAAUAUAAAUUUUGUUAUGUUUGAAAAUUUUACCUCUUGUGCGGCCGUGUUGUAUGAAAUCUGAGAGUUGGCCAGUCGUCGGCUUCUGCCCCCACGUAGGUAGUACGGCGGUGUUCGGGGUGGAAUCUAAACACUCUUGAUCCAAUUGUAUGGUCCUUGAAGGAGGUGUUUAGCGCAACGAACCAGGCAAUCGGACUAUGCGGCUUGAACACCCUCACUUAGCCAUAGGAGUUUGACAAUAAAAAUUGGGCGCAGCCCCUAGUAUUCGAACUAGGAUGAUGUAAACACCUGAUUGGGUAAGUACCGAUCCCUCGCGUAAUGCAGAAAAAUCUCUAACGAUUUGAGACCUCCGAAGAGCUGACCGGCUCUCGCCGCAUCAUGACAGUCAGUUUUCGGCUUUCUCUACUAAGUUGCUCCUUUGGGUAAACCAGGGCACAAUCACAGUAGUUCUCCCUUUACUACCUUAGCCGAUAUAGCAGAACGUAAGAUAGCAAGCACAGGAGCCGGGCAACCCAACUAUUGACCAAAGACAUGAUUCGGAGCCAAUGCAUAUAAUGCUAAAUUUGAGGUGCCGAACUAUACUGUAAAAAAGUGUUCGGACUUUGUUGCCGCAGUGCAGGGCGCUAUGAAGCCCCUAGCAAAUUGAGACAUACCAAAGUGUACGAGUGCUAUUUGACAAUGUUAGCAAUAAGGAGGAGGAAAAUAGAAAAGUAUCAAGGGUAAUAAACUGGGGCCCUAAAAAUUAGGCCGCGAACUGUUUCCAUUAUAAUUUGAUUAAAACGUUGAAGCGCAUUGAUACAAUUGGUGCGAUAAGAAAGAGGCUAUUUGACAUGCCACAACCAUGGGAGAGCUCCGUGUGGGUCCUGAAAACAGGUAGAGUGAUCGUUAAAGAAAACACCUAGAAAUUCCCCUAUACACUUGUGCUUCUUGUCGUCUUGGUGUAUUUGUCCUUCGAAAGGACCGGUGAUCAGGCCAUCAGGGGAGGUCUAUGGAAAAGAAACCUGAAAAGGAGAAAAAGGAAAUAGUGAAAGUAUAUGUGUCCGGGAGCGGUCGAGCCGUAUUGUGGAUCACGAGCUAGUUAUGCCCCCGUCUAUGCCCAUGGUAUUUUGAGUGCGUAAUUAUGUACGCGCGGUACUAGUGCCGCCACUUGAUCGGGACUGGGACGGAGGCCGGAUUGCUAAUCAAGCUCUCGACAAGCCAAGCUGUCCAGGUGCAGAAUAGUCCGGACUCUUUUGACAGUGUCCGAGAGUUUGGCCGCUGAAUUGAGGUUCUGCUUGAGAAGGCCGCUCUGUACUUCUGGUGCUAAGGCAGCGGUGUGCUCCUCGGUACGGAGGGAGCGUUCCGUGUUACCAUUAACUGUUAUGACGCCGCGUGGACCGGGCAUCUUGAGCUUGAGAUAAGCAUAGUGUGGCACCGCGUUGAAUCGAGCAAAUGCGGUCCGUCCGAGCAGUGCGUGAUAGCCGCUGCGAAAGGGGACGAUAUCGAAGAUUAACUCCUCGCUUCGGAAGUUGUCCGGAGAUCCGAAGACAACCUCUAGUGUGAUUGAGCCCGUACAACGGCCCUCUACACCUGGUAUGACUCCUUUGAAGGUAGUCUUUGUGGGUUUGAUCCAUGAUGGAUUAACGCCCAUUUUGUGCACUGUGUCACGACCGGUUUUCCAAUAAAACAUUUAUUGAGAAACCGAUCCCUUUAACGGACCAGUAGAGAAGAAUCCUUCUUACUGGUAGACAAAUUCUUGAUUACAAAAAUAUCCAGGAGUACUAAAUAUAAUACACGGUUGAGCGGAGGCUGCUCAACAAUUUAUUACAAGCACUCCGAUAUUAUACAUAAAGGCGGAUAUGACACAAUGGGUAUGGUGGCAUAACUACUGACUCGUAAAAAAAGUGGUGGUGGAUAUGUCACAGUGAAGUGGGUGACAUGACUCCUAAAUCUUACAGCUCAUCGAGCGUCGGGGCGAGGCUCGAAGACUCUUAUUUGGGUGGCGGAAGCGUAUAUAAUACAAGUGACCAAAUCCAGGAUCGCACGGGACUGACUGGGACUCCUCUAGGCGUCGGACUCGCUAUCAAACUCAUCAUCCAUGAGAUCGCCUUCGUCAACAUCUGGCCAAAUCAACAAGCCAGGUGAGUACUAUGAAAGUACUCGCAAGACAGUUUGGACAUAAGAUAUAACAAAUGCAAACAUGAUGCACAUGAGCAGAUUAAUAAUGCGCACUCCGAUAAUAACAUUUGCACUGCAUGAGAAAUAAAAAGGAAGUCGGGCGGUAGUCCUCCCGAAAUCCCAAUGUAAUACUGAAGGUCAAUCGAGUGUCUGAAAUGACUCCUCGAAAGGGUAUAAAUAAAUUAACAAUGCCGCAGUCGGGCGUCAGGGCGACACCACAUAAAGGGCUUAUAAUGGAAUAUAAACGACAGUGCGUGCCACAGUCGGACGUCUGAGCGACAUCACGUAAAGGGCUUAUAUCAAAAGUAAAUAACAAGAGUGCCACAGUCGGACGUCUGAGCGACAUCACAUAAAGGGCUUAUAUCAAAAGUAAAUAACAAGAGUGCCACAGUCGGACGUCUGAGCGACAUCACAUAAAGGGCUUAUAUUUCAUAACUCGAUAUUCCAGUAGCUCAUGAAGUUAAAUCAUCUCAAGGAAAUGCUCAGGUACGAAAUAAUAAAGUGGUUAGUCCAUCCACAGGAAUAACAUUCAACCGGGUUUACCACUCAAGCUUGUUCGCCGGGGAUUUCCACGGAGACUGACACAGGGACUGACACUGAGACUGAUAUGGAUACUGUUUGGAUACAUUGACCCAGGUCCUUGACCAUGGACACGAUGACUCGGAAGGUUUUGACUCUGCAGAGUUUGUACUCUUAACCACAGCGAACGGAUUUCAGUAGUCACAAGGGGCUAGUUCCGUUUACGGUAUUUUAGGAGAAACACAUCUAACCAGUACACACCCAUUCCACAUUCCGAUGCCAGGAAUCACCCUAGGCAACAUUCAAGAAAAACCUUGAGACGGGGAGGCUACAACCUCGCGUAGCAUGGGAUCAAAUUUAUAUCGCGCGCUCUAAGGGGUGCCCCCCUCUCGGUCCCAACCGGAAACACCCAUGCCCCCUGACCGGAUGACUGGCUUUAAUCCAGGGCCAUGGAACCCUCAUCCCGGCCCCUCUAUUUGGUGUGUACAAGGAAAGAGGUUUGCAACUUACUAAACUGUAUUCUUUGCAGAAAACAUGUGGCAGCACGGAAGGGGACGAAUGGUAACGUGGCUCGGUCCACGUUAACGUCGGAGUUUAAUGGUUGACAUAAGACUGGCAUGCUACAACAAUACCAUCUUACUACCUCUCAUGUCACCACAUGAUCAGGUCAUCUCCCAUCAAAAGAUCACAUCAAACUUCGAAGCACACGGGUAGUUGCCUUGCAUGCAACGUGACACUCACCGAUGCCCAUAUGCCAUGCACAAACUAUUCAAGCAAACAUGCAAAACACUCAUCAUAUCAAAGGUUCAAACAUGCUUGCCUGGUUCGGAGAAGUCGGAGUCUAGCUCGGCGAAGUUCGCGGCUCCGUCACCUCCUCCGGAAUCUACGGUAUAAAGAAACCGUAUACUAACGUGAAUACCGUUGCGUGUAUAAAAAUUAUUCCAAAAAAUUUCCAAAUAAAUACUAUAAAAAACUAUACAAAAAUAUAAGACUGACAAAAAAAGAAUCAAUCAAAAAGCAUCUUUUGUUUAAAAGAUAUAAGGGUUUUAGUCCCAGGACUAAUCUGUGAUGAAACAGAAAAGAUCCAGGGGCUUGUUUGAAAAAGCAGAAAACGCUUCAGUACGAAAUACGCCAGCCCAGAAGGAAAACACACUUUGCCCGAAGGCGCCUUCAGAAAACGGUUCGAAGGAAAAGAAAGAGAGGCUGACGGGGGGGUCCCACCCGUCAGGUUCAAACUCCGAACAGGGCUCGCCCGCGCCCAAAGGCUGCGGUGGUCGCCGGCGUUGAUCCACGGCGAGGUAGGGGGAUCGGAGGGUACCUACGGGUUCAGGGUGUCCUUCCACGUCGGUGGGUGGUGGACUUGACCGUCGGCGAGCACCACGGCGACGGCGGCCUUAUCUCCGGCGGACGGUGGUUCGGGCGAGGGUGGAACUCUCCGGUGGGUGCUGUAAACUCCAAAUUGGUGCGCGGGUUAGAGAGGUGGAUGCACUAGGAGGCUACUGGCAUGAGUUGAGAGGCGGGGGUGCACGCACUGGAGCGAAUCUUGCUGGAUCCCGAAGCGGGUCGAGGCGGCCGGAGUUGGGGAAGAAGACUUCCUCGAAGCCUUCCCAGUGGCUUGGCGUGGUUCUUGCGGGGUGGAGGGAUGGUGCAUGGUCGAGUUCGAGCUCGGGACCUCCUUUUAUAGGCAAUCCGAGGAGGUGGCCGUGAACGGGAUAACGCUAGCGAGCAAUAACGGCAAGGCAGAGGUUGGGCAGGAGGUUUAGGUGGUUGGGCAUCACCGUGAUGGUCCAUUGGCACCGUUUCUCCGCUAAAACCUCGGUCGGGUUGGGGUAAUGCUCCGGUCCUCGACGGAACGGCCGUACGGGCACGACGGCGGCAGGGAGCGCGCUCCGUGCCUCCCAGUUCACGACGACGGCUCUGCAGCAUGCACAGAGGAGGGGACGGCCACGCGGUGGCCUCUGGUGGCUUGGGCGGUGCUGGAUGGCGCCGUCCCACGCUGCGCCUCUCUGGCAGCCGCAGCGGGCGCUGCUGCCGCCGCGCAUGGGGCGAUGCACCUCGGCCAGCUCGCCGCCGACGCCCGCAAGCGUCCAGGUGACCAUGCGGCGCGGUGGAUAAGAAGGAGGAACAGGGCGCAAGGUGCCACUGCAGUCACUGGCGAGAUCGAAGAGAGUCUCUGAAGAAAAUGACAGCGGCUACUGAACCUGUUCUCUGAACUCUGAAAUUUGGCAGUAACAGUGCCCUCCAGGUGUUCGACGAUAGGUUUUGGGCACGAGGAAAAUUUUUCUGGAGCUGUGACUUGGUGAGGUGACCUCUUGAUGCAUCUAGAGGCUGCCUGAAUUUUCUCAGAUUUUUAGGACGAGAAAACAAAUGAAUUUCACCAAAUUUUGCAAAUAUGGCCCAAACUUGCAGCAAGCACAUUUUGAAAAUUUUGAACUGGAGUCUAGUGGAUCUUCAUCGAUCUUGGUUGAGGGUUCUAAGGACUAGCCAGGGAAACUUGUUUGGAGGCAAAACUCAAAGGAAAACUAGUGGUUCCUUUGUAAAUCUCCAAGGGCCAAAAAUAGGAGGCAGAAAAGAUUUUUGAUUAAAAAAAUGGAGAUGAAAUCAUGGGGAAGUUCAUCUUGCUGGGUUGGAAGUUUGACUUGACACAAAGUGCGGAGAUGGCCUUUGGGAGGAGUUUUCAACUUAGGUUGUGGCAAGAGAUAAAUUUUGAGAGGGAAAGGAUCACCCCAUAAGCCAUAGAGCUAUUUAUAGAAGAAAAGAUUUUCAAAAACUUUCCCAAUGAAAAACAUUUGUGUUGAGUCAACACAAGAUGAAAAACCUCCAAGACCAAAGAUCAAGUUUUGGAUGAACUCAAGGGAAAUACUUGUCAUAAAAGAAAAUUUUUGAGAAGGAGAGUCCUUUAGAAGAAAAUUUUAAAUAACCUCCUUCAAAUCAAAUAAAGAAUUUGAUAAAACCAAACAAAAAUUUUUGCAUGUCACACUGUGUCCUAAUAGAGCAGAUUGAGGUUGCUACCAUCGUCCAUGAGGACGCGCGUCAGGUGAAAUCCAUCGAUGAUUGGGUCGAGGACCAGUGCGGCUGAACCGCCAUGACGGAUACUGGUCGGAUGAUCCCGACGAUCAAAGGUGAUCGGGCAGGACGACCAUGGAUUGAAUUUUGGGGCGACUGGCUCUAUCGCAUAGACGUCCCUGAGUGCGCGCUUGCGCUCCCUUUUGGGGAUGUGUGUGGCAUAUAUCAUGUUCACCAUUUUGACUUGAGGGGGAAACUUCUUCUGUCCCCCAAUGUACGGUUGCCGGGGCUCCUCGUCAUUGUCCUCGCUUUGCGAUCCCUUUUCCUUGUUUUCGACAUUUAACUUGCCGGCCUGUUUGAAAACCCAGCAAUCUCUGUUGGUAUGGUUGGCUGGUUUGUCUGGGGUACCGUGGAUUUGGCACGGACGGUCGAGUAUGCGGUCCAAGCUGGAUCGUCCCUGAUUGUUUAUUUUAUACGCAUCUUCCGCUGACCGGACUUGGAGCCACUGAAUCCGGCGUUGACAGUAGUGUCAUCGGUAUUGUCACCAUUGCUUUGGCAUUUGUGUCUGCUGCGUCGGAGCUUGUUGUUGCUGUUUUUAACCUCAGAGGGGCAUGCAUCGCUGACCGUAUUUUUACUACGAGCCAGCCAACUAUCCUCACCCGCACAAAAGCGGGUCACGAGUGCCGUGAGGGCUGCCAUGGAUUUCGGCUUUUCCUGGCCGAGGUGGCGGGCGAGCCAUUCGUCACGAAUGCUAUGUUUAAAGGCCGCUAGGGCUUCGGCAUCCGGACAGUCGACGAUCUGGUUCUUUUUGUUAGGAACCUGGUCCAGAAUUUCCUGGCUGACUCCCCAGGUUGUUGAACUAUGUGACUUAAGUCAUCGGCAUCUGGUGGCCGGACAUAUGUACCUUGGAAGUUGUCAAGAAAGGCUUCUUCCAAGUCCUCCCAGCUGCCAAUAGAAUUUUCAGGCAGACUAUUUAACUAGUGUCGAGCUGGCCCUUUGAGUUUGAGUGGGAGGUAUUUGACGGCGUGAAGGUCAUCCCCGCGGGCCAUAUGGAUGUGGAGAAUAAAAUCCUCGAUCCACACCGCGGGAUCAGGUGUUCCAUCGUAUGAUUCAAUAUUUACGGGUUUAAACCCUUCUGGAAAUUCAUGAUCCAUUACUUCAUCAGUGAAGCAAAGAGGAUGUGCGGCGCCUCUAUAUCGGGUCGCGUCGCGACGUAGCUCCGAUGGAGUCCGUCUGCAGUUUUCGGCCUGGGCGUGACUAGGUUUGUCACAUCCGAAUAGGUAAUUGUCGUCGCGUGUCGAGGCACGUCCUCGCGAUCCGUAGAUCGAUCUUGUAUGCCAUGCCCUACUGUCCAGGUCUUGCCGAAGGUCAUAUGUGUAACCCCGAGCUGUUUUAUCCUUGCCUUUACGGCGAGGUGGGGCAGUCUGGUGUUUGGCUUGAUUUGCCGUUUUAUCCCGACCGCGUGGUGGUCGGUCAGCCGCAUUGCGCGAUGAUGGUACGGGCUCCAGCGCCUCGUCAUCGAACUGGGGCAGCAAUUUGCGCUUUGGGUAACUUUUGGCUGGGCGCUUAAGGCCGUAUUCUUCGGCUGCUAGGACAUCAGUCCAUCUGUCAUUGAGCAGAUCUUGAUCAGCUUGAAGCUACUGCUGCUUCUUUUUCAGGCUCCUUGCAGUGGCUAUUAGCUGGCGCUUGAAGCGCUCCUGGUCGAGAGGUUCCUCCGGAACGAUAAAAUCCUCGUUGCUGAGGCUCACCUCCUCCUCGGAGAGCGGAUGAUAACUACUGUUCUCUGAAUCUUCGUCUAUGGCCUGUUCAUUAGGGCUAACUUGCCCAUCUUCCCGAUUGUCUUGUUCGGCAGUUUGCUCAUCGGGGUCUUCUGUGUCUUCGGCACCAUCCGGAGUGUUAUCGUCUUCUGUGCCGGUGUUGUUGUCUUUGCUGCGGCAUGACUUAGAGUGGCGCCGCUGACGCCGGCGCUUUGGUUGUGUCUUAGGAGGGUCAUCCUUCGCUGGGUUCUCCUUGUCGUCGCCGCUAUUAUCUUUUGGUGCAUCCACCGUGUAUACGUCAUAUGAGGAAGUGGCCGUCCAUCGUCCGGUGAACGGCGGGUUUUGGGCCUCCUCUUCUCCGGCAUCGUCGUCCAUACUGUCGAUGUCUUUGGAGUCGUAGUCAAGCGUGUCGGUUAGGUCCUCGACAGUGGCUAUGAAGUGGGUGGUGGGUGGGAAACGAAAUUCCCCGUCAUCAGCCUCCAGUUCGAAUCGGAUAUAAUUCGGCUGAGAAUCCCCUGCUAGGGAUAGAUUUUUCAAUGAGUUGAUCAUGUCGCCUAAAGGCAAGUGCCGGAAGAUGUCCGCCGCGUUGAAUUCGGCGAUCGAUAACCGAUCCUGCUCGACAUACGCGGACGCACACUGUUCGGAACUUAUAGCCGGAAGCGAGUCCGAGGUUCCGGAGACACAGACAUCACGCGAGGUUAGAUCCGUGUGCAGCUCCAAUGCCGUAGAGUCUGCGGCUUCCGUGGCGAGGUUGAGCUUCCUGUCCUUGGAUGGCGCGAUCUGCUCCGGAUCUAAGGCCAGAGCGGUUAUAGGUGCAGUUUCCUGGGCAUGGCCCGAUGAUAGAUCCAAGUCAUGUUCAUCGUGGCGAUGGGGAGCGACUGUCGUGGUCUCGAAUCCGUCGAAGAUCAAGUCUCCGUGGACAUCCUCGAUGUAGUUCAAGCUCCCAAAUCUGACAUGAUGGCCAGGGGCGUAGCUAUCGAUCUGCUCCAGAUGGCCAAGCGAGUUGGCCCGCAGUGCGAAGCCGCCGAACACGAAGAUCUGUCCGGGGAGGAAGGUCUCCCCUUGGACAGCGUUGUUGUGGACGAUUGAAGGAGCCAUCAAACCUUUUGGGGACGGCACAGGGGAACUCUCAAUGAAAGCACCAAUGUCGGUGUCAAAACCGGUGGAUCUCAGGUAGGGGAUCCCGAACUAUGCGUCUAAGGAUGAUGGUAACAGGAGACGGGGGACACAAUGUUUACCCAGGUUCGGGCCCUCUCUAUGGAGGUAAUACCCUACUUCCUGCUUGAUUGAUCUUGAUGAAUAUGAGUAUUACAAGAGUUGAUCUACCACGAGAUCGUAAUGGCUAAACCCUAGAAGUCUAGCCUGUAUGACUAUGGUAAUGAGUCUAUCUAUCCUCCGGACUAAGUCCUCUGGUUUAUAUAGACACCGGGAGGAUCUAGGGUUACAUUAGGUCGGUUAUAGAGAAAGGAAUCUACAUAUUUGUUCGCCAAGCUUGCCUUCCACGCCAAGGAGAGUCCCAUCCGGACACGGGUAGAGUCUUCGGUCUUUGUAUCUUCACAGCCCAUCAGUCCGGCCCGUGGCUAACAGGUCGGACGCCCGAGGACCCCUUAGUCUAGGACUCCCUCAAGCGCCUUGAGGCGAAGGCAGCCGACGAGGCCUACAUGCAAGAGCUCCGCUGGCAGCACCCGGAGCUCGUGGAGGCGGAGCGGGCGAUCUUUGCCGACGCGGAGGGCGGCGAGGUUAUCGCACUCUCCUUUGAUGACGAGGUCGAAGGCGGCGAGGACGGCGGGGCGGAGGGCAUCGAGGUGGGCGGCGAGGACGAGGAGAUCGACGUCGACGAGUGGAGGAGUGUCUUCGCCAACGACCUGAUGACCCACAAGUAUAAGGGAUCUAUCAUAGUCCUUUCAAUAAGUAAGAGUGUUGAACCCAACGAGGAGCAGAAGGAAAUGAUAAGCGAUUUUCGGCAAGGUAUUCUCUGCAAGCACUGAAAUUAUCGGUAACAGAUAGUUUUGUGAUAAGGUAAUUUGUAACGGGUAGCAAGUAACAAGUGUACACAAAGUGCAGCAAGGUGGCCCAAUCCUUUUUGUAGCAAAGGACAAGCCUGGACAAUUUCUUAUAUGAAGGAGAACGCUCCCGAUGACAAAUGGGAAUUAUCGUCAAGCUAGUUUUCAUCACGUUCAUAUGAUUCGCGUUCGUUACUUUGAUAAUUUGAUAUGUGGGUGGACCGGUGCUUGGGUGUUGUCCUUACUUGGACAAGCAUCCCACUUAUGAUUAACCCCUAUUGCAAGCAUCCGCAACUACAAAAGAAGUAUUAAGGUAGACCUAACCAUAGCAUGAAACAUACGGAUCCAAAUCAGCCCCUUACGAAGCAACGCAUAAACUAGGGUUUAAGCUUCUGUCACUCUAGCAACCCAUCAUCUACUUAUUACUUCCCAAUGCCUUCCUCUAGGCCCAAAUAAUGGUGAAGUGUCAUGUAGUCUACGUUCACAUAACACCACUAGAGGAAAGACAACAUACAUCUCAUCAAAAUAUCGAAUGAAUACCAAAUUCACAUGACUACUAAUAGCAAGACUUCUCCCAUGUCCUCAGGAACAAACGUAACUACUCACAAAUCAUAUUCAUGUUCAUAAUAAGAAGAGUAUUAAUAUGCAUAAUGGAUCUGAACAUAUGAUCUUCCACCAAAUAAACCAACUAGCAUCAACUACAAGGAGUAAUCAACACUACUAGCAACCCACAGGUAGCAAUCUGAGGCUUUGGGACAAAGAUUGGAUACAAGAGAUGAACUAGGGUUUUAGAGGAGAUGGUGCUGGUGAAGAUGUUGAUGGAGAUUGACCCCCUCCCGACGAGAGGAUCGUUGGUGAUGACGAUGGCGAUGAUUUCCCCCUCCCGGAGGGAAGUUUCCCCGGCAGAACAGCUCUGCCGGAGCCCUAGAUUGGUUCUGCCAAGGUUCCGCCUCGUGGCGGCGGAGUUUCUUCCUGAAAGCUUGCUUAUGAUUUUUUUCUCGGACGAAAGACUUCAUAUAGCAGAAGAUGGGCACCGGAGGCCUGCCAGGUGGCCCACGAGGCAGGGGGUGCGCCCAGGGGGGUAGGGCGCGCCUCCCACCCUCGUGGCCAGGGUGUGGCCCCCCUCUGGUAGUUUCUUUCGCCAAUAUUUUUUAUUAAUUCCAAAAAUAACUUCCGUGAAGUUUCAGGACUUUUGGAGCUGUGCAGAAAAGGUCUCUAAUAUUUGCUCAUUUUCCAGCCCAGAAUUCCAGCUGCCGGCACUCUCCCUCUUCAUGUAAACCUUGUAAAAUAAGAGAGAAUAGGCAUAAGUAUUAUGACAUAAUGUGUAAUAACAGCCCAUAAUGCAAUAAAUAUCGAUAUAAAAGCAUGAUGCAAAAUGGACGUAUCAUGACCCCGACGACGGCACCGGCCCGGACCCGACUCGCGGCACACCGUACCUGACGAGGAAGGAUUGGCUCGACCUCCACUUCGACCGAAAGUAUUUUAGCUUAGUUUAAAUUUAUGUUUUAUGUUCGGUUAUGCAAAACUAUCUAUGUUUAUGUUUGAAUGCAUGCUACUUUCGGUUGAACCUGCUUUGAACUUGGUCAAAUUGAAGUUUACAAUGUUAAGUUUAGGGGAUCAACUGGAAACGGACAAAAAUUGCUGGAGUAUAUAUAUAUCCACUAAGGGUUUUAGUCCUUUAACUUUUAAAGGAUCGGCUAGAGAUGGCCUUAUGCCUUGUUUAUUUCAGUUCUUCACAAUGUGAUGCUCUAUAUGUGCAACUAUUUGCCGUGCAGUUCAAUUUCAUCAAUAAAAGUUUCAACAAUACCACUAUGAAUUGCGAUAUUUGGUUGCUGUUAAGGAUAUUGCAGUUAACAUGCCUUUUCGUUUUUUAAUAAUAACUAGUGUACUUUAGACCUGCACAAUACCAGAUUGAAUGACUAUUUGCUUGUUUUUAAAUGUUAUGCCUGAUGAAGUUAACACACCUUUCCACUUCUUGUUUUGCUUAACUAGCGUGCUUAAGCCUGCACACUGAAGCUAUGAUUUGUAGAUUAUGUUGUCUACCAUGGAUAUAUUUGGUUGAUGUUUAGCCUAUUAUGCUUAACAUGCCUUUAUAUGUACUCAUACAAGACAAUAUUGAGAACAGUCUUGUUUUCCAUCGAGGUUAGUUUCAUCGCAUCGCUUAUAUGUACUCACUGUUCAGGAUAUCGGUAGCUAGUACCAUAUAGCUUGGGGGCUGAUAAGGGAUUAAUCGUCGAAUCGGACAUUUCACUGAAUAUAUCUGUAAUCCAUUUAUCAGUAGGUUAAACACGGCCAUAUUUAAUAUAUCUGAGGCUACAUAGCAACAUGCAUUGUACUGAAUGACUAAAUAUGCAAUCCCAGGCUACAUAGCAACAAGGAAGAGUGUUACCUUAAUAUUCUGAUGAUGUCUAGAAAUACAUGUAAUAAAAUCUUAUAUAAUGGGAUGGAGGGAGUGUUGUACUACGUCAUUUUGCAAUUGUUGUUUAUCUUCUAAUAUUAACUUGGUGCUUUUAGGUACAUAUGUCAUUGCCAAAGAUCCACACUUCGACGCUUUCUGUGUAUGGGGCAAUGAGAUAUUCAUGAACCAGCAUCAAGUGAGGAAACUGAUAAAGAUUGUUACUAAAAUGGGUCAAAAGAUGUCAAUCGAACUAUUUGUUUACACUUUAUGCAAGACAACAGUGAACUGCAGGAUGGUAAGUAAGAACCCUGUAGCCUUCUUUUUACUGCCUGUAAUGAGUUGUGUUAGAUGAAAAUGUCUGAUUUUUUUCCUUUGCAGUGGAUCCUGAAGCAGUUUACUCAAAAUUACCUCUCAAACUACAUGAUUGGCGGCGGUCAUCACAAGGGGUUGGACUAGAGUCGUGUGUGCCUUCUGCAUCCAGGAGAGCACAAUAGGGCCAUUCCGCUUCACCUUGUUCACCAACCAGAAUGUCUGUCGCCUAUUUCUUUACCAUCUGUAAUAGUACAAGUAUAGACCAUGGUUCAUCAUUCUUUAUUUGGUGCUUAUGUAAUUCUUAAACAUAUGUACCUGUAAAUCGAAUAAUGCAUUGGUUGUUUGAACCUGAUGGAUAUGAAUAAAGCUAUAUAGCCUACUUUCAAGUUUAAAUUAGGUACAAUCUUAAAUAGCAGCAAUUAAAUUAGGGUGAAAUUACGGUGUGCAUGUCAUUACGGCGCACACGGUUAAUAAAGCACAGUGUGUGCGAUAUACAUCAUAAUCCGACACAGUUCACGGAGAGGAAACGUGUGUAACAAUGCACACAUUUGCCGUUUGCAAAGCGCGUGUGAUGACAGACACUAUCAUAUACGGUGCGGGAAAAUUAAAUGUGUGUGAUUGUCUAACCUAUCGUACACGAUUUAUAAUCAUGAACUGUUGUGAUGUGCCAGGCAUCGUAAACAUAGAGCCAGUUUAGUACGUGCCUGGAAAACUCCCGUGCUUGGAAUCUGCCUGGUUUUAGGUAAAACCACAAAACUCUACUGUGAUGGCAAUGCGAACACAAACGAGUAGCAAGGAUGAAGCGUUUGGGAUAUUCGAGAUAUCGAAAACGGUUAUAUAGGGACAAAUGUAUGCAUCAAGACUGUCUAUCCCCGACGGUUUCUGGGUCGUGUGGGAAGGAUCCCCUAUCGCCCACACUCACUUGGCGACGGUUCGAAAUGUCGUCGCGGAAAGGGGUUAAAAACCGUUUGUAUAGCACCGACGCGUACCAGUGACCUCACCACAUCAAGGAGGAGGUUACCACACAAUUGUCCUGGAUGUAACCAAACAACCGGACUUGUGUUUCCCUUGAUAAGUCCGCAACCAAACAGCCUGCCUUCCGUUUCGGCACAUUCAAAUUAGAGGGAAUGCAGGCAACCAAUCAACAUGCAGAUGUUGAUUUUUUGUCUGCAUUUACUUAAUCAGGCCUAACUGGAACAAGUAUGCAAAUGGGAAAAAACGAGGGAAACAACCAAACGCAUCCACAAAGACCCAGCUGGUACCAGCGAGGAAGGAAACAAAAAGAGAGGCACCAGCGGCCAAUCGAACCAUCAAUGCCCGCCUGAAGACUUGUGACACCAGCGGCAUAGGUGGCCUGCACGCGGGUUCCUAUAUGGCGCAUAGGGCGCUCCCGAGCGACCAGGCGCGCACCCCCCCCCCCUUGCGCGCUGCGCGCUCGUAUGGGCCGGCCCAUAUCCCAUUNNNNNNNNNNNNNNNNNNNNNNNNNNNNNNNNNNNNNNNNNNNNNNNNNNNNNNNNNNNNNNNNNNNNNNNNNNNNNNNNNNNNNNNNNNNNNNNNNNNNNNNNNNNNNNNNNNNNNNNNNNNNNNNNNNNNNNNNNNNNNNNNNNNNNNNNNNNNNNNNNNNNNNNNNNNNNNNNNNNNNNNNNNNNNNNNNNNNNNNNNNNNNNNNNNNNNNNNNNNNNNNNNNNNNNNNNNNNNNNNNNNNNNNNNNNNNNNNNNNNNNNNNNNNNNNNNNNNNNNNGUGUAAAAAUGAUCAACGAUUCAAAAAAUGUUCAUAAAAUUCCUUUUUUGUUCAUCGGAUUGAAAAAAUGUUCAUCAAAAUUCAAAAUUUGUUCAUCGAAUUGACAAAAUGUUCACCAAAUUCCAAAAUUGUUCAUCAAUUCAAAAUUUGUUCCCCAAAUUUAAAAUUUGUUCGUCGAUUUCAAAAUUUGUUCAUCAAAUAAAAAAUUUGUUCGUUUUAUUUUUUUUCUUUUCUUACAAAAUUUGUGAACAUUUUUUGUAUCAAAUUCAAAAAAUGUUUAUCAAUGUUUAAAGAUGUUCAUAAAAUUCGUUUUUUGUUCAUCGGAUUGAAAAAUUUGUUCAUCGAAUUCAGAAAAUGUUCAUAAAAUUCGAAAUUUGUUCAUCGAUUACAAAAAAAUUUCACCAAAUUCAAAAUUUGUUCGUCAUCGAUUUCAAAAAUUGUUCACCAAACUCAAAAUUUGUUCGUCGAUUUCAAAUUUUGUUCAAUGAAUUCAAAAUUUGUUCAUCCAUUUUUCAAAAACGUAUUCUUAAAUACAAAUUUUGUUCAUCAAGUUUAGAAAAUGUUCAUCGUAUUCAAAUUUUGUUCAUCAAAUAUAAAAAAUGUUCAUCACUAUUAGAAAAAUGCUCAUAUAAAUUUGUUCGUCUAAAUAAAUAAAUUUCAUUAAAAUUCAAAAAAACUUCAUUGUUUUGAAAUCACGAGCAUUGUUUUACAAAAUUUAAUUUUCUAAAUUACGAAUUAUUUUGAAGAAAAACGAAAUACAAAAAUAGUAAAAAAACGAAUUAAAAAAACUGGGGGGUUCAGCCGCGCUCGUGGGCCGGCCCACUAGGGGUGCACGGGAGCGGACGGGUGUGUGCUGGCUUGUUCGCCAGCGCGUCACGCACCGUAUAGGAGCUCCCGGCCUGCACAGCAGGGCAGAGAGAUGGACGACGGCUUCGCGGGCAAGCUGGGCUGAGCCAGCUGCGUGGCCCACGCAGCGGAUGAACGCAUGCGAGGAAGGAGGCGGCAAAUCCGGCUGCUCCGGGGUGGAAUCGGUGGCGGGGCAGAGGAUCUCCUCUCCCGACGCGGUUGGAGGAGGCAGGGGACAGGCAGCGCGGAGCAGUGAUAGAGUUAGGAGAUGACAUUGCUUGUGGAGAUAGGUUGACCCUAAAAGCAAAGCUGCGUAGUGUACGCGGACUGUACUUUGUUGUCUGAACCUAUGCACAUGUUGCCGGAUUCGAUGCUAGAGUAUCUUCGACGCUACCCGUGCACGGGACAUCGCAUCCGUUCACAGACCAGUCUGAACCGGUGUCCGGACACAUACGGAAGACGGUCAUCCGAUGCUAGUAACAAAUGCCCGGCUCUAUUGACUUAAAAUAAUAGCCUUUCACCAAACAUCGUAGCCUUUCGUCAAACGCCUAAAUUAAUAUGCUAAAAUAUACACCCUCCGUCCCAUAAUAUAAAAGCGUUUUUUUAUACCAGUGUAGUGUGAAAAACGUUCUUAUAUUAUAUUAUGGGACGGAGGGAAUACUUACCUUCCGCGAAGUGAAGCACUCAAUUAAGUGCCUUCUUCCAAAUGAAGCACUUAAUUAAGUGUCUUCCGCCAAAUGAAGCAAGCCAUUUAGCACUCCCUCCAAGUCCUUUGUUCUCUGCGUAUUAGAUUUUGAUCAAGUCAAAUUUGUUUGAUCAAAUUUAUAUUAAAAAAUAUCAACAUCUACAAUACAAAAUAUGUGUACCAUGAAAUUAUAUUUCAUAAUAAAUCUAACAAUAUUGAUUUGACAUUAUGAAUGUUGAUACUUUUUUCUAUAAGUUUGGUCAAAGUGGAGAUAUUUUGACUUUGGAUAAAACUAAUAUGUGGACUAAAAAGGACCGGAGGGAGUAGCUUCCGCCAAACAGGUUACGGACAUACACAACUUUUAGCAGCCUUCCACCAUCCGGACGAGAGGAGGAAUAGAUGGUGGUUUUUGAUUGGGCGGGCGGAUGUUCGGACUCCCACAAAGCCCUUGUUUGGUUCCGGUUUGCGGGAAAACGGCCGUCCAGACGCGUCGGCAGGCCGAUGCGGUACUACAUUGGAUGGUUGCGUCCGGACAACGUGGUCCAGACGCUUGCGAAAGUUUUUAGGGUUUGCUUUCAAGAUGCCCUUAGGCCAACUCCAACGCGCAGCUACAAACAGACGUCCGAUUUGUCUGGAUUAUGUUGGUUUGUGUUGGAAAAAUGGGCGUUGUCCGGCCUCUUUUGUGGAUGUGGUUCUAUUGCACCCAAGACUCAUUUGGCCAGCCGGCCUCUUAUGUGGAUGCGGUUCCACUGCGUCCAACAGGCCGGCGGCCAAUUUUUUAACUCAAAAGAAACAUUGCAUAUAGUUUACAACCAAAUAAAUCACAUAUUACCAUAAUAAUAAAUAGUUUCACAACCACGCACGGAUGACCAAUAAAGAAAAACAGAAAAAGCUGGAAAAAAAAAGCGUCGUGAAGCCUACCAGCAAAACUAAAGAAUUGAAGAUUCAACUCAGUUGCAGAAAAAUUAGAGGUAAAGUAGAGUAGAUAGGUGUAGAUUUAUUCGUCUACGCGAGUCGAAAUGAAAAAUAAUACAACGUGAAAGUUGUGAGGGAUAAUGAUAUGAAACUAGUGGUCAAAGAAAAUUUUAAACGAGCAACCUUGUGUGAUGAAUUUGCCGAAUUCCGUCCAGACACAUACACCACAUGAAAGUACAUUACAAUAGGAAGAUACCCGUUUAGGCGUCUGCGGCCGCUGAAACCAAAAACAUACAACAUCAAAGUAGUGUGAAACAGAGAGAUGCAGCUAUUGGUCAAAGAAAAAGAGAGAAAAGACCAAAUUUCAACCCCAAACUAACCACUCGGUUUGACUUACAACCCUCAUCUUCGAAACCGGAGGAGUUGUGCUGCGGGCAAGUAGGAGCUAGGUUGCGGGGCGGCCAGGGAACUUCUGGCAACAUCUUCCUUGUUUCCAGAACCCGGUAACCGGCCCGUGCGGCGCCUGCAUCGGCGUACUCCGGCGCUUGCGCUGGACGAGCUCUCUCGCCUGGGCCCAGAUACGGUGCUCACGUGCGCACCUCCCCUGUCGAGCGGCACCAACUAUGUGGCGGCGACCCGAGUGAAAAAUCACAAAACUGGCCCUUUGGCCAAAGUUCAACACAAAAUGGCCCUCUUUUGAAAAUAUUUUAUAAAAUGGCCCUACACGCAUGACGCCCGCACUCGGGGCGCCAUGCUAGAUAUCAUAACGCCAUGGUCAAGGGCGCCAUACUGGUCAGCGGUGACUUGCCAUGAUGGCAGGGCAUGGCACCAUGGCGCCCCAGGACAGGGCGCCGUGCUCAUGGUCAUGACGCCCCUGCCCGGGGCGCCAUGCCCCUUGUGCCAACUGUCGGUGUCAAAACUGGCGGAUCUCGGGUAGGGGGUCCCGAACUGUGCGUCUAAGGUCGAUGGUUGCAGGAGACGGGGGACACGAUGUUUACCCAGGUUCGGGCCCUCUCUAUGGAGGUAAUACCCUACUUCCUGCUUGAUUGAUCUUGAUGAAUAUGAGUAUUACAAGAGUUGAUCUACCACGAGAUCGUAAUGGCUAAACCCUAGAAGCCUAGCCUGUAUGACUAUGGUAAUGAGUAUAUCUUUUCCGUACUACAUCCUCCGGUUUAUAUAGAUACCGGAGAGAUCUAGGGUUACAUAGAGUCGGUUACAUAAGAAGGAAUCUUCAUAGUUGGUCGCCAAGCUUGCCUUCCACGUCAAGGAGAGUCCAAUCCGGACACGGGUACGGUCUUCGGCCUUCACGUCUUCACAGCCCACCAGUCUGGCCCAUUGAUAGUAGACCGGACGCCCAAGGACCCCUUAGUCCAGGACUCCCUCAGUAGCCCCUGAACCUGGCUUCAAUGACGAGGAGUCCGGCGCGUGGAUUGUCUUCGGCAUUGCAAGGCGGGUUCCCCUUUUUCCGAACUCCAAGAUGGUCUUCAGAUGUAAUGAUUGCAUCCGAACUUGUAUACACAACUGCAGAGGAUAUAAUAUUUCACGAGUCCAAUCCGCUAACAACUUUUUGGUAACAUGACAUCAUGCCUGCUCGACCAUUAUUUUCGAACCGUUAGCUAGCUCGUCGUCCCACGUCUCGAGACAUGGUUUUAUUGGCAUGUCUUAUCCAAGCGGAGAUCGUGUCUCCCCUUUUUUAAGGGAUUCUUAUCAACCCGGACGUGGGUAACCCAACCGUCGCUUGGGUACAACUCCUUGGGAAUAGGCAAGUUUUGAGGCCCAGGAGGAGACGUUCGAUAUUCGCGGCCUUUAUAUAGGGGUACAAACCCGUCUUUUUCUUUCACGCUUGCUUCUUCCUCAACCCCUGUAACCCCGAGUUACAACACCCGGGUUUCAGUCGCCACAAGUUCCAAUCAUGUCCGGAUCCAGCUGUCAAGGCCGGUGGGUGGCUUCUUCCGUCACGGAGGGAGAUAUCGCAAAGCUUCGGGCAGCGAGGUAUCUGACCGCAGAAAUCCUUCAUCGACUUCCUGCCGAGGGGCAGGUCAUUCCCACCCCCAGAUCCGGCGAGAGGGUCGUGUUCGUGUCCCACUUCCUCCGCGGGUUAGGGUUUGCACUUAAUCCCUUUGUCUGAGGGCUCAUGUUCUAUUAUGGGCUAGAUUUUCACGAUCUGGCCCCGGACUCUAUUCUUCUUAUCUCUGCGUUUAUCAUCACGUGCGAAGCCUUCCUCCGAACUCCUCCGCACUUUGGCCUGUGGCUCAAGACCUUCAAUGUGAAGCCACAAGUGAUAGAGGGGGAGCAGGCAGAAAGCUUGCUAGUGCUGUUUGGCUGAAAGGAUCAUUUGCCAAAUCUUCCGACUUAUGGCAGCAUGGGUGGUUCUAUAUCACCGAGCCCCGUGGCUCCAAGUGGGCAGCUGCGCCCGCAUUUCGAUCCAGCCCCCCAAUUCAGCUUGCAUCGUGGAUUAAUAAGGGGUUGGACUAGGGAUCAACGGACGAGGUGCGGACUUUGCAAAGUCGCAUCUGAAGCCUCAUUGAGAGGGACAUCAAUAUCGUCAACGUUGUUCAAGUAAUGCUAGUCCGCCGGACCCUGCCGUGCCAGCGACGGCCUCCCCGCAUGUGGGAGUUCAAUCCCGAAGGGCCGCGGACUCUUCAGCACUUCUUCGGCACUACGCACGAAGGAAUGUGGAGAUUAUUUUUUUGGGAAAGGAAAGCAAUGGCCGGACACCACCGAAGAUAUCGGCCUAGACUAUAACCAUCCGGACACCCCGGUAAGUACCCGUUCGCCGAACACCUCAUGAUCAGACACCCAGUGAUAAGACACUGACCGAAUCGUCCUUUUUCAGGGUUGGAUAAAGAAAGUGGAACGGAUUAGGUGUCCGGCUCCCCUUCCCGAAGACUUAGCUAAUCUUGUGUUAACAAGGAUGCUGGCCUCGGCGCCAUACCCGGCGCUGGCAAGGGAGGGUAAAGAGGAGAGUGAGAAGGCCCGAGAUGACCUUUGUUUCGAGGGUAAGUCGGAUACUGAGUCCGGAGAAAUCGACCUUUCCUCGCCUGAAGACAAAGGCGAAAGAGGGCCCAGCAUCCCUUCUCCGAGCAGGAGGAAAAGGCCCGCCUCCGAAGGUUGGGAGGGGAGGUCUCCCAAGAGGGGCAAGAUGCCACCGUCGAGCGGCUUGGGUUUGGAAAGCGACGCCGUUGAACAGCUCCAACAUGAGGACAAGCCCUCGACCAAACCGUAAGUGAAUCCGGGGUACUUUGAUAGCAUCUCGCUCAUUUGCCAUUACCGAAGAUAUACGUAACGUGUUCGUGCAUUUUUAUAGGUCGGCACAGAGUUUUUCUGGGCAAUCCUGUUCUUCGGGAGGUCUCCUCCCAGAGAUGAUGGAGAGCGAGACGCCUCCCCCAACCUCCUCGCCCAAUAAGGCGGACGACUCUGAAGUGUCAUCACGGAGGGUUUUUCUUGAUCAACAAGCUACGGAGGGGAUAAAAGAGGCAGUACCCGAAGGUGGAUCUCCGACCGUCCGGGAUUCUGGGGCUGAUAAUAAAGGCCCCGGACUGUCUGGCUCGCAGCCGACGGUGAUUCUAGAGACGGGUGAACGGAUUCCUUCAAAGGAUGGUUGUGCUCCUAGAGCGGCUUCCGGAGACCCGGAGGCUCCGGAUAUAUUGCGAGACAUGUUGCGAAAAGCAUCUGUCUCGGGGGAACAGCGUACCUUGAUGGGUACAGUAGUUGAGAAGAUUUUGCCCGCGAAGAGCGGAUUGAAUGAAGCAUUCAUGAGCCUGCUAAAAGGCUUCGAGGUUUGUGAUAUAAUGUUUUCAGCUAUGUUUUAUUUGCAAAGAUGCACAUGUGUAUAGAUAGUAGCCCCUGAGACUCGGGUCGGCUUCCACUGGGAAGCGAACGGAGGAUCAAACAGAAUUACUCAAGGACUUAAUCUGAUGAACUUGAACACAGGCUGCUUCCCCCUUGGCUACUUCCCGGACUAUGGAUAUUGCCGAACUGCAACGAAAGCUUGAUGUGGCAGGGGAUGACCUUGCAUUAAUCAAUAUGCGUCUUGACGAGUCGCAAGGUAUAUAUUCGGGGCAAUCCCCAUACAUUUGUGUGGUAUAAGCAUGAUGCUAAGAUUUAUAUGCUGGAAUAUGCGUGGCUGCAGAUGGUGUUGCCGCUGUUGAAGUUCUCCGAGCGGAGCUGGCCCGGGCCAAGGAGCAGGCCCGGUGUAGCAAUGCAGCUGCCGAAAAGGCAUCGGCUGAGUUAAAAGCCGAACAAGUUGCACGGCGCCAAGACGAGGAGAAGAUAUCCACGAUGACGCUAGAACUGAAAAAUGAUACUAGCCGCUGUGAAUUUCUGGAGAAGGAGAAUGAAGCCAAAAAGGCUGAACUGGACAAGGCCUUACAAGAGGCGAGAGAAGCGCGGUCGAAAUCCAGAGCCGCCCGUGAGGAGAUCCGGCAAGCUGGGGAGAUUGCGGCUGGUAAACCCUUUCUGCUACAGAAUAAGUUCGGCGAUCCGAACUAUGCUCAGCUUGACCGAGUGUGGAGUUCUCCGGACGAGUUUUUAGACUUGCCGAAGAGUUCUUCCGAUGCGGCACAAUAUUAUCAAGCCCGAGAGGGGCACGCAAUGGAGAAGCUUUUCUGGUCACAGUUUGGCGCAUCAAAGCGCCCUCUGUUGCUGAAUGAACAGAUGUCCCAAUGGGCCGAGCUUCAUAGGAUAUCCAGCGCUGCCAUGAAGAAUGUCAUAAUCCGGUUGUGGCCAACCGAGCCUAUUCUGAAUAGCUACUUCGGUUUGGUGCAAAGGCUUAUUGACGCGGUGCCGCGUAUCGACGCUGUGAAGCGGUCGACGUGCAUUGAGGGUGCACAGAUGGCUUUUGCCCGAGUCAAGACAUUCUGGGGGAAAAUGAAGGCCAUCGAUGUUGCGACGAAGAGUCCACCCAAGGGCAAGGACCGUCCUGAACCGGAGUAUUAUUUUGAAGACGUCCUAGAGGCCACCCUCUUGAUAGAGGGUCAGUGCUCGAAAGACAUAAUGUUCGAGUGAGGUGUAUGAGAAUUGUAAAAGACAAUUUUGUAGUUAAUCUAUUUUUAUGUUUUGCUCGAAAGCUUGUAUUCCUCCUGUGCGGCCGUUUUAAUAUAAUCUGAAAGUUUUCCAGUCGUCGGCUUCAGCCCCCUCGUAGGAAGUACGGGGGUGUUCAGAAAAGCAUUUAAUCACUCUUUAUCCAACGUCUUGGUCCAUAAAGGAGGUGAUAAUGCGGCGAACCAGGCAAUCGGACUAUAGGGCGUUAACACUUUCACUUAGCCAUAGGAGUUUUAUGGUGGGACUACGACAUAGCCCCUGGUAUGUAUGCGGCGUAUUAGAAUAUGGUGCCUUACAUAUUUGAUCUGGAAAAGAUCCCUCGUGUGACAUGGAGAAUCGCUAAAGAUUCCAAUAAGUCGUCAAGUGGUUGACCAGCUCUCGCCGCAUCAUGACAGUCAGUUUUCGGCUUUCUCUAUUGAGGUGCUUGACCAGAUGAACCGGAAGCACAAUCGCAGUAGUUCUCCCUUUACUACCCUAGCCGAUGGAGCGGAACGUAGGGUAGCAAGAACAGGAGCCGGACAACCCAACUAUUGACCCAAGACAAUGAUCCGGAGCUGAUGCAUAUAAGGCCAAACUUGCGACGCCGAAGUACGCUAUAGAGAUGUUCGGACUUUUGCUGGCAACUCAUUUGUUCCCAUACCGAGCCCCUGGCAGGUUAUGCCAGGGUAUAUCUAUGAAACAACCAUAGGAUCCAUAUUCAUUGGCGAAACAACAUGGAUGAUUAAUUCGGAUACUGUUUACUGGACCUGAGCAAUAUGCCAAUGAUUACUUUAUAUAUAUAAAGACCACAACCCCGGCUAUUUGACAUGCUCGGGGUCGGAGGCGGAGGAAGAGGCAUAGUACAGGCUCGAAAUAAAGAGUUCGGUCUACAAAAAGUUAUUUGGGACCUCCUGUCGCACGUCUGCGCCGCCUGUCCUCGGUGAGGGAAUCCUUGAUGGAAGUAGCCCCUUAAGUGAGUGUACGGAUCCGAACUCCGAUAGAGUCAGUUUUAGAUGUUUUCCCUGUUCGUCACCUGUUUUUAAGAGAUAGUGAAGGAAUAAAUAAAAAGAAAAUAGAUAAAAAGUAUUACGGUAAUGCUUGCAGGCUUGUGCGUAGUGUGCUUCCGCCAAUGCCCAUGGUAUCUUGAGUGCGUAGUGAUGUAUGCGCCGGUACACAUUUUGCAGGUGUACGAGGUGGGCGGCGGAAGCCGGACUGCUAUUUCCGCUCCGGGAGUAGUCGAUCCUCGGGUCGAAAUUGCUGCUGACCCCCGGUAUUUCGUUGGUGAACCUCUCCGUCGUCCCUGUCGCCUGGCGGCCUCCUCCCCUUGUGUUCGGCGUUGAUCUUGUCGGCCUGCUUAAAGACCCAGCAGUUUCUGUUGGUAUGAUUAGCUGGUUUAUCGGGGUGUCCGUGAAUCUGGCAGGGUCGGUCCAAUAUCCUGUCUAGGUUGGAUGGUUCAUCUCGGUUCGCCUUGAAUGGCUUCUUCCGGUGACCGGGCUUGCGAUUGCUGAAUCCGGCGUUGACCGCUGUGUCGCGUGAUCUUUCAUUAUCAUUGCGACUGUUGUGUUUGCUUCGUCGUGGCUUGCCGUUGCCGUCUCGGAUUUCGAAAGUGCCCGGGUCGCUGGCGCUGUUGCUUCUACGAGCGAGCCAGCUGUCUUCUCUCGCGCAAAAGUGGGUCAUUAGAGCAGUAAGGGCUGUCAUGGCUUUAGGUCCUUCUUGACCGAGGUGGCGUGCAAGCCAUUUGUCCCAGACGCUGUGUCUGAAAGCUGCGAGGGCUUCCGCGUCCGGACAGUCGACGAUUUGGUUCUUUUUAACUAAGAACCGAGUCCAGAGCUUCCUGGCUGACUCUCUGGGCUGCUGGACAAUGUGACUUAGGUCAUCGGCAUCUGGUGGCCAGACAUAUGUUCCUUGGAAGUUGUCAAGGAAGGCUUCUUCCAAGUCUUCCCAGCUGCCUAUGGAGUUUUCAGGCAGGCUAUUUAACCAGUGCCGAGCUGGCCCUUUAGGCUUUAGUGGGAGGUAUUUAAUGGCGUGGAGGUCGUCUCCACGGGCCAUAUGGAUGUGGAGGAUAAAAUCUUCUAUCCAUACCGCGGGAUCGGUUGUUCCGUCGUAUGAUUCAAUAUUGACGGCUUUGAAUCCUUCGGGGAAUUCAUGAUCCAUUACUUCAUCAGUGAAGCAAAGAGGGUGUGCGGCGCCUCUGUGUUGGGCCACACUACGACGUAACUCCGAAGGAGUCCGUUUGCGGUUUUCGGCACGGGCGUGGCUAGGUUUGUCACGUCCGAAUAGGUAGCCAUCGUCGCGUGUCGAGGCAUGCCCUUGCGAUCCGUAGAUCGGUCUUGCGUGUCCUGCUCUACUGUCCAAGUUCCGUCGAAGGUCGUCUGUACAACCAUGAGCUGUAUUAUUCUUGCCUUUACGGCUAGGUGGGGCGGUCUGGUGUUCGGCUUGAGUUGCCUCUUUAUCCGGACAGAGUUGUCGAUGACCUGCCGCAUUGUGUGAUGAUGGUACGGGCUCCAACGCCUCGUCAUCGAACUGAGGUAGCAAUCUAUGCUUCGGGUAGCUUUUGGCUGGGCCACUAAGGCCGUAUUCUUCGGCGGCCAGGACAUCGGUCCAUCUAUCGUUUAAUAGGUCUUGGUCAGCUUGAAGCUGCUGUUGCUUCUUUUUCAGGUUCCUUGCAGUAGCUAUUAGCCUGCGCUUGAAGCGCUCUUGCUCAAGGGGUUCUUCGGGUACGACGAAGUCUUCGUCGCCGAGGCUUACCUCAUCUUCGGAGAGCGGAAGGUAGUUGUCGUCCUCCGAAUUGUCGCUGGGCAGGGCCUGUUCAUCGGGGCUGGCUUGCCCGUUUUCUUGUUCCUCCUGUUCGGAUCUUGCUCCAACAGGGUCUUCGUUGUUUUCGGCGGCGUCCGGAGUACUAUUUUCUCCGGUGCCAGCGUUGCUGCGAUGUGGCUUAGAGCGGCGUUGCUGUGUCUCAGGAGGUUUGUUCUCAACUGGAUCUUGUUUGUCAUCGUCGCUAGCUUUUUUAGGUGUAUUAACCAUGUACACGUCGUACGGAGAGAUGGUCGUCUCACGUCCCGUGAAUAGCGGGUCUUGGCCUUGCUCCUUGUCGGCAUCGUCGUCUAUACCGUCGAUGUCUUCGGAGCCAUAAUCAAGCGUGUCGGUUAAGUCCUCGACAGUGGCUAUGAAAUGGGUGGCGGGUGGGAAGCAAAAUUCUCCAUUAUCAGCUUCUAGCUCGAACCGGACAUAGUUCGGCUGUGAGUCCUCCGCCAAGGACAGGCUUUUUAAUGAAUUUAGAACGUCGCCCAAGGGCGAGUGUUGGAAGAUAUCUGCGGCGCUGAACUUGAAGAUCGAUAACCGAUCCAGCUCUGCGCCCGCAGGCGUGCGUGGUUCGGAACUUAUAGCCGGAGACGAGUCCGGAAUUCCGUUGACGCAGACAUUGCAAGGUGCUGAGUCCGUGUGCGGCUCCAACGCCACGGAUUCUGCGGUUUCGGAUGGCGCAAUCUGCUCCGGAUCUAAGGUCGUAGCAGUUACAGGAACCAUCUCCUGAAUAUGGUCCGAUGACAGAUUAAGUCAUGUUCAUCGGAGCGAGGGGGAGCGAUCGCCAUGGUCUCAAAUCCGUUGAAGACCAGGUCUCCACGGAUAUCCGCGACGUAGUUCAAGCUUCCAAAUCCGACCUGGUGGCUAGGGGCGUAGCUAUCGAUCUGCUCCAGAUGGCCGAGCGAGUUGGCCCGCAGUACGAAGCCGCCGAAUACGAAAAUCUGUCCGGGGAGGAAGGUUUCUCCUUGGAUAGCGUCACUAUAGACGAUCGAAGGGGCCAUCGAACCUUUCGUCGACGGCACAGUGGAACUCUCAAUGAAAGCACCAAUGUCGGUGUCAGAACCGGCGGAUCUCGGGUAGGGGGUCCCGAACUGUGCGUCUAAGGUCGAUGGUUGCAGGAAACGGGGGACACGAUGUUUACCCAGGUUCGGGCCCUCUCUAUGGAGGUAAUACCCUACUUCCUGCUUGAUUGAUCUUGAUGAAUAUGAGUAUUACAAGAGUUGAUAUACCACGAGAUCGUAAUGACUAAACCCUAGAAGCCUAGCCUGUAUGACUAUGGUAAUGAGUAUAUCUUUUCCGGACUACAUCCUCCGGUUUAUAUAGACACCGAAGAGAUCUAGGGUUACAUAGAGUCGGUUACAUAAGAAGGAAUCUUCAUAGUUGGUCGCCAAGCUUGCCUUCCACGCCAAGGAGAGUCCAAUCCGGACACGGGUACGGUCUUCGGCCUUCACGUCUUCAUAGCCCACCAGUCCGGCCCAUUGAUAGUAGACCGGACGCCCGAGGACCCCUUAGUCCAGGACUCCCUCACCAACAAAACAGAGUCUCCCUUGCUUUCCCCUCCACAAACCCUCACUUCUCCCCUUCUCCACCCCAGCCGCCCCACUCAAGCCCCUACCUAAUGCCCACAAAAUUUCGUGGAUCGGAGCUCCAAAUCAGUGAUUUAUCCUUCCCUUCGACCCCUCAAGGUAUUCUCCAUCAUUCCUCCUCUUUUUGUUGGUUGAAAUCUCCACAUUUUGGGGAUUUGGGGAAACCCUAGGUCAUCCAAUUUUGCUAUUUUUUGUUGAUGCAUUUUGGUGUUUAUGAUUCUAGAUGGCGAGGAUCGUCAUCAUGUGGACUUUGUCUCCUUUGAGAAGGGAGACGCGGAGUAUGGUGACCCGAAGAAGAAGCCGGUAGUGAUGGUUUUUCCCACAAGUCCUAGCCUUGAGGAGGUUUUGGUUGAGCUUCGAAGAAGGUUGAAUUGGAUGGAAGAAAGCGAUGGAGUAGACUUAAUCGGAAGGUAUAAUGUUGGGUAUGGGCAACAUAUUCGUUGGAAGAUAAUGCCUCUUGACUCCGAGUUUCACUGGGAAGCAUAUAAAGAGAGUGUGUUGGCCUCACAAGAUAAAUCAUUUGAGUUAUUUUCCACAAAGGUUGUUCGUGCUCGGUUGCACAUUGAUUUGAAUCGGUGUGCAUCUUCAUAUGAUGCUAGAAGCCCGGUUCGAGAUCAACACAUGUCACUCCGGAUGUGCAUGACACAACAAUGAGCCAACCUCCAAUGACCCAAUGUUUGAGCCCCGUCGGGAAUGACCAAGUUGAUAAUGAAUACUUGCACAUGGAUGGUGGUGAGUUUGAGGGUGAUGAAUCGGAGGCUUAUCUUCAUGAUCAUUAUGUUGGUGAUGUUGAGGCAAAUUGCAUGGAAGAGGACAUGGACCAUGAGAUAGCAUACAAUAGGUCCUAUGCGUGGGACUCGGAGGAUGAAGGCCCGGAUGAAGAAAUAGAUGAGGAUGGUUUGACGGCUAAAGAAGCCAAUGCUUUCAAGAAGGUAAUAGGUCGUAGUCACAAGACAUCAUUGUUUCGUGAUCUAAGCCUAGCCGAUAAGGCGAUUGUUGAUGGUGGCACAAGUAAAAUUCUUGCACCAAGGUUAACUUCAAAGCGAGAUACGAAAGCAAGUGUGUAUGGUGUUAGUGAAGGAACAAUCUUUGAAAGCUUGGCAGAACUUCAAAUAUGGGCCAAGGACUACGCGGUUAAGUUUCAUCGGCCAUUCUUUGUGGAGAAGUCAAACUCGAAAGUGCGUUAUGUGGUCAAAUGUGAGGAACACAAGAAUCAUUCCCCUUGGGUUAUCCGUGCAAGAUGUGUCAAAGGCAGGCCACAAUGGAAGAUUACAAGUUCUGUGUUUCACCAUCGAUGUAGUGGCAAGGAUAUUGAUGAUGCCAAUGUAAAUGAUGAUCACCGUCAAUUGACCUCCAAAUUCAUUGCAUAUCGAUUUUCAGCCUCCAUAAAGAUACUCCCAACAUAUCCCAUUCGGGCAUUGAUGGAGAUGGUGAAGGAGGUUUUUGGGUACGAGGUGAAGUAUGGGAAGGCAUGCAAGGCCAAGCAAGCUGCCUUUGAGAUAUUGUAUGGUGGUUGGGAAGAAUCAUACAACCACCUUGCGAUGGUGGCAGAAAAUCCUGGCAUGUACUAUAUGGUGGAGCCAGAUGGUGUGAGAACAAGGAUAUUUAACGAUGCAACCAUUCGAAUAUUUGGACGUGCAUUCUGGACUUUUGAGCCAUGCAUUAGGGCCUUCAAGCAUUGUAGGCCGGUUAUGUCCAUGGAUGGCACAUUUCUGACUGGCCAGUUCAAGGGCACAUUGUUGAUCGCCGUUGCUAAUGAUGGUGGUGACAAAUUGGUUCCAUUGGCGUUCGCUUUGGUGUCGGCGGAGAACAAUGACAACUGGGAGUGAUUAGUCUAGUGAGGACCAAGGUAAUUGGACCUGAAAGAGAGGUUUGCAUCAUCUCGGACCGCCGCCCAGGGAUACUCAAUGCAGUGGAGAUUGACAUUCCAGGACAUCCUCGCGUGCACCAUAGGUGGUGCAUGAGGCAUUUUGUUUCUAAGUGUGCUUCCUGUAGACACUUUGGGUUAAGUCUGAAAGUAAUAAAACCAGCUCCCCUACCAAUAUUGCCCUCCGUUCCGUACGGUUCCCAGGUAACCUAUAAACAAAGAUUAAGAAAAAACUACACUGUUAGUAUGAUUUUUGGAAAACCGAAGAAACCGAAGAAACAAAGCAAGAAGCUACUAAAGAUAACCUGCUCCGGGGUCAUGAUGUCAAGCUCGUUGCAGUAGUGCAAAUACAUGGUCUUUGAAUUGCCAACAAAACCUUCAACCUUGUCCCACUUGUACGCCCAUGUAGGCAUACGGUCCGGGUCAUCAUGAUCAUCCCACGGGCCGUAACCCUUUGGUGUCGGCCGCCCCACUGGCAAGUGCUCCCAACUCUAGAUCGAUAAUAGAAGCAUCGGACCACCGAUGUUGGCUUCCUUUGACUCUACGACAUUUCUUGGAUUCGCGCCCCUACGGCACGCCUCGUCCAGCUACACACAAACAAGAAAUAUCUCAUUACAAACUAGAGAAAACUUCUACAUGGUGAACACACUAUUAUAAGCAAAACUACUUACCUAACGAUACAAAUAAGCCAACGCCGCCGUACCCCAACUGAGUCCAUGCUCCCACCCAGCAAACAGCUUAAGCCACAUAAAGGAAGCAUUCACGCCAGUGCCGUCAGAGAAAAGAGUCCGGCUGACUACAUACCACAAGUAUGCCCUGGUAUACUGCUGCACUGUUUCAUCGUCCGCAUCAGCCGGGCAUUCCCAAAGUGUUUAGCAAUCCAAUGAUAACUUGCACCGGUGGAUUUCCCUUGUACCCCUGGCUCCCUCCCUAUGAGUCCAACCAUAAUCUCACACCAUCCAUCAGAAUCUGUGCUAAAACAAAUAGGCUCUCCUUUGAUGGGAAGUCCAGUGAUCAGAGAAACAUCCUGCGAAGUGACCGUCAUCUCCCCAGCAUAGAAGUGAAAAGUAUGUGUCUCAGGGCGCCAUCGGUCAACGAGUGCCGUGAUUGCACAAGGGUUCAUCUUCGGCAUCGAACGAGACACGAGUGAGAUGAAAAGGAGAAGCCCGGUCUUCCGGAUAUACUCCGUGUAUCGCUCGUCAUACUCCAUCUUGUCAUGAACCUAACCGGACCUCAGGUGAAGCUGAUCAAAAACCCUUCCUUCAUCUUCCAUGAACCGUCCACGAUGCAAUUGAUCGUACGAAGGAUUGAUAAGAGAAGCCAUCCUGCAAAUUACAAAUGUUUAUCGUAAGUCCUAUUGCCAAACAUAUGCAAGAACAUACAUACAUACAUACAAGUGCAAAUGUCCAUAUCCAUACAAUAAUUUCUUUUACACCAAAUUGGCACAUACAUGUGUAAGCAUUCAUCAAUAAAGUGUCUAUCCAACAAAUACAAGUUCUAGUUCAUACCUAAAAUUUCACUAAACAUACUAAUCCUAUCAUGUCCCCAACCAUGCCAUAAACAAAAUCCCUAGUCAUACCUACAAAUUUCCUCACCAUACAAAUGCUAACAAACCCCUAUCCAUACACCAUCAAAUACCUCACAUAUCCCCAUCCAUACAUCAUUUUAAUCUAACAAAUCCCUAAAAAGAGCAUGAAGUAGGGUUUCUCAAUGCGAGGAUUUAGACCAAUAAAAUAAGAGGAGAGGGAGAGGAAUACCUUGAGGAUGGGAAGGGGAAUAAGAUCCACCCUUUUCCCCCUUGGAUCCAACACUUGAGCCCUUGGAUCUGAGAGGAGGGAUAGAGGGGUGACGGGGCGGGGGGCGGGGGGAGGGAGAACAGAACAAGAACAGGCAAGAACAGAGAAGAAAAGGGAGGGGCGACGCGGAUAAGAACAAAGGGACAUGGCGCCCUGGAUCAAGGCGCCAUACAAGUAAGCAUAGCGCCCCGCGGCAGGGCGUUAUGCUCCACCAACUGGGCCAGCUAGCAGUCGACAUGGCAGGUCAAAGUGAUCCAUAUGGCGCCUUUGACCAGGGCGUCGUGCUGUUUAGCAUGGCGCACCGGCUGCGGACGUCAUGCGGGUAGGGCCAUUUUGUGAAAUAUUUUGAAAACGGGAUCAUUUUGUGCUGAACUUUGGCCAAAGGGCCAGUUUUAUGAUUUUUCACGCGACCCGAUGCAGAGCAGGCGCAAAGACAGUGGGCAGUUCUCCCGACUCCAACGAAACGACAGCUAAGAACAUACAUGCAUGUGUGCCGUGUGUGCUGCAUGGUGCUCUGCUUGCGGUGAAUUUGACAAAACUAGUUUAAAAUAGCUCUAAACAUGAACACUUACAACCAACGAAACUCCAAACCAAUCGCCUGACAAGAGCGUCGAGCGUGUAUAUUUUUCGUGUACAACUUAUGUCGAAUUGAAGCGUGAUUAUAUAGAUUAGAAGGGACUACGUGAAGUGGAUUAAGAAGUGUGAGAAAAACUGAACAUGUGCUUUAAACAUCGUGCAGAGCCGAGAUUUUGGUGUAAGGCAGGCAACCAAACAUGUCAAAACUACAUAGCACGGGCCUGUUUGAACCUUAUGCAUUGCAGGCUACCAAACGCGUCAUUGUUGAAUUAGUCUAACAAGUUUGUAUAUGUGGUUUGGAUAGCUAAAGAAUAAACUCUUCCUGAUGUCGCAGUUAAGUGUCGAAAUCCAGUUUUUGUAAAAAGUCAAGGUGCAGUUUCUUCUUCGUGAUCACAAAGCCAAAAGAAAAAAAAACAUGCUAGAAAUGCACGCAAACAAUACAAAAAAUUAAACAGAUCUUUUAUUCUCCUAAUCAAAACGAGUAAUAAUCACAAAAUGGAUCAGCGUCUCAUCGAAUGAUUCUUGUACCAGCAAAAUUGUCCAAAAAAAGAAGAAACAGCAUGAUUACAGGGACACUUGAUACAAACUUCCUGCUCAAGGAAGUAUCGAUUUUCUUUACAACAGUCUAAUUUAUCAAAAUUCAAAAGAAAUAACUACAUAGAAAGAUGUCAAGUCGGCAGUGUGUCCAGUUCAUCGACAAAGGAAAUAAAAACGCCGAGCAAAAUGGGGGGAACGAUGGCGUGUUUACCACCUCUCUGAUCUUCCCAAGCUCCUUUGCAAUGACAAAGCAAGCUGAAACAAGGUCACCAUGAUGGCAGUUGGACAUUCGGAAGACCUUUAAAGUUCCAUGGCAAUGCGAACCCUUGCAAUACCAUGGCACCGGUGCAGCCGUGCAGGGUGGCAGAAACAAAGAGGUACUAGGAACCAUGAAAUAGAUCAGAAAGCAACUAAUUCUCUAACGAGAAAACCAGCAUCUCCUCCUUUCAGCAAAAACAGCAGCGUGUCAGUUUGCAUUAGCAUGCUUUUAUUGCCCGUAAGGAGGGCUCAUCUGUGUAUGAAUAAAACUUCCUGUAACUCCCUGAGAGGCUGAGAAGACCACCUUUUCUCAGCUCGCAACCUGAACGGCCUCGACUUCUCCAUCACUGUAAUCAGCCCAGGACUUCGGCUUUUCAGUCACGCUUGAAUCAUCUUGAGCAUCUUUUGGGGCUGAAGCAUCAUCUUGAGCAUCUAUCGAGGCCGUUGCAUCAACUUCAGCACCUCCAGAAACUAUAGUUUCAUCAGGCUUCACUUCACUGUCCUCACAUUCCACAUGGUUGUUCUUCUCCUCCGUGUUCUUGCUCUCAAUCUCAGCUUCAACAUCAAUUCCACCAGAUGUAUCAUUUCCUUCAGGACUAGUCUCACUAGUUUCAGACACUUGUGGGGAAGCAGUCUUGGGUGACUCGACAGUACUAUCUGGAGAUGAUGGAAGCCCCUCCUGUGAUGCUUGAAUACCAGCUGGCGAUGCCAGAGGUUCAUUAGGAGAUGAUGGAUGGCCAUCAGGACUCCGAGAUUGACCCGGCACAAACUCCGCUGCAUGAGGAUUCAUCACUUUAGGGGAUGUGGCUGCCUCUGGAAGAACUUCCCCACUCGGCAACACAGGCUUGUUACGAGGCACCCGGUGCCCUGAUCUGUUGAACCCUCCGGCUAGACGUGGACCAUAAGGGACCCUUGCGGUUGCAGACUGGUGAGGGUGCUUACGGAGAGGGAUGGCCAGCAUUGGGGGCACAUUGGCUGGCGAUGGCAAUAGUCCUCCGUGUUCUCUGAAACCUGGUACGGCCAUUGAACCAAAAGCUGGCACGGUGGCUGGACUGAAUGGAGCAGCGGCAGCAUUAAGUUUACUGGCUGUCUCUUUCGCUCCUUCUACUGGUGAAUCAUUCUUUUCACUUCCAGAUGGUGAAGAUUUCUCAUUUUCGGCCCCACUAGACAGCUGUUCUUGAUUAUCCUCUCCUGGACCUCUUUCAUCAUCAUUGGAGGAAGAAUCAUUUGCCUCAGUCAAAGUUGCUGCUUCUUCAUUUGGGACGUCCGCUAGUGCUGCUGGUGAUUGGUUCUUCUCUGUAGAUGUCUCUGCUGAAUCUGAGGCCUUCUCAGCUUGAUUUGAUCCUACCGAACCAUUGGCUUGUUCAGUAUCAGAACUGGGAGAUUUGUGCUCAUCUGUUGCUUUUGACACUUGCAAAUUAUUAUCCUUUGGUGACACUUGUAUUGCCCCAUUUUUCUCUUCAGAAGGGCGAACAUUGCUUUCUUUGGGAGCCUUGGCACUUUCAAGAUUUACAGCUGGAUCAGUUGCAUCCUUUUGCUCUGUAUGCACAUUAUUCAACGCUUUCGCAAGAGUUCCUGGUGCAGCUAUAGCCACUUCCUUGUAUGACAGUGACUUCCUUACUGUUUGACUGACAAUUGGUGCUGCAGAUGGCAUCACCUUGGCAGCUGCAGGGGUGGUGGCUAAGCUUGCUGCCAUGGAUUUAGGUUUGGGUGAAUUCUCCCCACUGUUUGAUGAGAUAGCGGGAUUACCUGCUUUGGAAUUGAAGCUCGAACUCUUCGCCAAUUUCUUUGCAAGAGGGCUGGAAGCAACAGAAGCUGCAGUCUCAUUAGGUGAAACUCGAGGGGAAGAGUUGGAUGGAACUCUGCCUUUGUAUCUUCCAUUCUCACUAUUAUUAAUGGCAUUUGUACUGAUCUUUGACAGGUUUGGCCUCCUCACACUUGCACCAGUUUUGCGAUUCCCCGUGGUACGUCCCUUUGGAACAGCCUCUUGCCACCCCUCCUCAGAUAUGUUCUCUUCAGUAUAAUCAUCUUGAGGCAUGUGGACCACAGUGUUACUUGGUUUCUCCUCUUCCAGUUUCACUUUCACAUGCUCAACAACGGUUCCAUUCUCUUUGACUUGAGAAUUUUUCUUCUCAGUUAAUUUCUCUUUGACUUCAGGGUUUUCCUUCUCGGUUGAUGAACGAUCACUGUUAGGUGGAGGGCUCCUUUGAUCUUCAUCAUCGGCUAAUUCAGAUGGGUUUUGCCCGGU
rnacentral:lncRNA from 1 species